AAAUAUUUUUGGACCAUAUAGAAGACAAGGUUUCGAUAACAAAUACACGACUUGAUCUUAUGGUAUAUGAUAUUGUACACAAAGCAUAUAUGAUAAGCACUCUGUCUGCAUACUACUUCUUCCAAAAGAAAGUUCCACAGGUAUCAUAAGGUAACAAGACAUAACCGCCUUGCUAUUCUAUGAUCUGCCUAGGACUUCUCUUUGGAAAAUGACAAGGCGCUCCUUUAUUUUUGCAUCCUUAGAGCGAGCACACAACAAUCCACAACAUAUGUAAGCAUCUUACUUUGGGAGCACAACCUUAUAGAUAGACCUCAAUGACAGCUUGAGCUCCUAGCUUCUUCACAAUCUUAUAGCCACUGAACCCUGCCUUGAUGAAGAUCUCGCUCCAGUCCUUCUCGUCCCGCUGUCGGCCUCUUGUCACCACUAGCAUGACCAUAUCCAUGAGGUGCUGGGUUUCCAGCAUUGGCCCUGAAACAGAUCCAAGCACAAUGUCUAUGACGAUGACUUUUCCUCAGGCAUCUCGGGGAGGAAUGGCCUUCUUGCAUUGUGCCAAGAUCUUGACGCAAUCCUCGUCCUUCCAGAAGUGCAGUACAAGCUACAUUACCAUGCAUGGAUAAACUUGUAGUUUAAGGUUAAUCAAGCUUGACUAGGAUGAAAAUGUGAAGGGAUUUUUAUUAAUUUAAGCUGUUAUUAUUUCAGAAAUGAAAACUAAUUAUGGUGCUUUAAUAUUUCGCUUGGAAUAUUAAAUUAUGGAAUGUGCAACAUUCAUAUCAUAUAUACCUUGACCAACACGGCUUGAGCAGGUGGGACAACGUGGAACAGGUCACCGGAAACAUACUUAACUGCUCCUUCUUCAGUGGGAAGAACUUUGUCCAUGACCUUUGGAAGGUCCAGCACAGUGCACGUGAUGUGAGGGUAGGCCUCGACGAUGGACCUCGCGGUAGUCCCAUCGCCACCGCCGCAGUCAGUGAGAGUCUCAAGCCCCUCGAACAGCUCACUGCACUGCCGGAGCACGGGGCCGAUCCCCAUGUGGUCGUGGGCAGCGAGGGCGUCGUGGAGCAGCUGAUCCAUCUCCGGGUCGAGGAGCACCAUGCUCUCCUCGAAGAUGGCCGCGCCAUGCACGUCCUCGAAGGGCGAGGGGACGGCUCCAUCGAAGUCCUUCCUGAACCAGUCCGCCAGCCCCAUGGCCGCCUCCACGUAGUAGCGCGAGGCCGCGGCGCGCACGAGGGCCGUCUGGCUAGCGUCGCCGACGAUGCGGACGUCGUCUACCAGGAGGUACGAGAGCGGGUUGAGGCGGUACGUUCCGACGUCGGUUGCACUGAAGAUCGCCCGCCGUGGCGAGUUGGCGCAGCAGGCGGGCGAGGAAGGGCAGCUUGGACGUGGGGAGGGAUAGGGCGGCGACAAGUUCGGAUGGGGACGCGGCGCCGCCGAGGCGGUGGAUGGCGGUGGGGACGCCAAGGUCGACGGCGCACUGGAGCGCCAUAGGCGUGAGGUAGCAGAGGGUGUUGGAUGUAAUCUCAAUGUAUCUGCCCCGUUUCCUUAGCUUAUUUUGUUUUUCUGUCACAUAAUAAGCACGACUGAAUUUGUCCACCAGAAACGUGCUACGCUCACGUUGCGGUGUAGUUUCGGUUCCUAGUUUUCAGGCCUAGCUGGUAGCUCUAGACUUGGCACGAUCCAAGCUCGUGGGAUGGCGCGCGCAUAUACUGGAUCGUGGCGAGAUUUUCGUUUUUCUGUUAAGCAACUGAAUAAAGGGAAGAACAGAAAAGACACACGGUUUACGCGUCGCAAAAAUCUCUCUGUGUGGCUGCGUUCCUUCUCUGUUCCCUUCCACCUCGUGUGUGUGUGUUGUGUUCUUCAGAGAAAGAAAUUGAGAGAGAGAGAGAGAGAGUCGAUCACUGCUAGAAAUCCAACAUUUGCUAUACAGAGCUUUAGGUUAGGACCUUGGGCGUUUGGCGGCGGUGGUCGGAGGAGCUUUGGCGGCGGCGAUGGGGGAUACGUCUCCUAAGAAAAGCGACGGGAAGAGCAGCGGCAACGGUGGCAGAAAGUACACGCCGCCGGCGGCCAGGAGGUCGACCACAGGCGAUGGUGACGGUGCUGUGGUACUGGCUGCUCCGUCGAGAGCCACCAAUGUGCCCGUGCAGUACCCGAUGCUGACGGACACGAAUUAUUCUCUAUGGGCCAUCAAGAUGAAAGUGCUGAUGAAGGCGCUCCGCGUCUGGUCGGCGAUUGACGGCUUCGGCGAGUACGACCAAGCGCCGGACGAGGGGGCCUUCGCGGCGCUCUCCCAAUCCGUCCCGGAUCAUGUUAUGCUCCAGGUUGCGGACUGCGACACCGCGCAAGAGGCGUGGGAGAUGAUCCGAUCUGCGCGCGUCGGGGAGGAUCACGUGAAGAAGGCGCGUGCGCGGCAACUGAAGAGGCAGUUCGAUCGCCUCGACAUGGCGGACGGGGAAACUAUCCCGGAGUUUGCCAGGAAACUCACCACGCUGGUGAGCGAAAUCCGCUCCCUCGGCGUCACCCUUGGGGAAGAGGCCGUGGUGGAGCGUCUGUUCAGCGCCGUGCCGGAUCGCUUCGCCGACAUCGUCAACACCAUCGAGCAGUGGGGCGAUGUCGCCACGAUGACGGUGCAGGAGGCUGUCAGACGCCUCACGGCUUUCGAGGAGAACCAGCUGGGGCGCCGCCAGAGCCGUGGCGACAACAAUGAGCAGCUGAUGCUCGUGACCCGCGCGCUGGAAACCCUUAUGAAGGGGAAGAAGAUCGUCAACAACAAUGGGGCCUCCGGCUCUGGUGCAAAGAAAGGUGGCGGCCAUAACGGAGGCCAAGGCGACGGGCAGGACAAAGGCCGUGGUGAUCGCGGCCAGAACAAUGGAAAGGCAAAUAGAAAAAGCAUCCUAAGUUUGACAUCUCGAAAGUAAAAUGUUUUAACUGUGAUGUGAAUGGCCACUUUGCCUCGGAUUGUCUGGAGCCAAAGCGGGAGCGAGCUAACCUGACGCAGAAACAGAGUGAUGAAGAUCCGGCUCUCCUGAUGGUUGAAGCUUGUGAGUUGGUUCAUGAUGCUCGACUGACAGAAAAAAGGCUCAUGCUGAAUGAACAAAAGGUCACACCUAAGCUUUCAGGAACUGCAAACAAGUCCUGGUACUUGGAUACUGGAGCUAGUAACCAUAUGACCGGUUGUGUUGAAAAGUUUGCUGAAUUGGACCGAAAGAUCACAGGUUCAGUUCGUUUUGGGGAUGGUUCAGUCGUUGGCAUUGAAGGGCGCGGGUCAGUCCUGUUCCUAGCUCAUAAUGGUGAGCACCGUCUCCUAACAGAGGUGUACUACAUCCCAAGAUUAAAGAGCAACAUUAUUAGUCUUGGGCAACUCGAUGAGUUUGGUUGCAAGUAUUCAGUGGAUGAAGGACUGAUGACAGUCCUCGACAAGGAGCGCAAGGUGCUAGCAAAAGUAAGAAGAGCACCAAACAGAUUGUACAUUCUGAAUAUUGAGCAGUCUGAACCGGUGUGUCUGCUGUCGAGAGCAUCAGAAACACCCUGGCUAUGGCAUGCACGUUUUCGGCACAUAAGCUUCCAUGCAUUGCGGUUAUUGUCCAGAGAGAACAUGGUGAUGGGUCUGCCAAUGAUUAAUCAGGUAGAUCGUCUCUGUGAGAGCUGUCUAGUCGCAAAGCAGAGGCGAGCUCCUUUUCCCGCUGAAGCUUCCUAUCGAGCUGACAAGGCACUGCAAUUGCUCCACGGGGACCUUUGUGGUCCUAUCUCCCCUGCAACCUUUGCAGGGAAGAAUUAUUUUCUGCUACUUGUUGAUGACCACACAAUGUACAUGUGGGUUGUGCUGAUCAAAAGCAAAGAUGAAGCACUUGAGGCAGUUAAGAAGAUAAGAGCAGCAGUAGAGGUUGAGCUGAAUCUAAAAGUCAUGGCCCUGCGGACAGAUCGUGGAGGGGAAUUCACUUCCAAGAACUUUGCUCAGUUCUGUGAAGGACUCGGAAUCAAGCAUUACUUGACUGCACCGUAUUCUCCUCAACAGAACGGUGUUGUUGAGAGGAGGAACCAGACUGUGGUGGGCAUGGCAACAAGCCUGCUGAAGAGCAAAGGGUUACCUGGUCAGUUUUGGGGUGAAGCAAUAACUACUGCAGUGUACUUGCUGAAUCGAGCACCAACAAAAAGUGUCCAUGGCAUGACCCCGUAUGAAGCCCUGUACAAGGUGAAGCCGAGAGUAGAUCACCUGCGCACGUUUGGAUGCAUUGGUCAUGUAAAGAAGGUCCGGGGGCAUCUUCCAAAACUUGCUGACCGGAGUUCAGAGAUGGUGUUUAUUGGUUAUGAGCCAAACAGUAAAGCAUACAGAUUAUUCGAUCCACGCACGAAGAAACUGUGUGUGUCUCGAGAUGUUGUGUUCGAAGAGGAUAGAUGCUGGGAAUGGACCCCCGGCGACAUUGUGGGGAGCUCGGAGACUUUUUCAGUGCAGUACAAUGUACACCUCGAUGAUGCACAUACUGUUGCCCAGCCAAAGCGUACUGUUCAUCAUCCGACAACAGAAAGUCUGAAGGAGAACAGACUCACAUCUGAAGAAAUAGCUGCAGGUUUCAGACCAGAGGAUUUUGUCACUCCUGCCAGAUAUGAAGCAUCUUCUGGACCUCGGUUUGUGUCACCUCCUACUGGUGCCUCGACGCCAACAAGCACUGAGGGACCACGCAGGUACCACCUCUUGGAAGAAGUCAUCGAGGAAGCACCGGUGGCUACUCUGACAGACUCGUGUCUGCUCGGCAUCGAAGAGCCAACAUCUGUUGAAGAUGCCAGCAAGGAAGCAGCAUGGAAAAAUGCCAUGCAGAUAGAGCUUAAGUCAAUUGAGGAGAACCACACCUGGGAACUUGUUGAUCUACCAAGCGGACACAAGGCAAUUGGACUAAAGUGGUUAUACAAACUAAAGAAAGAACCUGAUGGCAGAAUUGUGAAACACAAAGCAAGAUUGGUAGCUAAAGGCUAUGUGCAGCGUGAGGGAGUUGAUUUUGAGGAGGUGUUUGCUCCUGUAGCCCGAUUGGAAACAAUUCGAUUGCUCAUUGCCAUUGCAGCACAACAGAGUUGGGAAGUACAUCACAUGGAUGUGAAAUCAGCUUUUCUGAAUGGCGAAUUAAAAGAGGAAGUAUAUGUCACUCAGCCCCCUGGGUUUGUACUCGAGGGACAAGAACAGAAGGUUCUGAAGCUGCAUAAGGCUCUAUAUGGUUUGAAACAGGCACCCAUGGCGUGGAAUGAGAAACUGCACAACACUCUGGUUGACUUAGGAUUUGAGCAAUGCCCAAUUGAGCAUGCUGUGUACAGGAGGUCGAAGCUUGUUGUAGGGGUGUAUGUAGAUGAUCUGAUCAUCUCAGGACCAAGCCCAACUGAAAUUGGUGAGUUCAAAGAGCAAAUGAAGAACCUUUUCAGUAUGAGUGAUUUGGGACUAUUAAGCUACUACCUUGGUAUAGAAGUUAAACAGCAGUCAAAUGGGACGUUUCUGAGCCAAUCAAGCUAUGCAACAAAGAUUCUGGAGAAGUGUGGGAUGAGCAACUGUUAUGCUGUUCAAACUCCAAUGGAAGCUCGGCUACAUUUGAGCUAGUUCAGCACUUGCAAAGCUGUUGAUCCCACUCUGUACCGUAGCAUUGUGGGAAGUUUGAGGUAUUUGACCCAUACCCGUCCAGAUAUUACAUAUGCUGUGGGGAUUGUAAGCAGGUAGAUGGAGAAGCCUGCAUCUGAUCACCUAGAGGCAGUGAAGCAAAUUCUGCGGUACGUGAAGGGAACACUGAAUUUUGGUUGUUUCUAUAAAAGAGAAGAAGAAACUUCCAUGUCGCUGUGUGGUUACAGCGACAGUGAUUUGGGGGGUGAUGUUGAUGACAGAAAGAGCACUACUGGAAUCAUUUUUUACCUUGGAUCAAGCCCAUUAACUUGGCUCUCAAAGAAGCAAAAGGUAGUAUCACAUUCAUCAUGCGAAGCUGAGUAUGUUGCAGCUGCAGUAGCUGCUUGUCAGGGUGUGUGGUUGAGCAGAAUGCUCACUAGCCUGACAGGGCUUGAGGGCGAGCAAGUGGUUCUGAAGAUUGAUAACCAGUCACCCAUUGCAUUGAGUAAAAACCCGGUGCAUCACGAGAGAAGCAAGCAUAUUGACAUCAAGUACCAUUAUAUUCGUGAGUGCGUCGAAGAUGGGAGCAUUGCAGUGGAGCAUGUGCGCACAGGAGAUCAGUUGGCCGAUCUUCUGACGAAGCCACUAGGACGACUGAAGUUCCUUGAGUUCAGGGAGAGACUUGACAUGCGCACGCUGGAGCAGAUACCUCAAGAUUAAGGAGGUGACUGUUGGAUGUAAUCUCAAUGUAUCUGCCCCGUUUCCCUUAGCUUAUUUUGUUUUUCUGUCACAUAAUAAGCACGACUGAAUUUGUCCACCAGAAACGUGCUACGUUCACGUUGCGGUGUAGUUUCAGUUCCUAGUUUUCAGGCCUAGCUGGUAGCUCUAGACUUGGCACGAUCCAAGCUCGUGGGAUGGCGCGCGCAUAUACUGGAUCAUGGCGAGAUUUUCGUUUUUCUGUUAAGCAACUGAAUAAAGGGAAGAACAGAAAAGAUGCACGGUUUACACGUCGCAAAAAUCUCUCUGUGUGGCUGCGUUCCUUCUCUGUUCCCUUCCACCUCGUGUGUGUGUGUGUUGUGUUCUUCAGAGAAAGAAAUUGAGAGAGAGAGAGAGAGAGAGAGUCGAUCACUACUAGAAAUCCAACAGAGGGUGUGGCGCCACAGGUCCGACUGCGCCUGGAGCAGCUCCGUGUCGGUGGGGACAAACACCUUCUCUGCCUGGCCUGCCAUUGGCCAUGAUCUCUAUCUCUCACAGCUGUACGUGGUGUGCACUUCGAUCUGGUAGAUAUAUAGGGGACGGAGGACACUCUCAUAUAACAUAGCAAUGUGUUUGCUGUCAUUUCUCGUGGAACACGAGGGUGACGACCAUGACACUAUAUGGCUAUCGACAGGCCGGGGUAGCGUGUCACGACUGUUUCAAUAAAAAUAUUUAUCGAGAAACCGAUCUUUUAGUUCCCAGUGUGAGGAAAAUCCUCCUCACUGGUAGACAAAUCUUUGAUACAAUAAGCCAGUAGCAUUAAUAUCUUACAGGGGUCGAGCUGAGGUUGCUCAACAAUUUAUUACAAGCGCGCCAAUAAUUAUACAUAGAGGCGGAUAUGACACAAAGGUGGGGGUGGUAUUUCUACUGACUCGUAAUAAAAAUGAUUGGUGGAACAUCAUAGUGGGGUGGGCAGUGUGACUACUAACCGGUGACUCAUCGAGCGCCGAGAAGAGGCUCGAUGAAUUUAUUUGGGUAGCGGAAGCGGAUAUAAUACAGUGACCAAAUCCAGGGUCGCACGAGACUGACUGGGACUCCUCUAGGCGUCGGACUCGCUAUCGAACUCUUCAUCCAUGAGACCGCCUUCGUCAGCAUCUGGCCAAAUCAACAAGCCAGGUGAGUACUUUGAAAGUACUCGUAAGACAGUUCGGACAAUAGAUAUAACAAAUGCAUGCAUGAAUGCGUCAAGAGUACUUUUAACAAUGCACAUUUAAUUCAUAAGAACAAGGUAAGUAAAGAGGGAGUCGGCGGUAGUCCGCUCGAAAACCCAACAAAAUAAACUGCAAACUGAUCGGGUGUCUGAAGCGACGCCUCGAAAGGAAAACUAAAUAAAUAAAAAUAUGCCGCAGUCGGGCGUCUAAGCGACACCACAUAAAGGGCUUGUACUGAAAGUAAAAGACAUGAGUGCCGCAGUCGGAUGUCGGGGCGACAUCACAGAAAGGGCUUAUAUCAAAAGUAAAUAAUAACAAUACCGCAGUCGGACGUCUGAGAAACGUCACAGAGAGGGCUUAUAUCAAAAGUAAAUAAUAACAAUGCCGCAGUCGGACGUCUGAGCGAUGUCACAGAAAGGGCUUAUAUCAAAAGUAAAUAAUAGCAAUGCCGCAGUCGGACGUCUGAGCGACGUCACAGAAAGGGCUUAUAUUAAAAGUAAAUAAUAACAAUACCCCAGUCGGACGUCUGAGCAACGUCACAGAAAGGGCUUAUAUCAAAAGUAAAUAAUAACAAUGCCGCAAUCGGACGUCUGAGCGACGUCACAGAAGGGGCUUAUAUCAAAAAUAAAUAAUAACAAUGCCGCAGUCGGACGUCUGAGCGACGUCACAGAAAGGGCUUAAGUUCUUUAUCCACAAUGUGCAAGGGUUAAUGCUCACAGGAAAAAUAUUCAAUACGAGGUACUGACGGGGUAGUCCAUCAUAAGAAUCAACAUUAACCGGACUUAACACUCAUAUGGCUUACCGGGGUCUUUGACAUCAAGACUGACAAUCAGACAAGAUAAUAAGGACACCGAACUUUGACAUAGAUAAGGUGAUGCAAUGGAAUUUUUGACUCUGCAGAGUUUGUACAAAAAUGCCCACAGCCAACGGAUUUCUGUAGUCCCGAAGGACUAGUUCCGUUUACGGUAUUUCAGAAGAAAACACAACAAUCCAGUACACACCCAUCCCACCUCACGUUACCAGGGAUCACCCUAGACGACGAUCAAUAUAAACUUUGAGACGGGGAGAUCACCAUCUCGAAUAGCAUGGGAUCAAAUUUAUAUACGCGCGCUCUAAGGGGUGCCCCCUCUCGGUCCCAACCGGAAACACCCAUGCCCCCUGACCGGAUGAUAGGCUUUAAUCCAGGGCCAUGGAACCCUCAUCCCGGCCUCUCAAUUUGGUGUGUACCAGGAAAGUGGUUUGCAACUUACUAAGCCAUAGCUCUUGCGGAAAACAUGUGGUAGUACGGAAAAAGGAGAUGGACGGGAGUGGAUACUGGAGUCAAAUAAUCUGGCAUAGGACUGGCAUGCUACAACACUGCCAUCUUACCCAUUUCAUGCCAUCACGUGGCCAUGCAACCUCAUUUCCAUUAACGCAUGGAUUUCCGAAACUCACUUGUCUCGACUUUUCACGUGACAAAGUUUUUAUCGAGAUGCUCAUGAACAUGCCAUGAAACUACUAAAUGCAAACAUGCCAAGACACUCAUCAUAUCAAGAGUUCAAACAUGCUUGCCUGGUUCGGAGUAGUCGGGGUCUAGCUCGGUGAAGUUCGCGGUUCCGUCACCUCCUUUGGUAUCUACGGUACACAAAACACACGCGCUAACGUAAAUACCCUGGAGUACAGAAAUGUAAUCCAAAUAGUUUUCAAAUAAACAUGAUAAAAAACUAGACAAAAUUUUGAAGAGGGCAGAAAAAGAAUCACUCAAAAAUCUCUUUCUGUUAAAAAGUUAUAAGAGUUUUGGUCCAAGGACCCAUCUGUAAUGAAACAGAAAGCUCUCAGGGGCCACCGACGCCAGGGACGAGCCAAGCGCUCGUGUGGUGCUCCAGACAGGGAGGAGGGGCUGCGAGCAACGUGCCAAGUGCACUGUCGACGCGUGACUGAACUCUGACGAAGGGAAACGACACUGAACUCUGAAACUCUGAACUUUUCUGAAAAUGCAAAGAAACAGUGCCGGCCAGGUGUUCGACAGAAUGAUUUUGGCAUGUGGGAGUUUAUCCUUGAGCUGAUUUUUGGUGGAGUGGCCUCUCAUUGCAUCUGGAGGCUGCCUGAAUUUUUGGAGCAGUGAGGAUAUGAAUUUCACCAAAUUUGACAAAUCUGGUCCAAACUUGCAGAGACUGUAAUUUGAAAUUUUUGAAAAGGAGAGGAGUGAAUCAUGAUAGUUCUAGGUUGUGGGUACCAAGGACUAUCCAGGGGAGUUGGUUUGAGGUCAAAACUCAAAUGCAUUUAGGUACUUGCUUUGCAAAUCACCUAGGCUCAAAAUAAUGGACAGAAAAGAUUUGGGAGGAGAAAUAAAUGAAAUAAAAUUCAGAAAUGGAUUGAACUUGAUGAGACAGAAUGUUUGGAUUUCCCCAAAGUGGGAAGAAGGUUUUUGGGAGGUUUUACCAUGUGGGGCAUGGUAAAAUCAUGAGAGGUUCCAAUAUAGGAGAGGACACAAGACUCCUAGGGUUUUUCUUUUGAAAGAAAAAUAAAACUCAAAAAUUUUGAAUUUGAGAAGAGGACAAACAGAAGAAAAGUUUUUAACAACCAAACACCAGAGUUGAAGAAGAAGCCAAAAUAAAAACCUUGCCAAAGGGGAAAGUCUUUGAGAGAAAUAUUUUUGGAAGAGUUUAAAAGACCUUCCUCAAAUCCAAGAAAGUUUUUGAAGGAAACCAAAAGAAAUUUUUUUGGAGUGUCACAACACCUACCCCCUUAGGAAAAAUCUCGUCCCCGAGAUUACAGCUGAUUCUCAAACAAGUGUGGUUGCUCUGCUCGAAGAAAAUCCUCUCUUUCCCAAGUGGCUUCACUCUCGGUGUGAUUGCUCCAUUGAACUCUGAAAAACUUGAUGGUUUUCUGUCGGUCCUCCUUUUAGACUCCUCUAAUAUUUUUACUGGAUGCUCUCGAUAGGUGAGGUCUGGUUGCACGUCAAUGUUUUCAUGGGGUACUUGCUUUUCUGGGUUGCUUACACACUUCCUUAAUUGGGAGACAUGAAACACGUCGUGGAUAUCGGAUAAUUCUUCGGGUAAGUCUAGCUGGUAGGCUACCGUGCCUCUUCGUGCCACUACGCAGAAUGGUCCGAUGAAUCUUGGUGCUAGCUUCCCCUUAAUCUUGAAUCGUUGCAGGCCUCUCAUAGGAGAUACUCGUAGGUAUACAAACUCAGCGGGUUCGAAACUGAUCUCUGGGCCGAAGAUACGGCUGUCACCGGUCUCUGACCAAUUUAGUGGGGUACGACAUCUCCGCCCAUACAAGGCUUCAAAGGGUGCCAUAUGUAGACUGGCCUGGUAACUGUUGUUGUAUGCAAACUCUGCGUAUGGCAAGCUUUCCUCCCAACUGGUUCCAUAAGUGAGGACACAUGCCCUCAGCAUGUCUUCUAGAAUUUGGUUUACUCGUUCAGUUUGUCCGUCAGUCUGAGGGUGGUAUGCUGUACUGAAGGCUAGCUGAGUUCCCAGAGCCUGUUGCAGGUGAUCCCAAAAUCUGGAGAUGAAUUGUGUGCCCCUGUCAGAUAUUAUAGUCUUUGGAACUCCAUGUAAGCAGACGAUUCGGGAGAGAUAAAGCCUGGCAAGAUUCUGAGUGGUGUGAGUUGUCUUCACGGGGAUGAAGUGUGCUACUUUGGUCAGUCUAUCAGUGAUGACCCAUAUGGCAUCAUGUCCGUGUCGUGACCGGGGUAGCCCAACAAUGAAAUUCAUUCCAAUCUCGUCCCAUUUCCAUUCUGGUAUCUUAUUUGGUUGCAAUAGUCGGGCUGGUUUCUGGUGCUCGGCCUUGAUGCGUUGACAUGAGUCACAACAUGCAAUAAACGUGGCUAUGUCCCUUUUUAUACCGUGCCACCAAAAUGUCUCCUGAAGAUCCUUGUACAUUUUUGUUCCUCCGGGAUGGAUUGAAUACGGGGCGGUGUGGCCUUCAGCUAAGAUUUGUUGUUUAAGGUCAUUAAUGUUUGAUACGCAAAGUCUAUGCCCGUACCACAAUAUUCCCUGCUCAUCGAUAACGAAUUCUGAGGCCUUGCCCAAGCUUACUUUCCGUUUUAUGCCUUCAAUGCUGGAGUGCCCAUGCUGAGCUUCUUUAAGUCUCUCUAUUAGAGUAGGCUGUAUUUCCAAAUUCGACACACUGCCUUCGGUGACCAUUACCAAGUUGAGUUUAGCAAAUUCCUGCUGGAAUUCGGGUUUCAGGUUUCGUAGGCUGUCGUUGUUCGGAUUGGGGUUCCGACUUAGCGCAUCUGCCACAACAUUUGCCUUGCCUGGAUGGUAGUGGAUUCCAACAUCAUAAUCCUUCACUAAUUCCAACCAGCUUCGUUGCCGUAAAUUUAGUUCCGGUUGUGUGAAAAUAUACUUGAGGCUUUUAUGGUCUGUGUAUAUUUCACAACGAUUUCCAAGUAAAAAGUGUCUCCAUUCCUCGAGUGCAUGAAUAACUGCUGCUAAUUUCAAGUCAUGAGUAGGAUAAUUUUCCUCAUGCUUGCGGAGUUGUCUGGAGACAUAUGCGACUACCUUGCCUUCUUGCAUCAAUACGCACCCGAGGCCCUUUUGAGAUGCGUCAUAAUAUACCUCAAAGUUCUUGUGUAUGUCUAGCACAAUUAAUACUGGUGAUGUUGUUAAUUUCCUUUUUAGUUCUUGGAAACUUUUCUCGCAAGCUUCCGUCCAUUCAAACUUCUUGUCUUUCUUGAGUAAUUGCGUCAUCGGCUUUGCUAUUGUGGAAAAUCCUUCAAUGAGUCUUCGGUAGUAACCUGCCAUUCCCAGAAAACUUCGUACGUCCGUUACGCUGGCUGGCGGUUUCCAGCCAAGUACGGCCUUGACUUUUUCCGGGUCUAUGGCAAUACCUUCUUGGGUCAGUACGUGGCCCAGAAAACCUACCUGUCUUAGCCAAAAUUCACACUUGCUGAACUUGGCGUAUAAUUGAUGUUUCCUGAGUUCUCCUAGUACAAUUCGGAGAUGUUCAGCGUGCUCUUCUAGUGUCUUGGAGUAUAUCAGAAUAUCAUCGAUGAAUACCACAACAAACUUGUCCAUAAAUUUCAUAAAUACUUUGUUCAUGAGGUGAACAAAAUAUGCCGGGGCGUUCGUCAAUCCAAAUGGCAUUACUGUGAACUCGUACAAUCCGUAUCUGGAGGUGAAGGCUGUCUUGGGAAUAUCUUCUGUUCGCACUUUUAAUUGGUGGUAUCCUGAUCUCAAGUCAAUUUUUGAGAAGACUUUGGCCUGUGUGAGCUGAUCAAAUAAAUCUUUUAUUCGGGGCAUUGGGUAUUUGUUCUUGAUUGUGAGCAUGUUUAGUGCUCGAUAGUCGAUACACAAUCUCAGCGUGCCAUCCUUCUUUUUUGGCAAAUAAAAUUGGUGAACCCCAAGGUGAGGAGCUGGCUCGUAUAUAUCCUUUGUCCAAUAAUUCUUUUAUUUGCUUCUUCAAUUCUACCAAUUCGGAUGGUGCCAUUCUGUAUGGUUUCUUGUAUAUGGGGGUGGUUCCGGGUGCUAGCUCAAUGCUGAAUUCUAUCUCUUGGUCUGGUGGCAUGCCUGGUAGUUCUUCAGGAAAUACGUCUGGAAAUUCACACACUACCGGAACCUUGCUUAAUUCAGAAAAAUCCACCUUGUUCAAUCUCGGUCGCCGGGAUAUUUUUCUCUCUUUGGCUGAAACUUUUAUUGUCUUCCCGUGGUGGUGUGUGAGAAUCACGGUCCGAUUGAAGCAGUCAAUAAAACCUUUGUUGGUGGUUAACCAAUCCAUUCCCAAGAUGACAUCCAGUCCUUUAUUUUCCAAAACAAUAAGGUUGGCGUAAAACUUCAAUCCUUCAAACUCAAUGAUCACACCUUGGCAGUAACUCUGGGUAAUUUGCUUAAUCCUAGGGGACUUGACGAUCAUAGAUUUUUCCAAGGGGAGCAUUGAAAAAUUAUUUUGCAAGGCAAAACUUUUCGAAACGAAUGAGUGAGAAGCUCCAGAAUCAAACAAAACCAUGGCAGGUACUGUGUUGACAGGAAAUGUACCGAGUACGAUAUCCGGGGCAUUCUGUGCUUCCUCUUUCGUCACAUGGUUCAGAUGACCCUUCCCGUGGUUGUUAUUGGGGUUGAAAUUGUUUCGCUUGGGUGCUGGAUUAUUGCCACUGUUGUUCGGCUUUGGGGUAGAGUUCCUUGGUUUGGGACACUGUUUGGCAUAGUGCCCUUCUUCUCCACAGGCGUAGCAAGUAUCGCCUGGGCGAUACGUGAACUCUUUGUCCCUCGCAUGGAAGUUCUUAACUGGGCGCGAGACGUUUGUCGUGGGUUUGUGUGUCCCACCUUUCUGAAAAUCCGUCUUGCUUCGAUGGUUGCGGGCAAGAUUAAUCUGGUCCCUUUUUCGCUUGCGGAAAUCUUCCAGGCUGCGUCUCUCAUUUUCCAAAGUAAUGGCCUUAUCCACCAGUGUCUUGAAAUCUGGAAAGGUGUGCACAACCAGUUGGCAUUUAAGCGCGGGCGUCAGACCGUCUAGGAAUUUCUCCAUUUUCUUGCUUUCGGUCAUACGCUCUUCAUUGGCGUAGCGAGAUAAUAGAGUAAAUUGACUGUUGUAUUCUGACACUGUCAUGGUCCUUUGCUUGAGGUCAUCAAAUUCUCUCUUCUUGAUCUUCAUAAGACUUUUAGAAAUAUGCGCCUCACGAAAACCUUCUUUGAAAUCCUCCCAAGAUAUAUUAUUAUCGUUGGGGUGCAUGUGUAGGAAAUUUUCCCACCAUGAUGCAGCUGCUCUAGUGAGAUAGUGCGGUGCAUAAAGCACUUUUUCGAGGUCUGAACACUGUGCAAUAAUUAAUUUCUUUUCCUUGUCCCGAAGCCAGUCUUCGGCCUCAAGAGGUUUGUCAGUAUGGGAAAAUGUUUGGGGACGCGUCUUCUGUAGAUCGGAUAACUUGGAUUGUUGCUGAUACUGUCCACGGUGACUUCCCAUAUUAAUGACUUGGCUCAUUAUUUCCUGAUGUUGUUGCUGACUUUGCUCAUAACAUUUGGGAAAGUGCUGUUUCACGCUCCUGUUGACUCGACUGUCCCUGUGUGACAUUGCUGCUUGGUUGUGUGCCAUAAUUUUCCUCUGGCGGAGUUGUCAUGGGGCGCGUCCAAGGACGAGACAUUUUUCACUCUGGGGAUACAUUUUGUGAAAUUCAUAUGAAAAGUAAUUGAGUCGCAAAAGUUAAUGAAUUCAUGAAGACAGAAGAAGUUUCAAAUGCUCCAAGAUCAAGAGAAUAAACGUUUGCGCACGGAGAAGGACUGCUCAUCACAUAUAUUACACGCAAGCAGUAAUUACACAAUACAUCACUCAGGAUAUGCGUACAUAAUCCUGACAUGUUAUUUAGGCUAGUGCACUUCUCCAGAUCCUACAUGAUGCGCAAGCAAGCUACUUCUCACAGCCUAUUUACAUAUAAACAUACCGUACAGAGCAAUACAUCGCAUGGCGGCUAAGCGUACUCAGUCGGAGGAGAUGGUGAGGAUCUCCUUUGCCCUGCCGAGGGUGAGGCGCAGAGAGGCUGGGGACUCAACCUCCUCCUCGCUAAUAGGCUCCAGACGUGAAGUGUUGCGCUGAGUAGAUGGAGCGGGUGCCCUAUGUGGAAUAACACAGACAAGAGUGGGCGCCAUGGGUGGUGCAUAGCGGACUGGUGUUGGCGCAAUAACUUGGUUGAAUUCUUCGGUGGAUUGCAGGCGACGAGCAGCGGCGGGAGUGGUAGGUGCAUAAGAUGCUGAGGACGAGACGAAAGUCAGUGGCGGUGCCGUGUGUAGGAGCUCCCUCCUGUUGGCGGUGCAGCCAUGGACUGAGUCCAUGCGAGCAGCCACGAAGUCAUCCACCAGGUUGUCGAAGGCUGCUUCCAGAGCUCGGAGAUACCCGACGAGCAUCUCAAAAGCCUCGUCUCGCUCUCCUCUGGGGCAAGAGUAUGAGUAGUGGCAGGCAUACGACAAGUGGCAUGGAAGGUAGCGGUAACGACGAGUCUGCAUCGACGGCAGGACUUCCCUGAGACGAGCUAUCGCCUCACGGGCUGCCAUCUGCAUCGCAUGCUUCUCCGUAGACAUGGCUCUACCCAAGAACCGGAAGCGGCGUAACUCAACAUGCCCUCCCUUGAAUUGCACCGCGCCCUGGUGCAUGGUCAGACGGUCGUUGAUCUUGUGCUGAUAGAGUGUGAAGACUGGGCGCAUGGAUGGCCCCAUCGCGACCUGGACGAUGAAGGAGAGAAGCUUGACAAACCCAUCGGGCUCGUUGGCGAACAUCUGAGACUCGCAGUUGUUGCCGGCCAUCUACAAAAGUAGGCAGAAAUUCUGAAUGGUCAGAUCAUAAAUCUAUGCCGACUGUCAGAAAAUGACUACAUUUGUAAAAAUAUGAAUUAGUACUAUUAUGCUAAUAACCGAUUAGCGAUCGCGCCUAGUGGUUUCCUACAGUCAGCCUGGCUCUGGUACCAAGUUUGUCACGACCGGUUUUUCAAUAAAAAUAUUUAUCGAGAAACCGAUCUUUUAGUUCCCAGUGUGAGGAAAAUCCUCCUCACUGGUAGACAAAUCUUUGAUACAAUAAGCCAGUAGCAUUAAUAUCUUACAGGGGUCGAGCUGAGGUUGCUCAACAAUUUAUUACAAGCGCGCCAAUAAUUAUACAUAGAGGCGGAUAUGACACAAAGGUGGGGGUGGUAUUUCUACUGACUCGUAAUAAAAAUGAUUGGUGGAAUAUCACAGUGGGGUGGGCAGUGUGACUACUAACUGGUGACUCAUCGAGCGUCGAGAAGAGGCUCGAUGAAUUUAUUUGGGUAGCGGAAGCGGAUAUAAUACAGCGACCAAAUCCAGGGUCGCACGAGACUGACUGGGACUCCUCUAGGCGUCGGACUCGCUAUCGAACUCUUCAUCCAUGAGAUCGCCUUCGUCAGCAUCUGGCCAAAUCAACAAGCGAGGUGAGUACUUUGAAUGUACUCGCAAGAUAGUUCGGACCAUAGAUAUAACAAAUGCAUGCAUGAAUGCGUCAAGAGUACUUUUAACAAUGCAUAUUUAAUUCAUAAGAACAAGGUAAGUAAAGAGGGAGUCGGCGGUAGUCCGCUCGAAAACCCAACAAAAUAAACUGCAAACCGAUCGGGUGUCUGAAGCGACGCCUCGAAAGGAAAACUAAAUAAAUAAAAAUAUGCCGCAGUCGGGCGUCUAAGAGACACCACAUAAAGGGCUUGUACUGAAAGUAAAAGACAUGAGUGCCGCAGUCGGACGUCGGGGCGACAUCACAGAAAGGGCUUAUAUCAAAAGUAAAUAAUAACAAUACCGCAGUCGGAUGUCUGAGCGAUGUCACAAAGAGGGCUUAUAUCAAAAGUAAAUAAUAACAAUGCCGCAGUCGGACGUCUGAGCGACGUCACAGAAAGGGCUUAUAUCAAAAGUAAAUAAUAACAAUGCCGCAGUCGGACGUCAGAGCGACGUCACAGAAAGGGCUUAUAUCAAAAGUAAAUAAUAACAAUACCGCAGUCGGACGUCUGAGCGACGUCACAAAAGGGGCUUAUAUCAAAAGUAAAUAAUAACAAUGCCGCAGUCGGACGUCUGAGCGACGUCACAGAAAGGGCUUAAGUUCUUUAUCCACAACGUGCAAGGGUUAAUGCUCACAGGAAAAAUAUUCAAUACGAGGUACUAACGGGUUAGUCCAUCAUAAGAAUCAACAUUAAUCGGACUUAACACUCAUAUGGCUUACCGGGGUCUUUGACAUCAAGACUGACAAUCGACAAAAUAAUAAAGACACCGAACUUGGACAUAGAUAAGGUGAUGCAAUGGAAUUUUUGACUCUGCAGAGUUUGUACAAAAAUGCCCACAGCCAACGGAUUUCCGUAGUACCGAAGGACUAGUUCCGUUUACGGUAUUUCGAAAGAAAACACAACAAUCCAGUACACACCCAUCCCACCUCACGUUAUCAGGGAUCACCCUAGACAACGAUCAAUAUAAACUUUGAGACGGGGAGAUCACGAUCUCCAAUAGCAUGGGAUCAAAUUUAUAUACGCGUGCUCUAAGGGGUGCUCCCCUCUCGGUCCCAACCGGAAACACCCAUGCCCCCUGACCGAAUGAUAGGCUUUAAUCCAGGGCCAUGGAACCCUCAUCCCGGCCUCUCAAUUUGGUGUGUACCAGGAAAGUGGUUUGCAACUUACUAAGCCAUAUCCCUUGCGGAAAACAUGUGGUAGUACAGAAAAAGGAGAUGGACGGGAGUGGAUACUGGAGUCAAAUAAUCUGGCAUAGGACUGGCAUGCUACAACACUGCCAUCUUACCCAUUUCAUGCCAUCACGUGGCCAUGCAACCUCAUUUCCAUUAACUCAUGGAUUUCCGAAACUCACUUGUCUCGACUUUUCACGUGACAAAGUUUUUAUCGAGAUGCUCAUGAACAUGCCAUGAAACUACUAAAUGCAAACAUGCCAAGACACUCAUCAUAUCAAGAGUUCAUGCUUGCCUGGUUCGGAGUAGUCGGGGUCUAGCUCGGUGAAGUUCGCGGUUCCGUCACCUCCUUCGGUAUCUUGGAGUACAGUAAAGUAAUCCAAAACACACGCGCUAACGUAAAUCCGUGGAGUACAGUAAAGUAAUCCAAAUAUUUUUCAAAUAAAUAUGAUAAAAAACUAGACAAAAUUUUGAAGAGGACAGAAAAAGAAUCACUCAAAAAUCUCUUUCUGUUAAAAAGUUAUAAGAGUUUUGGUUCAAGGACCCAUCUGUAAUGAAACAGAAAGCUCUCAGGAGCCUAAGCAGAAAAGUACAGAAAAACGGUUCAGAGUAGAAAGCGUAUUUGCCAAAGUACGCUUUCAGAAAACGGUUCAAAGAAGAGAACAGAGAGGCUGACGGGCGGGUCCCACCCGUCAGGUUUGAAUUUUUAAAAGAGGGAGACGGGGCUCGUCGGCGCCCGAGAGCCGCGGUGGUCGCCGACGGCGAUCGACGGCGAGGCAGGAAGAUCGGAAGGUACCUCCGUGCUCAGUGGGUUAUUCUGUGUCGGUUGGUGGUGGUGGUGGUCGCCGGUGAGCACCUCGUCGACGGCGGCUCUUGCUCCGGCGGACGGCGGCUCGGGUGGUCGUGGGUCUCGUCGGAGAGCGCUGCGGAGGUAAAAUUGAGGAGGGGGUUAGACUCCUGGUAGCUUGAGGUGGUAGCUGACGGGAUUAGGGCGCCGGGGACGGCCUCACUGGAGUGAACCGAGGUGGAGGCCGAGGCCGAACGGGGCGGCCGGAGUCGAGGAAGAAGAGCCCCUCGAGGCCCUUCCAGUGGCUUGGCGAGGUCUAGUGAGGUGGUGGAGGUGUGCGGGGGCGAGAGCGCGCUCGGGGGUGCUAUAUAUAGCCGGCCCGAGGCGGUUGCCGUGAACGGAUAAGUCCGGCGAGUGUUACGGCGGCGCAGGGCUUGGUCGGGGAGGUUUAGGGAGUUGAGCGUCAUCGUGGAGGUCAACUGAUUUCGUUUAGGUGCUGAAUGAGCCGGGAUUUGGUUGCUUUGGGUAUGCUCGACGGAACGGAGCGGCAUGGACCCGUCGGCGGCAGGGAGCACGUUCUGUGCUUGCCGGACCACGGCGACGGUGCCGCGGGCGUGCGCUGGCAUGCAUGAGUCACACGAAGCGCUAGGGAGAGCUGGGCGGCGCAGAACGGCGUUGAGCUGGGGUGGUGCCUUCUGUCGAUCGCAACGGGAGAUCCCGACGCCGCGGAAGACGCCGGCGAGGUUGGGCCAAGGCGCCACCGACGCCAGGAACGAGCCAAGCGCUCGUGUGGUGCUCCAGACAGGGAGGAGGGGCUGCGAGCAACGUGCCAAGUGCACUGUCGACGCGUGACUGAACUCUGACGAAGGGAAACGACACUGAACUCUGAAACUCUGAACUUUUCUGAAAAUGCAAAGAAACAGUGUCGGCCAGGUGUUCGACACAAUGAUUUUGGCAUGUGGGAGUUUAUCCUUGAGCUGAUUUUUGGUGGAGUGGCCUCUCAUUGCAUCUGGAGGCUGCCUGAAUUUUUGUGGAAUUUUUGAAGCAGUUAGGAUAUGAAUUUCACCAAAUUUGACAAAUCUGGUCCAAACUUGCAGAGACUGUAAUUUGAAAUUUUUGAAAAGGAGAGGAGUGAAUCAUGAUGGUUCUUGGUUGUGGGUACCAAGGACUAUCCAGGGGAGUUGGUUUGAGGUCAAAACUCAAAUGCAUUUAGGUACUUGCUUUGCAAAUCACCUAGGCUCAAAAUAAUGGACAGAAAAUAUUUGGGAGGAGAAAUAAAUGAAAUAAAAUUCAGAAAUGGAUUGAACUUGAUGAGACAGAAUGUUUGGAUUUCCCCAAAGUGGGAAGAAGGUUUUUGGGAGGUUUUACCAUGUGGGGCAUGGUAAAAUCAUGAGAGGUUCCAAUAUAGGAGAGGACACAAGACUCCUAGGGUUUUUCUUUUGAAAGAAAAAUAAAACUCAAAAAUUUUGAAUUUGAGAAGAGGACAAACAGAAGAAAAGUUUUUAACAACCAAACACCAGAGUUGAAGAAGAAGCCAAAAUAAAAACCUUGCCAAAGGGGAAAGUCUUUGAGAGAAAUAUUUUUGGAAGAGUUUAAAAGACCUUCCUCAAAUCCAAGAAAGUUUUUGAAGGAAAUCAAAAGAAAUUUUUUUGGAGUGUCACAUAGCUUAUCGAUACAGCGCAGAAAGAAGACUCAAGACUGCUCGCUGUGGCUGGAAACUGAAAGGAGGCACGUGCGGUUUGAGAUAGACCGACCGACUGUACACACAUUCCUUUCGUGGAUUCGAAUCGAAUCGAUAAACCUAAAUACUUCAUGGUGCACGCACACGAUUUUGCUGAACCGAGCGGCCGUGCUUGGACCGCUCAUUGCGAGCGCAUCAUUUGGCCCACGACCGCCAGGUGUUUCCUGGUCGGGCCGAGACGUGGUUGGCUUGUGCGCUAUCCGACAAAGCCGGUGUGACACCCUUACUUUCUCUCCUGAAAAAACAAAGGCUUAUCCUUAUCAUCUUUUCAUCGUCUUUAACGUAGCCGGCCAGGAAGCAGUGUGCCCCAGCCGGAGGCCAAGCCGAGGCGGCCAACCGGAGAAUCCUGGAGAGCAGGUCAGCCAAGGAGCCGGAACAGCAGUGCCGCAACCUCCUCCCGGCGAGGCAUGAAACCAGAAAAAAUUCUCCCAAACCGGUCGGACCGCAGCGGCGCGGUCGUGUUUGCCUUGGACGCACCCCCAUGGUGUUGCUGCCGCUGCUGGUGGAGCUGUGCAAGUCCAUUGAUGUGCACACGCUGCUGCUCAUGGAGUCAUGGUACCCGGCAUCAUUGGAGCUCAGCUCUUGUACCUACUGCCCGCCGAAUCGCCAGGCAACGUCGUCCUAUUCAGAGCUUACGGACAUGGUGCUCACCUGAAUGCUAAUAAAAAAUUCUAGUUCCUGCAUGGCUGCACAACCUUUAGUCUUCGUUGAUUAUCACGAGUGCUUUUUGCCUAAGUAGAUUAUUCAAUAGUUGUAGUUGCACAUAUAAUAGUCUGUAGUUGUAUAUAUGAUUUAGAAAGUUGCACAACGCGAUGAUACUAAGUUGGUUAGAUGAUGUUUUUGCUUAAAUUGAUCUAUUCUUGUCAGUCAUAUUUUUAGUUGGCAUCCAUGACACGAUAAUAUAAUAUAGCAAUGUGUUUGCUGUCAUUUCUCGUGGAACGCGAGGGUGACGACCUUGACACUAUAUCGCUAUCGACGGGCCGGGGUAGCGUAUCGAUAGAGCGCAUAAAGAAGACUCAAGACUGCUCGCUGCGGCUGAAACGGAAAGGAGGCACACGCGUCUUCGAGACAGACUGACCGACUGUACACACGUUCCAUUCAUGGAUUCGAAUCAAAUCGAUAAAUCUAAAUACUUCAUGGUGCACGUGCAUGAUUUUGCUAAACCGAGCGGCCGCGCUUGGACCGCUCAUUGCGAGCGCAUCGUGGGGCCCACGACGGCCAGGUGUUUCCUGGUCGGGGCAAGACGUGGUUGGCUCGAGCGCUAUCCGACAAACCCGGUGUGACACCCUUACUUUCUCUCCUGAAAAAACAAAGGCUUAUCCGUAUCAUCUUUUCAUCGUCUCCGUCGAAUCCGGCAAGGAAGCAGUGUGCCCCAGUCGAAGGCCAUGCCGAGGCGGCCAACCAGAGAAACAUGGAGAGCAGGUUAGCCAAGGAGCCAGACCAGCAGUGCUGCCACCUCCUCCGCCCUCUUUUUAUGAGCUGGAGCCGGAGCCACCAUGGAACUCACGCGAGAGGGCCACCCUACGCCCCGCUACUCCUUCCUCCCAUGGUGUUGCUGCCGCUGCUGGUGGAGCUGUGCAAGUCCAUUGGUGUGCACGCGCUGCUGCUCAUGGUGUCAUGGUGCCCGGCAUCAUUGGCGCUUAGCUCUUGUACCUACUGCCCGCCGAAUCGCCAUGCAAUGUCGUCCUGUUCAGAGCUUACGGACAUGGUGCUCACCUGAAUGCUAAUAAAAAAAUUUAGUUCCUGCACGGCUGCACAACCUUCAGGCUUGGUUGAUUAUCACGAGUGCUUUUUUGCCUGAGUAGAUUAUCCAAUAGUUGUAGUUGCACAUAUAAUAGUCUGUAGUUGUAUAUAUGAUUUAGAAAGUUGCACAACACGAUGAUACUAAGUUGGCUAGAUGAUGUUUUGGCAUAAAUUGAUCUAUUUUUGUCGGUCAUAUUUUUACUUGGCAUCCAUGACAUUAUAAUAUAAUAUAGCAAUGUGUUUGUUGUCAUUUCUCGUGGAAUGUGAGGGUAACGACCAUUAGACUAUAUCGCUAUCGACGGGCCGGGGUAGCUUAUCGAUAGAGCGCAUAAAGAAGACUCAAGACUGCUCGAUGUUGCUGGAAACAGAAAGGAGGCACGUGCGGCUUCGAGAUAGACCGACUGACUGUACACGCAUUCCAUUCGUGGAUUCGAAUCGAAUCGAUAAACCUAAAUACUUCAUGAUGCACGCGCAUGAUUUUGCUGAACCGAUCGGCCGCGCUUUGACCACUCAUUGCGAGCGCAUCGUGCGGCCCACGGCCACCAGGUGUUUCCUGGUCGGGGCGAGACGUGGUUGGCUCAUGCGCUAUCCGACAAAGCCGAUGUGAACAGAUCGCUCCCUUACUUCCUCUCCUAAAAAACAAAGGCUUAUCCUUAUCAUCUUUUCAUCGCCUCCAUCGAAUCCGUGCGAGGAAGCAGUGUGUCUCUGCCGGAGGCCAAGCCGAGGCGGCCAACCGGAGAAACCUGGAGAACAGGUCAGCCAAGGAGCCGGACCAGCAGUGCCGCCACCUCCUCCACCCUCCUUCUCUGAGCUUGAGCCGGAGCUGCCAUGGAACUCACGCCUGAGGGCCACCCUACGCCCCGCUACUCGUCCCGGCGAGGCAUGAAGCCAGACAAAAUUCUCCCAAACCGGUCGGACCGCAGCGGCGCGGUCAUGUUUGCCUUGGACGCACCCCAUGGUGUUGAUGUUGCUGCUGGUGGAGCUGUGCAAGUUCAUUGGUGUGCACACGCUGCUGCUCAUGGAGUCAUGGUACCCGGCAACAUUGGUGCUUAACUCUUGUACCUACUGCACGCCGAAUCGCCAGGCAUCGUCGUAUUGUUCAGAGAUGACGGACAUGGUGCUGACCAGAAUGCUAAUAAAUUUUUUAGUUCCUGCACAGCUGUAAAACCUUCAAUCUUGGUUGAUUAUCAUGAGUGCUUAUUUGCCUGAGUAGAUUAUCCAAUAGUUUUAGCUGCACAUAUAAUAGUCUGUAGUUGUAUAUAUGAUGAUUUAGAAAGUUGCACAACACGAUGAUACUAAGUUGGCUAGAUGAUGUUUUUGCUUAAAUUGAUCUAUUCUUGUCAAUCAUAUUUUUAGUUGGCAUCCAUGACAUGAUAAUAUAAUAUAGCAAUGUGUUUGCUAUCAUUUCUCGUGGAAUGCGAGGGUGACGACCUUGACACUAUAUCGCUAUCGACGGGCCGAGGUAGCGUAUCGAUAGAGCGCAUAAAGAAGACUCAAGACUGCUCGCUGCGGCAGGAAACGGAAAGGAGGCACAUGCGGCUUCGAGAUAGACCGACCGACUGUACACGCGUUCCAUUUGUGGAUUUAAAUCAAAUCGAUAAACCUAAAUACUUCAUGGUGCACGCGCACGAUUUUGCUAAACCGAGCGGCCGCGCUUGGACCGCUCAUUGCGAGCUCAUCGUGGGGCCCACGACGGCCAGGUAUUUCCUGGUCGGGGCGAGACGUGGUUGGGUCGAGCGCUAUCCGACAAACCCGGUGUGACACCCUUACUUUCUCUCCUGAAAAAACAGAGGCUUAUCCGUAUCAUCUUUUUAUCAUCUCCGUCGAAUCCGGCGAGGAAGCAGUGUGCCCCAGCCGGAGGCCAUGCCGACGCAGCCAACUAGAGAAACCUGGAGAGCAGGUUAGCCAAGGAGCCAGACCAGCAGUGCUGCCACCUCCUCCGCCCUCUUUUUAUGAGCUGGAGCCGGAGCCGCCAUGGAACUCACGCGAGAGGGCCACCCUACGCCCCGCUACUCCUUCCUCCCAUGGUGUUGCUGCCGCUGCUGGUGGAGCUGUGCAAGUCCAUUGGUGUGCACGCGCUGCUUCUCAUGGUGUCAUGGUGCCCGGCAUCAUUGGCGCUCAGCUCUUGUACCUACUGCCCGCCGAAUCGUCAUGCAAUGUCGUCCUGUUCAGAGCUUACGGACAUGGUGCUCACCUGAAUACUAAUAAAAAAAUUAGUAAUAAAAAAAUUAGUUCCUGCACGGCUGCACAACCUUCAGGCUUGGUUGAUUAUCACGAGUGCUUUUUUGCCUGAGUAGAUUAUCCAAUAGUUGUAGUUGCACAUAUAAUAGUCUGUAGUUGUAAAUAUGAUUUAGAAAGUUGCACAACACGAUGAUACUAAGUUGGCUAGAUGAUGUUUUUGCAUAAAUUGAUCUAUUUUUGUUGGUCAUAUUUUUAGUUGGCAUCCAUGACAUUAUAAUAUAAUAUAGCAAUGUGUUUGUUGUCAUUUCUCGUGGAAUGUGAGGGUAACGACCAUUAGACUAUAUCACUAUCGACCGGCCGGGGUAGCGUAUCGAUACAGCACAUAAAGAAGACUCAAGACUGCUCGCUGUUGCUGGAAACUGAAAGGAGGCACGUGCGGCUUCGAGAUAGACCGACCGACUGUACACGCAUUCCAUUCGUGGAUUCGAAUCGAAUCGAUAAACCUAAAUACUUCAUGGUGCACGCGCAUGAUUUUGCUGAAGCGAUCGACCGCGCUUGGACCACUCAUUGCGAGCGCAUCGUGCGGCCCACGACCACCAGGUGUUUCCUGGUCGGGGCGAGACGUGGUUGGCUCAUGCGCUAUCCGACAAAGCCGAUGUGAACAGAUCGCUCCCUUACUUCCUCUCCUAAAAAACAAAGGCUUAUCCUUACCAUCUUUUCAUCACCUCCAUCAAAUCCGUGCGAGGAAGCAGUGUGUCUCUGCCGGAGGCCAAGCCGAGGCGGCCAACCGGAGAAACCUGGAGAACAGGUCAGCCAAGGAGCCGGACCAGCAGUGCCGCCACCUCCUCCACCCUCCUUCUCUGAGCUUGAACCGGAGCUGCCAUGGAACUCACGCCUGAGGGCCACCCUACGCCCCGCUACUCGUCCCGGCGAGGCAUGAAGCCAGACAAAAUUCUCCCAAACCGGUCGGACCGCAGCGGCGCGGUCAUGUUUGCCUUGGACGCACCCCAUGGUGUUGAUGUUGCUGCUGGUGGAGCUGUGCAAGUUCAUUGGUGUGCACACGCUGCUGCUCAUGGAGUCAUGGUACCCGGCAACAUUGGUGCUUAACUCUUGUACCUACUGCACGCCGAAUCGCCAGGCAUCGUCGUCUUGUUCAGAGAUGACGGACAUGGUGCUGACCAGAAUGCUAAUAAAUUUUUUAGUUCCUGCACAGCUGCAAAACCUUCAAUCUUGGUUGAUUAUCAUGAGUGCUUAUUUGCCUGAGUAGAUUAUCCAAUAGUUUUAGCUGCACAUAUAAUAGUCUGUAGUUGUAUAUAUGAUGAUUUAGAAAGUUGCACAACACGAUGAUACUAAGUUGGCUAGAUGAUGUUUUUGCUUAAAUUGAUCUAUUCUUGUCAAUCAUAUUUUUAGUUGGCAUCCAUGACAUGAUAAUAUAAUAUAGCAAUGUGUUUGCUAUCAUUUCUCGUGGAAUGCGAGGGUGACGACCUUGACACUAUAUCGCUAUCGACGGGCCGAGGUAGCGUAUCGAUAGAGCGCAUAAAGAAGACUCAAGACUGCUCGCUGCGGCAGGAAACGGAAAGGAGGCACAUGCGGCUUCGAGAUAGACCGACCGACUGUACACGCGUUCCAUUUGUGGAUUUAAAUCGAAUCGAUAAACCUAAAUACUUCAUGGUGCACGCGCACGAUUUUGCUGAACCGAGCGGCCGCGAGUGGAUCGCUCAUUGCGAGCGCAUCGUGCGGCCCACGACCGCCAGGUGUUUCCUGGUCGGGGCGAGACGUGGUUGGCUCUUGCGCUAUCCGAACGGUGUGAACCAAUCGCUUCCUUAAUUUCUCACCUGAAAAAACAAAGGCUUGUCCUUAUCAUCUUUUCAUCGUCUCCAUCGAAUCCGGCGAGGAAGCUUGUUAGGAAUAAGCCACGCAUGAGUAUGUGCUCCUGUGUGUGAUCUAUGUGCAUGGGUGUGACCGUGUGCAUGCAAGAUUCUGUUAGUGCAUGCCCUGAUUAGUUAGCUAGUUUGUUGGCAUGGCCGGGUCGCCGGACGAGCGUGUAUUUUUUUUAAGAAGAAAAGGGCAGCCCCGCCUCUGUUCCAUUUCCAUAGAAAAUGAAACACACCGAGUACAACAUAUUACAGACCGCGGGAGGAGAUUGAGUAUCUCUCCGGCAACAUUUUUGCAGAGCGAAACAGCAACACCGAACCUAGGCAAUAAAGCAAGAGUUUGGAUAAAACAUGCUAAAACAUAAACCAGCUACUGAACAUUUUAAGAUGAGACAGGAGGCCACAUCAGCUCUCCAUGGAACAGGCUCUCCUCCAUGCCCACCAAGCCACCCAUCUUUUGCAGAGAGUACAGCCGCGAGAGCUCGUUCUUCUUCAGCCUGGCUCUGGCCAAAGCAGCAGCGGUGGUUUUCUUGCCUCCUCCCAUAUAGCCGCAGUGAACAUCUCCACGCGCUCUUUUACAUUUCCUUUGCAUAGGAUCUUCCAGGAGUUGCAGUAUCCUGCAAUUCUCCCCAGCACCACCUGCACACCCAUCCAACGUGUGUUGUUAAAACACAUGUCAUUUCUGCAUCUCCAGAUAGCCCAGAGGACAGCUGAAAUGACAAUAUUCUCAGCUUUUAGCUUAUUAUAUUGUCCCCACAUUUCUGCUACCCUAUUUAGCAUAGGUAAGGGGAGGCAAUUUAUAAUGGAGUGAAUAAUUCUCCAGAUUUCCAGAGCAACAACACACUCAAAGAACAAAUGAUUGAUAUUUUCACCUUCAGAAUAGAACAGACAAGACAAGUCAUCUAAAUGCUGUCUCUUACUGAGGUUAUCCCUCACUAACAUCUUAUUGUGAGCCAACAGCCACAGAAAAAUAUGGAUGUUAGGAGGGACAUGAAUUUUCCACAUAUCAGGAAUAUGGACUUGGCUAAUCCCCCUAAAAUUGACCAUGGCAUACAUAGAACUAACUGAAUAUACACCAUUGGACUCUAAUUUCCAGAUUAGAGCAUCAUCUUCAUCGCUAAACACAGUAGUUUGCAAAAUGCUUAAUAAGUCAUACCAAAGGAGAAGCAACCUGUUGUCCACACAUCUCCUAAAUGUAAUUUUCAGGUUAACUCCAUCCCAAAGGUCAGCCACCGUCUGAUUAUGCUCAUUAGCUAUCACAUAUAAAUCCCAAAACUGGAUGGCCAAGCUACAAGACCCAAACCAGUGAUCUUCCCAGAAUUUAACUCUCUUCCCAUUGCCCACUUUCCGUUGAUACCCAUGCUUAGCUGGUUUAGUAGCCCACAAGACCCGUUUCCAAAAGGGGGAUGUGUUAAUAUCAGGGCAAGAGAAAAUGUUAGGAUUAUUUGCUCUAUAUUUGGAAUCAAUAAUCAGCUUCCAAAUCUUAUUACCACUAGCAUGAAACUUAUAAACCCAGGAUGCUAGUAAGCUCAGCACUAGUAGAAAAAGGGCCUAUUGUCCCGGUUGGUGAGGGCCUUUAGUCCCGGUUCAUGAACCAGGACUAAAGGGUCGGUACUAAUGCCCUGACCCCUUUAGUCCCGGUUCAAUCCAGAACCGGGACAGAAGGGCCUCAACGUGGCCUGUCCCCUGAGCCCAGGCAGGAGGGCCUUUGGUCCCGGUUGGUGGCACCAACCGGGACCAAUAGGCAUCCACGCGUCAGCGUUUAUGUGGCUGUGGUUUUUUUNNNNNNNNNNNNNNNNNNNNNNNNNNNNNNNNNNNNNNNNNNNNNNNNNNNNNNNNNNNNNNNNNNNNNNNNNNNNNNNNNNNNNNNNNNNNNNNNNNNNNNNNNNNNNNNNNNNNNNNNNNNNNNNNNNNNNNNNNNNNNNNNNNNNNNNNNNNNNNNNNNNNNNNNNNNNNNNNNNNNNNNNNNNNNNNNNNNNNNNNNNNNNNNNNNNNNNNNNNNNNNNNNNNNNNNNNNNNNNNNNNNNNNNNNNNNNNNNNGUUUCAUAUAUUGUGCUAUAGCUAGCUAAUUAAUAGAGAGAAGUGUCCUCUCUUUUGUCCGUGCUUGGUCGACGCUACGUACCAUACAUACAUACGUAUAGAGAGGACUAGCUAGACACGCUAGCUAGCUAGUAAGCAAACAGAAGAUCGUCAUGAACAUAUAUGCAUACAGAGAGAAGUGAUAUCGACCACCUCUCCUUCUCCGAGAGAUUGGUCGAACAAACAAGUUCUCGUAUAUCUAUCCGACACUACCGGCUACAUAUAUACAAUAAUUAUCUUUUACAAAUAUAUAAUCUCCUAAAAUACGGACGCGUGGUCCACAUAGUAUUCUCCGUCUUCAGCGAUCACGUGGUCAAGAAAGAAUGCCGCCAAUUCCUCUUGAAUUGCUCACAUGCGAUCUGGUGCUAGGAGUUCAUCCCGCAUCCGAAACAUCUAAUUUUAAGAAGGGGGUCAAUACAUAUAUAUAUAUAUAUAUAUGAAUGAAUGAAACUCAACACAAAUGAUGGUAAUAAAAUAAAAUUGUGAAUAUUGUUAUUUACGCACUUCAUAUUGUUUGUCGGAGUAGCCCCGCUCACAGGUCGUGUGGCGGAUGGACUCGCAAAUGUAGUAUCCACAGAAAUCAUUCCCUUGUUCCUGCCACAACCACUUUACAAGAAAUAGAGGUCAAUCAAACUGAUAAUUAGCAAGCAUGCUAAAUGGUAUUGAUGAAACUAGCGCUUGAAUCACUAGGAGAUGCCUGGAAUAUGCUACUAUAUAGUACUUACUUUCGGGUGCCAAAAUUGCAGCUUCUUCGGUAGUCCCGGAGCUUUUUUGGUGAAUUUUCUCCAAGCCCUGCCAUACAAAGAAAACAAUUACUUGAUAUCAGAAAUGAACAAAGUUGCUGAUAUGGUGGAUAAUGAUCGAUUUAACUUACUUCUCGAGCAUUUCAGUCAUGUCCGCAUACUCCUUGGGCUCUUUUCGCUUGGAGUCUAAGACAGUUACUACUCCCUUCUCAAGCUUAAUCUCUAGGAGAAUAUAGUGGUAGCUGCGCACACAUGCAUAACUCAUCAAUAUUACAUUACUAUAACCUGGACUAAUAAGGAAACCGAAUAUGCCACAAGACAGUAACACUCACUUGAAGUUGUAAGGAAAGAGUAUUAUAUCUUUGUGUUCAUUUAUUUCCAACGAUCGUAGCAAGUUGGCCUCGGUUUCUUGGGCACGAUAUUGAACCUCAGUUGCAUCUAUGAGAUACGUGUUAAUGAACCCAAUAUCUCCCACUUGUCUUUUCUUCAAUUUGGCGAUCUUCAAUCUGCAUAAUAUAGUGAGGAUAAUUAUAAAUACAUGCAAAUGAAAGGGCUGAGUUAUAUAGAGAGACUUAAUGACAGAAGUAGUACUACUUACAGACAGUAGGAGGUGACCGUUGCUUUAUCGAUGGCCAAUUGAUUGAAAAACUGAUAGAACUCCUCAAAUGGAAUAGGCAACAGUUCAAUUCCAAGGAGGUCAUGCUCCUUUUUAACUCUCAUAUACAAAGUAUUCCUCCCCUCAGACUCUUUGCAGGUUUUCAUGUACCAAUCAUGCAAUCUUCGCAUCAUCGUUGAUAGAGAACUUUCAUCUUUGACGAGAGGCUUCCCGUACUCGUAUCUUUGUAUCUGCACCUCCAAGAUAUCAUAAUGUACAUCGUCGGGCAGGUAAUUUGCAGGAUUGCCAUAACCGGGCACCAUCCUCGGAUCGACGAUGUCGCUAGCAGGCACCUUGAGCGGGGGGCACGAUUGCUUCGCUUGUUCGCCGAGCUGGGCAAUUUGUUUCCCAUCUCGUCGUUCUUUCAUCCUUUGAUCACUUUUAGUACUUCCCGACCUCUCCGCUUCGGCAAAUGCCUUUCCAAUAAUGCGCUCAUAGUUGCCUUUCGGCGGAGACUUGGGUGGUUUUGUCAGGGCAGCCAGAGUGCGCUUCCCUUUCACCGGAUCUACCUUCUCCUCCGGAGGUGGAUGUCUCUUUGCUUUCAACCCUUGAAACCAGUCAUCCACUUCGGUCUGCGCGAUCUUCGCGUUUUCCUCCACGCUCCUCUCGUACGGUAACUUCUCUGGAGUCUUCAGAGAAGGACCGAAUCUGUAUCUCCUCCCGCCUUUGGCUGUACUGCUAGACGCCGGCAGAGUAGACGGAGCGGAUGUCUUCUUUCCUUGCUUACGAGGUGGAGGAGAAAGACUGCGACGCGCCGUAGAAGCCGGAGCGGCGGCGGGUCUCUUCCGCCCUUGCUGACGAGGUGGAGAAGGAGGAGGCUGGCUGCUCGGGCGCGCCGGCGCAUGCGGAGAAGGAGGCGGAGUGCGGCCACGCGCCGGAGAAGGAGCAGGCCGAGUGCCCUGAUCGUCACUCGCCGGUGGAGGAGGCGGAGUGCCCUGACUCGCCGGAGGAGGAGGAGGAGGCGGAGGCAUCCAGUUCGGAAGGUUGAUGAGAUCCUUCCGCCAUAGGCAUGGAGUCUUCAGAGCAGAACCCAGCCGAUACUCCCCUUCACCGGUAGGGUGGUCAAGCCGGAGGUCCUCAAAUCCCUCCGUUAUUUCAUCGACCAUCACCUUAGCAUAUCCUUCUGGAAUCGGCCGGCAGUGAAAAGUUGAGUCGGGUUUAGUAGGAUAAACAGAGCCAACAGCCGCCUUGACCUUCAAAUUGCUCCAUUGCGCCAUAAGGUGGCAAUUUUCAGCAUCCGUGAUAGCAUCCACGGGAUAGCUGGCAGGAGCCGUCAAGGCAUGCUCUGGCUGAAGCAGCUCGGUGGAAGCCACGCUGCUUUUCCGCUAAGAUGGCGGGGUAGCUUCGGGGGAAGCUUCGGCAGGUCGUUUGCUGCGAUCUGCUUCUCGUUCCUCUAGCCCCAUUACCCUUUCGUGCAGCGACUGCAGUUGGCUCUGCUCCAGUUUCUUCCUCCUCUCGUGGGUUUUGUAACCCCCUGCGUCUGGAAAUCCAGCCUUCCAUGAAACGGAGCCUGGCGUGCCUCGUGUCCGUCUAGGGUGCUCAGGAUUGCCGAGGGCCAUUGUGAGCUCGUCCAUCUCCCUGUCUGGAACGAACGUCCCUUGCUGCGCUGCUUCGAUAUAUUGCUGAAGCUUCUUGACUGGUAUGUCCAAUUGUUCCUCCGUCCAAAUGCACUUCCCUGUUAUAGGGUCCAAGGAUCCGCCGGCCCCAAAGAACCAAGUCCGGCAACGUUCUGGCCAGUUCAUUGUCUCUGGUUCGAUCCCUUUAUCAAGCAGAUCAUUCUCAGCCUUGGCCCACUUAGGCUGGGCUACGAGGUAGCCACCUGACCCCGUGCGAUGGUGAGGCUUCUUCUUCUCAGCAUUUCUCUUGUUUGUCGCCGAUAUUUUUUUACUCUUUUCCGAUGUCUUGUGGGCCACAAAUGCGGGCCAGUCAUCUCUGAUCUUCUCAUAUUUGCCAAUGAAUUCUGGUGUCUCAUUUUUUUCGACAUACCUAUUGAGGUCUUUCUUCCAAUUCCUGAAUAGGUCUGCCAUCUUCCUCAGAGCAAAAGACUUGAUUAAUGGCUCUAUAACUGGCUUCUCCGGAUCAUCCUCCGGCGGUAGGGUGAAAUUUGACUUCAGCUCAGUCCAAAGAUUCUCUUUCUGCAUCUCAUUGACAUAAGACACCUCAGGGUCUUCGUUCUUAGGCUUAUACCAUUGCUGGAUGCUGAUCGGGAUCUUGUCCUUAACCAGAACCCCACACUGAGCAACAAAUGCCUUCUUUGUCCGGUAGGGUUCAAUCGGUUGGCCGGCGCGCGCGAUUUGUAUGAUCUCAAACUUUUCAUCCGAGCUCAACUUUUUCUUCGGGCCUCGCCUCUUUACCGAAGUUGUGCUCGAUCCGGAGGGCUAGAAAAAAGAACAAAGAUGAGAGUUAAUUAAUAUGUGUACAUACCAAAACAAUUAAUGCAUCAAUUAGCUAGUCAGCACAGGCUUAACUAAUAUAUAUACCUGGCCGGACUCGGUUUGGUGAUCACCGGAGCCGUCCUCACGGUCUACUUCUUCACCCUCUCCUUCUUGCACCGGCAUUGGGUCAUCGGAGCCAUAUAAAUCAAUGAGGAGAGGGCCAGCUGCUUCUUCACCCUCUCCUUCCAGACCAUCGUUGUCGUUGAGAAACAUCGAGGAGAGGGCAUCACUUCCUUCUGCGAUUAUGUCCCUCAACAAUGCUUCUUGUGCUUCGUCUCGGGGGGGGUCCAUAGUUUCUACAAAUAUUUACAACAUGGCAAUUAUUAUUCAAACAUGACAGAUAUGGAUAUAUUAGUGGCAAACGUAGAACUAGCUAGCUAAUCACAAUAAGGAAUCAUAUUAGUGGCCUCGACGCUGCUUCUCUAGGGUUUGGGGUGGCCUCGACAACGCUUCAAGGGUUAGGGGUGGCCUCGAGAACGCUUCAAGCUAGGAGGGGGUAAUAUCGACCCCCCCNNNNNNNNNNNNNNNNNNNNNNNNNNNNNNNNNNNNNNNNNNNNNNNNNNNNNNNNNNNNNNNNNNNNNNNNNNNNNNNNNNNNNNNNNNNNNNNNNNNNNNNNNNNNNNNNNNNNNNNNNNNNNNNNNNNNNNNNNNNNNNNNNNNNNNNNNNNNNNNNNNNNNNNNNNNNNNNNNNNNNNNNNNNNNNNNNNNNNNNNNNNNNNNNNNNNNNNNNNNNNNNNNNNNNNNNNNNNNNNNNNNNNNNNNNNNNNNNNNNNNNNNNNNNNNNNNNNNNNNNNNNNNNNNNNNNNNNNNNNNNNNNNNNNNNNNNNNNNNNNNNNNNNNNNNNNNNNNNNNNNNNNNNNNNNNNNNNNNNNNNNNNNNNNNNNNNNNNNNNNNNNNNNNNNNNNNNNNNNNNNNNNNNNNNNNNNNNNNNNNNNNNNNNNNNNNNNNNNNNNNNNNNNNNNNNNNNNNNNNNNNNNNNNNNNNNNNNNNNNNNNNNNNNNNNNNNNNNNNNNNNNNNNNNNNNNNNNNNNNNNNNNNNNNNNNNNNNNNNNNNNNNNNNNNNNNNNNNNNNNNNNNNNNNNNNNNNNNNNNNNNNNNNNNNNNNNNNNNNNNNNNNNNNNNNNNNNNNNNNNNNNNNNNNNNNNNNNNNNNNNNNNNNNNNNNNNNNNNNNNNNNNNNNNNNNNNNNNNNNNNNNNNNNNNNNNNNNNNNNNNNNNNNNNNNNNNNNNNNNNNNNNNNNNNNNNNNNNNNNNNNNNNNNNNNNNNNNNNNNNNNNNNNNNNNNNNNNNNNNNNNNNNNNNNNNNNNNNNNNNNNNNNNNNNNNNNNNNNNNNNNNNNNNNNNNNNNNNNNNNNNNNNNNNNNNNNNNNNNNNNNNNNNNNNNNNNNNNNNNNNNNNNNNNNNNNNNNNNNNNNNNNNNNNNNNNNNNNNNNNNNNNNNNNNNNNNNNNNNNNNNNNNNNNNNNNNNNNNNNNNNNNNNNNNNNNNNNNNNNNNNNNNNNNNNNNNNNNNNNNNNNNNNNNNNNNNNNNNNNNNNNNNNNNNNNNNNNNNNNNNNNNNNNNNNNNNNNNNNNNNNNNNNNNNNNNNNNNNNNNNNNNNNNNNNNNNNNNNNNNNNNNNNNNNNNNNNNNNNNNNNNNNNNNNNNNNNNNNNNNNNNNNNNNNNNNNNNNNNNNNNNNNNNNNNNNNNNNNNNNNNNNNNNNNNNNNNNNNNNNNNNNNNNNNNNNNNNNNNNNNNNNNNNNNNNNNNNNNNNNNNNNNNNNNNNNNNNNNNNNNNNNNNNNNNNNNNNNNNNNNNNNNNNNNNNNNNNNNNNNNNNNNNNNNNNNNNNNNNNNNNNNNNNNNNNNNNNNNNNNNNNNNNNNNNNNNNNNNNNNNNNNNNNNNNNNNNNNNNNNNNNNNNNNNNNNNNNNNNNNNNNNNNNNNNNNNNNNNNNNNNNNNNNNNNNNNNNNNNNNNNNNNNNNNNNNNNNNNNNNNNNNNNNNNNNNNNNNNNNNNNNNNNNNNNNNNNNNNNNNNNNNNNNNNNNNNNNNNNNNNNNNNNNNNNNNNNNNNNNNNNNNNNNNNNNNNNNNNNNNNNNNNNNNNNNNNNNNNNNNNNNNNNNNNNNNNNNNNNNNNNNNNNNNNNNNNNNNNNNNNNNNNNNNNNNNNNNNNNNNNNNNNNNNNNNNNNNNNNNNNNNNNNNNNNNNNNNNNNNNNNNNNNNNNNNNNNNNNNNNNNNNNNNNNNNNNNNNNNNNNNNNNNNNNNNNNNNNNNNNNNNNNNNNNNNNNNNNNNNNNNNNNNNNNNNNNNNNNNNNNNNNNNNNNNNNNNNNNNNNNNNNNNNNNNNNNNNNNNNNNNNNNNNNNNNNNNNNNNNNNNNNNNNNNNNNNNNNNNNNNNNNNNNNNNNNNNNNNNNNNNNNNNNNNNNNNNNNNNNNNNNNNNNNNNNNNNNNNNNNNNNNNNNNNNNNNNNNNNNNNNNNNNNNNNNNNNNNNNNNNNNNNNNNNNNNNNNNNNNNNNNNNNNNNNNNNNNNNNNNNNNNNNNNNNNNNNNNNNNNNNNNNNNNNNNNNNNNNNNNNNNNNNNNNNNNNNNNNNNNNNNNNNNNNNNNNNNNNNNNNNNNNNNNNNNNNUAAACUUUCUGUUAGUGCCAUUAGUUUUCAAAUCUGAAAACUCUUUUUUUGUUUCCUUUGUUGCUUUAUUUAUUUUAUUUUGUUUCUACUUACAACAAAAUACUUAUUGUUGCUAUUUUUAUUUUUAUUUUCAGUUUUUUGUUCUGUUUUCUGCAUUAUUUAUUUUUUGUUGUUUUUUGCUUUAUUUUUUAAUUCUUUUUGCUUUUAGUUUUAGAAAAAUUAUAAACUUUCUGUUAGUGCCAUUAGUUUUCAAAUUUGGAAACUCUUUUUUUGUUUUCUUUGUUGUUUUAUUUAUAAACCGGUGUGAGCGAGCUUCGGUUGGCGAGGUUUUAAAAUUCAUAGUUUUCAAAUGAACUCUGAAAAAGUUGGCAUAGCAUGUGCAUGUACAAAACGGACAAUGAUAUCAUACUCGUCUGUUACAAAGUUGGCAUGUUAUCAUCAUAAUAGUUGCGGGAGAAAGUCUUCACUUUUUCUUCGCUUGUGUCGUUUGCUUAUUGCGCCGUAACCAUGGAUAAUCUUCAUCGUUUAUCAGGAUGCUUGGGUCAGCCUUGACUUUGAAGGGGGGAAUUUCAUGAAACUUUUCAUACUCUUCAGACAUGUCUGUCUUGCCCUCCACUCCCAGGAUGUCCCUUUUUCCUGAAAGAACUAUGUGGCGCUUUGGCUCAUUGUAUGAUGUAUUCGCUUCCUUAUCUUUUCUUUUCCUCGGUCUGGUAGACAUGUCCUUCACAUAGAUAACCUGUGCCACAUCAUUGGCUAGGAUGAACGGUUCGUCAGUGUACCCAAGAUUUUUCAGAUCCACUGUGGUUAUUCCGUACUAUGGGUCUACCUGUACCCCGCCUCCUGACAGAUUGACCCACUUGCACUUAAACAAAGGGACCUUAAAAUCUACUCCGUAGUCAAGUUCCCAUAUGUCUGCUAUGUAACCAUAAUAUGUGUCAUUUCCAUUGUCGGUUGCUGCAUCAAAGCGGACACCGCUGUUUUGGUUGGUGCUCUUUUCAUCUUGGUCAAUCAUGUAAAAUGUAUUCCCAUUUAUCUCGUAUCCUUUCCAAAUGGGGUACAACCCCUUUUUGUGAUCCUCUAACAUGCGAUCGAACUUCAGCUUCUCCUUUUGACUUUCGCAUUGUGUCCUUGCAUCGACAAUGACCCGGCGGAGAUCAUCAUCAUCGGGCACAUCAUCUGGUUCCUCUUGAUCUUCAGCAGCUUCGCCCGUUGCAGCACCAUCGUGCACAUCCUCUGGUGCAUCUUGAUGUUCAGUAGCUUCACCGUAUUCAGGGGGCACAUAGUUGUCAUCGUACUCUUCUUCCUCGCCAUCUUCCAUCGUAACCCCUAUUUCUCCGUGCCUCGUCCAAACAUUAUAGUGUGGCAUGAAACCCUUGUAAAGCAGGUGGGUGUGAAGGAUUUUCCGGUCAGAGUAAGACUUCAUAUUCCCACAUAUAGGGCAUGGACAACACAUAAAACCAUUCUGCUUGUUUGCCUCAGCCACUUCGAGAAAAUCAUGCACGCCCUUAAUGUACUCGGAGGUGUGCCUGUCACCGUACAUCCAUUGCUGGUUCAUCUGCGUGCAUUAUAUAUAAUUAAGUGUGUCAAAAAUCAUUACAGAACAUCAUGAAUAGAUAAUUAAGUGACCAAAUUAAUAGAAGUUCAUCAUCACAUAAAAACCAAAGUAGAUACAUAGUUCUCAUCUAACAACAUAAAGCUCUGCAGAGCAUCUAAAUUAAUUAAACCAUAUAUUGAAACUAUGUAAAACAUUUCAAUGCGAAAACAAAUGCGAUCAUAAUCGCAACCAAGGUAACAACUGAUCCAACGGCAUAAUGAUACCAAGCCUCGGUAUGAAUGGCAUAUUUUCUAAUCUUUCUCAUCUUCAAGCGCAUUGCAUCCAUCUUGAUCUUGUGAUCAUAGACGACAUCCGCAACAUGCAACUCCAAUAUCAUCUUCUCCUCCUUAAGUUUUUUUAUUUUUUCCUUCAAGAAAUUGUUUUCUUCUUCAACUAAAUUUAACCUCUCGACAAUAGGGUCGGUUGGAAUUUCCGGUUCAACAACCUCCUAGAUAAAUAAAAUCUAUGUCACGUUGGUCAGCAUAAUUUUCAUAAACAAUAAAUGAACCAAUAGUUAUGAAAAGAUAAUAUAUACCACAUCCGAAUCAUAGACAGGACGAGGGCCGACGGGGGCGGAUACCAAAACCAUCGGCGCACUAUAUAAGAUGCAAUAAUAAAAGUAAGAAAAUAAUACAAGUAUCUAUCUAAACAAACAAGUAAUACUAUUUUUCCUUUAGGAAAGAAGAUAAGAACAAGAGGCUCACCACGGUGGUGCCGGCGAUGAGAUCGGCGCGGGUGAUCGACGGCGGUGAAGACGGGGACGGGGCGUGACGGACCGCUAAACCUAGAUAAAUAUUGAGGAAAAUGGAGCUUGGCGGUCGAGCUUGGAGAGGAGAAACCUUAAGUAGUGUGGCUCGGGCAUUCCAUCGAACACCUUGUGUGCAUAGGAAGUGAGCUAGAGCACCACCAAGCCCUCUCCCCCUCGGCCAGAAAAAACAGAGCAGUGUGCUCUGCUCUUGCGCGAGGGGCUAUAUAUAGGCACCACUAUUGGUCCCGGUUGGUGGCAUGAACCGGGACUAAAGGUAACCCUUUUGGUCCCGGUUCAUGCCACCAACCGGGACCAAUAGUGGUGGGCCAGGAGCCAGGACCAUUGGUCCCGGUUCGUCCCACCANNNNNNNNNNNNNNNNNNNNNNNNNNNNNNNNNNNNNNNNNNNNNNNNNNNNNNNNNNNNNNNNNNNNNNNNNNNNNNNNNNNNNNNNNNNNNNNNNNNNNNNNNNNNNNNNNNNNNNNNNNNNNNNNNNNNNNNNNNNNNNNNNNNNNNNNNNNNNNNNNNNNNNNNNNNNNNNNNNNNNNNNNNNNNNNNNNNNNNNNNNNNNNNNNNNNNNNNNNNNNNNNNNNNNNNNNNNNNNNNNNNNNNNNNNNNNNNNNNNNNNNNNNNNNNNNNNNNNNNNNNNNNNNNNNNNNNNNNNNNNNNNNNNNNNNNNNNNNNNNNNNNNNNNNNNNNNNNNNNNNNNNNNNNNNNNNNNNNNGGUGGCAUGAACCGGGACUAAAGGUAACCCUUUUGGUCCCGGUUCAUGCCACCAACCGGGACCAAUAGUGGUGGGCCAGGAGCCAGGACCAUUGGUCCCAGUUCGUCCCACCAACCGGGACCAAAAGGUCCGGACGAACCGGGACCAAUGGACCACGUGGCCCGGCCGGCCCCCUGGGCUCACGAAUCGGGGCAAAUAGCUCCAUUGGUCCCGGUUCUGGAUUGAACCGGGACUAAUGGGCUAAACUGGCCUGGACGAAAGCCCUGUUUUCUACUAGUGCAGGUUCAUCUCAGCAAUAUUAGGGACCCCCAGGCCCCCAUAUUGCUUUUUCUGAGUUACCAGCCCCCAGUUGGCAAGAUGAUAUCUAUGGUGACCUUCAUAAUUAUCCCAAAAACAAUGAGCCAUGUGGGAUUUGAUCAAGUUAAUUGCCCACUUGAGGAAUUUGAUCAUGCUCAUAAGAUAAGUGGGAAUACUAGCUAGACAUGAUUGUACUAGCACCAAUUUCUUCUCAUAUCCUAGCAAUCUACCUCUCCAACCAGCAGCUUUUUUCAGCACCUUAUCAACCACAGGCUGCAGGUCUUCUCUCCUGAGCUUGGUGUAAUGAAGAGGGAAGCCUAGGUAUUUUAAGGGGAAAGCUCCCAAACCACAUGAUAAGGCUAUAGCCACCUUUUGAGCAUCCUCCUCAUGGACAUGGAUAGGAAUCAAAUCACAUUUGUGAAAAUUAAUUCUAAGUCCAGACAUAUGCUCAAAACAAGAAAGAAGCCACUUCAGGUUUUUGGCUGAGACCAAGUUAAUAACAAUAAAAAGUAGGGUGUCAUCUGCAUACUGCAAACUUGUCACCCCUUGAGGGAAGACAUUAGUCAUAAACCCUGAUAUUAGGCUAUUCCUAGCUGCUUUAUUAAGCAUUCUACUAAAAAUAUCAGCCACCAGGUUAAAAAGCAUGGGGGAGGCAGGAUCCCCCUGUCUCACCCCUUUAAAGGUCUCAAAAAAAUCACUAUUACAAUCAUUAAUCCUAACACCCACUGAACCUUUCGACAAAAUGGACUUAACUCUCUCCAUCCAUCUGGGGCUAAAACCCCUUUGAUACAUAGUUUUCAGGAGGAAUUCCUUGCUAACUCUAUCAUAGGCUUUCUCAUAAUCUAACUUAAAACAAAACCUUCUUUAUUGUGAAUUACAGCAGCAUGAAUAAUCUCAUGAGCUGACACCACACUUUCCACAAUAAAUCUGCCUUUAAUAAAAGCAGUUUGGUUUUGUGAAAUAAUCUCAUCUCCAACAUCACCCAGUUGAUUGGCCACACACUUAGCAAAAAUCUUAAAGCUACAAUUGGACAAAGCAAUAGGCCUAAAUUUUUGAAUAGUAUCAGCCCCAGGUUCUUUUGGAAUGAGUGUUAAUAAAGAGAAAUUUAAUCUAAAAAGAUCUAAGGAAUUAUUAUUCCAGGCAUCCACCAUUAACAUAAAAUCAUCCUUAAUGGUAGUCCAGAAGUGCUGAUAGAAGAGGAAGGGAAAUCCAUCAGGGCCAGGUGCCCCUUCAGCAUAAGAACCAAAAACAGCUUUCCUAACAUCCUCUUCAGUAAUAUCAGCAUCUAGAACCUUAUUAUGUUCAUCAGAAACUUUUUCAGAAGGAUCCCAAAAUUCAUCAUCUAGAGAAAUGUCUAGGGUAUCCUCUCUACCAAAAAGCUUCUUGUAAUAAUCUACAGCAAUAUCCAUAAUAUCUUUAUUGGUUUCUACAGGGCCAUUAGGACCAACCAACAUACUAAUCUGCUUCUUCCUCCUCCUAUGAUUUGCAAUAGCCUGAAAAUAGGCAGUAUUCCUACCCCCCUCUAAGAUAUUUCUCUCCCUGGACCUUUGUCUGGACUUAAUUUCCUCCAGUCUCCAUAUUCUUUGAAGCUCAGAGGCAAUUUUGUCCAUCCUGACCUUAGAAGGUGGGGACGAGCGUGUAUGUGAGCGUACGUUUAGGUGAAAGAGUUAGCUAGCUAGGUAGGCGAUCCGUUGGGUUCGGCCGUGGCGUGCGUGUCGUGGGAGCGCACGGCCGGGCAUGCGGAUCCUGCGGGCGAGGUGGGCUGUGCUUCAUGCGCCAGCCCGGGUAUAAAUUCUAUAGACGCGGGAUAGUUGUAAUGCACUGAGUUGAGCACCAUGUAGACAUUGCAAAAGGAAGAAAGAUUCGCGCGUUCGUGCACCGGUCCGAGAAACUUGUGUCCACUGUGUUCAUCUCCUUCCUUCUUUCUUGUUCAAGCGAGUGAGUUGAGAGGGAGAGGUAGUUCGGGGUUUGUCCCAACAUUUUGUAUCAUGAGCUGGUUCAUCUUGGGCGUCGUUCUUCUUGCCAGAGGUGUGUCGGCGGUGGCGGAGUUCGCCGCAGUUGCGUGAUGCUCCAGGCCGUGCGUCGGCCUAUGGAGGAGUGCGGCGCGGCGAGGAGGCCGCGGUGACUGCGGUGGCAUGGUGAGGAGGCCGCGGAGGACCUGCGUGGUGGCGGCUUCAACGACGACGACGGCGCGGCGAGUGCGUUGCGGCGGCUCGGCGUGACAACGGUGGAGGCGCGUGGCACGGAGCCGCAGCGCUCGUGUCGGAUGCGUCAGGCGCGGCGGGACCGUGGUGUAGGGUGGCCGUUGGCGAGCGGGGGUGUGCGCAUCGCGGGCUCGCCGCGCCUAGAUGUGUGCGUGCAUCGGAGGGGGCGCGGGCAGAGCGGACGGGACGGGCGCUCGACGUAGGCUGGGACGUGGGUGCGUGCCCGGCGCGUCCCUGCAUAUAAAACCCCACCCAUGUACAUUGUAAUGCAGUGCCCGGAGUCGAGUUCGAGCUCGAAGGAAUCAAGGUCGUUGGUGUACCAGGAAGAGAAGCUGCGGCGUGUGUCGCCGGAGAUGAAGAAGGCGUUCUCCAUGGCAGUCGACGAGAGGCCGGAGUCCUAUCAGGAUGGGCGGCGAGGUCGUGGCUUAGAGGGGAGAAUGUUAGGAAUAAGUCAGGCAUGAGUAUGUGCUCGUGUGUGUGAUCUAUGUGCAUGGGUGUGACCGUGUGCAUGCAAGAUUCUGUUAGUGCAUGCCCUGAUUAGUUAGCUAGUUUGUUGGCUUGGAAGGGUCGCCGGAGGAGCGUGUAUGGGAGCGUACGUUUCGGUGAAAGAGUUAGCUAGCUAGGUAGGCGAUCCAUUGCUGCCGCUGCUGGUGGAGCUGUGCAAGUCCAUUGGUGUGCACACGCUGCUGCUCAUGGAGUGCUGGUGCCCGGCAUCUUUGGCAUUCAGCUCUUGUACCUACCGCCCGCCGAAUCGCCAGGCAACAUCGUGCUGUUCAGAAAAAAUUUUAGUUCCUGCACGGCUGCAUAACCUCCUGUCUUGGUUGAUUAUCACGAGUGUGUUUUUGCCUGAGUAGAUUAUCCAAUAGUUGUAGUUGCACAUAUUAUAGUCUGUAGUUGUAUAUAUGAUCUAGAAAGUUGCACAACACGAUGAUACUAAGUUGGCUAGAUGAUGUUUUUGCUUAAAUUGAUCUAUUUUUGUUAGUCAUAUUUUUAGUUGACAUCCAUGACACUAUAAUAUAAUAUAGCAAUGUGUUUAAAGUUCCAUUCAGCGGGAGGGCCCCGAGUCCCCGCGGCCGCUGGUGACGGCAAGGCUUCUCCCUGCCACACCCUCAGACAGCGGCAAGGAAGGAGGAAGAGGAGAAGGGGAGGCUAGGCGACGGGAUCUGGGAGCCUCCCGGCUGCCACACGAGGGCGACUCGGGAGGGCGCUGUGGCUAGGCGAAGGGAUCUCCUUUCUUCUGGAUAGUUUUGAAGAUGAUAUAGAAGAUUAUGUGUGUCGGGAGUGUCGUGUCAUGUCGUGCCAAACAUUCAGAGCUGCAUGGCGCUCCAAUGUCGUCGACGAGGCUCUGUAUGCCUGCCAUCCACGGACGAGCUCCUCACGGCUCUCGCCUCAUCUUCGUCUUCGUCUUCAUCUGAUUGACAAAACCUUUGAAAGGCCACACCUUUCGUAUUUUCUCCAAGUCGUUCCCAGAUCUUCUCUUCCCGACGACCCGGCCCAGGCAUGAACGACAAGCUUGCCGUACGGCCGGGCCAGUGUGCUCUCUCGUCUCUAGUCUGUUGUUCUGUGCCGGGACACCAGCGCUGAGGAAGCAUGCAACUAAUCAAGGCGAUCUCUUUGGACCACACCCGCAACUGAUCACGAGGUCCAAGAGUGGCCAUCGUCCCUGCCGACCAGGGCCGGUCCUAAGAUUUUGGGGGCCUUGGGCGAAACUAUAACCUAGGGCCUCUAAAUAUAAAUAUCAAAAUAAUAAUUAAUAUAUGUCUAUAUCAAAUGUUGGCCGCCUUCUCCACUAUUAUUUCCCUUUCUUUGUUAAUUAUUAAGAUAUCCCCAUUUUCGGAUCAUAGAUAUCCAUAAAAAAUUCUUUUGUGUCUAAACUAGCAGAUUCUAUACAAGAUGAAUUAAAUAUGUGCUCAUAACCACUUACAUUGUUUUCAUCUGUUGGCUGCCGUUCUGCCCUUGUCUUCUGGAUUAAGGCUAGUAGCCCGGUCAAAACAAAUGUCAUGGCUGGAUUUCUUCAACUCCUCAUAUUACUCUUAGAAAAAACAAAUAAUAAGUGUCACGUGUGUGGCACUUAUAAGGGUCCACAAAAAAUUAUCAGUGUAUCCUCGCUGUAACUAUAUUAGUUCAUUGUCUCAUUCUUUUUUUUUUCUUUCCUAACCAGAUGCAUAUGCUUUAGACGGCAUGCCGUGCUAAAAUUUACAGAAUCAGAAAAAAAUAUAUAGAAACUAACUCAUAGUUACAAAGGUGUUAAAUCAAUUCAAUCAAAUCUUACCUAACAUCAGUUUAUCAAAGCGAACUCACAAGUUCCAAAUCCCAAUACCAUCUUUUUCUGAAGUGAGUAUGUUGGGGUUGGGUUGUAGUCUAGAUCCUUCACGUACGUGUAUUAGAUGAUCUUUAGAUUGGUGAUUNNNNNNNNNNNNNNNNNNNNNNNNNNNNNNNNNNNNNNNNNNNNNNNNNNNNNNNNNNNNNNNNNNNNNNNNNNNNNNNNNNNNNNNNNNNNNNNNNNNNNNNNNNNNNNNNNNNNNNNNNNNNNNNNNNNNNNNNNNNNNNNNNNNNNNNNNNNNNNNNNNNNNNNNNNNNNNNNNNNNNNNNNNNNNNNNNNNNNNNNNNNNNNNNNNNNNNNNNNNNNNNNNNNNNNNNNNNNNNNNNNNNNNNNNNNNNNNNNNNNNNNNNNNNNNNNNNNNNNNNNNNNNNNNNNNNNNNNNNNNNNNNNNNNNNNNNNNNNNNNNNNNNNNNNNNNNNNNNNNNNNNAGGACCGGACCUGCACCAUAUGCCAUGCCGUGCCGCGGUCCAACGCUUACUCGCCGUGUCACACCUAAGCAAAGCGCCCAAGCAAGAGCUAUACUGGAUUCAUCCUCCAUCGGGAUGGGCUAAGCUCAACACAGAUGGUAUUCAUGCCCCUUCGACCGGAGAGGCUGGAUGGGCAUGGUUCUACGCGAUGAGAGAGGCGACAUCAUCUAUAUUGCUUGUAGAAAAAUUCUUACAUGCGAUAAUGACCUUGGGGCAGAGCUAGCUGCAUGCAGAGAGGGCUUGAAGCUAGCUCUACACCGGUCGAACCUGCCCAUUAUGAUGGAGCUUGACUAUGCCGAAGGAGUGUCUAUGUUGCUAGCACAAACUGAAGCUAGAACACAUCACCGGUUACUCGUAUGGACCCUGCACUGCAGUGUGGGUGUGCUUGGGGCAAGACUUUGUUGUAAACCUUUCUAAGGCUGACAAGCCUCCUUGAGUAAUGAAAUCUCUCUUUACACCGCAAAAACAGAAACAAAAACUUCAAGAAAGGAAAAGGUGUGUGCGUGCAUGUUUUGAUGUGUAGGCAUAUUAAACUAUGUACUAGUCCUCAUCAGCGCAAGAUUGAUGGAUCUGGUCGUCAGAUCUGUGGGAACGAGUGGGAUCAACCACUUCGCUGCAACCAAGACGAGUCCUAUUAACUUACCCUAAAUUGCAAGAUAAUAAGUGAUUGAACCACUCAUUAAUGCCCCGGUCUUUGGUCUCCUGCAUGCAGUACCAUAUCCAGCCAAUCCCUGGCCUUUUGGAGUAAAGGGGUGUUUGUUUACAUGGACCUAUUAGUGUAGGGACUUAAAAAAAUCCCUUUUAGUCCCAUCUGAAACAAAGAAGAGGGACUUAUAGAGACUUAAAGUGGACAUUUGGUACUUAUGAAACAAGAUCAUGAAGGAGAGUCUUUUUGGGACUUUUAGUUGUAAUAUGGUCUUUUAGUCAAUGUUUAGUCCCAGAAACCAAAUAUGUAAGGACUUUUUAGGGACUAACGACUUUUUAGUUGGGACUAAAACAAGUUCUAUUACUUUUGAACCAAACAGGGCCUAAAGUCUGUUGAUCCAUGCAGCAUGCAAUAUUGCCUGAGUAAAAUGCUCCGGUAAUCUGCCUAAUUUAAUGCAUGCCGAUUAAUUUUACGGGAAUAUCUGAGAUUCAUGACCCACUCGGAGGGAGUGGUAUAGUCCAGUCAUUAAGGCUAAAACAAUACAUCUUGACCAGCCGUCGGAUCGGCGCAGACGGCUGGGAUCAGUCGGAGAUGGGGAUCAAUCCCUGGUAGGCGGUGACGGGCCAAUCGCAAGCAAGCAGCAAAAUUUCUUUUCUAUUCCUUAGAUUUAGACUAGUAAGUGUGCACGUGCAAAUGCACGUCUCGACUAAUAUGACAAACAUAUGUAUGAAUUAACAUACACAUAAAGAUAUUUUGAUUGCACUCAAAAGACUACUACAAAUCAAGAAACACAUUAGGCCAAGUUUGGCAACAUAGUUUUCUCAAAACAAUAGUAAUCGAAAACCUCAGUAUUCAAUUGCCUAGGCAAUGAAUUCUUCAGUUUUUAAAAACCACAGUUUUUUAAGUUUACAAAAAAGUGGUCAAGACCUCUUUCUUAAAUACUACCAAAAAACCAUGGUACUGGAGAUACUACGGUUUAUAAAGCUAUGAUAUUUGUUGAAGCCAAACACCUCAAAGUUUUGAAAACUUUGGUUUAUGAGAAAGCGGUGGUAUUCUCCAAAUACUUCAAAAAAACUGAGCAGCCAAAUGCAGCCUUAAUGUAUGACCAACUGGUCAUAUGCAUUGAGCCAAAAAACUAUCCCAGUAUUUCCUAAUAAGGCUAGUGAAUUCUCGUAAACAUGCGGAAUGUUGUGUGCGGCUUCAUUGUUGAUGUAGUUGAGUAGCUACACCAAAAAUUGCUUCCUUAUCUGGUCACCAUCCUGAAUGAAAAUAGUAAGUCAAUAUUGAUCCUGCAAAUUGGUUGAUUUAGUUCUUUCGCAUCCCAUGAGUGCAAUAAAUUAAAAGCAAAAUAACCAGACAAGUUCCUGUAGAUAAAUGCAUUACCAUUAUCUUGAGUGUUAGAAAAACUAAAUAAGAUGCUUUAGUGGGUUUCAUAGGUAGUCACCUGUCUGUGCUUUCUGGAACACAAGCUAGUAAUCGACCAUGGAAAAAUAAACAUCAUUCCAUUUGGGAUUUGCUACUUGGAGUGCUUGGUUUAGGUAAAAUGAGAUGCACAUCCUUCAAAGAUGGAACUCGGCGGGCAUCAACUCUCUUGCGCAUCAUAGUAAACACAAGCAAGAAACGUAAGGAUGAGAGAAGAAAAGAAAGUAAAAUUCAGACAAGUUGAAUUAAUUUGGAAAGGCUAAUGCAUCAGAUUAAUACUAUAAAUACCAUAUACCAAGCAUCAUGCUGAAACCAUAGUGAGUACUUACAACAGUUCUUGUAAUAAUUGAGUACUUACAACAUCUUAACAUUAGAAUAUUGUACGCAAUAUCUCAUUAAUGUUCGAAUCAGUAUAAGGGAAUAGAAAUCACAUCCAAUCCCAUAAAAUAUUACAUUUGCUAAGUGCAAUGUCUGAACUGACCGCAACAUAUGAUUAUUCAAGAGGGACAUCACUUUACUAAACGAAAAUUGUAAAUGAUACAGAAAAAUAAGUAACACAAAUAUGAAUGGAACUCAACAACAAAACCAAUGAAGCAAAAGGAAAGACUGCUUAUGAGCUAGUUCAUUUAGAUUGAAACUGAUGAGCUAGUUCAUUUAUUAGCUAGUUCCUUGCAUGAGAUGUAUUCUCUUGAGAAACAUGACACCUUAAAAAAACACAGGACACCUUAUAUCGAACUCAACAACAAAAGCUUGUGUUCUACUAAGUGCCUGUAGAGUUGUCCAUUAACCUGAACAUCAUCAACCUAACUUGGAAAAAUAAAAAUGUUAAUGUCAGAGUUCAUACUUCCAUUUCAUCUUGUGCCUCCUUUCUAUUUCUCUACCAUUGGGUGCUCGGGCUUGAAGCUGAUUCUACCUCCAACCUUUACUAGGACAAAACAUAAGACCAUCUCAUUGUCGGAAUUACAACAGUGCUCAAUUCAACAACUAAUUUCUCAGAUUCAUUACUCUAGUAAUUGUUAGUUUGCUCCUAAACUGAUAGUACUCCCAGUUUACAUGUUUUGUCUGUAUGUGUUUUGGCUUUCUCAAACUUGAUUGGUGCUCAUGGUGUUACCAAAUUACCAAUAAGCACCAGCUGCAAUCAAGAAUAGUACACCACCUUUCCACUUAAUCCACAACACAGUCCUACAGAAUCAAGUUAAUUUUUUUCCUCUACUAAUGUAUACAGGAAGCAAAAAAUUCAGGUUCACUCAUGAAUGUAGUACAAGCUUUUUUCAGGUUCAAACAACAUUGUAGUGGAAGCUUUUUUCUGGUUCAGACAAAUUCGUAAAAUAAUAAUAGGGAAGAAGAAAGUACAACAACUGGUUGUAAUCAUUUGUAACACCGCUUCCAAUGGAGGUUUAACACGUGGUUCACCGACCUUUGGACCGCACAAAAUGAAUAGUGUGCUUACAACACUACAGAGCUAGUAACGACUAAAAGAUUUCCUGCAUUGAACAAAGCAAAGUAUCCUCUACAAAAAGGGAUUUGUAAACCAUUGCUACAACAUAUGAUAUUCUUUCCUUUGAAAAUUGUUGUUCGUCGUAAUAUCAAAUUACCAAAAAGGUUAUAGGUGCAACCAAUAGUGCGUACAUUACAAUUCCACAACCUCCAUUUCACCUACUCGAGCAGACAAUAUUUUCACAAUGACCAGUGUAAACUUUUAGCUCUGUCACAAUAACCAUAAAUGUUUACUAUCCCUGAAGGAAUUUUCGCACAAGAUCGACCCAUUAAAUUUUUGGAGGGUGUGUGUGUGUGUGUGUGUGUGUGUGUGUGUGUGUGUGUGUGUGUGUGUGUGAGGGGAGGAUGGGGGCAGGGGGAGUUUGUAGUAAUGCAACCUGUAGCAUUCUGAACAGGAGUCGACACGACAUGCGAAUACUGGAUGUCCAGGCUGCCUAGCCCAGCCGCUUCCGCCUUGUUGCGAGGCAGGUAAGCCAGUAACCUGCCGGCUGCUCUGCUUCCACUGCUGCUGCCGGCGCCAGUUUUAGGUGGUGAGGUGGAAGACCGAAUGAGGAGGGCAGUGAAGGAACUACAGUGAGAUUUUAACAUCAUAAAAUUCUUUAGGAGAUUUAUGUACUCCAAAUAUUCUGAAAUUUGUACACCAGCCAGUAUGCACUCGCUAGCUAGCAACUGAAUUGAUAUAGCAGAUAAUAUUCCCCAUAGUGCACAAAACAAUUGAAGCAGAUGAACAAGCAGAAAUGAAUAUUCAGAUAGGACCAUGCUUACAUAAUGGCUACCUUCCAGAUGGAGAAGUUGAGGAGGAGGAUAGGCAACAUCAUAUCGGCCGCUGCAACCGUCGAAUGUCCCCAUAUCCUCCUCUUCCUACUGUCACUGUUCAUUUGCUCGUCCAGCGCUUGCGUGCAGCUUCUGGCAGCAAGAAGCACCAAAGAACUGAAAAUACCUUACCAUAUUUUUAUAAAUGGCAUCCCUAAAAUAAAAAGGUUGGAACUUCAAAGGAAAAGAUCACAGCAACAAACUAUGGAUUAUGUUGUUGCAAACUUGCAACUGCAGGAAAAUUUACCUUUUUCUGUACAUAAAUACCUUAUAACCUUUUCUAUUAACAGAUGCUGUAGAGAUGCUGUUACUUAAACAAAAAUGCAGGAAAAUAUCAUAUGAAAUCAUCGACCUGGAUCCUUUUUUAAAUACAACAACGGAUCCAUGUAAGAAGAAUUAAACCUAAAAACCAGAGUACUGCAUACAAACUAUCGGCUAGCUUACUUUUUGCAUGGCUAGCAACUUGAAAAUCCUUCUACAGAUGUAACAAGAAAAGAAAUCUAUUAGACAUGAUUUUGAAAAAUCUUGUAACUGGUAUGUCGAACGUAGAGGGUAAUAUCAGAAGUCCAGGUGCUAGUCACAUGAACCUGCACCAUGUUGGUAAUUAUCCAGAACAAAAAUAAUCAAUUGUUGAACUUGUCACAAACCAUGGAAGAAAUCACAUGGAGUUAGUAUAACGAUUAUCCCUCGUCAGAUAAAAAGUUGCUGGAGAGAGAGAGACACACACAGAGAGAGAGAGGCCCAUCUUCGCGUGAUUCCAAGGCUGAAAAAUCCUAUAUAUAUAGACACCCCCAGAAAUAACCCAUGUGAGAAGUUCCGCCGCCGCGAAAAAACAAUCUGGACCCUGUUCCAGCACCCUGCCGGAGGCGGAAAUCAUCAUCGAAGGUCAUCUUCAUCAUCCCGGUAGUCUCCAUGAUGAGGAGGGAGUAGUCCAUCCUCAGGGCCGAGGGUUUGUACUAGUAGCUAUGUGUUUAAUCUCUCUCUCUCUCUCUCUCUCUCUCUCUCUCUCUCUCUCUUUCUCGUUCUUAAUUUGACAUGAUCUUGAUACACCGCGAGCUUUGUUAAUAUAAUUGAAUCAUAUGGUGUUUUUCCCUCUCAAUCUUGUUGUGAUGGACUGAGUUUUACCUAUGAGAUUUCGUUGUUAGAUUGAAUAAUUUUAUGGAUUUGAGAACACUUGAUGUAUGUUUUGGCACUCAACUCGCGGAUUCCAGAGGUGGCAUUUGGGUAACUAUGCAUAGGGGUUGAUGCACAUUUUUGUCCUUGUUUCUCCGGUAGAAAUCUUGGGGCGCUCUUUGAGGUUCUUUGUGUUAGAUUAAGUAUUAUGAAUCUGAAGUUGUUUGAUGCAUAUCGUAUAAUCAACUCACGGAUACUUGGGGUGACAUUAGAGUUGGUUGAUAUGUAUUAUUUGGUCUUAUUUUAGUAAUAGCAUAAAAGAUUGAUCGAAAAAAAUAACUUUUCAUACCCUACAAACAAUUUCUUCUUAUAUUCUGCGCUAGACAAGAACUUUGGAGUAAUUGUUUAUCACACCUUGAGGGGUUUCCAUACGAUCUAAUUAUGUUAGCACUAUUGAGAGAUUGCACUAGUGAAAGUAUGAACACUAGGUCUUAUUUUUAAGCAUUGCAAUACUGUUUGUGCUCACUUUUGUUACUUCCUACCUUGCUAUAUUUUUAUUGUUCCUAUUACAAAAAUCAAUAUCUACUAUCCAUAUUACCCUUGUAUCACCAUCUCUUCGCCGAACUAGUGCACCUAUAUAAUUUACCAUUGUAUUUGGUGUGUUGAGGACACAAAAGACUCUUUGUUAUUUGGUUGCAAGGUUGUUUGAGAGAGACCAUCUUCAUCCUACGCCUCCCACGGAAUGAUAAACGUUAGGUCAUCCACUUGAAGGAAAAUUUCUACUGUCCUAUCAUGGAUGUGUUUUUCUUUAGAGACACCCCCCCAUCAUUGCUGGCUAGCGAAUUUGCGAUGCAAUUCGUCCCUAUGUCAGUGUCUUAACCACUUCGUCGUCCCGCACAAUGAGCAGAACAGAGCAGCGGCUGCAAUUUACCCAUUGAUUUCUUGGAGUGAUUCAAACCUAGGAAGCCUGCUACUUGUGCAAGCAACAGGGUAAGAAUUUUCAUUUUUCUAACUGAUGCACCUCAAUUUGCAAGGUUAGAAUAAGGCUCCGCAACCCUCCCUCUCUGGCUUCUGGCGACGGCUGAUGCCUCCUGAUGCUCCGGGCCUUCGAAGCGGGGGCGAAACACGGUUUCGGGGGGAAGUUGGAGCUGACAUGGGUGUCGGUCGUGGCCAUGUGCCACUUCUCCGCCUUCCCCUUCCCCCGAUCGAGGUGGUCGCGGCCCUUCUCGAGGCAGCUUGGCCGGUGGCGGUUCUGGAGGUGGUCGGGGUUGUGGAUCUUGACAAAGGCGUGGCCUUUGGGGGCUUCAGGGAGGUCUCAUGGCUCGAUGAAGAUGAAAGAACGGUGUACGAUGGUGCAAGUGGGAGGGAAGAGGAUGGGCGCGAGGUGGUAAAUGACUGGCGGUCGGAAGGGGAAGAGGGGGCAGCGAGGUCUCCGUCAUGGUCGUGGGCGACGGGCGUUGGCUUGGUUUCUUCCAAGGGAGGCGCCGGAGAGGGAGGCCGCGGGGCAUGCUCCGGCAGUUGGGCGGUGGAGGCAAUUGGGUGGGCUCAGAGAAAAUAGCGGGGGAUGGGCGCGGGGGCGGUGGAGGCACGGGCGGGGUUAGUGUGAUUUCUUUUUUCUUUUCUUUGAAGUGUUUGUGCGGGUUAGUGCGGUUGCUAAAACAUGUGUUUGAUCUAAAACGCGUUUGAUGAGCGAUCUGGAACCUACAAAAAUCAAUAGACGGAUGAGAUGUUGUUUUGUUCGGUGGAGGAGAGGAACGAUUCAUUCCUUCCCUCGCCGCCCCGUCUCCCUCGCACGCCGCCGGCCAUGGCCUCCGCCCUCUCCCUCUCACCCUCACUCGCCGCCGGCCACCGCCCUCUCCUACUCUCAUCCCCUCCCCUCUUCACAAGGUAAGAUAAGAGAAGAGAAGAGGGAGAUAGAGAGAGCGGGCAGUUCAGGCGGCGGCCCAGAUACGCCGCGGCCGCCCAGGGCCUCGACGGAAGUAGGCUCAAUCGCUCGCUCGUGCGCCAGGACAGGACCUCGGACGGCUCGGCCCUGCGCGAGGAUGGCUAAUUUUUUUAAAAUAAUACAUUUUUCUAACUAAUUUGCAUAAAUAUUACGCCGAUAUUUUUAUUUUAAAAAAUGAUACACCAUCGGCCCGCUGCAGGCCGACUGAGCCUAGUCGGCGCACCGCAGACCGAUUGUCUUCCAGUCGGCCCGCAGCAAGCCGACUGGGACUAAUUGGCUUGCCGCGAACCAAUUAGUCCAGUCGGCUUGCUGCUGGCCGACUGGAAGCCAAUCGGCCUGUGGUGGGCUGAUUAGGUGCAUGUGGCCAUUUUUUUUCUGUUUUUGGUUUUAGUUGUUGUUUUCUAUUUAUUCUAGCUAUCAAAUGAAUCUAGUUUGUGUUGAAACUUUUUGCAUAAAUUACUAGCAAUAUUAACAAGCCACAUAUAAAUUUUCAUAUUUUUUGGAAAACCAAAAUUUUACAAUUGUAUUUAGCUCCUGGUGAAUAUAGAUCGGGUUUAAAUUUAUCUAUCCAAAUUGAUUUUUUUAAUUUUUAUAGAUGUUAAAAUAUCAAGGAGAAUAAUUUAAAUUUUUUGUGAAACAAUUUGAGAAUACAUUUUUAGCUUAUGAAACAAUAUGAAACAUUUUUUGUGAAAUAACUUGAGGAAAAUUCUUUUUUGGCUUAUGAAACAAUUUGAGAAUACUUUUUUGGCUUAUGAAACAAUUUGUGAAUUUUCCUCAAAUUGUUUCAGAAAAAUUGUUUCAAAUUGUUUCAUAAGCCAAAAAAAAUUCCUCAAAUUGUUUCACAAAAAUGUUUAAACCAUUCUCCUCAAUAUUUUAACAUUUAUAAAAAUCAAAAAAAUUAAUUUGGAUAAAUUAAUUUAAAUCCUAUCUUUUUCACCAGGAGCUAUCAAAUGUAAAUAUGUGGUUUUCCAAAAAUUAUGAAAAUUUAUAUGUGGCUUGUUAAUAUUGCUAGUAAUUUAUGCAAAAAGUUUCAACACAAACCAGAUUCAUUUGAUUGCUAGAAUAAAUAGAAAACGACAACUAAAACCAAAAACAGAAAAAGAAAAAUGGUCAUAUGCACCUAGUCGGCCCACAGCAUGCCGAUUGGCCUCUAGUCGGCCCGCAGCAAGCCGACUGGGACUAAUUGGCUUGCUGCGAACCAAUUAGUCCCAGUUGGCUUGCUGCGGGCCGACUGGAGGCCAAUCGGCCAACGGUGGGCCAACUAGGCUCAGUCGGCCUGCAGCGGGCCGAUGGUGUAUUAUUUUUGAAAAUAAAAAUAUCGGCGUAAUAUUUAUGCAAAUUAAAUAAGUAAAUGUACUAGUAGCGCGGGCUAAAAAAAAGCUUAUGUGUUAUCUUCAUUACAUCCUCUACUAGCAAAACGAUCCAAGUGAAAAAUUAACAAUGUCCUGCGAGAUUGUCAAGCGUGGGCAUCCUUUUGUAUUUAUAGUCUCCAAAAGUUAUAGAUAGGAGGCACAUGGUGUUUCGAAAUAUUACAUGCAUUGCCUACUGCUUGGUGCCUAUAUUUACAGCUUCUUCCUGCGUCUGCUGACUCUAUUUCUUUCAUGCCCUGUUGUUGUUCUUCCAGGGAGACCGUUACUGUGAUUUCCCUGUGCUCGUUUGGAGGAGGCGUUCAUUCCUUUUAAGCCCCCACUACUAGGAAAAACAUUAUACACAGAAAUUUACUAGUAGCGCGGGCUAAAAAAAAGCGCUACUAUAAUUUACCACUACCGCGUGUGAAAUAAUCGUGCUGCAGCUAAGUUUGUAGCAGUAGCGUGUCUCGCUAAAGAAGCGGUACUACUACAAUUCCCCUACUGUUCUCGACAGGCUACCAUUAGUAGUAGCAUGCUUAGAAAAAGUGCGCUGCUACUAAGACUAUUGUAGCAGCGUGUUUUACGCAGAAAGCGCUACUGCUAAGGAAAGAAAAAUAAAAUGAAAAACAUAUAGAAAAGUAAAUGAAAAUGAAAGAAAUAGAAAAAUGGGAAGGAAAAAAAGAAAAUGUGAAUGAAAAUAAAUGAAAAAUAAAAAUAAGGGAGAAAGACGUAGCAGCAGCAGGCUUUUUGGACACGCGCUAUAGCUAUCUUAGCAGCAACGCUUGUUGCCAUCCAGCCCUAUAGCUAACGUAGCAAUAGCGCUUUUUCUGUAACGCGCUACUGCUACUUUUGAAUUAACCACGCGUGGUUCUUCUUCCCCACGGCCAUUUCACCCAAAUCGAACUCGCGCGUCUGCUGUCGCAGCUGUCGUCGCCCGGCCGCCGCGCGCGGUCUCCCUUCGCCCUCCGCAUGCCGUCGACGCCGCCCCCGACCCCGACCUCGAUACCCCCCUACAUCGCCGCCCUCCGGCGUGCGCCCGCCGCCCCGACCCCGACCCGUCCCCGACCUCGACGCCGCCUGCCCCUCUCCCUAACUCCGCCGGCGCCCGAGGUGAGCACGCCCUCUUUUGGUUUCAAAACCGGCGGAUCUCGGGUAGGGUGUCCCGAACUGUGCGUCUAAGGUCGAUGGUAACAGGAGACAGGGGACACGAUGUUUACCCAAGUGAUACGUCUCCAAUGUAUCUAUAAUUUUUUAUUGUUCCAUGCUAUUAUAUUACUUGUUUUGGAUGUUUAUGGGCUUUACUCUACACUUUUAUAUCAUUUUUGGGACUAACCUAUUAAUCGGAGGCCCAGCCCGAAUUGCUGUUUUUUUGCCUAUUUCAGUGUUUCGAAGGAAAGGAAUAUCAAACGGAGUCCAAACGGAAUGAAACCUUCGGGAGCGAUCGUUUUGGAACAAACGCAAUCCAUGAGACUCGGAGUGGACAUCAAGAAGCGAACGAGGCGGCCACGAGGGUGCCCGGCGCGCCCCCACCCUCGUGGGCCCCUUGAGCGUCCACCGACCUACUUCUUCCUCCUAUAUAUGUCCACGGACCCCGAAAACAUCCAGGAGCACCACGAAAAACUAUUUCCACCGCCACAACCUUCUGUAUCCGCGAGAUCCCAUCUUGGAGCCUUCGUCGGCGCUCCGCCGGAGGGGGAAUCGACCAUGGAGGGCCUCUCCAUCAUCACCAAGGUCUCUCCGAUGAGUUGUGAGUAGUUUACCGCAGACAUUCGGGUCCAUAGUUAUUAGCUAGAUGGAAUUCUUCUUUCUUUUUGAUACUCAAUACAAAGUUCUCCUUCCUCUUCUUGUAGAUCUAUUCGAUGUAACUCUUUUUGCGGUGUGUUUGUCGAGAUCUGAUGAAUUGUGGGUUUUUGAUCAAGUUUAUCUAUGAGAAAUAUUUGAAUCUCCUCUGAAUUCUUUUAUGUAUGAUUGGUUAUCUUUGCAAGUCUCUUCGAAUUAUCAAUUUGGUUUGGCCUACUAGAUUGAUCUUUCUUGCCAUGAGAGAAGUGCUUAGCUUUGGGUUCAAUCUUGCAGUGUCCUUUCCCAGUGACAGCAGGGGCAGCAAGGCACGUAUUGUAUUGUUGCCAUCGAGGAUAAAAAGAUGGGGUUUAUAUCAUAUUGCAUGAGUUUAUCCCUCUACAUCAUGUCAUCUUGCUUAAUGCGUUACUUUGUUCUUAUGAACUUAAUACUCUAGAUGCAGGCAGGAGUCGGUUGAUGUGUGGAGUAAUAGUAGUAGAUGCAGAAUCGUUCGAUCUACUUGUUGCGGAUGUCAUGCCUAUAUACAUGAUCAUGCCUAGAUAAUCUCAUAACUAUGCACUUUUCUAUCAAUUGCUCGACAAUAAUUUGUUCACCCGCAGUAAUAAUUAUACUAUCUUGAGAGAAGCCCCUAGUGAAAUCUUUGGCCCCCGGUUCUAUCUUUUAUCAUAUAAGUUUUCCAUCAAAUUUUAUUUGCAUCUUUUAUUUUCCAAUCUAUAUCAUAAAAAUACCAAAAAUAUUUAUCUUAUCAUAUUAUCUCAAUCAGAUCUCACUUUCGCAAGUUACUGUGAAGGGAUUGACAACCCCUUUAUCGCGUUGGUUGCGAGGUUCUUGUUUGUUUGUGUAGGCGCGUGGGACUUGGAAAGGGCCUCCUACUGGAUUGAUACCUUGGUUCUAAAAAACUGAGGAAAAUACUUACGCUACUUUGCUGCAUCACACUUUCCUCUUCAAGGGAAAAACCAACGCAUGCUCAAGAGGUAGCAAGAAGGAUUUCUGGCGCCGUUGCCGGGGAGGUCUUCGCUCAAGUCAAGACAUACCAAGUGCCCAUCACAAACUCAUCUCCCUCGCAUUACAUUAUUGACCAUUUGCCUCUUGUUUUCCUCUCCCCCACUUCACCCUUGCCAUUUUAUUCGCCCUCUCUUUUCCGUUCGCCUUCCAUUUGCCAUGGCCGAGUCAAAAAGAACUAAGGGUUCUCUCCCGAGUUAUAGUACUUUGGAUAGUCCCUCUGUCCUCUCUAAGCUCCUAAAUAAUGAUGUUGUGGGAAGGCCUACCGGGGUUACCAAUGCGAAUUUAAAUAAUUUUGAUGAAGAGGACUCCGGAAUUUUUCGUUAUUUACUUGAUGAGUCUUUAAAAGAUGCUUGGGAUAGGCUAUUAAGGAUUAGAGCUAGCUAUGUGCCACAAUAUCUAAUUGAGAUUUAUCUAAGAAGCUUUUAUGUUGGGUUACCACCUUCAUUUAAAUAGGUUUUAGAUUCUAUUUUUGAAGAAGGUUUUCUUGAAGGGGACGCUAUAGACACUUACGAAAAAAUGAAAACUAUAUUUGGGCACCCCAUGAAUGAUAAGGUUGAAUCCACCACUCUCUUAUGCUUUUAUCAAAAUGAAAUUAUUAGAGAUGAAAGCUAGCCUAGAUGCAAAUUUCCGUAACGUGCUUAAUCUUUCUUCCUCCAUUAAUGGCCAUGUGAUUUCCUAAAAUAGAAGGAAAAUGCUAUAGAUAAGAAAUUUUCUCUUUUCUUUCCGAAUACCAAAGAUGGCAAUACUUAGAUCUAUUCUCGCUUUUAAUGCCUAGCUAGGGGCGUUAAACGAUAGCGCUUGUUGGGAGGCAACCCAAUUUUAUUUUUGUUCCAUGCUUUUUUUUCCUGUUUAGUAAUUAAAAAUUAACCUAGCCUCUGGUUAGAUGUGGUUUUAUGUUUUAAUUAGUGUUUGUGCCAAGUAGAACCUAUAGGAUAACUUACGGUGAUAGUUAAUUUGAUUCUGGUUAAAAACAGAAAGUUUGCGCUCACGAGAAAAAAUUCAAUAAAUCACAGAAACAUGCUUUUGCAUUGAUUCUUUUUGCUGUAGAUCAAUAGAAAAAUUUCCUAGGACGUCCUAUUUUGGUAGGAUUUUUGGAGUUCUAGAAGUAUUCGAAAGUUACAGAUUUCUACAUACUGUUCUCUUUUUGAUAGAUUCUGUUUUUCGUGUGUUCUUUGCUUAUUUUGAUGAAUCUAUGGCUGGUAUCGGGGGGUAUGACCGUAGAGAAGUUGUAAUACAGUAGGUUUAACACCAAUAUAAAUAAAGAAUGAGUUCAUUACAGUACCUUAUGCAGUGGUUUUUCUUUCUUGCACUAACGGAGCUUAUGAUAUUUCCUAUUGAGUUUUGUGUUGUGAAGUUUUCAAGUUUUGGGUAAAGAUUUUGAUGGACUAUGGAAUAAGGAGUGGAAAAAGGCUAAGCUUGGGGAUGCCCAUGGAACCCCAAGAUAUUCAAGGACAACCAAAAGCCGAAGCUUGGGGAUGCCCCGGAAGGCAUCCCCUCUUUCGUCUUCGUCUAUCGGUAACUUUACUUGGAGCUAUAUUUUUAUUUACCACAUGAUAUGUGUUUUGCUUGGAGCGCCUUGUAUGAUAUGAGUCUUUUCUUUUUAGUUUACCACAAUCAUCCUUGUUAUACACACCUUUUGGGAGAGACCCACAUGAUUUAGAAUUUAUUAGAAUACUCUAUGUGCUUCACUUAUAUCUUUUGAGCUAGAUAGUUUUGCUCUAUGUGCUUCACUUAUAUUUUCUAGAGCAUGGCGGUGGCUUUAUUUUGAAGAAAUUGUUGAUUAAUACGUCCAUUUUGCAUCAUGCUUUUAUAUCAAUAUUUAUUGCAUUGUGGGCUGUUAUUACACAUUAUAUAUCAAUACUUAUGGCUAUUCUCUCUUAUUUUAUAAGGUUUACCAUGAAGAGGGGGAAUGCCGGCAGCUGGAAUUCUGGCUGGAAAAGGAGCAAACAUUGGAAACCUAUUCUGCACUGCUCGAAAAGACCUGAAACUCCACAAAACUUAUUUUUCGAAUUAAUAAGAAUUAUUGAGCGGAAGAAACACCUCAGGGGGCUCACACCCUGGCCAGGAGGGUGGGGGGCGCGCCCACCCCUACUGGGCGCGCCCCCUGUCUCCUGGGCCUCCUGGUGGCCCUCCUGUGUCAUCUUCUGCUAUAUGAAGGCUUUUACCCUGGAAAAAAAUUAUGGGCAAGCUUAUGGGACGAAACUCCGCCGCCACGAGGCGGAACCUUGGCGGAACCAAUCUAGAGCUCCGGCAGAGCUGUUCUGCCGGAGACACUUCCCUCCGGGAGGGGGAAAUCAUCACCAUCGUCAUCACGAACGAUCCUCCCAUCGGGAGAGGGUCAAUCUCCAUCAACAUCUUCACCAGCACCAUCUCCUCUCAAACGCUAGUUCAUCUCUUGUAUCCAAUCUCGUAUCCAAAAUCACAAAUUGCUACCUGUGGGUUGCUAGUAGUGUUGAUUACUCCUUGUAGUUGAUGCUUAUUGGUUUACUUGGUGGAAGAUCAUAUGUUCAGAUCCUUAAUGCAUAUUAUUAAUCCUCUGAUUAUGAACAUGAAUAUGCUUUGUGAGUAGUUACGUUUGUUCCUGAGGACAUGGGUGAAGUCUUGCUAUUAGUAGUCAUGUGAAUUUGGUAUUCGUUCGAUAUUUUGAUGAGAUGUAUGUUGUCUUUCCUCUAGUGGUGUUAUGUGAACGUCGACUAGAUGACACUUCACCAUUAUUUGGGCCUAGAGGAAGGCAUUUGGAAGUAAUAAGUAGAUGAUGGGUUGCUAGAGUGACAGAAGCUUAAACCCUAGUUUAUGCAUUGCUUCGUAAGGGGCUGAUUUGGAUCCAUAUGUUUAAUGCUGUGGUUAGGUUUACCUUAAUACUUCUUUUGUAGUUGCGGAUGCUUGCAAUAGGGGUUAAUCAUAAGUGGGAUGCUUGUCCAAGUAAGGGCAGUACCCAAGCACCGGUCCACCCACAUAUCAAAUUAUCAAAGUACCGAACGUGAAUCAUAUGAGCGUGAUGAAACUAGCUUGAUGAUAAUUCCCAUGUGUCCUCGGGAGUGCUUUUCUCAUUAUAAGAAAUUGUCCAGGCUUGUCCUUUGCUACAAAAAGGAUUGGGCCACCUUGCUUCACUUUAUUUACUUUCAUUGCUUGUUACUCAUUACAAUUUAUCUUAUCACAAAACUAUCUAUCACCUACAAUUUCAGUGUUUGCAGAGAAAACCUUACUGAAAACUGCUUAUCAUUUCCUUCUGCUCCUCGUUGGGUUCGACACUCUUACUUAUCGAAAGUACUAUGAUAGAUCCCCUACACUUGUGGGUCAUCAAGACUCUUUUGUGGCACCGUUGCCGGGGAGUGUAGCGCUUUUGGUGAGUGGAACUUGGUAAGGAAACAUUAUUAUAGUGUGAUGACAUUUUCUAUUACUUGUCACUAUGGAAACUAAUCCUUUGAGGGGCUUGUUUGGGGCAUCUUCGCCCCGACCAGUAGAGCAAAGAUUUGCUCCUCAACCUACUGAACCUACUGAAAAUGUUUACUUUGAAAUUCCUUCGGAUAUGAUAGAGAAACUGCUAGCUAAUCCUUUUGCAGGAGAUGGAACAUUGCAUCCCGAUUUACACCUUAUCUUUGUGGAUGAAGUUUGUGGAUUAUUUAAGCUUGCAGGUAUUCCCGAUGAUGUUGUCAAAAGGAAGGUCUUCCCUUUAUCUUUGAAGAGAGAUGCAUUGACAUGGUAUACGCUAUGUGAUGAUACGGGGUCUUGGAAUUAUACAUGAUUGAUGUUGGAAUUUCACCACAAGUUCUAUCCUAUGCAUCUUUUUCAUCGUGAUCGUAAUUACAUAUAUAAUUUCUGGCCUCGCGAAGGAGAAAGCAUCGCUCAAGCUUGGGGGAGGCUUAAGUCAAUGUUAUAUUCAUGCCCCAAUCAUGAGCUCUCUAGAGAAAUGAUUAUUCAAAAAAAUUAUGCUCGGCUUUCUCUCAAUGAUCACACCAUGCUCGAUACUUCCUGUGCUGGUUCUUAUAUCCUGAAGACUAUUGAAUUCAAAUGGGACUUAUUGGAAAGAAUUAAACGCAACUCUGAAGAUUGGGGUUCCGACGAUGGUAAGGAGUCAGGUAUGACACCUAAGUUUGAUUGUGUUAAAUCUUUUAUGGAUACUGAUGCUUUUCGUGGAUUUAGCGCUAAAUAUGGACUUGACUCUGAGAUAGUAGCUUCUUUCUGUGAAUCUUUUGCUACUCACGUUGAUCUCCCUAAGGAGAAGUGGUUCAAAUAUAAUCCUCCCAUUGAAGUAAAAUUAGUUGCACCUAUUACAGUUGAAGAAAAGGCUAUUACUUAUAAUGAUCCUAUUGUUCCUACUACUUAUGUUGAGAAACCACCUUUUCCUGUUAGAAUGAAGGAUCAUGCUAAAGCUUCAACUGUUGUUCGUAAGAGUAAUACUAGGACUUAUACACCUCCUGAGCAAAUCAAAGUUGAACCUAGUAUUGCUAUGGUUAAAGAUCUCUUGGAUGAUAAUUUAGAUGGGCAUGUUAUUUACUUCUAUGGUGAAACUGCUAAUAUUGUUAAACCAGAUACUAAGAUACAUAGACCUGUGGUAGGCAUGCCUGUUAUUUCUGUUAAAAUAGGAGAUCAUUGUUAUCAUGGCCUAUGUGAUAUGGGUGCUAGCGCUAGUGCAAUACCUAUUUCCUUAUACCAAGAGAUUAUGCAUGAUAUUGCACCUGUUGAGUUAGAAGAUAUUGAUGUUACAAUUAAGCUUGCCAAUAGAGAUACUAUUAGGCCUUUUGGGAUUGUUAGAGAUGUUGAAGUCUUGUGUGGGAAGGUCAAAUACCCUGCUGAUUUUCUUGUUCUCAGUUCCCCCAAGAUGACUUUUGUCCCAUUAUAUUUGGUAGACCAUUCUUGAACACUGUUAAUGCUAAGAUUGAUUGCGAAAAGGAUGUUGUUAUGAUUGGCUUGGAGGAUAUGACUAAUGAAUUUAAUUUUGCUAAAUUUCGUAGACAACCCCGUGAUAAAGAGUUACCUAGUAAAUAUGAAAUAAUUGGUCUUGCUUCUAUUUCCGUGCCUCCUACUGAUCCGUUAGAACAAUAUUUGCUUGACCAUGAAAAUGAUAUGUUUAUGAAAGAAAGAAGGGAAAUAGAUGAAGUGUUCCUUAAACAGGAACCUAUUCUGAAACAUAACCUUCCCGUUGAAAUUCUAGGGGAUCCUCCUCCACCCAAGGAUGAUCCCGUGUUUGAGCUUAAACCAUUACCUAAUAAUCUUAAAUAUGCUUAUCUUGAUAAGAAGAAGAUAUAUCCUGUUAUUAUUAGUGGUAACCUUUCAGAGCAGGAAGAGGAAAGAUUAUUGAAAACUCUGAAGAAGCACUAUGCGGCUAUUAGAUAUACUCUGGAUGAUCUCAAGGGCAUUAGCCCCACGUUAUGUCAACACAAAAUUAGUUUGGAGGAUGAUGCCAAACCAGUUAGAGAUCCUCAACAACAAUUGAAUCCCAAGAUGAAAGAAGUGGUUAGAAAGGAGAUACUAAAGCUCCUUGAGGCAGGUAUAAUUUAUCCCAUUGCUGAUAGUGAUUGGGUAAGUCCUAUCCAUUGUGUUCCUAAAAUGGGAGGUAUUACUGUUGUUCCUAAUGAUAAAGAUGAAUUGAUCCCGCAAAGAAUUAUUACAGGUUAUAGGAUAGUAAUUGAUUUCCGUAAAUUAAAUAAAGCUACUAAGAAAGAUCAUUACCCUUUACAUUUUAUUGAUCAAAUGCUAGAAAUACUAUCCAAACACACACAUUUCUGCUUUCUAGAUGGUUAUUCUAGUUUCUCUCAAAUACCUGUGUCAGCGAAGGAACAAUCAAAAACUACUUUUACUUGCCCUUUCAGUACUUUUGCAUAUAGACGUAUGCCUUUUGGUUUAUGUAAUGCACCUGCUAACUUUCAAAUAUGUAUGAUGGCUAUAUUCUCUGACUUCUGUGAAAAGAUUUGUGAGGUAUUCAUGGAUGAUUUCUCCGUUUAUGGAUCCUCCUUUGAUAAUUGCUUGAGCAACCUUGAUCGAGUUUUGCAGAGAUGUGAAGACACUAGUCUCGUCUUGAAUUGGGAAAAGUGCCACUUUAUGGUUAAUGAAGGCAUUGUCUUAGGGCACAAGAUCUCCGAGAGAGGUAUUGAAGUUGAUAAAGCUAAAGUUGAUGCUAUUGAAAAGAUGCCAUGUCCCAAGGACAUAAAAGGUAUAAGAAGUUUCCUUGGUCAUGCCGGUUUUUAUAGGAGGUUCAUUAAGGACUUCUCUAAAAUCUCUAGGCCUCUGACUAAUUUAUUGCAAAAAGAUAUUCCUUUUGUCUUUGAUGAUGAUUGUGUAGAAGCAUUUGAAAUACUUAAGAAAGCUUUGAUCACUGCACCUAUUGUUUAGCCACCUGAUUGGAAUUUACCUUUUGAAAUUAUGUGUGAUGCUAGUGAUUAUGUUGUAGGUGCUGUUCUAGGGCAAAGAGUUGAUAAGAAAUUGAAUGUUAUCCAGUAUGCUAGUAAGACUCUUGAUACUGCCCAAAGAAAUUUUGCUACUACUAAAAAAAAAUUCUUAGCAGUUGUGUUUGCAUGUGAUAAGUUUAGACCUUAUAUUGUUGAUUCGAAAGUUACUAUUCACACUGAUCAUGCUGCUAUUAAAUAUCUUAUGGAAAAGAAAGAUGCUAAGCCUAGACUCUUUAGAUGGGUUCUCUUGCUCCAAGAAUUUGAUUUGCAUAUUAUUGAUAGAAAGGGAGUUGAGAACCCCGUUGCAGACAACUUGUCUAGGUUAGAGAAUGUUCUUGAUGACCCACUGCCUAUUAAUGAUAGCUUUCCUGAUGAACAAUUAGCGGUCAUUAAUGCUUCUCGUACUGCUCCUUGGUAUGCUGAUUAUGCUAAUUACAUUGUUGCUAAAUUUAUACCACCUAGUUUCACAUACCAACAAAAGAAAAAGUUCUUUUAUGAUUUAAGACAUUACUUCUGGGAUGACCCACACCUUUAUAAAGAAGGAGUAGACGGUGUUAUUAGACGUUGUGUACCUGAGCAUGAAGAGGAACAGAUCCUACGCAAGUGUCACUCCGAAUCAUAUGGAGGACACUGUUGGAAAUAUGCCCUAGAGGCAACAAUAAAAGGAUUAUUAUUAUAUUUCCUUGUUCAUGAUAAUUGUCUUUUAUUCAUGCUAUAAUUGUAUUAUCCGGAAAUCGUAAUACACGUGUGAAUACAUAGACCACAAGAUGUCCCUAGUAAGCCUCUAGUUGACUAGCUCGUUGAUCAAUAGAUAGUCAUGGUUUCCUGACUAUGGACAUUGGAUGUCAUUGAUAACGAGAUCACAUCAUUAGGAGAAUGAUGUGAUGGACACGACCCAAUCCUAAGCAUAGCACAAGAUAGUGUAGUUCGGUUUCUACAGCUUUUCCAAUGUCAAGUAUCUUUUCCUUAGACCAUGAGAUCGUGUAACUCCCGGAUACCGUAGGAGUGAUUUGGGUGUACCAAACGUCGCAACGUAACUGGGUGACUAUAAAGGUAUAUACGGGUAUCUCCGAAAGUGUCUGUUGGGUUGACACGGAUCGAGACUGGGAUUUGUCACUCCGUAUGACGGAGAGGUAUCUCUGGGCCCACUCGGUAAUGCAUCAACAUAAUGAGCUCAAAGUGACCAAGUGUUUGGUCACGGGAUCAUGCAUUACGGUACGAGUAAAGUCACUUGCCGGUAACGAGAUUGAACGAGGUAUUGGGAUACCGACGAUCGAAUCUCGGGCAAGUAACGUACCGAUUGACAAAGGGAAUUGUAUACGGGGUUUCUUGAAUCCUCGACAUCGUGGUUCAUCCGAUGAGAUCAUCGAGGAGCAUGUGGGAGCCAACAUGGGUAUCCAGAUCCCGCUGUUGGUUAUUGACCGGAGAGUCGUCUCGGUCAUGUCUACGUGUCUCCCGAACCCGUAGGGUCUACACACUUAAGGUUCGGUGAUGCUAGGGUUGUAGAGAUAUGAGUAUGCAGCAAACCGAAAGUUGUUCAGAGUCCCGGAUGAGAUCCUGGACGUCAUGAGGAGUUCCAGAAUGGUCCGGAGGUAAAGAAUUAUAUAAGGGAAGUCGAGUUUCGGCCAUCGGGAAAGUUUCGGGGGUCACCGGUAUUGUACCGAGACCACCGGAAGGGUCCCAGGGGUCCAUCGGGUGGGGCCACCUAUCCCGGAGGGCCCCAUGGGCUGAAGUGGGAGGGGAAACAACCCCUGGUGGGCUGGUGCGCCCCCCUUGGCCCCCCCUGCGCCUAGGGAUGGGAACCGUAGGGGAGGGGGUGCCUCCACUUGCCUUGGGGGGCAAGGCACCCCCCUUGGCCGCCGCCCCCCUAGGAGAUCCCAUCUCCUAGGGCCGGCGCCCCCCCUGGGGACCCUAUAUAUAGAGGGGGAGGGAGGGCAGCCGCACCCUUGCACUUGGUGCCUCCCUUCCCCCUUGCUACACCUCUCCUCCUCCGUAGAGCUCGGCGAAGCCCUGCUGAGAUUCCUGCUGCAUCCACCACCACGCCGUCGUGCUGCUGGAUCUCCAUCAACCUCUCCUUCCCCCUUGCUGGAUCAAGAAGGAGGAGACGUCUUCCCCAACCAUACGUGUGUUGAACGCGGAGGUGCCGUCCGUUCAGCUCUCGGUCAUCGGUGAUUUGGAUCACGACAAGUACGACUCCCUCAACCCCGUUCUCUUGAACGCUUCCGCUCGCGAUCUACAAAGGUAUGUAGAUGCACUCCUAUCACUCGUUGCUAGAUGAACUCAUAGAUAGAUCUUGGUGAAACCAUAGGAAAUUUUUUAUUUUCUGCAACGUUCUCCAACAGUGGUAUCAUGAGCUAGGUCUAUGCGUAGUUCUCUAUGCACGAGUAGAACACAAUUUUUUGUGGGCGUAGAUGUUGUCAACUUUCUUCCCGCUACUAGUCUUAUUUUGCUUCAGCGGUAUUGUGGGAUGAAGCGGCCCGGACCGACCUUACACGUACACUUACGUGAGACAGGUUCCACCAACUGACAUGCACUAGUUGCAUAAGGUGGCUAGCGGGUGUCUGUCUCUCCCACUUUAGUUGGAGCGGAUUCGAUGAAAAGGGUCCUCAUGAAGGGUAAAUAUAAGUUGACAAAUCACGUUGUGGCUUUUUUGUAGGUAAGAAAACGUUCUUGCUAGAACCCUAUUGCAGCCACAUAAAAGAUGCAACCACAAUUAGAGGACGUCUAACUUGUUUUUGCAGCAAUUGCCUUGUGAUGUGAUAUGGCCAAAAGUUGUGAUGAAUGAUGAAUGAUAUAUUGUGAUGUAUGAGAUCAUGUUCUUGUAAUAGGAAUCACGACUUGCAUGUCGGUGAGUAUGACAACCGACAGGAGCCAUAGGAGUUUUCUUAAUUAUUGUAUGACCUGCGUGUCAAUGAUUUAACGCCAUGUAAUUACUUUACUUUAUUGCUAAACCGUUAGCUAUAGUAGUAGAAGUAAUAGUUGGCGAGCAACUUCAUGGAGACACGAUGAUGGAGAUCAUGGUGUCAUGCCGGUGACAAGAUGAUCAUGGAGCCCCAAGAUGGAGAUCAAAGGAGCUAUAUGAUAUUGGCCAUAUCAUGUCACUAUUAUUUGAUUGCAUGUGAUGUUUAUCAUGUUUUUGCAUCUUGUUUACUUAGAACGACGGUAGUAAAUAAGAUGAUCCCUCAUAAUAAUUUCAAGAAAGUGUUCCCCCUAACUGUGCGCCGUUGCGACAGUUCGUUGUUUCGAAGCACCACGUGAUGACCGGGUGUGAUAGAUUCUAACGAUCACAUACAACGGGUGUAAGACAGAUUUACACAUGCAAAACACUUAGGUUAACUUGAUGAGCCUAGCAUGUACAGACAUGGCCUCGGAAACAAGAGAUCGAAAGGUCGAACAUGAGUCGUAUGAAAGAUACGAUCAGCAUGGAGAUGUUCACCGAUGAUGACUAGUCCGUCUCACGUGAUGAUCGGACACGGCCUAGUCGACUCGGAUCAUGUAACACUUAGAUGACUAGAGGGAUGUCUAAUCUGAGUGGGAGUUCAUUAAUUAAUUUGACUAGAUGAACUUAAUUAUCAUGAACUUAGUCUAAAGUCUUUGAAAAAUGUCUUGUAGAUCAAAUGGCCAACGCUCAUGGCAACAUGAACUUCAACGCGUUCCUAGAGAAAACCAAGCUGAAAGAUGAUGGCAGCAACUAUACGGACUGGGUCCGGAACCUGAGGAUCAUCCUCAUAGCUGCCAAGAAAGCAUAUGUCCUAGACGGACAGCUAGGUGAAGCACCCAUCCCAGAGAACCAAGACGUUAUGAAUGCUUGGCAGUCACGUGCUGAUGAUUACUCCCUCGUUCAGUGCGGCAUGCUUUACAGCUUAGAACCAGGGCUCCAAAAGCGUUUUGAGCGACACGGAGCAUAUGAGAUGUUCGAGGAGCUGAAAAUGGUUUUCCAAGCUCACGCCCGGGUCGAGAGAUAUGAAGUCUCCGACAAGUUCUAUAGUUGUAAGAUGGAGGAAAAUAGUUAUGUCAAUGAGCACAUACUCAAAAUGUCUGUGUUGCACAACUGCCUGUCCCAGCUGGACAUUAACCUCCCGGACGAGGCGGUCAUUGACAGAAUCCUUCAGUCGCUCCCACCGAGCUACAAGAGCUUUGUGAUGAACUACAAUAUGUAGGGGAUGGUGAAAACUAUUCCUGAAGUAUUUUCAAUGCUGAAAUCAGCAGAGGUAGAAAUCAAGAAGGAACAUCAAGUGUUGAUGGUCAAUAAAACCACUAAGUUCAAAAAGGGCAAGGGUAAGAAAAACUUCAAGAAGGACGACAAGGAUGUUGCCGCGCCCGGUAAGCCUGUUGCCGGGAAGAAGUCAAAGAAUGGACCCAAGCCUGAGACUGAGUGCUUUUAUUGCAAAGGGAAGGGUCACUGGAAGCGGAACUGCCCCAAAUACUUAGCGGACAAGAAGGCCGGCAACACUAAAGGUAUAUGUGAUAUACAUGUAAUUGAUGUGUACCUUACCAGUACUCGUAGUAGCUCCCGGGUAUUUGAUACCGGUGCCGUUGCUCAUAUUUGUAACUCAAAGCAGGAGCUGCGGAAUAAGCGGAGACUGGCGAAGGACGAGGUGACGAUGCGCGUCGGGAAUGGUUCCAAGGUCGAUGUGAUCACCGUCGGCACGCUACCUCUACAUUUACCUACAGGAUUAGUUUUAAACCUCAAUAAUUGUUAUUUAGUGCCAAGUUUGAGCAUGAACAUUGUAUCAGGAUCUCGUUAAAUACGAGAUGGCUACUCAUUUAAAUCCGAGAAUAAUGGUUGUUCUAUUUAUAUGAGAGAUAUGUUUUAUGGUCAUGCUCCGAUGGUCAAUGGUUUAUUCUUAAUGAAUCUCGAAUGUGAUGUUACACAUAUUCAUAGUGUGAAUACCAAAAGAUGUAAAGUUGAUAACGAUAGUCCCACAUACUUGUGGCACUGCCGCCUUGGUCACAUUGGUGUCAAGCGCAUGAAGAAGCUCCAUGCUGAUGGACUUUUAGAGUCUCUCGAUUAUGAAUCAUUUGACACAUGUGAACCAUACCUUAUGGGCAAAAUGGCCAAGACUCCGUCCUCCGGAACAAUGGAGCGAGCAACCAACUUAUUGGAAAUCAUACAUACUGAUGUGUGCGGUCCAAUGAGCGUUCAGGCUCGCGGAGGAUAUCGUUAUGUUCUCACUCUCACUGAUGACUUAAGUAGAUAUGGGUAUGUCUACUUGAUGAAACACAAGUCUGAGACCUUUGAAAAGUUCAAGGAAUUUCAGAAUGAGGUAGAGAAUCAACGUGACCGAAAAAUAAAGUUCUUACGAUCAGAUCGUGGAGGAGAAUAUUUAAGUCACGAAUUUGGCACACACAUAUGGAAAUGUGGAAUCAUUUCACAACUCACGCCGCCUGGAACACCUUAGCGUAACGGUGUGUCCGAACGUCGUAAUCGCACUCUAUUGGAUAUGGUGCGAUCUAUGAUGUCUCUUACUGAUUUAACGCUAUCAUUUUGGGGAUACGCUCUAGAGACAGCUAUAUUCACUUUAAAUAGGGCACCGUCUAAAUCUGUUGAGACGGCACCGUAUGAAUUAUGGUUUGGGAAGAAACCUAAGCUGUCGUUUCUAAAAGUUUGGGGAUGCGAUGCUUAUGUCAAGAAACUUCAACCUGAAAAGCUCGAACCCAAGUCGGAAAAAUGCGUAUUCAUAGGAUACCCUAAGGAAACCAUUGGGUAUACCUUCUACCUUAGAUCCGAAGGCAAGAACUUUGUUGCCAAGAACGGAUGCUUUCUGGAAAAAGAGUUUCUCUCGAAAGGAGUAAGUGGGAGGAAAGUAGAACUCGAUGAAGUACUACCUCUUGAACCGGAAAGUAGUGCAGCUCAGGAAAAUGUUCCUAUGGUGCCUAUGCCUACUGGAAAGGAAAUUAAUGAUGAUGAUCAAGGUACUUCGAAUCAAGUUGCUACUGAACUUCGUAGGUCCACAAGGACAUGUUCCACACCAGAGUGCUAUGGCAACCCUGUCCUGGAAAUCAUGUUGUUAGACAACGGUGAACCUUCGAACUAUGAAGAAGCGAUGGCGGUCCCAGAUUCCAACAAAUGGCUUGAAGCCAUGCAAUCCGAGAUAGGAUCCAUGUAUGAAAACAAAGUAUGGACUUUGACAGACUUGCCCGAUGAUCGGCGAGCGAUAGAAAACAAAUGGAUCUUUAAGAAGAGGACGGACGCGGAUGGUAAUGUUACCAUCUAUAAAGCUCUACUUUUCGCUAAGGGUUAUCGACAAGUUCAAGGGGUUGACUACGAUGAGACUUUCUCUCCCGUAGCAAAGCCGAAGUCUGUCCGAAUCAUGUUAGAAAUUGCCGCAUACUAUCAUUAUGAGAUAUGGCAAAUGGUCGUCAAAACGGCAUUCCUUAACGGCUAUCUUAAGGAAGAACUGUAUAUGAUGCAGCCGGAAGGUUUUGUCGACCCUAAGAAUGCUAACAAGGUAUGCAAGCUCCAGCGAUCCAUUUAUGGGCUGGUGCAAGCAUCUCGGAGUUGGAACAUUCGCUUUGAUGAGAUGAUCAAAGCGUAUGGGUUAUGGAGACUUAUGGAGAAGCCUGCGUUUACAAGAAAGUGAGUGGGAGCUCUGUAGCAUUUCUCAUAUUAUAUGUAGAUGACAUACUUUUGAUGGGAAAUGAUAUAGAACUUUUGGACAACAUUAAGGCCUACUUGAAUAAGAGUUUUUCAAUGAAGGACCUUGGAGAAGCUGCUUAUAUAUUAGGCAUCGAGAUCUAUAGAGAUAGAUCGGGACGCCUCAUAGGUCUUUCACAAAGCACAUACCUUGAUAAGAUAUUAAAGAAGUUCAAUAUGGAUCAGUCUAAGAAGGGGUUCUUGCCUGUGUUGCAAGGUGUGAAAUUGAGCUCGGCUCAAUGUCCGACCACGGCAGCAGAUAUAGAAGAGAUGAGUGUCAUCCCCUAUGCUUCAGCCAUAGGGUCUAUUAUGUAUGCCAUGCUGUGUACCAGACCUGAUGUAAACCUUGCCGUAAGUUUGGUAGGAAGGUACCAAAGUAGCCCCGGCAAGGAACACUGGACAGAGGUCAAGAAUAUCCUGAAGUACCUGAAAAGUACUAAGGACAUGUUUCUCGUUUAUGGAGGCGACGAAGAGCUCGUCGUAAAGGGUUACGUGGACGCUAGCUUCGACACAGAUCUGGAUGACUCUAAGUCACAAACCGGAUACGUGUAUAUGUUGAAUGGUGGAGCAGUAAGCUGGUGCAGCUGCAAGCAGAGCGUCAUGGCGGGAUCUACAUGUGAAGCGGAGUACAUGGCAGCCUCGGAGGCACAGCAUGAAGCAAUUUGGGUGAAGGAGUUCAUCACCGACCUAGGAGUCAUACCCAAUGCGUCGGGCCGAUCAAACUCUUUUGUGACAACACUGGAGCUAUUGUACUUGCCAAGGAGCCCAGGUUUCACAAGAAGACCAGGCACAUCAAGCGUCGCUUCAACUCCAUUCGUGAAAAUGUUCAAGAUGGAGACAUAGAAAUUUGCAAAGUGCAUACGGAUCUGAAUGUCGCAGAUCCAUUGACUAAACCUCUUCCGCGAGCAAAACAUGAUCAACACCACAACUCUAUGGGUGUUCGAUUCAUCACAAUGUAACUAGAUUAUUGACUCUAGUGCAAGUGGGUGACUGUUGGACAUAUGCCCUAGAGGCAAUAAUAAAAGGAUUAUUAUUAUAUUUCCUUGUUCAUGAUAAUUGUCUUUUAUUCAUGCUAUAAUUGUAUUAUCCAGAAGUCGUAAUACACGUGUGAAUACGUAGACCACAACAUGUCCCUAGUAAGCCUCUAGUUGACUAGCUCGUUGAUCAACAGAUAGUCAUGGUUUCCUAAGUAUGGACAUUGGAUGUCAUUGAUAACGAGAUCACAUCAUGAGGAGAAUGAUGUGAUGGACAAGACCCAAUCCUAAGCAUAGCACAAGAUCGUGUAGUUCGUUUGCUAGAGCUUUUCCAAUGUCAAGUAUCUUUUCCUUAGACCAUGAGAUCGUGUAACUCCCGGAUACCGUAGGAGGGCUUUGGGUGUACCAAACGUCCCAACGUAACUGGGUUACUAUAAAGGUAUACUACGGGUAUCUCCAAAAGUGUCUGUUGGGUUGACACGGAUCGAGAGUGGGAUUUGUCACUCCGUAUGACGGAGAGGUAUCUCUGGGCCCACUCGGUAAUGCAUCAUCAUAACGAGCUCAAAGUGACCAAGUGUUUGGUCACGGGAUCAUGCAUUACGGUACGAGUAAAGUCACUUGCCGGUAAUGAGAUUGAACAAGGUAUUGGGAUACCGACGAUCGAAUCUCGGGCAAGUAACAUACCGAUUGACAAAGGGAAUUGUAUACGGGGUUGCUUGAAUCCUCGACAUCGUGGUUCAUCCGAUGAGAUCAUCGAGGAGCAUGUGGGAGCCAACAUGGGUAUCCAGAUCCCGUUGUUGGUUAUUGACCAGAGAGUCGUCUCGGUCAUGUCUACGUGUCUCCCGAACCCGUAGGGUCUACACACUUAAGGUUCGGUGACGCUAGGGUUGUAGAGAUAUGAGUAUGCAGCAAACCGAAAGUUGUUCGGAGUCCCGGAUGAGAUCCCGGACGUCACGAGGAGUUCCGGAAUGGUCCGGAGGUAAAGAAUUAUAUAUGGGAAGUCGAGUUUCGGCCAUCGGGAAAGUUUCGGGGGUCACCGGUAUUGUACCGGGACCACCGGAACGGUCCCGGGGGUCCACCGGGUGGGGCCACCUAUCCCGGAGGGCCCCAUGGGCUGAAGUGGGAGGGGAACCAGCCCCUGGUGGGCUGGUGUGCCCCCCUUGGGCCCCCCCCUGCGCCUAGGGAUGGGAACCCUAGGGGAGGGGGCGCCUCCACUUGCCUUGGGGGGCAAGGCACCCCCCUUGGCCGCUGCCCCCCUGGGGACCCUAUAUAUAGAGGGGGGAGGGAGGGCAGCCGCACCCUUGCACUUGGCGCCUCCCUUCCCCCUUGCUACACCUCUCCUCCUCCGUAGAGCUCGGUGAAGCCCUGCUGAGAUUCCUGCUGCAUCCACCACCACGCCAUCGUGUUGCUGGAUCUCCAUCAACCUCUCCUUCCCCCUUGCUGGAUCAAGAAGGAGGAGACGUCUUCACCAACCGUACGUGUGUUGAACACGGAGGUGCCGUCCGUUCGGCACUCGGUCAUCAGUGGUUUGGAUCACGACGAGUACGACUCCCUCAACCCCGUUCUCUUGAACGCUUCCACUCGCGAUCUACAAAGGUAUGUAGAUGCACUCCUAUCACUCGUUGCUAGAUGAACUCAUAGAUAGAUCUUGGUGAAACCGUAGGAAAUUUUUUAUUUUCUGCAACGUUCCGCAACAGACACCACACUGGAGAUAGAACUGCACACAAGGUAUUGCAAUCCGGUUUUUAUUGGCCUACUCUCUUCAAAGAUGCUCGUAAGUUUUUCUUGUCUUGUGAUGAAUGUCAAAGAAUUGGUAAUAUUAGUAGACGUCAAGAAAUGACUAUGAACUAUUCUCUUGUUAUUGAACCAUUUGAUGUUUGGGGCUUUGAUUAUAUGGGACCUUUUCCUGCCUCUAAUGGUUACACACAUAUUUUAGUUGCUAUUGAUUACGUUACUAAGUGGGUAGAAGGUAUUCCAACUAGUAGUGUUGAUCAUAACACUUCUAUUAAAAUGCUUAAAGAAGUUAUUUUUCUGAGGUUUGGAGUCCCUAGAUAUCUUAUGACUGAUGGUGGUUCACAUUUUAUUCAUGGUGCUUUCCGUAAGAUACUUGCUAAAUUAUGAUGUUAAUCAUAGAAUCGCAUCUCCUUAUCACCCACACAGUUUAGUGGUCAAGUAGAGUUGAGCAAUAGAGAGCUCAAAUUAAUUUUGCAAAAGACUGUUAAUAGAUCUAGAAAGAAUUGGUCCAAGAAGCUUGAUGAUGCAUUAUGGGCCUAUAGAACUGCAUAUAAAAAUCCUAUGGGUAUGUCUGCAUAUAAGAUGGUUUAUGGAAAAGCUUGUCAUUUACCUCUAGAACUUGAACAUAAAGCAUAUUGGGCUAUCAAAGAGCUCAACUAUGACUUCAAACUUGCCGAUGAGAAGAGGUUGUUGAUAUUAGCUCACUUGAUGAAUGGAGAACACAAGCCUAUGAGAAUGCCAAGCUAUUUAAAGAAAAAGUCAAACGCUGGCAUGACAAAAGGAUACAAAAGCGUGAGUAAUUAACGUAGGUGAUUAUGUGUUAUUAUUCAACUCUCGUUUAAUAUUUUUUGCAGGAAAACUUCUCUCUAAAUGGGAAGGCCCUUACGUUAUCGAGGAGGUCUAUCGUUCGGGUGCCAUAAAAAUCAACAACUUCGAAGGCACAAGUCCAAGGGUGGUGAACGGUCAAAGAAUCAAACAUUAUAUCUCAGGUAAUCCUAUCAAUGUUGAAACUAAUAUCAUUGAAACCGUAACCCCGGAGGAAUACAUAAGGGACACUUUCUAAAACAUUUCAGACUCCGAAAAGGAAUAGGUAUGUGGUAAGGUAAGUAAACCGACUCCAAAACAAUUAUAUUGGCAAUUUUUAUCAGUUUUGGAAUAUUUAAGAAUUUUAGGAAGAAAGAAGUAGUCCGGGAAGGACACGAGGCCUCCACGAGGGUGGAGGGUGCGCCCACCCUUACUGGGCGUGCCCCCCUGUCUCGUGGCCACCUCGUGUGCCUCCCGGACUCCGUUUUCUUGCACGUUACAUAUUUUGGUUGGUAAAAAUUCAUUAUAUAAACUCCCGAAGGUUUUGACCACCGUAUCACGCAAAAAUACUCUGUUUUUGUUUCGAGCUGUUUCUGUUAUAGAUUUAGAGCAAGAUGUCUUCUCAAGAGUCAGUCGGGGAGAGUCGGGUGUCUCACCCGACACUAGGUCCAGGAGCAAAAAGCGAUGCUUAUCACUUUGGACCAUCAACGGAGGAUGAGAUGGAGGCCGACUUGAAAAGGAUAGAUGCCAUGGAGGAAGAUCAAGAAGUCACCUCCUGCUUUCAAGCAGGAUUCAUAAUGGGGGAACAACAGAGCUCGGUUGUUCCAAAUUUGGUCAUCCCUUCAAAUGCUAAAUUUCUUUCUUAUGAAAAUAUGAAAAAGAGUGUUACUUGUUCUCCACAAGCUAUGCAGCACCCUUGUGUAAAAGGAGCUUUAGCAAUAGCAGGCAUGCUCCGCAAGGAAAAUAUGAACCUCAAGCAACAAGUCAAUAAGCUCGAGGAGGAGAAUCGUAUCCUGAGGGGAAUUAUCGCCAAAAAGAUAACAACACCAACUUUGAAGAAGGAGACAUAAUCACAUGGGUAUGGGCACUCCCCUUGGCAACUGCCAAGCUUGGGGGAGGUGUCGCGGUAUCGUAUCACCAUCACACUCCUAUCUUUACCAUUUUAUUUAGUUCGAUCCUUUUUAGUAGUAUCUUGAUCUAGUAGAUUGAAGUUUUGAUAUCAAGUAGUUUUGAGUUUUGCUUUGUGAUCUCUUUAUGUAAUCGAGUCCAUGAGCUAUCUAUAAUAAAGAUUAGUGUUGAGUCAAGGGCUUUGCUAUCUUGCUAUGAUCUUAAGAAAAAUAGAAAGAAUAAAAAGAAUAAAGAGUUCAUAUUGAUCUUAUGGAUAGUAAUGACUUCACACAUAGAAAGUAUGAGGCAUAAAAGUUGUUGAGAGUUGAUAAACGUAGUUUUGGUCAUCGUUACAAUUAAUAGGAAGUAAUAAGGAAAGAGAGGUUUCACAUAUAAAUAUACUAUCUUGGACAUAUUUUAUGGUUGUGAGCACUCAUUAAGUAUUGCAUGCUCAAAGAGUCGACGUUGGACAAGGAAGACAACGUAAUGGUUUAUGUUUUCUCACAUCUCAGUUAAAGUAUAUUUUCAUUGACCUUCCGAACAUGUUGAGCUUGCCUUUCCCCCUCAUGCUAGCCAAAUCCUAGCACCAAGUAGAGAUACUGCUUGUGCUUCCAAAUAUCCUUAAACCCAGUCUUGCCAUGAGAGUCCACCAUAUCUAGCUAUGGAUUGAGUAAGAUCCUUCAAGUAAGUUGUCAUCGGUGCAAGCAAUCAAAAUUGCUCUCUAAAUAUGCAUGACUUAUUAGUGCGGAGAAAAUAAGCUUUAUACGAUCUUGUUAUGGAAGCAAUAAAAGCGACGGACUGCAUAAUAAAGGUCCAUACACAAGUGGCAAUAUAAAGUGACGUUCUUUCGCAUUAAGAUUUUGUGUAUCGAACCCUGAAAGCGCAUGACAACCUCUGCUUCCCUCUGCGAAGGGCCUAUCUUUUACUUUAUGUUUUUACUUUAUGCUUGAGUCAAUGUGAUCUUCACCUUUCCCUUUUUCAUUUUAUCCUUUGGCAAGCUCCUCGUGUUUGAAAGAUCAUGAUAUAUAUAUCCAAUUGGAAGUUCGUUAGCAUGGACUAUUACUGUUGACAUGACCUAAAGGUGAAUACGUUGGGAGGCAACGCAAUAAGCCCCUAUCUUUCUCAGUGUCCGGCUGAAACUCCAUAACCACAAGUAUUGCAUGAGUGUUAGCAAUUGUAGAAGACUAUAUGAUAGUUGAGUAUGUGGACAUGCUGAACAGCUCUAUUCUUGACUCUUUUGAUGUUACGAUAAAUUGCAAUUGCUUCAAUGACUAAGAUUAUAGUUUGUUACCUUUCAAUGAAGUUUCUGAACCAUACUUGACAUUGUGAAUUGAUUGUUACUUGAGCAUAAGAAGCCAUAUGAAAAAAUCUAUUUAUGUUGCUGUUAUAAGAAUAAUCAUGAUGCCCUCAUGUCCAUAUUUUAUUUUUGUUAACACCUCUAUCUCUAAACAUGUGGACAUAUUUUUCGAUUUCGGCUUCCGCUUGAGGACAAGCGAGGUCUAAGCUUGGGGGAGUUGAUACGUCCAUUUUGCAUCAUGCUUUUAUAUCAAUAUUUAUUGCAUUAUGUGCUGUUAUUACACAUUAUAAAUCAAUACUUAUGGCUAUUCUCUCUUAUUUUAUAAGGUUUACCAUGAAGAGGGGGAAUGCCGGCAGCUGGAAUUCUGGCUGGAAAAGGAGCAAACAUUGGAAACCUAUUCUGCACUGCUCCAAAAGACCUGAAACUCCACGAAACUUAUUUUUCGAAUUAAUAAGAAUUAUUGAGCGGAAGAAACACCUCAGGGGGCCCACACCCCGGCCAGGAGGGUGGGGGGCGCGCCCCCUGGUGGCCCUCCGGUAUCCAUCUUCUGCUAUAUGAAGGAUUUUACCCUGGAAAAAAUCAUGGGCAAGCUUACGGGAAGAAACUCCGCCGCCACGAGGCGGAACCUUGGCGGAACCAAUCUAGAGCUCCGGCAGAGCUGUUCUGGCGUGGACACUUCCCUCCGGGAGGGGGAAACCAUCACCAUCAUCAUCACCAACGAUCCUCCCAUCGGGAGAGGGUCAAUCUCCAUCAACAUCUUCACCAGCACCAUCUCCUCUCAAACCCUAGUUCAUCUCUUGUAUCCUAUCUUGUAUCCAAAACCACAAAUUGGUACCUGUGGGUUGCUAGUAGUGUUGAUUAUUCCUUGUAGUUGAUGCUUAUUGGUUUACUUGGUGGAAGAUCAUAUGUUCAGAUCCUUAAUGCAUAUUAUUACUCCUUUGAUUAUGAACAUGAAUAUGCUUUGUGAGUAGUUACGUUUGUUCCUAAGGACAUGGGUGAAGUCUUGCUAUUAGUAGUCAUCUGAAUUUGGUAUUCGUUCGAUAUUUUGAUGAGAUGUAUGUUGUCUUUGCUCUAGUGGUGUUAUGUGAACGUCGACUACAUGACACUUCACCAUUAUUUGGGAAUAGAGGAAGGCAUUGGGAAGUAAUAAGUAGAUGAUGGGUUGCUAGAGUGACGGAAGCUUAAACCCUAGUUUAUGCGUUGCUUCGUAAGGGGCCGAUUUGGAUCCAUAUGUUUAAUGCUGUGGUUAGGUUUACCUUAAUACUUCUUUUGUAGUUGCGGAUGCUUGCAAUAGGGGUUAAUCAUAAGUGGGAUGCUUGUCCGAGUAAGGGCAGUACCCAAGCACCGGUCCACCCACAUAUGAAAUUAUCAAAGUACCGAACGCGAAUCAUAUGAGCGUGAUGAAACUAGCUUGACAAUGAUUCCCAUGUGUCCUCGGGAGCGCUUUUCUCAUUAUAAGAAAUUGUCCAGGCUUGUCCCUUGCUACAAAAAGGAUUGGUCCACCUUGCUGCACUUUAUUUACUUUCGUUGCUUGUUACUCUUUACAAUUUAUCUUAUCACAAAACUAUCUAUCACCUACAAUUUCAGAGCUUGCAGAGAAAACCUUACUAAAAACCGCUUAUUAUUUCCUUCUGCUCCUCGUUGGGUUCGGCACUCUUACUUAUCGAAAGGACUACGAUAGAUCCCCUACACUUGUGGGUCAUCAUUGAUCAUUCAUGCUUCACUUAUAUUUUUUUGUGAGUCUUUUAGAACAGCAUGGUAUUUGCUAUGGUUAUAAAUUUGGUCCUAGAAUGAUGAGCAUCCAACUUGGGUAUAAUAAAAACUAUCAUAGAAAGUGCAUUAAAAACUAUGAUCAAUUUGAUGGUUGAUAAUUGUUUUGAGAUAUAAAGGUGGUAAUGUUAGAGUCAUGCUAGUUGGGUAAUUAUGAAAUUGAGAAAUACUUGUGUUGAAGUUGCCAAGUCCCGUAGCAUGCACGUAUGGUAAAAGUUAUGUAACAAAUUUGUAGCAUGGGGUGCUCGUUGAGUGCUUUCCUUAUGAGUGGUAGUCGGGGACGAGCGAUGGUCUUUUCCUACCAAUCUAUCCCUCUAGGUGCAUGUGUAGUAGUACUUUACUUCGAGGGCUAAUAAAUUUUUGCAAUAAGUAUAUGAGUUCUUUAUGACUAAUGUGAGUCCAUGGAUAUAUGCACACUUACCCUUCCACUUUGCUAGCCUCUAUUAUACCGCGCAACCUUCGCCGGUAUCAUGAACCCAUUAUUUACCUUCCUCAAAACAGCCACCAUACCUACGUAUUAUGGCAUUUCCAUAGCCAUUCCGAGAUAUAUUGCCAUGCAACUUUCCACUGUUUCGUUUAUUAUGACAAGCUCCAUCAUUGUCUUGCUCUUUGCAUGAUCAUGUAGUUGACAUCGUAUUUGUGGCAAGGCCACCUUCAUAAUUUUUCAUACAUGUCACUCUUGAUUCAUUGCAUAUCCCGGUACACCGCCGGGGCAUUCACAUAGAGCCAUAUCUUGUUCUAAGUAUCGAGUUGUAAUUCUUGAGUUGUAAAUCAAUAAAAGUGUGAUGAUCUUCAUUAUUAGAGCAUUGUCCCAAGUGAGGAAAGGAUGAUGAAGACUAUGAUUCCCCCACAAGUCGGGAUGAGACUUCGGACUUUAUAAAAAUAAAAGAGGCCAAAGAAGCCCACCAAAAUAAAAAAAAAUGAGAGAAAAAGAGAGAAGGGACAAUGUUACUAUCCUUUUACCACACUUGUGCACCAUGAUCUUCAUGAUAGAGAGUCUCCUAUGUUGUCACUUUCAUAUACUAGUGGGAAUUUUUCAUUAUAGAACUUGGCUUGUAUAUUCCAAUGAUGGGCUUCCUACAAACACCCUAGGUCUUCGUGAGGAAGCAAGUUGGAUGCACACCCACUUAGUUUCUUUUGUUGAGAUUUCAUAUAUUUAUAGCUCUAGUGCAUCCUUUGGAUGGCAAUCCCUACUCACUCACAUUGAUAUCUUUUAAUGGGUGAUGUCUACUACACAACCUUCUUCUUGUAGACGUUGUUGGGCCUGCACGUGCACAGGUUUGUAGGACAGUAGCAAAUUUCCCUCAAGUGGAUGACCUAAGGUUUAUCAAUCCGUAGGAGGCAUAGGAUGAAGAUGGUCUCUCUCAAACAACCCUGCAACUAAAUAACAAAGAGUCUCUUGUGUCCCCAACACACCCAAUACAAUGGUAGAUUGUAUAGGUGCACUAGUUCGGCGAAGAGAUGGUGAUACAAAUGCAAUAUGGAUAGUAGAUAAAGGUAUUUGUGAUCUGAAAUUAUAAAAACAGCAAGGUAGCAAGUAACAAAAGUGAGCGUAAACGGUAUUGCAAUGAUAGGAAACAAGGCCUAGGGUUCAUACUUUCACUAGUGCAAGUUCUCUCAACAAUAAUAACAUAGAUAGAUCAUAUAACAAUCCCUCAAUAUGCAACAAAGAGUCACUCCAAAGACACUAAUAGCGGAGAACAAACGAGGAGAUUAUGGUAGGGUACGAAACCACCUCAAAGUUAUUCUUUCAGAUCAAUCUGUUCAAGAGUUCGUACUAGAAUAACACCUUAAGGCACAAAUCAACAAAAAACCUAAUGUCACCUAGAUACUCCAUUGUCACCUCAAGUAUCCGUGGGCAUGAUUAUACGAUAAGCAUCACACAAUCUCAGAUUCAUCUAUUCAACCAACACAAAGUACUUCAAGGAGUGCCCCAAAGUUUCUACCGGAGAGUCAAGAACGUGUGCCAACCCCUAUGCAUAGGUUCAUGGGCGGAACCCGGAAGUUGGUCACCAAAACAUACAUCAAGUGGCACAUGAUAUCCCAUUGUCACCAUAGAUAAUCAAGGCAAGACAUACAUCAAGUGUUCUCAAAUAAAGACUCAUUCCGAUAAGAUAACUUCAAAGGGGAAAACUCAAUCCAUUACAAGAGAGUAGAGGGGGAGAAACAUCAUAAGAUCCAACUAUAAUAGCAAAGCUCGGGAUACAUCAAGAUCGUGCCAUAGAGGGAACACAAGAGAGAACACGAGAGAGAGAGAGAGAUCAAACACAUAGCUACUGGUACAUACCCUCAGCCUCGAGGGUGAACUACUCCCUCCUCGUCAUGGAGAGUGCCGGGAUGAUGAAGAUGGCCACCAGUGAAGGAUCCCCCCUCUGGCAGGGUGCCGGGAAGGGCUCCCGAGAGGUUUUUGGUGGCUAUAGAGGCUUGGGGCGGCGGAACUCCCGAUCUCUCUUGAUAUUCGAUGUUUUUAGGGUACAAGGGAAUAUAUAGGCGAAAGAAGUCAGUCGGGAGGUGCUCGAGGGGCCCACGAGACAGGGGGCGCGCCCAGUAGGGGGGGGGGGGCGCACCCUCCUAUCUCGUGGCCUCCUCGAGGGUCUUCUAACAUGAACUCCAAGUCUCCUGGGUGUUAUUCUUCCAAAAAAUCACGUUGCCAAAGGUUUCAUUCCGUUUGGACUCCGUUUGAUAUUCCUUUUCUUCGAAAUACUGAAACAGGCAAUAAAACAACAAUAUGGGUUGGGCCUCCGGUUAAUAGGUUAGUCCCAAAAGUAAUAUAAAAGUGUAUAAUAAAGCCCAUAAUCAUUCAAAACAGAUAAUAAAAUAGCAUGAAUGCUUCAUAAAUUAUAGAUACGUUGGAGACGUAUCAGUAUCCCCAAGCUUAAUUCCUACUCGUCCUCGAGUAGGUAAAUGAUAAAGAAAGAAUUUAUGAAGUGUGAAUGCUAGAAGGUGCACAAGUUUGUAUGUCAUAACAAUAGUUCAUCUCAUAAAACUUUUCAUAAUCAAGUAACAAGCUAUUCACAUGUAUAAGCAUAGACCAUAAACUUUCUUGAAAACUAGCAAACUUCAUUCUUAGUCAUCAAACAAUUGCAAUUCAUCUUAUUUUCAGGAAGGGUCUAUGUUAGAGCUUUGAUUUAAUUAGCAAACUUCACAUACUCAACUAUCAUAUAGUCUUCUACAAUUGCUAACACUCACACAGUCCUUGUGGUUCCGAAGUUUUAAUCAGACACAGAGAAAGAUUGGGGCUUAUAAUGUUGCCUCCAAUCGUAUUCACCUUUGGGUGAUGUCAACAAUAAUAGUUCAUGAUAACAUACAUCCAAUUUGAUAUAUAUAUCAGGAUCACCCCAACACAAAGUGCUUGCCAAAGGAUAAAAUGAAAAAGGGAAAGAUGAAGAUCACCUUAACUCUUGUAUAAAAGUAAAAGAUAGGCCCUUCGCAGAGGGAAGCAGGGAUUUGCAGAGGUGCCAGAGCUCGAUUUUUAAAAUAGAGAUUAAUAAUUUCGAGAGGUAUGAUCUCAUUGUCAACAUAACAACCAAGAGUUCCAAAUAUCUUCCAUACUACAUACAUUAUAGGCAGUUCCCACGCAGAAUGGUAAAAUUUUAUACUCCCCCAACCACCAACAAGCAUCAAUCCAUGGCUUGCUCGAAACAACGAGUGCCUCCAACCAACAACAAUCCUGGGGGAGUUUUGUUUAAUUAUUUUGAUUUGAUUUUGACCUUUUUGAUCAUGGGACUGGGCAUCCCGGUUACCGCCACUUUCUCAUGAAUGAGGAGCGGAGUCCACUCCUCUUGAGAAUAACCCACCUAGCAUGGAAGACACUGAUAGCCCCUAGUUGCUACAUGAGCAAUUCGGGCAUACAAAACAGAUUAUAAUUUGAAGGUUUAGAGUUUGGCACAUGCAAAUUUACUUGGAACGGCAGGUAAAUACCGCAUAUAGGUAGGUAUGGUGGACACUAAUGGCAAAAACUGGGUUUAAGGAUAUUGGAUGCACAAGCAGUAUUCCCGCUUAGUACAGAUAUUUAGGCUAGCAAGGGGAGAAAGGCAAGCUCAACAUGUUUGAAUGAUCCAUGACAAUAUACUUUAACUGAGAUGCGAGAGAACAUAACCCAUUACGUUGUCUUCCUUGUCCAACAUCAACUCUUUAGCAUGUCAUUCUUAAUGAGUGCUCAAAAUUAUAAAAGAUGUCUAUGAUAAUAUAUUUAUAUGUGAAAUUUCUCUUCCUUAAAUAUUCUUUCAUGAAUUGUUCAAAUGACCAAUACAAUGCUUGCUAACCUUCAAUAAAUUACUACCUCUACUUCUUAGAUGUGAAGUCAUUACUCCCCAUGGGAUAACUCAACCAUUUACUCAUAGGAUAUAAGUGAAGCACACGAGUAAAUGACAAACUACUCCAACAACAUAUAAGUAAAGAUCAAUGAGUAGCUAAAUAAUUAUGCAACUAUGUGAAGACUCUCUCUCAUUUAAUAAUUUCAGAUCUUGGUAUCUUAUUCAAACAGCAAGCAAAGCAACAUAAAAUGACAUUGUAAGGAUAUCACAACUCAUGUGAAGAAGCAAAAAGUUAGGUUCAACCGAUACUAACCAAUAGUUGUUGAAGAAAAAAGGUGGGAUGCCUACCGGGGCAUCCCCAAGCAUAGGUGCUUGGGACUUCUUGAAAUAUUAUCUUGGGGUGCCUUGGGCAUCCCCAAGCUUGAGCUUUUGUGUCUCCUUAAUUCCCUUUUAUAUCACGGUUUCUCUUCUUUUUAUCAAAAAGCUUCAUUCACAACAAACUCAACAAGAACUCGUGAGAUAGGUUAGUAUAAACCAAUGCAAAACCUUAUCAUUUUCUACUGUAACGAAUCACUAAGAUUAUUAUUCAACAUUUAAUACUAAAUGUCUCUGCAUAUUUAAUACUCCUAUCCUCAAAUAGAAUCAUUAAACAAGCAAACAUAUGCACACAAUGCAAACAUAACAGCAAUCUGCCAAAACAGUACAGUCUGUAAAGAAUGCAAGAUUCAUCAUACAUCCCUAACUCCAAAAAUUAUAAGGAAAAUACUACGCUGUAAAAGAUUUAUUAGAGCUCAUUAUGCAAAAAGAUUCAACAUUAUAUCACUCUCUGACUUUUCUAGGGAACUUUUGCAACAGCGGUAAACUUUCUGUUUUCAAACAGCAACAUGUAUACUUGCAAAAUAAGCAUGGUAAAGGCUAUCCUUGACAUUUUUAUUGAAAAUAAAGAUGAAAAACAUUAAUAUAAAUAAAAUCAAGCAAAUACUAACAAAAUAAAAUGACACUCCAAGCAAAACACAUAUCAUGUGGUGAAUAAAAAUAUAGCUCCAAGUAAAGUUACCGAUGAACGAAGACGAAAGAGGGGAUGCCAUCCGGGGCAUCCCCAAGCUUAGGCUCUUGGUUAUCCUUGAAUAUUACCUUGGGGUGCCUUGGGCAUCCCCAAGCUUAGGCUCCUUCCACUUAUUAUUCCAUAGUCCAUCAAAUCCUUACCCAAAACUUGAAAACUUCAGCCACACAAAACUCAAAACAAAACUCGUAAGCUCCGUUGGUAUAAGAAAGAAAAACUACCACAUAAGGUACUGUAAUGAACUCAUUCUUUAUUUAUAUUGGUGUUAAACCUACUGUAUUCUAACUUCUCUAUGGUUCAUACCCUUACAUACUAGCCAUAGAUUCAUCAAAAUAAGCAAACAACACCAUGAAAGCAGAAUCUGUCAAAAACAGAACAGUCUGUAGUAAUCUGUAUCAAACGUAUACUUCUGGAACCCCAAAAAUUAUGAAAUAAAUUGAUGGACCUGAGUAAUUUGUCUAUUAAUCAUCUGCAAAAAUAAUCAACCUAAAAGCACUCUCCAGUAAAAAAAUGGCAUCUAAUCUCGUGAGCGCUAAAGUUUCUGUUUUUCACAGCAAGAUCAUAAAGACUUCGCCCAAGUCUUCCCAAAGGCUCUACUUGGCACUUUAUUGAAACAAAAGCUAUAAAACAUGAUUACUACAGUAGCAUAAUCAUGUGGACACACAAAAACAGUAAGGGUUAAUAUUGGGAUGUCUCCCAACAAGAUCUUUUAUUUAAUGCCUUUCUAGCUAGGCAUGAUGAUGGCAAUGAUGCUCACAAAAAGGAUAAGAAUUGAAACAUAAAGGGAGCAUCAUGAAGAAUAUGACUAGCACAUUUAAGUCUAACCCACUUCCCAUGCAUAGGUACUUUGUGAGCAAACAACUUACAGGAACAAUAAUAAACUAGCAUAGGAAGGCAAAACAAGCAUAACUUCAAGAUUUUAAGCACGUAGAGAGGAAACUUAAUAUUAUUGCAAUUCCUACAAGCAUAUGUUCCUACCUCAUAAUAAUUUUCAGUAGCAUCAUGAAUGAAUUCAAGAAUAUAACCAGCACCUAAAGCAUUAUUUUCAUGAUUUACAAGCAUGGAAAAUUACUACUCUCCACAUAAGAAAAAUUCUUCUCAUAAAUAGUAGUGGGAGCAAACUCAACAAAAUAACUAUCAUGUGAGGCAUAAUCCAAUUGAAAACUAAAAUGAUGAUGACAAGUUUCAUGGUUAUCAUUAUUCUUAAUAGCAUACAAGUCAUCACAAUAAUCACCAUAGAUAGCAAUUUUGUUCUCAUAAUCAAUUGGAACCUCUUCCGAAAUAGUGGAAUCAUCACUAAAUAAAGUUGACACUCUUCCAAAUCCACUUUCAUAUUCAUCACAAUAAGAUUCAACAUCCUCCAAAAUAGUGGGAUCAAUACUACCUAAAGUUGACACUCUUCCAAACCCACUUUCAUCAAUAUAACCAUCAUAAAUAGGAGGCAUGCUGUCAUCAUAAUAAAUAUUCUCAUCAAAACUUGGGGGACUAAACAUAUCAUAUUCAUCAAACAUAGCUUCCCCAAGCUUGUGGCUUUGCAUAUCAUUAGCAUCAUGGAUAUUCAAAGAGUUUAUACUAACAACAAUGCAAUCAUGCUCAUCAUUCAAAGAUUUAGUGACAAACAUUUUAUAGAUUUCUUCUUCUAGCACUUGAGCACAAUUUUCCUUACCAUCAUUCUCACGAAAGAUAUUAAAAAUAUGAAGCGUAUGAGACAAACUCAAUUCCAUUUUUUUGUAGUUUUCUUUUAUAGACUAAACUAGUGAUAAAACAAGAAACAAAAAGAUUCGAUUGCAAGAUCUAAAGAUAUACCUUCAAGCACUCACGUCCGAAAAGAGCUUAGUUGACGGGGUGUGAGUACCGUUUACCUAGCCUCCCCGGCAACGGCGCCAGAAAAGAGCUUGAUGUCUACUACACAACCUUCUUCUUAUAGACGUUGUUGGGCCUGCAAGUGCACAAGUUUGUAGGACAGUAGCAAAUUUCCCUCAAGUGCAUGACCUAAGGUUUAUCAAUCCGUAGGAGGCGUAGGAUGAAGAUGGUCUCUCUCAAACAACCCUGCAACAAAAUAACAAAGAGUCUCUUGUGUCCCCAACACACCCAAUACAAUGGUUGAUUAUAUAGGUGCACUAGUUCGGCAAAGAGAUGGUGAUACAAGUGCAAUAUGGAUAGUAGAUAAAGGUAUUUGUGAUCUGAAAUUAUAAAAACAGCAAGGUAGCAAGUAACAAAAGUGAGUGUAAACGGUAUUGCAAUGAUAGGAAACAAGGCCCGGGGUUCAUACUUUCACUAGUGCAAGUUCUCUCAACAAUAAUAACAUAGAUAGAUCAUAUAACAAUCCCUCAAUAUGCAACAAAGAGUCACUCCAAAGCCACUAAUAGCAGAGAACAAACGAGGAGAUUAUGGUAGGGUACGAAACCACCUCAAAGUUAUUCUUUCGGAUCAAUCUAUUCAAGAGUUCGUACUAGAAUAACACCUUAAGACACAAAUCAACCAAAACCCUAAUGUCACCUAGAUACUCCACUGUCACCUCAAGUAUCCGUGGGCAUGAUUAUACGAUAAGCAUCACACAAUCUCAGAUUCAUCUAUUCAACCAACACAAAGUACUUCAAGGAGUGCCCCAAAGUUUCUACCGGAGAGUCAAGAACGUGUGCCAACCCCUAUGCAUAGGUUCAUGGGCGGAACCCGCAAGUUGGUCACCAAAACAUACAUCAAGUGGCACAUGAUAUCCCAUUGUCACCAUAGAUAAUCACGGCAAGACAUACAUCAAGUGCUCUCAAAUAAAGACUCAAUCCGAUAAGAUAACUUCAAAGGGGAAAACUAAAUCCAUUACAAGAGGGUAGAGGGGGAGAAACAUCAUAAGAUCCAACUAUAAUAGGAAAGCUCGGGAUACAUCUAGAUCGUGCCAUAGAGGGAACACGAGAGAGAACACGAGAGAGAGAGAGAGAGAGAUCAAACACAUAGCUACUGGUACAUACCCUCAGCCUCGAGGGUGAACUACUCCCUCCUUGUCAUGGAGAGCACCGGGAUGAUGAAGAUGGCCACCGGUGAAGGAUCCCCCCUCCGGCAGGGUGCCGGGAAGGGCUCCCGAGAGGUUUUGGUGGCUACAGAGGCUUGCGGCGGCGGAACUCCCGAUCUCUCUUGAUAUUCGAUGUUUUUAGGGUACGAGGGAAUAUAUAGGCAAAAGAAGUCGGUCGGGAGGUGCUCGAGGGGCCCACGGGAUAGGGGGGUGCGCCUAGUAGGGGGGGCUCCCUCCUAUCUUGUGGCCUCCUCGAGGGUCUUCUGACGUGAACUCCAAGUCUCCUGGGUGUUAUUCUUCCAAAAUAAUCACGUUGCUGAAGGUUUCAUUCCAUUUGGACUCCGUUUGAUAUUCCUUUUCUUCGAAAUACAGAAACAGGCAAUAAAACAGCAAUAUGGGCUGGGCCUCCAGUUAAUAGGUUAGUCCCAAAAGUAAUAUAAAAGUGUACAAUAAAGCCCAUAAUCAUUCAAAACAGAUAAUAAAAUAGCAUGAAUGCUUCAUAAAUUAUAGAUAUGUUGGAGAUGUAUCAAGGGCAUCUCCAUAGCCCAUUGAUAUGCCUAGUUGAUGUGAGACUAUCUUCUCCCUCCUUGUCUUCAUAACCACCACCAUAUACCACACAUAGUGCUAUGUCCAUGGCUUGCGCUCAUGUAUUGGUAAGAGUUGAAAAGGCUGAAGCGCGUUAAAAAUUAUGAACCAAUUGCUCGGCUCGUCAUCGGGGUUAUGCAUAAGGGGAGUAUUUUGCGUUAUAAAAAUGAAGCAUGGCCUAACUAUAUGAUUUUGUAGGGAUAAGCUUUCUUUGGCUAUGCUGUUUUGAUAAGACAUGAUUAUUUGUUAGUAUGCUUCAAGUAUUACUAUUUUUAUGUUUUAUAAGCUUUUAUCUUGAAUCAUUUGGAUCUAAACAAUCAUGCCACAAUAAAUAGAAUUACAUUGAGAAUUAUGCUAGGUAGCAUUCCACAUCUAAAAUUCUGUUUUUAUCAUUUACCUACUCGAGGACGAUCAGCAGGAAUUGAGCUUGGGGAUGCUUGAUACGUCUCCAACGUAUCUAUACUUUUUAUUGUUCCAUGCUAUUAUAUUACUUGUUUUGGAUGUUUAUGGGCUUUACUCUACACUUUUAUAUCAUUUUUGGGACUAACCUACUAAUCGGAGGCCCAGCUCGAAUUGUUGUUUCUUUUUGCCUAUUUCAGUGUUUCGAAGGAAAGGAAUAUCAAACGGAGUCCAAACGGAAUGAAACCUUCGGGAGCGAUCUUUGUGGAACAAACGCAAUCCAGGAGACUUGGAGUGGACGUCAAGAAGGAGACGAGGCGGCCACGAGGGUGCCCGGCACGCCUUGUAAGGGUGGGCGAGCCCCCACCCUUGUGGGCCCCUCGAGCGUCCACCGACCUACUUCUUCCUCCUAUAUAUGUCCAUGGACCCCGAGAACAUCCAGGAGCACCACGAAAAACUAUUCCCACCGCCACAACCUUUUGUAUCCGCGAGAUCCCAUCUUGGAGCCUUCGCCGGCACUCCGUCGGAGGGGGAAUCGACCACGGAGGGCCUCACCAUCAUCACCAAGGCCUCUCUGAUGAGUUGUGUGUGUUUACCACAGACCUUCGGGUCCAUAGUUAUUAGCUAGAUGGCUUCUUCUCUCUCUUUGAUUCUCAAUACAAAGUUCUCCUUCCUCUUCUUGGAGAUCUAUUCGAUGUAACUCUUUUUGCGGUGUGUUUGUGGAGAUCCGAUGAAUUGUGGGUUUAUGAUCAAGUUUAUCUAUGAGAAAUAUUUGAAUCUCCUCUGAAUUCUUUUAUGUACGAUUGGUUAUCUUUGGAAGUCUCUUCGAAUUAUCAGUUUGGUUUGGCCUACUAGAUUGAUCUUUCUUGCCAAGGGAGAAGUGCUUAGCUUUAGCAGUGACAGCAGGGGCAGCAAGGCACGUAUUGUAUUGUUGCCAUCGAGGAUAAAAAGAUGGGGUUUAUAUCAUAUUGCAUGAUUUUAUCCCUCUACAUCAUGUAAUCUUGCUUAAUGCAUUACUCUAUUCUUAUGAACUUAAUACUCUAGAUGCAGGCAGGAGUCGGUCGAUGCGUGGAGUAAUAGUAAUAGAUGCAGAAUUGUUUCGGUCUACUUGUUGCAGACGUGAUGCCUAUAUACAUGAUCAUGCCUAGAUAAUCUCAUAACUAUCCACUUUUCUAUCAAUUGCUCAACAGUAAUUUGUUCACCCACCGUAAUAAUUAUGCUAUCUUGCGAGAAACCACUAGUGAAACCUACAGCCCCCGGGUCUAUCUUUUAUCAUAUAAGUUUUCCAUCUACUUUUAUUUUCCAAUCCAUAUCAUAAAAAUACCAAAAAUAUUUAUCUUAUCAUAUUAUCUCUAUCAGAACUCACUUCCGCAAGUUACCGUGAAGGGAUUGACAACCCCUUUAUCGCGAAAAAGUUGGUUGCGAGGUUCUUGUUUGUUUGUGUAGGCGCAUGGGACUUGGGAGGAGCCUCCUACUGGAUUGGUAUCUUGGUUCUCAAAAACUGAGGGAAAUACUUACACUACUUUGUUGUAUCACCGUUUCCUCUUCAAGGGAAAAACCAACGCAUGCUCAGGAGGUAGCACUGUUGGGGAUCGUUGCAGAAAUAAAAAAAAUCUACGCAUCACCAAGAUCAAUCUAUGGAGAAACUAGCAACAAGAGAGAGGGGAGUUCAUCUUCAUACCCUUGAAGAUCGUGAAACGGAAGCGUUGCAAGAACGUGGAUGAAGGAGUCAUACUCGUAGCGAUUCGGAUCGCGGUGGAUUCUGAUCUAAGCACCGAACAACGACACCUCCGCGUUCAACACACGUGCAGCCCGGUGACAUCUCCCAUGCCUUGAUCCAGCAAGGAGGAGGGAGAGGUUGAGGAAGGCAGCUCCAGCAGCAGCACGACGGCGUUGUGAUGGUGGAGCAGCAGUUCUCCGGCAGGGCUUCGACAAGCUCAAACGGAGGAGGAGAGGUGUUGGAGAGGGGGAGGGUGUUGGAAAUAUGCCCUAGAGGAAAUAAUAAAAGUAUUAUUAUAUUUCAUUGUUCAUGAUAAUUGUCUUGUAUUCAUGCUAUAACUGUAUUAUCCGGAAAUCGUAAUACACGUGUGAAUACUUAGACCACACUAUGUCCCUGGUAAGCCUCUAGUUGACCAGCCCGUUGUGAUCAACAGAUAGUCAUGGUUUCCUGACUAUGGACAUUGGAUGUCAUUGAUAACAGGAUCACAUCAUUAGGAGAAUGAUGUGAUGGACAAGACCCAAUCCUAAGCAUAGCAUAAAAGAUCGUGUAGUUCGUUUUGCUAGAGCUUUGCAAGUGUCAAGUAUCUCUUCCUUCGACCAUGAGAUCGUGUAACUCCCGGAUACCGUAAGAAUGCCUUGGGUGUGCCAAACGUCACAACGUAACUGGGUGACUAUAAAGGUGCAUUACAGGUAUCUCCGAAAGUAGCUGUUGGGUUGACACGGAUCGAGACUGGGAUUUGUCACUCCGUAUGACGGAGAGGUAUCUCUGGGCCCACUCGGUAAUGCAUCAUCAUAAUGAGCUCAAAGUGACCAAGGUGUUGGACACGGGAUCAUGCAUUACGGUACGAGUAAAGUGACUUGCCGGUAACGAGACUGAACAAGGUAUUGGGAUACCGACGAUCAAGUCUCGGGCAAGUAACGUACCGAUUGGCAAAGGGAAUUGUAUACAGGGUUUGAUCGAAUCCUCGACAUAGUGGUUCAUCCGAUGACAACAUCGAGGAGCAUGUGGGAGCCAUCAUGGGUAUCCAGAUCCCGCUGAUGGUUAUUGACUAAGAGAGUCUCGGUCAUGUCUACAUGUCUCCCGAACCCGUAGGGUCUACACACUUAAGGUUCAGUCACGCUAGGGUUGUAGGGAUAUAUAUAUGCAGUAACCCGAAUGUUGUUCGGAGUCCCGGAUGAGAUCCCGGACGUCACGAGGAGUUCCGGAAUGGUCCGGAGGUAAAGAUUUAUAUAUGGGAAGUCCUGUUUCGGGCAUCGGGACAAGUUUCGGGGUUAUCGGUAUUGUACCGGGACCACCGGAGGGGUCCCGGGGGCCCACCGGGUGGGGCCACCCAUCCCCGGGGGCCACAUGGGCUGUAGGGGGUGCGCCUUGGCCUACAUGGGCCAAGGGCACCAGCCCCACAAGGCCCAUGCGCCUAGGGUUUCCAAGGGGGAGGAGUCCUACUAGUGGAAGGCACCUCCUAGGUGCCUUGGGGGGGAGGGAAUCCCCCCUUGGCCGCCGCACCCCCUAGGAGAUUUGAUCUCCUAGGGCCGGCCACCCCCCCUUGGCACCCCUAUAUAUAGUGGGGGGAGAGGAGGGACUUCAUACCUUGUGCCCUGGCCUUUGGUUGCCUCCUUCUCCCUCCCCAACACCUCCUCCAACUCCAUAGUGCUUAGCGAAGCUCUGCCGGAGUACUGCAGCUCCACCAACACCACACCGUCGUGCUGCUGCUGGUGCCAUCUCCCUCAACCUCUCCUCCCUUCCUUGCUGGAUCAAGAAGGAGGAGACGUGGCUGUUUCCGUACGUGUGUUGAACGCGGAGGUGCCGUCCGUUCGGCGCAGGUCAUCGGUGAUUUGAAUCACGUCGAGUACGACUACAUCAUCACCUUGCAAGCUUCCGCACGCGAUCUACAAGUGGUAUGUAGAUGCAAACUCUCUCCCUAGACUCGUUGCUUAGAUGAACUCAUAGAUGGAUCUUGGUGAAACCGUAGGAAAAAUUUUAAUUUUCUGCAACGUUCCCCAACAGUGGCAUCAUGAGCUAGGUCUAUGCGUAGUUCUCUUUGCACGAGUAGAACACAACUUUGUUGUGGGCGUGGAUUUUGUCAUCUUACUUGCCUCUACUAGUCUUUUCUUGCUCAACGGUAUUGUGGGAUGAAGCGGCCCGGACCAACCUUACACGUACGCUUACGUGAGACCGGUUCCACCGACUGACAUGCACAAGUUGCAUAAGGUGGCUGGCGGGUGUCUGUCUCUCCCACCUUAGUUGGAGCGGAAUCGAUGAACAGGGCCCUUAUGAAGGGUAAAUAGAAGUUGACAAAAUCACGUUGUGGUGAUUCGUAGGUAAGAAAACGUUCUUGCUAGAACCCAAUUGCAGCCACGUAAAAGAUGCAACAACAAUUAGAGGACGUCUAACUUGUUUUUGCAGCGAUUGAUCAUGUGAUGUGAUAGGGCCAGAAGUUGUGAUGAAUGAUGAAUUGUGAUGUAUGAGAUCAUGUUCUUUGUAAUAGGAUUCACGACUUGCAUGUCGAUGAGUAUGACAACCGGCAGGAGCCAUAGGAGUUGUCAUUAUUUUUGUAUGACCUGCGUGUCAUUGAAUAACGUCAUGUAAACUACUUUACUUUAUUGCUAAACGUUAGUCAUAGAAGUAGAAGUAGUCGUUGGCGUGACAACUUCAUGAAGACACGAUGAUGGAGAUCAUGAUGAUGGAGAUCAUGGUGUCAAGCCGGUGACAAGAUGAUCAUGGAGCCCCGAAGAUGAAGAUCAAUGGAGCUAUAUGAUAUUGGCCAUAUCAUGUCACAACUAUAUAAUUGCAUGUGAUGUUUAUUAUGUAUUAUGCAUCUUGUUUACUUAGGACGACGGUAGUAAAUAAGAUGAUCCCUUAUAAAAUUUCAAGAAGUGUUCUCCCCUAACUGUGCACCGUUGCUACAGUUCGUCGUUUCUAAGCACCACGUGAUGAUCGGGUGUGAUGGAUUCUUACGUUCACAUAAAACGGGUGUAAGACAGUUUUACACAGCGAAAACACUUGGGGUUAACUUGACGAGCCUAGCAUGUACAGACAUGGCCUCGGAACACGGAGACCGAAAGGUCGAACACGAGUCGUAUGGAAGAUACGAUCAACAUGAAAAUGUUCACCGACGAUGACUAGUCCGUCUCACGUGAUGAUCGGACACGGGCUGGUCGACUCGGAUCGUGUAACACUUAGAUGACUAAAGGGAUGUCUAAUCUAAGUGGGAGUUCAUAAUUUGAUUAGAACUUUAUUAUCAUGAACAUAGUCUAAAACCUUUGCAAAUAUGUCUUGUAGAUCAAUGGCCAAUGCUAAUGUCAACAUGAACUUCAACGCGUUCCUAGAGAAAACCAAGCUGAAAGAUGAUGGCAGCAACUAUACGGACUGGGUCCGGAACCUGAGGAUCAUCCUCAUAGCUGCCAGGAAACAAUAUGUCCUAGAAGGACCGCUAGGUGACGCUCCCGUCCCAGAGAACCAAGACAUUAUGAAUGCUUGGCAAACUCGCGCUGAUGAUUACUCCCUCGUUCAGUGCGGCAUGCUUUACAGCUUAGAACCGGGGCUCCAAAAGCGUUUUGAGCAUCACGGAGCAUAUGAGAUGUUCGAAGAGCUGAAACUAGUUUUUCAAGCUCAUGCCCGGGUCGAGAGAUAUGAUGUCUCCGACAAGUUCUACAGUUGUAAGAUGGAGGAAAACAGUUCUGUCAGUGAGCACAUCCUGAAGAUGUCUGGGUUGCACAACCGUAUGACCCAGCUAAACAUUAACCUCCCAGAUGAGGCGGUCAUUGACAGAAUCCUCCAGUCGCUCCCACCAAGCUACAAGAGCUUUGUGAUGAACUACAACAUGCAAGGAAUGGAAAGACCAUUCCUGAAUUGUUCUCGAUGCUGAAGUCAGCAGAGGCUGAAAUCAAGAAAGAACAUCAAGUGUUGAUGGUCAAUAAGACCACUAAGUUCAAGAAGGGCAAGGGUAAGAAGAACUUCAAGAAGGACGGCAAAGAUGUUGCCGCGCCUGGUAAGCCAGUUACCGGGAAGAAGUCAAAGAAUGGACCCAAGCCUGAGACUGAGUGCUUUUAUUGCAAGGGGAAGGGUCACUGGAAGCGGAACUGCCCCAAAUACUUAGCGGAUAAGAAGGCCGGCAACACCAAAGGUAUAUUUGAUAUACAUGUGAUUGAUGUGUACCUUACCAGUAAUCGUAGUAACUCCUGGGUAUUUGAUACCGGUGCCGUUGCUCAUAUUUGUAACUCACAGCAGGAGCUGCGGAAUAAACGGAGACUGGCAAAGGAUGAGGUGACGAUGCGCGUCGGGAAUGGUUCCAGAGUCGAUGUGAUCGCCGUCGGCACGCUGCCUCUACAUUUACCUACGGGAUUAGUUUUGAACCUCAAUAAUUGUUAUUUAGUGCCAAGUUUGAGCAUGAACAUUGUAUCUGGAUCUCGUUUAAUACGAGAUGGCUACUCAUUUAAGUCUGAGAAUAAUGGUUGUUCGAUUUAUAUGAGAGAUAUGUUUUAUGGUCAUGCUCCGAUGGUCAAUGGUUUAUUCUUAAUGAAUCUCGAGCGUAAUAUUACACAUGUUCAUAGUGUAGAUGCCAAAAGAUUUAAAGUUGAUAACGAUAGUCCCACAUACUUGUGGCACUGCCGCCUUGGUCACAUUGGUGUCAAGCGCAUGAAGAAGCUCCAUGCUGAUGGACUUUUAGAGUCUCUUGAUUAUGAAUCAUUUGACACGUGCGAACCCUGCCUCUUAGGUAAAAUGACCAAGACUCCGUUCUCCGGAACAAUGGAGCGAGCAACCAACUUGUUGGAAAUCGUACAUACCGAUGUGUGCGGUCCAAUGAGCGUUGAGGCUCGCGGAGGAUAUCGUUAUGUUCUCACUCUCACAGAUGACUUGAGUAGAUAUGGGUAUGUCUACUUAAUGAAACACAAGUCUGAGACCUUUGAAAAGUUCAAGGAAUUUCAGAAUGAGGUGGAGAAUCAACGUGACCGAAAGAUAAAAUUCUUACGAUCAGAUCGUGGAGGAGAAUACUUAAGUCACGAAUUUGGUACACACUUAAAGAAAUGUGGAAUCGUUUCACAGCUCACGCCGCCUGGAACACCUCAGCGAAACGGUGUGUCCGAACGUCGUAAUCGCACUCUAUUGGAUAUGGUGCGGUCUAUGAUGUCUCUUACCGAUUUACCGCUAUCAUUUUGGGGAUACGCUCUGGAGACAGCUACAUUCACUUUAAAUAGGGCACCGUCUAAAUCCGUUGAGACGACACCGUAUGAAUUAUGGUUUGGAAAGAAACCUAAGCUGUUGUUUCUAAAAGUUUGGGGAUGCGAAGCUUAUGUCAAGAAACUUCAACCUGAAAAGCUCGAACCAAAGUCGGAAAAAUGCAUAUUCAUAGGAUACCCUAAGGAAACUAUAGGGUAUACCUUCUACUUAAGAUCCGAAGGCAAGAUCUUUGUUGCCAAGAACGGAUGCUUUCUGGAGAAAGAGUUUCUCUCGAAAGAAGUAAGUGGGAGGAAAGUAGAACUCGAUGAAGUACUACCUCUUGAGCGGGAUAGUGACGCAGCACAGGAAACCAUUCCUGUGAUGCCCACACCAACUGAAGAGGAAAACCAUGAUGAUGAUCAAGGUACUUCGGAUCAAGUUACUGCUGAACUUCGUAGGUCCACAAGGACACGUUCCACACCAGAGUGGUACGGCAACCCUGUCCUGGAAAUCAUGUUGUUAGACAACAAUGAACCUUCGAACUAUGAAGAAGCAAUGACGGGCCCGGAUUCCAACAAAUGGCUUGAAGCCAUGAAAUCCGAGAUAGAAUCCAUGUAUAAAAACAAAGUAUGGACUUUGACAGACUUGCCCGAUGAUCGACGAGCGAUAGAAAACAAAUGGAUCUUUAAGAAGAAGACGGACGCGGAUGGUAAUGUUACCAUCUAUAAAGCUCGACUUGUCGCUAAGGGUUAUCGACAAGUUCAAGGGAUUGACUACGACGAGACAUUCUCUCCCGUAGCGAAGCUAAAGUCCGUCCGAAUCAUGUUAGCAAUUGCCGCAUACUAUGAUUAUGAGAUAUGGCAGAUGGACGUCAAAACAGCAUUCCUUAACGGGCAUCUUAAGGAAGAACUGUAUAUGAUGCAGCCGGAAGGUUUUGUCGAUCCUCAGAACGCUAACAAAGUAUGCAAGCUCCAGCGAUCCAUUUAUGGACUGGUGCAAGCAUCUCGGAGUUGGAACAUUCGCUUUGAUGAGAUGAUCAAAGCGUUUGGGUUUAUGCAGACUUAUGGAGAAGCCUGCGUUUACAAGAAAGUGAGUGGGAGCUCUAUAGCAUUUCUCAUAUUAUAUGUAGAUGACAUACUCCUGAUGGGAAAUAAUAUAGAAUUUCUGGACAGCAUUAAGGCCUACUUGAAUAAGUGUUUUUCAAUGAAGGACCUUGGAGAAGCUGCUUAUAUAUUAGGCAUCAAGAUCUAUAGAGAUAGAUCGAGACGCCUCAUAGGUCUUUCACAAAGUACAUACCUUGAUAAGAUUUUGAAGAGAUUCAGAAUGGAUCAGUCCAAGAAGGGGUUCUUGCCUAUGUUACAAGGUAUGAGACUGAGCUCAGCUCAGUCACCGACCACGGCAAAAGAUAAAGAAGAGAUGAGUGUCAUCCCCUAUGCUUCAGCCAUAGGAUCUAUUAUGUAUGCCAUGCUGUGUACCAGACCCGAUGUAAACCUUGCCGUAAGUUUGGUAGCAAGAUACCAAAGUAAUCCCGGCAAGGAACACUGGACAGCGGUCAAGAAUAUCCUGAAGUACCUGAAAAGGACAAAGGACAUGUUUCUCGUUUAUGGAGGAGACGAAGAGCUCGUCGUAAAGGGUUACGUCGACGCUAGCUUUGACUCAGAUCCGGAUGACUCUAAGUCACAAACCGGAUACGUGUAUAUGUUGAAUGGUGGAGCAGUAAGCUGGUGCAGCUGCAAGCAGAGCGUCAUGGCGGGAUCUACGUGUGAAGCGGUGUACAUGGCAGCCUCGGAGGCAGCACAUGAAGCGAUUUGGGUGAAGGAGUUCAUCACCGACCUAGGAGUCAUACCCAAUGCGUCGGGGCCGAUCAAACUCUUCUGUGACAACACUGGAGCUAUUGCCCUCGCAAAGGAGCCCAGGUUUCACAAGAAGACCAGGCACAUCAAGCGUCGUUUCAACUCCAUCCGUGAAAAUGUUCAAGAUGGAGACAUAGAGAUUUGCAAAGUGCACACAGAUCUGAAUGUCGCAGAUCCGCUAACUAAACCUCUCUCGCGUGCAAAACAUGAUCAACACCAGAACUCUAUGGGUGUUCGAUUCAUCACAAUGUAACUAGAUUAGUGACUCUAGUGCAAGUGGGAGACUGUUGGAAAUAUGCCCUAGAGGCAAUAAUAAAAGUAUUAUUAUAUUUCAUUGUUCAUGAUAAUUGUCUUGUAUUCAUGCUAUAACUGUAUUAUCCGGAAAUCGUAAUACACGUGUGAAUACUUAGACCACACUAUGUCCCUGGUAAGCCUCUAGUUGACCAGCCCGUUGUGAUCAACAGAUAGUCAUGGUUUCCUGACUAUGGACAUUGGAUGUCAUUGAUAACAGGAUCACAUCAUUAGGAGAAUGAUGUGAUGGACAAGACCCAAUCCUAAGCAUAGCAUAAAAGAUCGUGUAGUUCGUUUUGCUAGAGCUUUGCAAGUGUCAAGUAUCUCUUCCUUCGACCAUGAGAUCGUGUAACUCCCGGAUACCGUAAGAAUGCCUUGGGUGUGCCAAACGUCACAACGUAACUGGGUGACUAUAAAGGUGCAUUACAGGUAUCUCCGAAAGUAGCUGUUGGGUUGACACGGAUCGAGACUGGGAUUUGUCACUCCGUAUGACGGAGAGGUAUCUCUGGGCCCACUCGGUAAUGCAUCAUCAUAAUGAGCUCAAAGUGACCAAGGUGUUGGACACGGGAUCAUGCAUUACGGUACGAGUAAAGUGACUUGCCGGUAACGAGACUGAACAAGGUAUUGGGAUACCGACGAUCAAGUCUCGGGCAAGUAACGUACCGAUUGGCAAAGGGAAUUGUAUACAGGGUUUGAUCGAAUCCUCGACAUAGUGGUUCAUCCGAUGACAACAUCGAGGAGCAUGUGGGAGCCAUCAUGGGUAUCCAGAUCCCGCUGAUGGUUAUUGACUAAGAGAGUCUCGGUCAUGUCUACAUGUCUCCCGAACCCGUAGGGUCUACACACUUAAGGUUCAGUCACGCUAGGGUUGUAGGGAUAUAUAUAUGCAGUAACCCGAAUGUUGUUCGGAGUCCCGGAUGAGAUCCCGGACGUCACGAGGAGUUCCGGAGGUAAAGAUUUAUAUAUGGGAAGUCCUGUUUCGGGCAUCGGGACAAGUUUCGGGGUUAUCGGUAUUGUACCGGGACCACCGGAGGGGUCCCGGGGGCCCACCGGGUGGGGCCACCCAUCCCCGGGGGCCACAUGGGCUGUAGGGGGUGCGCCUUGGCCUACAUGGGCCAAGGGCACCAGCCCCACAAGGCCCAUGCGCCUAGGGUUUCCAAGGGGGAGGAGUCCUACUAGUGGAAGGCACCUCCUAGGUGCCUUGGGGGGGAGGGAAUCCCCCCUUGGCCGCCGCACCCCCUAGGAGAUUUGAUCUCCUAGGGCCGGCCACCCCCCCUUGGCACCCCUAUAUAUAGUGGGGGGAGAGGAGGGACUUCAUACCUUGUGCCCUGGCCUUUGGUUGCCUCCUUCUCCCUCCCCAACACCUCCUCCAACUCCAUAGUGCUUAGCGAAGCUCUGCCGGAGUACUGCAGCUCCACCAACACCACACCGUCGUGCUGCUGCUGGUGCCAUCUCCCUCAACCUCUCCUCCCUUCCUUGCUGGAUCAAGAAGGAGGAGACGUGGCUGUUUCCGUACGUGUGUUGAACGCGGAGGUGCCGUCCGUUCGGCGCAGGUCAUCGGUGAUUUGAAUCACGUCGAGUACGACUACAUCAUCACCUUGCAAGCUUCCGCACGCGAUCUACAAGUGGUAUGUAGAUGCAAACUCUCUCCCUAGACUCGUUGCUUAGAUGAACUCAUAGAUGGAUCUUGGUGAAACCGUAGGAAAAAUUUUAAUUUUCUGCAACGUUCCCCAACAGAGGGUUGCGCCUUGGAUGUGCUGCGGCUGCCCUCCCUCCUCGCUUCUAUCUAUAGGGUGAAGGGGGAAGGGGACCGGCCCCUGUAGAUGAGAUCUAGAGGGGGGCGGCGGCCAAGGGAAGGGGGCUUGCCCCCCAAGCCAAGGGGGCGCCCCCUCUAGGGUCCCCCCCAACCCUAGGCGCAUGGGCCCAAGAGGGGUUGUCGUGGUGGGCGCACGGCAGAUGCCAAGUGAUCGCUAAAGAGAGGAGGAGGCUCGAGGGCGCUGGUGGGCUCAAGAGGCAUGGUUGGCAUGCGCGGGCGCGGGACGCCGGACAUACCCAGGUUCGGGGCUCUCCGGAGAGAUAACACCCUAGUCCUGCCGAGUUUAGUUGGAUGGUCGAUAGUACAAUGUUGCUCCUGGAGCUGUAUGGAGGAGGAAGGAAGCUGGCCAAGGCUUGGGCCGCUCCUUCUCUCUGGUGCUGCCGUUGGGUGGCUAGUCCUAUGAUUGCUUGUGUUUCUCUUGUGUCUCGUACAUAUGCCUCUCUCUGUAGGCGCGGGUUCCUGGCUGUUUUAUAGAUCAACCCACCUAGGGUUACAAUGGUAAUACGUCGAGUCGGCUGGGUCCCGCUUGAGGGCUUGUGGUCCGCCGGGUUCCCUAGGUGCGGGCCCCGCAUGCCUAGGGGAACUAUUCACCGUCUUGUUGAUCAUUAGGGCGUGGCCGAGUCGAGUCAUGUAUAGUGCUCUCCGUCAGGUUGCCGCUUGCUGCCGUCAGCGGUGAGGGCAGGAGCACUAUUGCCAUGCCAGCCUCGGUCUGCGGGUAGGUGAAGGGCAUUGUUGCCACGCUCCGGCUGACCAUAGGCAUGGGCGGAAGAACUGUAGUCUUGGUCAUCGAUGAUUAAAGUCUCAUCCCAUUGUACGACCUGGAUGGGACGGGAGUUGACCCGUGGCUGGGUUGUCGUGCACGCCACGGGUGGGGUCAGCUUGUUGGGGAAGCCUUGGUGGCGCCGGGUUGGGUUGUCUUGCGCCAGUUGCCGUGGCCGGGUGGACGUACCUUGCCGAUUCGAAGAGCUUGGCCGGGUUGCGGGCCUUGCCGGGUCGAGCGACCCGGCCAAGCACGUGCCGGUUCGUGGGGCGAUACGGGCCCCACCAUUUUUGAAAAGGAUCCGGGUUCCAUUGCCUGCCCGGGGUUCAUCCCCCCGACAGUAGUCCCCGAAGCUGUGAAGGUCCGCCGUCUUCGGAUGAGUGGGCCUUCGCAGUUUCCCCCUUGAGCAAGGCGGAUUCUGCGAGCGCCGGGUCCGGCAACUCCCAAUGUGUGCCGGUUUUCUCGGAAACCAGAUCACGGCAUCCCGGCUGUGGUGGGAACCGAGGAGUCCUCUGAAUAUUGAGGCAAUCCCUCGGGCUUCGCGCAGGCGCCAUGUGGUGCCCAGAAGACGGAGGGGCCUGACAGGCCACGCGCGUGACGGGACCAGACGAUGGGCCGGGCCCGCCGCCGCGCGCCCUUGGCCCACGCGCGCGGAUUUAUUGCAGUGUCCGAGGGUCGGUUGCUCUUCCCUGAGCAGUUACUGUGCGUGUACGUGCGCACUUAUUGCGGGGUAGUGGAACGGGUGUGUGGAGACGAUCCCACUUCCCCAUGUUUGGACCGAGGGUUAUAAAUUGAGGGGGGCAAGGGGGCGGCGGACAUCAUUCUCGCUCGCGCCCCCCUGUCCCCCUGCUCCUGCUCUGCUCUUCGCCACAGACGCACAGCUGCGCCCGCAGACCCAAGCAGAGCUUCCUUUGUCGUCCAUCCUCUCUCUUCUUCUUAUGAACAUGGCGCUGCCGUCGGGCUCCUGGAUGGGCUCGACUGUCACCACCGAUGACAUCACCCAUCUUCGAGCUUCCCGACGCCUGCCGCGGGAGACGGACGUCGGCGUGCGCCUGCUGCGCGGCGAGCAGAGGCCCCGGCCCGAGGGGCAGGAGCGCGUCGUCUUCCUCACGCAUUUCGAGCAUGGUUUUGGGCUACCGGCGAGCACCUUCUUCCGCGCGUUCUUGGAGUUCUUCGGGCUCCAGCCGCAUCAUCUUGGCACCGGUGCCAUCGUUCAGCUCUCCGGCUUUGUGACCCUGUGCGACAGGUACCUGGGGGUCGAGCCCACGAUCAACCUCUGGGCGCGUUUCUUCUCCUUGAAGCAGCAGGGCCCAUCGGCCGAGGAGUUCGCCGACUGCAGCGCUGCCAUCAUCUCGAAGCGGUCGGGGGCUGAUUUCCCCAAGAUUCAGCUGGAGGAUUCUGCCAAGAAGUGGCAGAACUCCUUCUUCUAUGUCUGUAACCAUGGCGCGGACCAUAUCAAUCUUCCUCCAUUCGCCGUCGCGCCGCCACGGGCGAAGACGAACUGGAGCUACUCGCUCCGGCGCCCGUCGCAGGAGAUCGUCAACCUCUGCGAGCGGGUGACGGUGAUGAGGACGCAGGAGGGGCUCACCGGCACAGACCUCCUUGCUGCGUUCAUCACUCGCCGGGUCCUUCCCGCUUUAGAGGUGCUCCUGCCUCAUCGACGAAAUGAUCGGCCUUCAGGACCCCAACCGCAUGGGGGCGACGCGGCUGUCUGCGGAGCAGGUCGCGUGUGGCAUGAACGACAUCUCCAAGGCCAACCUUGGAGAGGACUGGCGAUUCGGCAAGGCGCCGUAUAGCCAGUCGAACCCGGCACCGCAGGUGAGUGUCUGGUCUUCUUACUUUGCUGCUGCCCAUCUUCUCAUUCGUCCCGACGCGACGCAGGAGAUACUCUAGAACGCGAUUCGGCAUCCUUACACCCGGGCUCCGUCGCAGGUGGCGCCGGUCGCACCAGAGGAGCCCGCUGUCCAAGGCGGUGAGGAGGUGGCCGAGUCCAACGCCGGCGCUGGGCGUCACGCGGGUAAGUCAUGAAUUCUUCUUUCUUUAUUUGUCUUGAAUUGUUGAUCAUGUCACGGUGCGGGCGACACUGACGCCGAUUGUUGGUGUAGUGGCGUUGGGCGGGGAAGGCGGCGACGCGGGCGGAGCCAGGUCAUCUCAUGGGGUAGCGCCGAGCCGCCCGCAUGGUAAAGACAGCGUCCCACCGCGACCCCGGGCCCGGAAGCGCGCGACGGACCCUGCCGAGCCUGGGAGGUCGGCCAAGAGAAGGCGCGGCGGGAGGCCGACCCCGGUCCCGGUCUUGACGGGGUAAGCUUUAUCUUUUGUGUGCGUCCGGAUUGUUGAGCCGGAGUUGUCUUCUUUUUCUUUGGCUUAUUCCGCCUUCUUCUUCAGGUCGCCAAUCGCGCUGGCGAGGGCGGUGGCGGAAGCCGCGGCCGCCGAAGGGGCCGCGUUCCGCAAGAGCUGGUCCGACCUCGCCGACCAAGCCGAGGCAGAGGGACGGACCGACUCGGACCUCUACCUGGACCCGAACGACGCCGAAGCCUUGACUUGGCGGGACAGGAAUCGGGAUGAGGCGGAGCUGGAGGUGGCAUCGGUCUGGGCUUGGACCGACGCGGCGACCGUGUGGGCGCGAGCCGGCGCGGAGCCGGCCUGGCGCGAGAUGCCGGAGGGCACGGUGGUGGCGGCGACGGUCUUUUAGCCGUCGUCGGUGAGGGAGUGCGGCUGGGGAGGCCGGGCUGAGGUGGUGAUCCUCGACCAGGAGGUCGUGCAGGUGGAGGGCGAUACCCCGCCGCGGGCCGACGUGGUUGUGUGCGUGGGGGCUGAUGGUGGUGUAGACGGCGUCGUCUUGGAAGAGGCGCCGCGGGCGGCGGUGCCGGAGGUGCCGCUGGUGUUGGAGGCGACACCACGGAUGGCGGUGCCAGAGUCCACGCCGACAGCUGGACCGGUGGUGGCGCAGUAGGACGUCCCAACGUCCGGACCGAAGGCGGCGACGCAGGGCGUCCCGGCGUCCGGGUCCGCGGAGGAGGUGCUGGCCGCGUCGCGAGCGGCCAGCGGGGAGCACACCUUGGUGCUCCAGCAGGGUGGGCGCCGGGCUGCCGCGCCGCAGCCGGCGUGGAGUGGGGGCGCCACUGUCUUCGGCCUUCAGACCCAGGAGGAGGAGACGCUGGACGCCGUUAGCCGUCGUCUGCGCGGGCGGACGGAUCGGCUCGAGGCCUUUGCCGAGGCCGAGGUGGAGCGGACGCGCGACCUGGAGCGCCAUUCUGGUAAGCCUUCUUUUUUUUCUUGCAAUUUCUUCUUUGUGGGGGCGCGCCAGCGCACCCACUGGGUGUAGCCCCUGAGGUUCGGGCCAACUACAUUGCAGUUGGGUCGAAUCUAAGAGCGUUGGCCUUGUUCUGACUUCUGUCUUUUUCAGCAUCUUGACGCCUUCCGGGUUGCUGCUUUCAACUGUCUCCUGGGCAAGCUUACUGCCAAGGAGGAGGAGCUUCGCGUCGCCGCAGGUACCCUUGUGCUCUUUUCUGGUGGGGGCACGCUAGCGCACCCACUAGGUGCAGCCCCCGAGAUUCGGGCCAACUAUGUAACAGUUGGGCCAAAUCUUAAGUCUUGUCUUUUUUCUUCUGCUGAAUCCUUCUUCUUUGCAGCCGAGGUGCUGUCCUGGCGGACUCGUCUGCUCCAGGCCAGCCAUCACUAUGACCGGCUCGUUGCCGACACUGGCCGUCUUGGCGUCGAGGCGGCGCAGGCGAGGGCGGAGGCGGCCGCGGCCCGACGGUCUCUUGAUGAGGCCAACCGGCUGCAUGAGCAGCUGGCAGGUCACAAGAACCGCCUCGAGGUGGAGCUUCUUAAGGCGGAGGCCGCCAAGGUGGUGGAGACGCAGCAGGCCCUGGUCGAGGCGGACCAGCAGCGCGGCCAGCUGGUCGAUGACAAGGGCCGGCUCUAGGCCGAGGUGGAUCUCCUGCGAGAGCAGGCCACUGCGGCUGAGGGGGCCCAUCAGGACGAGCCCGCCACCGUGAGGCGGCCAAGAAGGCGGCCGCUGACAAGGACGCCAAGCUGAAGGCGGCCCUUGCUAAGGCGGCCAAUCUGGAGAAGGCGCUUGGGGAGCGCGACCGCGCCAUGGAGCGGGAGCAACGUUGUACGUUGCUUGAGGCGCAGCACCUGGAAGAGUCCUUCUCCAGUAAGUCCCGUUUCUUGUAGUUUGCCGGGUCGGGACCCGGCCUUUCUUCCUUGUUGUUCUUCUUCUAACUUGCUUCUUCCUUUGCGACAGGGGACUUCCCAGAGACGCAACGGCUGGCGGAGGAAGCCGUCCGCUAUCAGCACGACCCGACCGGUGUUGCUGGGUCUGGGACGGAUCCGCAGACGGCCUGGACCUUCCCGGAGAUCAUCGCCGCUGCUGAGGCCCGCCUGCGGGUCUUGGGGACGCAGAUGGAGCGGCUGUCCCGGGCCGGCACCGCGAUGACAGAGGCCUUGUGGCCGGAUUCCGUCCAUCCACGCAGCUUCUCGCGCCUGGCGCGUUCGUUGGAGAUGGGUCCGGACUGGCUUGACGAGUGGCGCAUUUUCGCCGGUGCUGAGAUGGUGCUCCGGUUCGUGCUGUCUUGGCAUCCGGAUGUUCAACUGGACGCGUUGAUGGGCCAGCGCGCCGGCUCGGAGCAGUUGCUGUAGGAGCAAGCCGGCCGGAUCACCUCUCGAGCCACCUACAUCGCCGAGUUCGCCUUUCAUGACGAGUUCCAUCUGGAGCGGACGGCAGGGCCGUGGAUGGCGACGACUACGGCUUGCUUCUUCAGGAUCCGGAGGGGAGCUCGAAGGAGACGGGCGUCUACGGCGACGCGGAUGCCGAAGAGGACAUUGGUGCCUCACUGGACCCGGAGGCCGUCAGGGGAGAGCCGUCAACAUCGCGACGUGGCGCUGGAGAUGCCUGAGACACUUCGUGUAAAAACUGUUAAGUAGCAGGUCCACCCACCCACUGGGGGUUUUAGGGUGUAAUGAACUCGGGCCGUGGGCCUUUGCUUAAAUAUUUGUGUGUAAAUGUCGUGAGUGAUUUUUUUCUCUUUGCCGUUCGCUUUUUUGAACCGAUUUCAUACGCUUUUCCUCUCUCAAAGCUCCCCCCCACCCCCACCCCCCCGCGAGUCAGACGGUCGAGGCUCCGGUCUGUGACACGGGGUUCGAUUCUUCGAGAGGGGUGCGCAGGACUUGGGUCCUUAGAAGCAUUGAGCGCGAGCGAAACAGCCACCGGGCCGGCUAGCGGCAAUCCGGCUACUUAUUUGAUGAGUGACGGGCCGGGUUGAUCGACCCGGCGGCCUUUUGACUUAGUGUAUGAAUCGUAGAGGAGCUUUGGCCCGUUGUGCUUGUCCGCCGAUAGCCAAAGCUGGAUCUGUGGUUUUAGGGCGAAGUGGGGGACCGCGGCGUCCCAACUUUAUCAGGAAUCACCAAGUAAGGUGGCGGGGUGGCGACCGAGCCGGCCAGCCCCCGAGCCCCCGGGUCGAGCGAGUCGAGCCGGUGGCCGGGUUCAGUUGUAAAGUGAUGCAGAAAAAUAGGGACGCAAAUAAAUUGGUCAACAAAAGGCAGCCCCCGAGUCUCGUUCGGGGACCCCAUAGUUUCAUGCGUUUACAAAAGGCGACGAUACAUACACUCGUGCGGCUAACUGUAAAACGGGCGGAGGAGUUCCGCGUUCCACGGCCGGGUGUUUCUUCACCGGCGGUGUCCUUGUUGCACUACUUUGACUUGCGUGCGUCUAUGUGGUAGUAGGCAUUGCGAUCGCGCAAGGCCCUGCUCACGAUGAAUGGGCCCUCCCAUGGAGAGGACAGCUUGUGCUGGCCUGCCUGCUCUUGGACGAGUCGGAGGACGAGGUUGCCCUUGCGGAAUGCGAGGGGCUUGAUCUUCUUGCUGUGGUAGUGCCUCAGGCCUUGCUGGUAGAUGGCCGAACGGCUGAGUGCCAGAAGGCGCGCUUCCUCGAGCAGGUCGACUCCGUCUUCGCGUGCCUCUUUGGCUUCGGCUUCGGUGUACAUCGUGACGCGCGGCGAGUCGAACUCGACGUCGGUCGGGAUGACGGCUUCGGCUCCAUAGACGAGGAAGAACGGGGUGAACCCGGUCGACUGGUUCGGCGUGAUGCAUAGAGUCCAGAGAACUACCGGCAACUCGUCAAGCCACCUGCCAGGUGAGCGGAUGAGUGGCUCGACGAGUCGCGGCUUGAUGCCGGAUAGGAUGAGUCCGUUCGCCCGCUCCACCUUCCUGUUGGACUACAGAUGUGCUGUGGAGGCGAGGUCGAGGCGGAUGCCGGAGACGAAGCAGUAUUGCUCAAGCGCACCCUUGGCGAAGUUGGUGCCGUUGUCAGUGAUGAUGCCGUUCGGCAUGCCGUAGCACACCUCUAUGUCCUUAAUGAACCGGACGGCUGUUGGCCCAUCCAGUUUCUUGAUUGGUCUUGCCUCGAUCCACUUGGUGAAUUUGUCCACUGCCACCAGCAGGUGCGUCAUGCCGCCUUGAGAGGUUUUGAAGGUUCCCACCAUGUCGAGUCCCCAGACGGCGAAGGGCCAGGCGAUCGGUAUGGUGUGGAUUGCUGACACCGGCGGUGACUGCGUUUGCUGAAGCGCUGGCACCCCUCGCACUUGAGAACGAGUGACUCGGCGUCAUCGAGGGCCGUGGGCCAGUAGAAACCGUGGCGGAAUGCCUUGGCCACCAGGGAUUGCGAUGCGGCAUGGUGCCCGCACUCGCCCUAGUGAAUGUCGAGGAGGAUGUCGAUGCCCCGAUCCUGCUCGACGCAGCGCUGGAACACGCCGGUGGAGCUGCGCUUGACGAGCUCGUUGUGUGCUGUAGGCGGAUGCCCGACGCUGCACUUGCCGAGCCUCGGUUUCGUCCGUGGGGAGAACCCCUUUCUCCAGAAAUUCUGAUAUCGGCAGGGCCCAAGAUGGGGCCGCUACCACGAUCAAGACGGCCACCUGGGUGGGUUCCAAGUCGGCGGCCCCUGGGCCGGGUUGAGCAGCCCCCGGGUUGGGCACGGAGAUGGCCGGGUCUGGGGUGAUGGUGGCCGGAUUGAGCUGAGCAGCCCCCGGCCAGGUUCAGCGGUCCCCGGGCCGGGUUUAGCAGCCCCCGGGCCGGCUUGCGGUGCGGUCAGGUCCUCUGGGACGUGGAUGGACUCGGGGUCCGGUGAUGUCUUAAUGGACGGCUUGCGCAGGUUCUCGAGGGAGACGCCGGACGGGAUGGCUUGGUGUGACGAGGCGAUCUUAGCGAGCGUGUCGGCUGCUUCCUUCUCCGCGCGCGGGACAUGGAGAAACUCGCAGCCCUCGAAGGAUCUGGACAGCUUGUGGACGAGGAAGCGGUAGCUUGCCAUGUUGGAGUCACGGGCGUCCCAUUUGCCGGAGCAUUGCUGCACCACCAGGUCCGAGUCGCCAUAGCACAGGAUGCGCCGGAUGCCGAGUUCCUUGGCAAGCCGGAGGCCGUGCACAAGGGCUUCAUAUUCGGCGACGUUGUUGGAGGCGGCGAAGUGGAUCUGGAGCGCGUAGCGGAGCCAGUCGCCCUUCCGAGAUGACAGUACAAUGCUGGCCCCCAAGCCGAGUCACAUCUUGGGCCCGUCGAAGUUCAUGCACCAAUGCGUCGAGUUGGGAGGCAGCGGUAAGUAUUGGGUCUCGGUCCAGUCGACGAGGAAGUCGGCCAGGGCUUGAGACUUGAUCGUGGUGUGGGGCUUGUAGAGAAUGGUGUGGCCGGCUAGCUGGAUCGCCCACUUGGCGACCCGGCCAGAGGCAUCCUGGCACCCGAUGAUUUCCUCGAUAGGCGUCGUGCUGAUGACGGUGACGACGUGCUCUUGAAAGUACCGCUUCAGCUUCUUGGCGGUGAGGUACACGCGGUAGCACAUCUUCUGGUAGUGCGGGUAGUUCUGCUUGGAGGUGGAGAGCACCUCGCUCAGGUAGUAGACCGGAUGCUGGACGGCCUGGAUCUUGCCAUCAUCCGGUCGCUCGACCACCAGCACCGUGCUGACCCCCCGCGAGGUCGCGGCUAUGUUGAGCAAUAGCGGCUCCUUGUCGGUCGGCGUAGCCAGGACUGGUGCGGUGGAGAGCAUUCGCUUGAGGUCUUGGAAGGCCUCGUCUGCCUUGCCGUUGCAUUCGAACGGGCUUGUCUUCUUCAUUAGCUGGUAAAGGGGUAGCGCCCUCUCGCCCAGCCAGCUCAGGAACCGGCUGACCGAGGCCAAGCACCCGGUGAACUUCUGGACGUCGCGCAGUCGAGCCGGCUUGCGCAUGCGCUUGAUGGCCUUGAUCUUUUCCGGGUUCGCCUCGAUGCCGCGUUCCGAGACGAGGAAGCCGAGUAGCUUUCCGGCCAGGACGCCGAAGACGCAUUUAUCCGGGUUAAGCUUGACCUUGUAUUCGCGAAGGUUGGCGAAUGUUUCCUUCAAAUCGUCGAGGAGCGUGAGGUGCUGCUUGGUCUUCACCAUGAUAUCGUCCACGUACACGUGGAUAUUGCGGCCGAGUUGCGGCAGCAGGCAUUUCUACAUGCAGCAUUGGAAGGUGGCGCCGGUGUUCUUCAAGCCGAACGACAUGGUGAUGUAGCAAUAUGCCCCAAAGGGCGUGAUGAAGGACGUCUUCAGGGCAUCGGCCGGGUCCAGGUUGAUCUGGUGAUAGCCGGAGUAAGCAUCCAGGAAGGACAGGAGCUCGCACCCGGCGCUCGAGUCGAUGACUUGGUCGAUCUGUGGGAGGGCGAACGGGUCCUUGGGAUAGGCCUUGUUGAGGCUGGUGUAGUCGAUACAUAUGCGCCAGGUCUUGUUCUUCUUCAGGACGAGGACUGGAUUGGCCAGCCACUCGGGGUGAAACACUUCCAUUAUGAAGCCAUCCACCAAAAGCUUGGCGACCUCCUCACCAAUGGUUCUUCUCUUCUCUUCGGAAAAUCGUCGGAGGGGUUGACGGACAGGCCUGGCGUCCUUGCGGACGUGAAGUUUGUGCUCGGCAUACUUCCUCGGGAUACCCGGCAUGUCCUUGGGGGUCCAUGCGAAGAUAUCCCGAUUCUCACGUAGGAAGUCGACGAGCUCGCCUUCCUAUUUGCUGUCGAGGCGGGCGCCUACCAGUGGCGGUGCCAGGAUCGAAACCUUGUGUUGUCAAGCUUUAUACAAAUGAAACAUUUUGUAGGUAAAUUAAACAAGAACACAAAAAGACCAUACUUCAUUUGAUACAUAUUUGUUGUACUAGCUUUUUCUAUCAUAUAUAUUUCAUCUUAAACAUGUCUUUUGAUAUAAAGAUCUUAAACAUUUUUAUGGUAACAACGCGUUGACAAAUGUAUCCAUGUACCAUUGCCAAACUUAAGACCUAACAAAUGACAAAACAAGGUUUUGCUAAAAGAAACAAUAUCUGAAUUUCGUGUGAGAAUAUAAAAUUUCAAGAGAAAGAAGACAAAAACUUACAAACAGAAAAGGAAGGGCCUCGUCCUAUACACUCGCCGAGUCGCUGAAGGUGCAGUACUACGAAGAUCGGAGACUACUAGAGCAGCGGAGGAGGCCGUGCUCAUUGUGGUGAUUCCAGGCAACGGCGACCUCGGCGGUCGGUGAGCAGCAUGGGUAUCCAUGCAUGAUGUGCUUCACUGCUCCUCCCCACGGCGUAGUGCAUGAUUGGCCAUUAGAGAUUAUACACAGGAAGGUGAAAAAGGAGAGAGUUCGAAGGAAUAUCACGGGAUUUCAGGAGACGGUCACGAAGUUGUUUUGGAGGACGAUUAGGAAAGUUAAUAAUGACGUCGGGAGCUUCCUUUUUCUAUAUGGGCCAGCCAAAUCUCACAAAAACUGAUACCAACUGGGCAUGUUUUAGUUAGAGGACCUCUUUUAGUUAAUUUCCAGAACCUGUUUAUUUGGAAGUGGGGUACGAUGUCACGGACUCACGGUAGUGUUUGAGUACCAAAUUCCUGUGUAGUCGCUUGACAACAUAGUCAUAGUGUGGCUUCGCCACUGGCGCCUACGACAACGUACUUGCUGCAGCUGGGGUCUUCCGGGUUGAGCUUCACUCUCUUGGUCUCCUUGGAGGGCUUGAAGGCUGCCUCGUCGACCGGGUCCAGGGUCGGGAUCGACGCAGCGGAGGCCUCACCGGCCAGGGUGACAAUCCAGUCGAGUUGGCGCCGCUCCUCGGCAAUGACCAGCGACUCAGCCAACUUGGCGCUGUCUCGGGCGCACUCCAAGGACUUGCGGUAAUCGCCAGUGAUGGUGAUGAGACCCUUGGGACCCGACAUCUUCAUCUUCAGAUAUGCGUAGUGGGGAACCGCCAUGAACUUGGCGAGCGCGGGCCGGCCCAGCAAUGCGUGAUACGCGCUGGACAGGUCCACCAACUCGAACCAGAAUGGUUCGCGUCGGAAGUGGCUGUUGUCACCGAACAGGACAUUGAGCCAGAACCGGCCAAUGGGCGAGCAGUAGAGGCCGGGUACGAUGCCGUGGAAGAUCGCCCGGGUCGGUUCUAGGUCCUCGGCCUUGAGGCAGAGCUUGGUCAUCGUGUCGCGGCAGAGGAUGUUGAUGCUGCUGCCGCCGUCGAUGAGGACUCGGGAGAACUUGCAUGUACGCCGUGCGACGAUGGUGGGGUUGAGGACGAGGGCGUAGCCACCCAGGCUUGGCAUGACUACCGGGUGAUCCUCCCGGGUCCAGGUGAUCGGGCGAUCCGACCAAUGCAUAAACUCCAGCUUGGCUGGGACGACGGUGUUCACCUCCUGCCGAAAGAGGCGCUCGCUGCGCUUGUCGUUGCCGAGGCUGGUGAAGACGACAUAGGCCGCGUUCUGGUCCGGGUAGGCGUCUUCCGCAUCGCGCCGCCAGCGGGAGGCGGUGGUGGAGGCGGAGGCGGCUGUCCCGCGCCUGGAGCCACAGGCGGAGGAGGCGGGACGUCGCCCCUCAUGAUGCGCUUGGUGAUGGCGCACUGUCGAAGCGUGUGCGUGGAGGGUCUUGCGCCGCUGUGGUGCUUGCAGGGGGCGUCGAGCAUCUCUUCAAAACUCAUGGCGGGUUGCCAUGCCAUCUUGCCGCUUUGCCGGCGCUUCACCGCCGGGUCCGCCGCGGGCUCGGCCGCCGCGACGAGCAGGUUAUCGUGACGCUGCGCCGGCUGGUCGGCCUUGCGCUUGUUGUUCGGGUGAUGCUGCUGCCGGCUGCUUUCACCGGCCAGCUUCGGAGGGGGAACCGGCUUCGCCUUGCCGGCUUCAUCUAGCGCCACCUAGAUCUUCAUGGCGGAGUCUGAUGACCCACAAGUGUAGGGGAUCUAUCGUAGUCCUUUCGAUAAUUAAGAGCGUCGAGCCCAACGAGGAGCAGAAGGAAAUGAUAAGCGGUUUUUAGUAAGGUUUUCUGCAAGCACUGAAAUUGUAGGUGAUAGAUAGUUUUGUGAUAAGAUAAAUAGUAACGAGUAACAAGUAAACAAAGUAAAUAAAGUGUAGCAAGGUGGCCCAAUCCUUUAUGUGGCAAAGGAUAAGCCUGGACAAUUUCUAAUAAUGAGAAAGGAGCUCCCGAGGACACAUGGGAAUUAUCGUCAAGCUAGUUUUCAUCAAGCUCAUAUGAUUCGCGUUCGGUACUUUGAUAAUUUGAUAUGUGGGUGGACCGGUGCUUGGGUACUGCCCUUACUUGGACAAGCAUCCCACUUAUGAGUAACCCCUAUUGCAAGCAUCCGCAAGUACAACAAAAGUAUUAAGGUAAACCUAACCAUAGCAUGAAACAUAUGGAUCCAAAUCAGCCCCUAACGAAGCAACGAAUAAACUAGGGUUUAAGCUUCUGUCACUCUAGCAACCCAUCAUCUACUUAUUGCUUCCCUAUGCCCUCCUCUAGGCCCAAUAAUGGUGAAGUGUCAUGUAGUCGACGUUCACAUGACACCACUAGAGGAGAAGAGAACAUACAUCUCAUCAAAAUAUCGAUCGAAUACCAAAUUCACAUGACUACUAAUAGCAAGACUUCACCCAUGUCCUCAGGAACAAACGUAACUACUCACAAAGCAUAUUCAUGUUCAUGAUCAGAGGUGUAAUAAUAUGCCUUAAGGAUAUGAACAUAUGAUCUUUCACCAAGUAAACCAAUAAGUAUCAACUACAAGGAGUAAUCAACACUGCUAGCAACCCACAGAUACCAAUUUGUGGUUUUGGAUACAAGAGAUGAACUAGGGUUUGAGAGGAGAUGGCGCUGGUGAAGAUGUUGAUGGAGAUUGACCCCCUCCCGAUGAGAGGAUCGUUGGUGAUGACGUUGGUGAUGAUUUCCCCCUCCCAGAGGGAAGUGUCCCCGGCAAAACAGCUCUGCCAGAGCCCUAGAUUGGUUCCGCCAAGUUUCCGCCUCGUGGCGGCGGAGUUUCGUCCCGUAAGCUUGCCCACGAUUUUUUCCAGGGUAAAAGCGAUGAUAUAGCACAAGAUGGACACCGGAGGUCCACCAGGGGGCCCAGGAGAUAGGGGGCGCACCCUAUAGGGGGGCGCCCUAUAGGGGGGCGCCCCCUGUCUCCUGGACAGGGUGUGGGCCCCUGGUGUAUUUCUUUCGCUCAGAAAUUCUUAUUAAUUCCGAAAGUUGUUUCGUGGAGUUUCAGGACUCUUGGAGUUGUGCAGAAUAGGUUUCCAACGUUUGCUCCUUUUCCAGCCAGAAUUCCAUCUGCCGGCAUUCCCCCUCUUCAUGGUAAACCUUUUAAAAUAAGAGAGAAUAGCCAUAAGUACUGAGAUAUAUUGUGUAAUAACAACCCAUAAUGCAAUAAAUAUUGAUAUAAAAGCAUGAUGCAAAAUGGACGUAUCAGAGUCGGCAUUGGCGUACUUGUCCGCCGUCACCAUGAGCGCGGCCAUGGUGGCCGGCUCGGAGUGUAGGAGCUUGUGUUUGAGGAGGGUUCCGUCUCGGCACCCGCUGACGUAGUACUGUAUCGCCUGGACUUCAUGGACGCCCUCGCAGCUGUUCCAGAGCUCGGUCCAGCGUGCAAGGUACUCACGGCCGGUCUCCUCGGCCCCUCCACGCACAUGGCGAGCUGGCUGGGGCGACCGGGUCGCUUGUAGGUCCCCGUAAAGUUGUGGACAAAGGCUUCCACGAAGUCGACCCACGCGUUGAUGCUGCCCAUCGGCAGGCUGUUCAACCAUGUACGGGCCGACCCCUGGACCAUGAGCGGUGCGUAGCGCACGACGAGACGAUGAUUGGCACCGGUGAUGCCAAUGGCCGUAGUGUAGUCGGUGAGCCAGUCUUCCGGCUUCACCGUCCCGUUGUACUUGGGGGUGUCGCGGGGGAGCAUGAACCCUUUGGGAAUGGGCUCCUCCCGGAUGCGUGGUCCAAAGCACGCCGGCCCGAUAGCGCCGCUCUCCCCCAAAUCCAGGGAGCGAGCAAGCUGAUCGAGGCGGUGGCGCGCGUCGGCGUCGUUGAUGGUGCGCGGGCCAAGUCGACUGGCGGCCAGGCCCCGAGGGGCCGGGUCGGUUGGAGCCAGACGUCGGCCAUGCUGGCCGGGUCCGCGCUGGGUCUCCCAGGCGGGCUCAUUGCCCGGGACGUCCGCGGCCAUGGUGGCCGGGUUGCGCCAAGUCCGGGUUCGGCCGGAGUGCACUUCGCCGGGUGGCGAGGAAGCCGUGUGCAGGAGUUCGCCGGGUCCGCCAAGGCGGGCGGAGCCGGACCCCGCUGGCUUGGCAAGCUAGUUGAGGCGAUCCUGCUGGGUGUUGGCGGCGUGGAGGAGCUUGCGCAUCCGCCCGAUGCGCUCUUUGAGCUCCUCGCCCGCGAGUUGGUCGAGGCCGACCGCGGCUGCCUCCGCAGCACGCAUGUUCUUCACUGGGGUCUCGUAGAAGGCCUGGACGGCGCCGAAGGCCCGGCCGAUCGCUCCUCCCCAGGUGCGAGCAUCGGCGACCCGGCUUGGCUCGGCCGCGGCGGGUGUGAAUCCGUGGGCGGCGUCAUGCUCCAACUGAGCGGCCUCCAGGCGACGCCUGGUGGCGGUUCUCGGACAGGUCCAGCAUCUGAUUGCGUCUAUCCUCGAGCUGGGUUCGGGCUUCGACGAUGUUGGUGGCGUCGACGUUGGUGCCGAUGGGGAUGCGGAGGCUUUGCAUCGCGGCGCGCAGCGGGUCGGACGGCACGGUCCGUGCCGCAGCGGCCCCGGCUUCUGCGACCCUCCUCGCCUUGCUCGACGAGGAAGAGGCGCGAUCGCCGGUGACGAAAACCUCCACAUGGACGUCCAUCGCCCCGGCGGCGAUACCGCCGCCGAGGGAGAGUGGAGAGUCGGAGUGCUGAGCACCUCGCUGGGGUACUCGUCGACCACGAACACAUCGGAGAUGCGCAGCGCGGUGAACGAGGCAGCGAGCGCACCGAUGACAUCGUCCGCCAGACCGACAGACUCGUCAAAGUAGGAGAAGGGCCCCGUCUGAAGCAUGCUCGCGGCCAGCUCCUCGAGCUACCCCAUGGUGAGCGCCAACUGUCGUGGUGGGCGCACGGCAGAUGCCAAGGGAUGGCUAAAGAGAGGAGGAGGCUCGAGGGCGCUGGUGGGCUCCAGAGGCGAGGUUGGCAUGCGCGGGCGCGGGACGCUGGACAUACCCAGGUUCGGGGCUCUCCGGAGAGAUAACACCCCUAGUCCUGCCGAGUUUAGUUGGAUGGUCGAUUGCAACAAUGUUGCUCCUGGAGCUGUAUGGAGGAGGAAGGAAGCUGGCCAAGGCUUGGGCCGCUCCUUCUCUCCGGCGCUGCCGUUGGGUGGCUAGUCCUAUGGCUGCUUGUGUUUCUCUUGUGUCUCGUACAUAUGACUCUCUCUGUAGGCGCGGGUUCCUGGGCUAUUUUAUAGAUCAACCCACCUAGGGUUACAAUGGUAAUACGCCUAGUCGGUGGGUCCGUAUUGUCGGUGUCUGGGAUACCGGGCUGGGUCCCCGCUUGAGGGCUUGUGGUUCGCCGGGUUACCCUAGGUGCGGGCCCCGCGUGCCUAGGGGAACUGUUCGCCGUCUUGUCGAUCGUGAGGGCGUGGCCGAGUCGAGUCGUGUAUAGUGCUCUCCAUCAGGUUGCAGCAUGUUGUCGUCAUCGAUGAGGGCAGGAGCACUGUUCCCACGCCAGCCUCGGUUAGCGGGUAGGUCAAGGGCAUUGUUGCCACGCUCCGGAUGACCAUAGGCAUGGGCGGAAGCACUUUAGUCUUGGUCAUCGGUGAUUAAAGUCUCUUCCCAUCGUACGGCCUGGAUGGGACGGGAGCUACGUGGCUGGGUUGCCGUGCACGCCAUGGGUGGGGUCGGCUUGUUGGGGAAGCCUUGGUGACGCCGGGUUGGGUUGUCUUGCGCCAGUUGCUGUGGCCGGGUCGACGUACCUUGUCGAGUCGAAGAGCUUGGCCGGGUUGCGGGCCUUGCCGGGUCGAGCGACCCGGCCAGGUGCGUGCCGGUUCGCGGGACGAUGCGGGCCCUGCCAUUCUUGAAAAGGAUCCGGGUUCCGUUGCCUGCCCGGGGUUCAUCCCCCCGACAGGGGUGGCGCCCAGGCCACUUAGGGGCUGGUUCCCUUCGACAUACUGCCCAUAGGGCCCUCCUGGGCAGGUGGACCCUCCCGGUGGACCCCCGGAACCCCUCCGGUGGUCCCGGUACAAUACCGGUAAACCCCCGAAUACUUCCGGUGACCGUAUGAUGACUUCCCAUAUAUAAAUCUUCACCUCUGGACCAUUCCGGAACUCCGCGUGGUGACCGGGAUCUCAUUCGGGACUCCGAACAACAUUCGGUAAUCACGUACAAAUCUUCCCUUUAACCCUAGCGUCAUCGAACCUUAAGUGUGUAGACCCUACGGGUUCGGGAAUCAUGCAGACAUGACCGAGACAGCUCUCCGGCCAAUAACCAACAGUGGGAUCUGGACACCCAUGUUGGCUCCCACAUGUUCCACGAUGAUCUCAUCAGAUGAACCACGAUGUCGAGGAUUCAAGCAAUCCCGUAUGCAAUUCCCUUUGUCAAUCGGUACGUUACUUGCCCGAGAUUCAAUCAUCGGUAUCCCAAUACCUCGUUCAAUCUCGUUACCGGCAAGUCACUUUACUCGUUGCGUAAUGCAUGAUCCCGUGACUAACUACUUAGUCACAUUGAGCUAAUUAUGAUGAUGCAUUACCAAGUGGGCCCAGAGAUACCUCUCCAUCAUACGGAGUGACAAAUCCCAUUCUCCAUUAGUGCCAACCCAACAAUCACUUUUGGAUAUACCUAUAGUGCACCUUUAUAGUCACCUAGUUACGUUGUGACGUUUGGUACACCCAAAGCACUCCUACGGUAUCCGGGAGUUACACAAUCUCAUGGUCUAAGGAAAUGACACUUGACAUUAGAAAAGCUUUAGCAAACGAACUACACGAUCUUGUGCUAUGCUUAGGAUUGGGUCUUGUCCAUCACAUCAUUCUCCUAAUGAUGUGAUCCCGUUAUCAAUGACAUCCAAUGUCCAUAGUCAGGAAACCAUGACCAUCUUUUGAUCAACGAGCUAGUCAACUAGAGGCUCACUAGGGACAUGUUGUGGUCUAUGUAUUCACACAUGUAUUACGGUUUCCAGUUAAUACAAUUAUAGCACGAACAAUAGACAAUUAUCAUGAACAAGGAAAUAUAAUAAUAACCAUUUUAUUAUUGCCUCUAGGGCAUAUUUUCAAUAGUCUCCCACUUGCACUAGAGUCAAUAAUCUAGUUCCAUUGUGAUGAAUCGAACACCCAUAGAGUUCUGGUAUUGAUCAUGUUUUGCUCGUGGAAGAGGUUUAGUCAACGGAUCUGCGACAUUCAGAUCCGUAUGUACUUUACAAAUCUCUAUGUCUCCAUCUUGAACAUUUUCACGAAUGGAGUUGAAGCGACGCUUGAUAUGCCUAGUCUUCUUGUGAAACCUGGGCUCCUUGGUAAGGGCAAUAGCUCCAGUGUUGUCACAGAAGAGAGUCAUCGGGCCCGACUUAUUGGCAAUAACUCCUAGGUCGGUAAUGAACUCCUUCAUUUAGAUUGCUUCAUGCGCUGCCUCCGAGGCUGCCAUGUACUCCGCUUCACAUGUAGAUCCCUCCACGACGCUUUGCUUGCAACUGCACCAGCUUACUGCCCCACCAUUCAAAAUAUACACGUAUCCGGUUUGUGACUUGGAGUCAUCCACAUCUGUGUCAAAGCUAGCAUCGACGUAACCCUUUACGACGAGCUCUUCGUCACCUCCAUAAAUGAGAAACAUAUCCUUAGUCCUUUUCAGGUACUUCAGGAUAUUCUUGACCGCUAUCCAGUGUUCCAUGCCGGGAUUACUUUGGUACCUCCCUACCAAACUUACGGCAAGGUUUACCUAAGGUCUGGUACACAACAUGGCAUACAUAAUAGACCCUAUGGACGAGGCAUAGGGGAUGACACUCAUCUUUUCUCUAUCUUCUGCCGAGGUCAGGCAUUGAGCUAUGCUCAAUUUCUCACCUUGCAAAACAGGCAAGAACCCUUUCUUGGACUGAUCCAUAUUGUACUUAUUCAAUAUCUUAUCAAGGUAUGUGCUUUGUGAAAGACCGAUGAGGCGUCUCAAUCUAUCUCUAUAGAUCUUGGUAUGUGCCUUUAUGCUAUCCAAAAGGUCUACAUCAUUCCCCAUCAAUAGUAUGCCAUCCACAUAUAAUAUGAAAAAUGCUACAGAGCUCCCACUCACAAUCUUGUAAAUCCAAGCUUCUCCAUAAGUCUGCACAAACCCAAACGCUUUGAUUAUUUCAUGAAAGCGAAUGUUCCAACUCCGAGAUGUUGCACCAGCCCAUAGACGGAGCGUUGGAGCUUGCACACAUUGUUAGCAUUUUUAGGAUCAACAAAACCUUCCGGCUGCAUCAUAUACAAUUCUUCCUUGAGGAAACCGUUAAGGAAUGCCGUUUUCACGUCCAUUUGCCAUAUCUCAUAAUCAUAGAAUGCGGCAAUUGCUAACAAGAUUCGGACGGACUUCAGCUUCGCUAAGGGUGAGAAGGUCUCAUCGUAGUCAACCCCUUGAACUUGUCAGUAACCCUUAGCGACAAGUCGAGCUUUAUAGAUGGUAACAUUACCAUCCACGUCGGUCUUCUUCUUAAAGAUCCAUUUAUUUUCUAUCGCUCGCCGAUCAUCGGGCAAGUCUAUCAAAGUCCAUACUUUGUUUUCAUACAUGGAUCCUAUCUCGGAUUGCAUGGCUUCAAGCGAUUUGUUGGAACCUGGGCCCGCCAUCGCUUCUUCAUAGUUCGAAGGUUCACCGUUGUCUAACAACAUGAUUUCCAGGACAGGGUUGCCAUACCAUUCUGGUGUGGAACGUGUCCUUGUGGACCUACGAAGUUCAGUAGCAACUUGAUCCGAAGUACCUUGAUCAUCAUCAUUAACUUCCUCUCUAGUCGGUGCAGCCACCACAGAAACAUCUUCCUGAGCUGCGCUACUUUCCGGUUCAAGAGGCAGUACUUCAUCAAGUUCUACUUUCCUCCCACUUACUUCUUUCGAGAGAAACUCUUUCUCCAGAAAGGACCCGUUCUUGGCAACAAAGAUCUUGCCUUCGGAUCUGGGGUAUAAGGUAUACCCAAUGGUUUCCUUAGGGUAUCCUAUGAAGACGCAUUUUUUCCGACUUGGGUUCGAUCUUUUCAGGUUGAAGUUUCUUGACAUAAGCAUCGCAUCCCAAACCAUUAGAAACGAUAGCUUAUGUUUCUUCCCAAACUAUAAUUCAUACGGUGUCGUCUCAAAGGAUUUAGACGGUGCCCUAUUUAAAGUGAAUGUAGCUGUCUCUAAAGCGUAUCCCCAAAAUGAUUGCGGUAAAUCGGUAAGAGACACCAUAGAUCACACCAUAUCCAAUAGAGUGCGAUUACAAUGUUCGGACACACUGUUACGCUGAGGUGUUCCAGGCGGCGUGAGUUGUGAAACAAUUCCACAUUUCCUUAAGUGCGUACCAAACUCGUGACUCAAAUAUUCUCCCCUACGAUCUGAUCGUAAGAACUUUAUUUUUCUGUCACGUUGAUUCUCUCCCUCACUCUGAAAUUCCUUGAAAUUUUCAAAGGUUAGACUUGUGUUUCGUUAAUUAGACAUACCCAUACCUACUUAAGUCAUCAGUGAGGGUGAGAACAUAGCAUAGCCACCGCGAGCCUCAACGCUCAUUGAACCGCACACAUCAGUAUGUAUGGUUUCCAAUAAGUUGGUUGCUCGCUCCAUUGUUGCAGAGAAUGGAAUCUUGGUCAUUUUGCCCAUGAGGCAUGGUUCACACGUGUCAAAUGAUUCGUAAUCAAGAGACUCCAAAAGUCCAUCUGCAUGGAGAUUCUUCAUGCGUUUGACACCAAUGUGACCAAGGCGGCAGUGCCACAAGUAUGUGGGACUAUCAUUAUCAACCUUACAUCUUUUGGUAUUCACACUAUGAAUAUGUGUAACAUCACGUUCGAGAUUAAUUAAGAAUAAACCAUUGACCAGCGGGGCAUGACCAUAAAACAUAUCUCUCAUAUAAAUAGAAGAACCAUUAUUCUCGGAUUUAAAUGAGUAGCCAUCUCGCAUUGAACAAGAUCCAGAUACAAUGUUCAUGCUCAAAGCUGGCACUAAAUAACAAUUAUUGAGGUUUAAAACUAAUCCCGUAGGUAAAUGUAGAGGUAGUGUGCCAACGGCGAUCACAUCGACCUUGGAACCAUUCCCGACGCGCAUCGUCACCUCGUCCUUCGCCAGUCUCCACUUAUUCCGCAGCUCCUGUUUUUAGUUACAAAUACGAGCAACCACACCGGUAUCAAAUACCCAGGAGCUACUAUGAGUACUGGUAAGGUACACAUCAAUUACAUGUAUAUCACAUAUACCUUUGGUGUUGCCGGCCUUCUUGUCCGCUAAGUACUUGGGGCAGUUCCGCUUCCAGUGACCGUUUCCCUUGCAAUAAAAGCACUCAGUCUUAGGUUUGGGUCCAUGCUUUGGCUUCUUCCGGGCAACUGGCUUACCGGGCAUGGAAACUCCCUUGCCGUCCUUCUUGAAGUUCUUAUUUCCCUUGCCUUUCUUGAAACUUGUGGUUUUAGUGACCAUCAACACUUGAUGUUCCUUUUUGAUCUCCACCUCCACUGGUUUCAGCAUUGAAAAAACCCCAGGAAUGGUUUUCACCAUCCCCUGCAUAUUGUAAUUCAUCACAAAGCUCUUGUAGCUAGGUGGGAGCGACUGAAGGAUUCUGUCAAUGACCGCGUCAUCCAGGAGAUUAACUCCCAGCUGAGACAAACGGUUAUGCAACCCAGACAUUUUGCGUAUGUGCUCGCUAACAGAACCAUUCUCCUCCAUUUUACAACUGUAGAACUUGUCGAAGACUUCAUAUGUCUCGACCCGGGCAUGAGCUUGGAAAACCAUUUUCAGCUCUUGGAACAUCUCAUAAGCUCUGUGCUGCUCAAAACGCUUUUGGAGCCCCGGUUCUAAGCUGUAAAGCAUGCCGCACUGAACCAGGGAGUAAUCAUCACUACGCGACUGCCAGGCGUUCAUAACGUCUUGAGUUGCUGGGAAAACGGGUGCUUCACCUAGCGGCGCAUCUAGGACAUAUGCUUUCUUGCCAGCUAUGAGGAUGAUCCUCAAGUUCCGGACCCAGUCCGUGUAGUUGCUACCAUCGUCUUUCAGCUUGGUUUUCUCUAGGAACGCGUUGAAGUUGAGGGCAACAUUAGCGUGGGCCAUUUGAUCUACAAGACAUAUUGCAUAGAUUUUUAGACUAAGUUCAUGAUAAUUAAGUUCAUCUAAUCAAAUUAUUUAAUGAACUCCCACUCAGAUAGAAAUCCCUCUAGUCAUCUAAGUGAUACAUGAUCCGAGUCAACUAGGCUGUGUCCGAUCAUCACGUGAUACGGACUAGUCAUCAUCGGUGAACAUCUUCAUGUUGAUCGUAUCUACUAUACGACUCAUGUUCGACCUUUCGGUCUCUUGUGUUCCGAGGCCAUGUCUGUACAUGCUAGGCUCGUCAACUCAACCUAAGUGUUUUUGCAUGUGUAAAUCUGGCUUACACCCGUUGUAUGCGAAUGUUAGAAUCUAUCACACCGAUCAUCACGUGGUGCUUCGAAACAACGAACUUUCACAACGGUGCAUAGUUAGGGGGGACACUUUCUUCAAAUUUUAUGAGGGAUCAUCUUAUUUAUGCUACCGUCGUUCUAAGCAAAUAAGAUGCAAAAACAUGAUAAACAUCACAUGCAAUCAAAUAGUGACAUGAUAUGGCCAAUAUCAUUUUGCUCCUUUUGAUCUCCAUCUUCGGGGCGCCACGAUCAUCAUCGUCACCUGCAUGACACCAUGAUCUCCAUCAUCAUGUCUUCAUGAGGUUGUCUCGCCAACUAUUACUUCUACUAUUAUGGCUAAUGGCUUAGCAAUAAAGUAAAGUAAUUACAUGGCCUUAUUCAAUGACACGCGGGUCAUACAAUAAAUUAAGACAACUCCUAUGGCUCCUGCCGGUUGUCAUACUCAUCGACAUGCAAGUCGUGAUUCCUAUUACAAGAACAUGAUCAAUCUCAUACAUCACAUAUAUUUCAUUCAUCACAUCCUUUUGGCCAUAUCACAUCACACGGCAUAUGCUGCAAGAACAAGUUAGACGUCUUCUAAUUGUUGUUGCAAGUUUUUACGUGGCUGCUAUAGGUUUCUAACAAGAACAUUUCUUACCUAUGCCAAAACCACAACGUGAUAUGCCAAUUGCUAUUUACCCUUCAUAAGGACCCUUUUCAUCAAAUCCGAUUCGACUAAAGUGGGAGAGACAGACACCCGCUAGCCACCUUAUGCAACUAGUGCAUGUCAGUCGGUGGAACCUAUCUCACGUAAGUGUACGUGUAAGGUCGGUCCGGGCCGCUUCAUCCCACGAUGCCGCCGAAUCAAGAUAAGACUAGUAGUGGCAAGUAAAUUGACAAAAUCGACGCCCACAACAACUUGUGUUCUACUCGUGCAUAGAAACUACGCAUAGACCUAGCUCAUGAUGCCACUAUUGGGGAUCGUUGCAGAAAUAAAAAAAUUCUACGCAUCACCAAGAUCAAUCUAUGGAGAAACUAGCAACGAGAGAGAGUGGAGUUCAUCUUCAUACCCUUGAAGAUCAUGAAAUGGAAGCGUUGCAAGAACGCGGAUGAAGGAGUCGUACUCAUAGCAAUUCAGAUCGCGGUGGAUUCCGAUCUAAGCGCCGAACAACGGCACCUCCCCGUUCAACACACGUGCAGCCCGGUGACGUCUCCCGCGCCUUGAUCCAGCAAGGAGGAGGGAGAGGUUGAGGAAGACAGCUCCAACAGCAGCACGACGGCGUGGUGGUGGUGGAGCAACAGUUCUCCGGCAGGGCUUCGCCAAGCUCAAACGGAGGAGGAGAGGUGUUGGAGAGGUGGAGGGCUGCGCCUUGGAUGUGGUGCGGCUGCCCUCCCUCCUCCCCUCUAUUUAUAGGGUGAAGGGGGAAGGGGGCCGGCCCCUCUAGAUGAGAUCUAGAGGGCGGGCAGCGGCCAAGGGGAGGGGGCUUGCCCCCCAAGCAAAGGGGGCGCCCCCUUUAGGGUUCCCCCCAACCCUAUGCUCAUGGACCCUUGGGGGUGGCGCUCAGCCCACUUAGGGUCUGGUUCCCUUCUACAUACAGCCCAUAGGGCCCUCCGGGGCAGGUGGACCCUCCCGGUGGACUCCCGGAACCCCUCCGGUGGUCCCGGUACAAUACGGGUAAACCUUCGAAUACUCCGGUGACCGUAUGAUGACUUCCCAUAUAUAAAUCUUCACCUCUGAACCAUUCCGGAACUCCUCAUGACGUCCUGGAUCUCAUCCGGGACUUCGAACAACAUUCGGUAAUCACGUACAAAUCUUCCCUAUAAACCUAGCAUCAUCGAACCUUAAGUGUGUAGACCAUACGGGUUCGGGAAUCAUGCAGACAUGACCGAGACAGCUCUCCGGCCAAUAACCAACAGCUGGAUCUGGAUACCCAUGUUGGCUCCCAAAUGCUCCAUGAUGAUCUCAUCGGAUGAGCCACAAUGUCGAGGAUUUAAGCAAUCCCGUAUGCAAUUCCCUUUGUUAAUCGGUACGUUACUUACCCGAGAUUCGAUCGUCGGUAUCCCAAUACCUCGUUCAAUCUUGUUACCGUCAAGUCACUUUACUCGUUGCGUAAUGCAUGAUCCCGUGACUAACUACUUAGUAACAUUGAGCUCAUUAUGAUGAUGCAUUACCGAGUGGGCCCAAAGAUACCUCUCCGUCAUACGGAGUGACAAAUCCCAGUCUCGAUUCGUGCCAACCCAAGAAACACUUUUGGAGAUACCUGUAGUGCACGUUUAUAGUCCCAGUUACGUUGCGACGUUUGGUACACCCAAAGCACUGCUACGGUAUCCGGGAGUUACACAAUCUCAUGGUCUAAGGAAAUGAUACUUGACAUUAGAAAAGCUUUAGCAAACGAACUACACGAUCUUGUGCUAUGCUUAGGAUUUGGUCUUGUCCAUCACUUCAUUCUCCUAAUGAUGUGAUCCCGUUAUCAAUGACAUCCAAUGUCCAUAGUCAGGAAACCAUGACCAUCUGUUGAUCAACGAGCUAGUCAACUAGAGGCUCACUAGGGACAUGUUGUGGUCUAUGUAUUCACACAUGUAUUAUGGUUUCCAGUUAAUACAAUUAUUGCACGAACAGCAGACAAUUAUCAUGAACAAGGAAAUAUAAUAAUAACCAUUUUAUUAUUGCCUCUAGGGCAUAUUUCCAACAAGCACCAGGUUCGGGCCUCUAUAUGGAGGUAAUGCCCUACUUCCUGCUUGAUUGAUCUUGAUGAAUAUGAGUAUUACAAGAGUUGAUCUACCACAAGAUCGUAAUGGCUAAACCCUAGAAGUCUAGCUUGUAUGAUUGUCAUGAUCCUUUAUCGACUAGCCUGGCCUUGGCCUAUAUAAUACACCAGAGGCCUGGGGUAACAAGAGUCCUAGACGAAUACGUUGGUCGAGAGGAGUCCUUGUCUUGAUCACCAAGUCUUGUGGAAUACUGCUUGUAUGCGGCAUGGGCUGCCCAAAGUGGCCCAUGUGUGAACUGCCAUGGGGGUCCUCGGCCCAAUCCACCUGGUCGGGAGACGAUGUGGUGAGUACCCCCUAGUCCAGGACACCAUCAGUAGCCCCCUGAACCGGUCUUCAAGUUGGGGACGCUCCUUGAUCCUUCCGAACUGUUCUUCAUCUUCGGUCAUCGGUCUUGAAAACUGGUUCAACAAAUCUUCUCGUCUUCGAUCUUGAGGAUCGCCGAAAUGAAUCCGAAGGGUUUACACAUCGGGUAUCCAAGGAGCCCCUUUAAGAUCUCGACCUUUAUCAAUGCCUUAGGAUUAUUUUUUACGCCACACCUCGGGUUUGAAGUUGUUCCUGUGCGGCGGUGUCCUCUUGCAUCCGAGCUCCAACACCGGACUGCAUUCGAGAUAUCUUUUGCAGCCGAGUACCAACACCGGACUAUAUCCGAGCCCCAACGCCGGACUAUAUCCGAGGUGUCAUAGAUCGCAUUGGCUUGAAAAAGUUUGAAGGAGGUUAUCCGAGUUUAACGCUGAAAAGUUCUCUAGAGAACGAGCCAUUUGAAUCCGGGCUUUAUGCCGGACCACUUCCGAGCUCCAACGAUGGUCAGCGCCCGAGGUGUCGUAAAAUACCUCGGUCUUUUAAAAGAUGCCGAGCUAAAUGUCAGAAAUGCCCUCUAUGGAGCCAGCCACUGGCGCCCAAACAUUAUGCCGGACUACUUCCGAGGUGGUGCACCACCCCGACCGCGGGCUGAUUUUUGUGAAUAUUUUUUAUUGGUGCAAUUUACUCUCUGCCGAGAUAUAUAGCUAGUAUAUGUAUAUCCAGUAGCCCUCAAGGUGUGUGUCAGUCUAAACCCGAGGUGCACCUGAAGGAAAACAUAAAACUGCUGAUCCUGGUAGGCCCUGACACUCAGGUCGAUUUGCAAAAUCGGCCUGAGGAUCAACUCCUAACUCGGCAGGAUACGUAGAAAUAGAAACACAGUGUAAUAUAUUAGAGAUAAUAGUGAUCGGCGAACGGGCCCUUGACAGAGGGUCUUGAGAAGUUGCCGCAAUAUAUUAGCUUGACGCCAUAUAGGUCCAGAUGGUACCUAUUGUUGUCUGAAGACGCGUUUGCCCAUAGUUCGGUCAAGCCGAACACUAAGCACUUUGAAGUUUCUGCAUUGAAUAGGCAACGAAGUAACCCCCGAGACACGGGUCAGGUGGCAACACCAGAUCAGGGAAACGAUGUGCCCCUUUAAUAUUUAUAAAUAAUGAGCGUGAAGCCCAGUAGCCCCAGAGCCUUAAUGUGGGCACGGGAGGCCGAAUUAAGAAUCGAUAUCCGUGUGACAGAAAUUUUGUUCUGUUUAACACAAACUUCUCGAAAAGUGAAUAAAGAUCUCUUAAAGGAGCUAGAACCAGCGUGCUCGCCAAGGUUGGUCCCAAGGUCCUUUGCAUUGAACACAUAAACACUGUUAAGAUCUUUGGGUUUUAUAUUUCUGUUGUGAUCGAACAAAGAUUAAACUUUUCCAGGAGAAUCAUGGGAGCCUUCCGCAAAUCAAACUGUUGAGUUGGUCACGUGGAAUAUCAUAUUGACAUUUAAUAAUCAAACACCAGCAUGUUUGUAUUUUUGGUUGGGCCUAUCGAUCCAAACCCAUGAUACAUAUGUACGAGCAAUCAAAAUGAUCAAAAUUAAGCUAGCAUAUUGAGAGUAUAUAGAAAUGUCCACAGGCAGUUUUGUACCCUACUGUGACAUGUGAAGAUUACACGAGGCAUCAAGAUCCAAAUACACCAUAAUAGUAUAUGUUAUUUCUUCAACAACUACUACUUUGCUAUAAUUGUAUUUUUCAAAUUAGUGUAAAAAGGGACACGACAUGUCAUAAUGUGACAUGCUGAUUGCCAUAAAUAGUUAGAUCACUAUUUUGUGUGAUACAAAGCUAUGGUUGUAUGCACGAAAUGACAUUAUUUGUUUCGGCCCACACAAUGAACAUAUAAUGAGGAUUAUAUAUUUGCGCCAAUAAUAAUUGUGUUUUCGCAUAAUUUGGUGACAAAAAUAUUAGUAGUGAAUCAGAACUCCCUGUGAAUGCCUUUAGCCCUCCUGUAGUUUCCAUCAUUUCAUUACUCUCCUGUUCUUGUUACUAUUAUUUUAGCACACCUUAAUUCUUGUUCACAAACUCUUGCAAUAUUUUCACUUUCACACCUCUUUGAUCAGGAGUUAAAAUAUUUGCAUGCACUAUCUGAUAAACCUCUAGUAGAGGCAAAAGACUAUUUCUUAAUUUUUCUUUCGGGUCAAGACUAUUACUUCAAAAUGGCUACAACUAUAUUGUGUGCACUUGCAUGAUAUCAGAAAAAACAUAUUGAUUGGAAUGCACUAAUUUAAGAAUAAAUUUUUGGAGCAUGUUUACCAAAAGCUUGGUUAUCAUCUUGAUGGAGCAAUUCAGAAAGGAAAUAGGUCUGAAAUCAUUAUCCUAAAUUGCGGAGCCAUUUUUGGAAUUAGAGUAAUUAAAGAAGAGUCAAUGCUCUAAAUAUUGAUUGAACCAUGGUAAAACUCCUCAAACAAUGCACAGAAAUCAGGGGCAAUAGUCUCCUAACAAACUUUAACAAAAUCUGAAUUAAGACCAUCUAGGCCUGGGGAUUCGUGAGAGGGCAAAUUCCUGACUGCUUUAACAAUUUCCUCUUUAGUGAAAGUUUUCUCUGAAAAAAGUAGACCAUCAUUUCUCGUAAGCAAAGAAUCCGAAUUCAUAAGGUUGAAAGUUGGGACAGUAUAGCCAAGUCUUUGCUUGAAAGAUCUACCAAAGAAAGCAGCCUUGGCAUGAUGUUCGGAGUGCCCAUGCCUCUGCUUAUCUCUUAAUAUAGCAAUGUGAUUAUUUCUGAAUAAUUGAUGCCUUUGCAUGAUUUUGUUUUACUUUGCUUCCCCCAAAGGUACCCAUAUAAUAGUGUCUCUUUGUUUCGAGUAGAUUUGCUGGUGUGGGAGAAGCUGAAGGAGAUGAUUUUCGAGGAUUUGUCUGAUUGUUCCACUUAUGAAUUGCAAGAUUUCUAAGUUCUUCAAUAGUGUCAUAGAAUUAAUCACUGAGUUUGGUAGCUUUGAUAGUGGUAGAGAGAUUAGAAAUUAUUUUGGAACACAGUUUUAAACCUUUUCUUGGUCUUUUGAAAUUUGCAUUUACUCUUUUGGAACUAUCAUGUUUGUGAAUUUGUUGGUCCCAAAUAGUAUUAAAAGUAUCUUUAAAGUCUGGGUGUUGCAACCAGUAAAUUUCAAACCUGAAAAUAGAGGACUCCAGAAUAGAUGUACCAAUCCAAAUGAAACAAGGGAUGUGGUAAAAAAAAUAGGUCUGCCCUGAGGAAUAGCCAUAGUGUUUGGAUAAUUAAUAGUCUAGGAUUUAGAGGAGAAUACCCAAUCAAGCUUUUCCAAGAGAGGAGCACUCUGCAUAUUGCUCAAAGUAAACAUUCUGCCUCCAAGGGGAAUUUCAAUAAGAGCAAGGGAAUUGAUGGCUUCAUUUAAAGAAAACAUGGCAUGUGCACUACCGUCUUCUCUAUUUUUUGUUCUUAGGGCAGAUGACAUAAUUGAAAUCUCCAACCACCAACUAAGCCUGAUAAACUGGCAUGCACAUUUUGGAAUCAGUCAAUGAAAGUAGUUAAGUUUUUGACUUGAUAGGGUCCAUAUGUAUUGGUUUGAAUCCAAGACUCACCUAAGUGUAUUGAGGUGAACCUGUUGGAUAUAGGAAAUUCAUUAUGAACGCAACUUCAUUCUGAGCUACAAAGAAACCACUAGAGGCCCUAGAGAGGGCAUAAUUAAAAUUUGCUAAAUAUUUUUGGACCAUAUAGAAGACAAGGUUUCGAUAACAAAUACACGACUUGAUCUUAUGGUAUAUGAUAUUGUACACAAAGCAUAUAUGAUAAGCACUCUGUCUGCAUACUAUUUCUUCCAAAAGAAAGUUCCACAGGUAUCAUAAGGUAACAAGACAUAACCGCCUUGCUAUUCUAUGAUCUACCUAGGACUUCUCUUUGGAAAAUGACAAGGCGCUCCUUUAUUUUUGCAUCCUUAGAGCGAGCACACAACAAUCCAUAACAUAUGUAAACAUCUUACUUUGGGAGCACAACCUUAUGGAUAGACCUCAAUGACAGCUCGAGCUCCCAACUUCUUCACAAUCUUAUAGCCACUGAACCCCGCCUUGACGAAGAUCUCACCCCAGUCCUUCUCAUCGCGCUGUUGGCCUCUUGUCACCACUAGCAUGACCAUAUCCAUGAGGUGUUGGGUUUCCAGCAUUGGCCCUGAAACAGAUCCAAGCACAAUGUCUAUGACGAUGACUUUUCCUCCUGCAUCCCGGGGAGGAACAGCCUUCUUGCAUUGUGCCAGGAUCUUGACGCAAUCCUCGUCGCUCCAGAAGUGCAGUACAAGCUACAUUACCAUGCAUGGAUAAACUUGUAGUUUAAGGUUAAUCAAGCCUGACUAGGAUGAAAUAUGAAGGGAUUUUAUUAUUUUAAGCUGUUAUUAUUUCAGAAAUGAAAACUAAUUAAGCAUUGCUUGAAUAUUUCAAUUUUGCUAAGUCUUAGUGGACUAAGACUUUGUUAUGUAUCGAUCGAUGUUAUAUUCAUUUGAUCUUGCAUGGAGAUUCAUAUAAAAAAAUUAUUUUCAGUUUUUUUUUACUUUUAUAUACUCCAUCCGUCCGGAAAUACUUGUCAUCGAAAUGAAUAAAAGGGGAUGUAUCUAGACGUAUGUCUAGAUACAUUCCUUUUAUGUAUUUCCGGACGGAGGGAGUACUAUAUUACUUGACUGAGACUUUAAGUCUCAAUCGACUAAGACCUAAUCACACCCUUAAUAUUUCACUUGGAAUAAAAAUUAUGGAAUGUGCAACAUUCAUAUCAUAUAUACCUUGAGCAACACGGCUUGAGCAGGUGGGACAACGUGGAACAGGUCACCGGAAACAUACUUAACUGCUCCUUCUUCAGCGGGAAGAACUUUGUCCAUGACCUUUGGAAGGUCCAACACAGUGCACGUGAUGUGAGGGUAGGCCUCGACGAUGGACCUCGCGGUAGUCCCAUCGCCACCGCCGCAGUCAGUGAGAGACUCAAGCCCAUCGAACAGCUCACGGCACUGCCGGAGCACGGGGCCGAUCCCCAUGUGGUCGUGGGCAGCGAGGGCGUCGUGGAGCAGCUGAUCCAUCUCCGGGUCCAGGAGCACCAUGCUCUCCUCGAAGAUGGCCGCGCCAUGCACGUCCUCGAACGGCGAGGGAACGGCUCCAUCGAAGUCCUUCCUGAACCAGUCCGCCAGCCCCAUGGCCGCCUCCACGUAGUAGCGCGAGGCCGCGGCGCGCACGAGGGCCGUCUGGCUAGCGUCGCCGUCGAUGCGGACGCCGUCUACCAGGAGGUACGAGAGCGGGUUGAGGCGGUACGUUCCGGCGUCGGUUGCACUGAAGACGCCCGCCGUGGCGAGUUGGCGCAGCAGGCGGGCGAGGAAGGGCAGCUUGGACGUGGGGAGGGAUAGGGCGGCGACGAGUUCGGAUGGGGACGCGGCGCCGCCGAGGCGGUGAAUGGCAGUGGGGACGCCAAGGUCGACGGCGCACCGGAGCGCCAUAGGCGUGAGGUAGCAGAGGGUGUGGCGCCACAGGUCCGACUGCGCCUGGAGCAGCUCCGUGUCGGUGGGGACAAACACCUUCUCUGCCUGGCCUGCCAUUGCCGAUGAUCUCUAUCUCUCAGUGCUGUACGUGUUGUGCACUUCGAUCUGGUAGAUAUAUAGGGGACGGAGGACACUCUCAUAUAAUAUAGCAAUGUUUGCUGUCAUUUCUCGUGGAACACGAGGGUGAUGACCACGACACUAUAUCGCUAUCGACGGGCCAGGGUAGCGUAUCGAUACAGCGCAGAAAGAAAACUCAAGACUGCUCGCUGUGGCUGGAAAUGGAAUGGAGGCACAUGCGGCUUUGAGAUAGACAGACCGACUGUACACACAUUCCUUUCGUGAAUUCGAAUCGAAUCGAUAAACCUAAAUACUUCAUGGUACACGCACACGAUUUUGCUGAACCGAGCGGGCGUGCUUGGACCGCUCAUUGCGAACGCAUCAUUUGGCCCACGACCGUCAGGUGUUUCCUGGUCGGGGCGAGACGUGGUUAGCUUAUGCGCUAUCCGACAAAACCGGUGUGACACCCUUACUUUCUCUCCUGAAAAAACAAAGGCUUAUCCUUAUCAUCUUUUCAUCGUCUUUAACGUAUCCGGCCAAUAAGCAGUGUGCCCCGGCCGGAGGCCAAGCCAAGGCGGCCAACCGGAGAAACCUGGAGAGCAGGUCAGCCAAGGAGCCGGAAAAGCAGUGCCGCAACCUCCUCCGGCGAGGCAUGAAACCAGACAAAAUUCUCCCAAACAGGUCGGACCGCAGCGGCGCGGUCAUGUUUGCCUUGGACGCACCCCCAUGGUGUUGCUGCCGCUGCUGGUGGAGCUGUGCAAGUUCAUUGGUGUGCACACGCUGCUGCUCAUGGAGUCAUGGUGCCCGGCAUCAUUGGAGCUCAGCUCUUGUACCUACUGCCCGCCGAAUCGCCAGGCAACGUCGUCCUAUUCAGAGCUUACCGACAUGGUGCUCACCUGAAUUCUAAUAAAAAAUUCUAGUUCCUGCAUGGCUGCACAACCUUUAGUCUUGGUUGAUUAUCACGAGUGCUUUUUUGCCUGAGUAGAUUAUCCAAUAGUUAUAGUUGCACAUAUAAUAGUCUUUAGUAGUAUAUAUGAUUUAGAAAGUUGCACAACACGAUCAUACUAAGUUGGCUAGAUGAUGUUUUUGCUUAAAUUGAUCUAUUCUUGUUAGUCGUAUUUUUAGUUGGCAUCCAUGGCACGAUAAUAUAAUAUAGCAAUGUGUUUGCUGUCAUUUCUCGUGGAACGCGAGGGUGACGACCUUGACACUAUAUCGCUAUCGACGGUCCGGGGUAGCGUAUCGAUAGAGCGGACAAAGAAGACUCAAGACUGCUCGUUGUGGCUGCAAACGGAAAGGAGGCACGCGCGUCUUCGAGACAGACUGAUCGACUGUACACACGUUCCAUUCGUGGAUCCGAAUCAAAUCGAUAAACCUAAAUACUUCAUGGUGCACGCGCAUGAUUUUGCUUAACUGAGCGGCCGCGCUUGGACCGCUCAUUGCGAGCGCAUCGUGGGGCCCACGACGGCCAGGUGUUUCCUAGUCGGGGCGAGACGUGGUUGGCUCGAGCGCUAUCCGACAAACCCGGUAUGACACCCUUACUUCCUCUCCUGAAAAAACAAAGGCUUAUCCGUAUCAUCUUUUCAUCGUCUCCCUCGAAUCUGGCGAGGAAGCAGUGUGCCCCAGUCGAAGGCCAUGCCGAGGCGGCCAACCAGAGAAACCUGGAGAGCAGGUUAGCCAAGGAGCCAGACCAGCAGUGCUGCCACCUCCUCCGCCCUCUUUUUAUGAGCUGGAGCCGGAGCCGCCAUGGAACUCAGGCGAGAGGGCCACCCUACGCCCCGCUACUCCUUCCUCCCAUGGUGUUGCUGCCGCUGCUGGUGGAGCUGUGCAAGUCCAUUGGUGUGCACGCGCUGCUGCUCAUGGUGUCAUGGUGCCCGGCAUCAUUGGCGCUCAGCUCUCGCACCUACUGCCCGCCGAAUCGCCAUGCAAUGUCGUCCUGUUCAGAGCUUACGGACAUGGUGCUCACCUGAAUACUAAUAAAAAAAUUUAGUUCCUGCACAGCUGCACAACCUUCAGUCUUGGUUGAUUAUCACGAGUGCUUUUUUGCCUGAGUAGAUUAUCCAAUAGUUUUAGUUGCACAUAUAAUAGUCUAUAGUUGUAUAUAUGAUUUAGAAAGUUGCACAACACGAUGAUACUAAGUUGGCUAGAUGAUGUUUUUGCAUAAAUUGAUCUAUUUUUGUCGGUCAUAUUUUUAGUUGGCAUCCAUGACAUUAUAAUAUAAUAUAGCAAUGUGUUUGCUGUCAUUUCUCGUGGAACGCGAGGGUAACGACCAUUACACUAUAUCGCUAUCGACGGGCCGGGGUAGCUUGUCGAUAGAGCGCAUAAAGAAGACUCAAGACUGCUCGAUGUUGCUGGAAACAGAAAGGAGGCACGUGCGGCUUCAAGAUAGACCGACCGACUGUACACGGAUUCCAUUCGUGGAUCCGAAUCGAAUCGAUAAACCUAAAUACUUCUUGAUGCACGCGCAUGAUUUUGCUGAACCGAUCGGCCACGCUUGGACCACUCAUUUCGAGCGCAUCGUGCGGCCCACGGCCACCAGGUGUUUCCUGGUCGGGGCGAGACGUGGUUGGCUCAUGCGCUAUCCGACAAAGCCGAUGUGAACCAAUCGCUCCCUUACUUCCUCUCCUAAAAAACAAAGGCUUAUCCUUAUCAUCUUUUCAUCGCCUCCAUCGAAUCCGUGCGAGGAAGCAGUGUGUCUCUGCCGGAGGCCAAGCCGAGGCGGCCAACCGGAGAAACCGGGAGAACAGGUCAGCCAAGGAGCCGGACCAGCAGUGCCGCCACCUCCUCCGCCCUCCUUCUAUGAGCUGGAGCCGGAGCCGCCAUGGAACUCACGCCUGAGGGCCACCCUACGCCCCGCUACUCGUCCCGGCGAGGCAUGAAGCCAGACAAAAUUCUCGUAAACCGGUGGGACGGCAGCGGCGCGGUCGUGUUUGCCUUGGAUGCACCCCAUGGUGUUCCUGCUGCUUCUGGUGGAGUUGUGCAAGUUCAUUGGUGUGCACACGCUGCUGCUCAUGGAAUCAUGGUACCCGGCAACAUUGGUGCUCAACUCUUGUACCUACUGCACGUCGAAUCGCCAGGCAACAUCGUCUUGUUCAGAGCUGACGGACAAGGUGCUCACCUGAAUGCUAAUAAAUUUUUUAGUUCCUGCACAGCUGCAAAACCUUCAAUCUUGGUUGAUUAUCACGAGUGCUUAUUUGCCUGAGUAAAUUAUCCAAUAGUUGUAGUUGCACAUAUAAUAGUCUGUUGUUGUAUAUAUGAUUUAAAAAGUUGCACAACAUGAUGAUACUAAGUUGGCUAGAUGACGUUUUUGCUUAAAUUGAUCUAUUCUUGUCAGUCAUAUUUUUAGUUGGCAUCCAUGACACGAUAAUAUAAUAUAGCAAUGUGUUUGCUGUCAUUUCGCGUGGAACGCGAGGGUGACGACCUUGACACUAUAUCGCUAUCGACGGGCCGGGGUAGCGUAUCGAUAGAGCGCAUAAAGAAGACUCAAGACUGCUCGCUGCGGCUGGAAACGGAAAGGAGGCACACGCGUCUUCGAGACAGACUGACCGACUGUACACACGUUCCAUUCGUGGAUUCGAAUCAAAUCGAUAAACCUAAAUACUUCAUGGUGCACGCGCACGAUUUUGCUAAACCGAGCGGCCGCGCUUGGACCGCUCAUUGCGAGCGCAUCGUGGGGCCCACGACGGCCAGGUGUUUCCUGGUCGGGGCGAGACGUGGUUGGGUCGAGCGCUAUCCAACAAACCCGGUGUGACACCCUUACUUUCUCUCCUGAAAUAACAAAGGCUUAUCCGUAUCAUCUUUUCAUCAUCUCCGUCCAAUCCGGCGAGGAAGCAGUGUGCCCCAGUCGGAGGCCAUGCCGACGCAGCCAACCAGAGAAAUCUCGAGAGCAGGUUAGCCAAGGAGCCAGACUAGCAGUGCUGCCACCUCCUCCGCCCUCUUUUUAUGAGCUGGAGCCGGAGCCGCCAUGGAACUCAGGCGAGAGGGCCACCCUACGCCCCGCUACUCCUUCCUCCCAUGGUGUUGCUGCCGCUGCUGGUGGAGUUGUGCAAGUCCAUUGGUGUGCACGCGCUGCUGCUCAUGGUGUCAUGGUGCCCGGCAUCAUUGGCGCUCAGCUCUUGUACCUACUGCCCGCCGAAUCGCCAUGCAAUGUCGUCCUGUUCAGAGCUUACGGACAUGGUGCUCACCUGAAUGCUAAUAAAAAAAAAUUAGUUCAUGCACGGCUGCACAACCUUCGAAGGGGAGCCUUGGCGCAGUGGUAAAGCUGCUGCCUUGUGACCAUGAGGUCACGGGUUCAAGUCCGGGAAACAGCCUCUUGCAGAAAUGUAGGGAAAGGCUGCGUACAAUAGACCCAAAGUGGUCGGACCCUUCCCCAGACCCUGCGCAAGCGGGAGCUACAUGCACUGGGGCUGCCCCUUUUUUUAUGGCUGCACAACCUUCAGUCUUGGUUGAUUAUCACGAGUGCUUUUUUGCCUGAGUAGAUUAUCCAAUAGUUGUAGUUGCACAUAUAAUAGUCUGUAGUUGUAUAUAUGAUGUAGAAAGUUGCACAACACGAUGAUACUAAGUUGGCUAGAUGAUGUUUUUGCAUAAAUUGAUCUAUGUUUGUCGGUCGUAUUUUUAGUUGGCAUCCAUGACAUUAUAAUAUAAUAUAGCAAUGUAUUUUCUGUCAUUUCUCGUGGAACGUGAGGGUAAGACCAUUAGACUAUAUCACUAUCGACGGGCCGGGGUAGUGUAUCGAUAGAGCGCAUAAAGAAGACUCAAGACUGCUCGCAGUUGCUGGAAACAGAAAGAAGGCACGUGCGGCUUCGAGAUAGACUGACCGACUGUACACGCAUUCAAUUCGUGGAUUCGAAAUCAAUGGAUAAACCUAAAUACUUCAUGGUGCAGGCGCAUGAUUUUGCUGAACCGAUCGGCCGCGCUUGGUCCACUCAUUGCGAGCGCAUCGUGUGGCCCACGGCCACCAGGUGUUUCCUGGCCGGGGCAGACGUGGUUGGCUCAUGCGUUAUCCGACAAAGCCGAUGUGAACAGAUCGCUCCCUUACUUCCUCUCCUAAAAAACAAAGGCUUAUCCUUAUCAUCUUUUCAUCGCCUCCAUCGAAUCCGUGCGAGGAAGCAGUGUGUCUCUGCCGGAGGCCAAGCCAAGGCGGCCAACCGGAGAAACCUGGAGAACAGGUCAGCCAAGGAGCCGGACCAGCAGUGCCGCCACCUCCUCCGCCCUCCUUCUAUGGGCAUGAGCCGGAGCCGCCAUGGAACUCACGCCUGAGGGCCACCCUACGCCCCGCUACUCGUCCCGGCGAGGCAUGAAGCGAGACAAAAUUCUCCCAAACCGGUCGGACCGCAGCGGCGCGGUCGUGUUUGCCUUGGACGCACCCCAUGGUGUUGCUGCCGCUGCUGGUGGAGCUGUGCAAGUUCAUUGUUGUGCACACGCUGCUGCUCAUGGAGUCAUGGUACCCGGCAACAUUGGUGCUCAAGUCUUGUACCUACUGCACGCCGAAUCGCCAGGCAACGUCGUCUUGUUCAGAGCUGACGGACAAGGUGGUCACCUGAAUGCUAAUAAUUUUUUUAGUUCCUGCACAGCUGCAAAACCUUCAAUCUUGGUUGAUUAUCACGAGUGCUUAUUUGCCUGAGUAGAUUAUCCAAUAGUUGUAGCUGCACAUAUAAUAGUUUGUAGUUGUAUAUAUGAUUUAUAAAGUCGCACAACACGAUGAUACUAAGUUGGCUAGAUGAUGUUUUUUCUUAAAUUGAUCUAUUCUUGUCAGUCAUAUUUUUAGUUGGCAUCCAUGACACGAUAAUAUAAUAUAGCAAUGUGUUUGCUGUCAUUUCUUGUGGAACGCGAGGGUGACGACCUUGACACUAUAUCGCUAUCGACGGGCCGAGGUAGCGUAUCGAUAGAGCGCAUAAAGAAGACUCAAGACUGCUCGUUGCGGCUGGAAACGGAAAGGAGGCACAUGCGGCUUCGAGAUAGACCGACCGACUGUGCACGCGUUCCAUUCGUGGAUUCAAAUCGAAUCGAUAAACCUAAAUACUUCAUGGUGCACGCGCACAAUUUUGCUGAACCGAGCGGCCGCGCGUGGAUCGCUCAUUGCGAGCGCAUCGUGCGGCCCACGACCGCCAGGUGUUUCCUAGUCGGGGCGAGACGUGGUUGGCUCUUGCGCUAUCCGAACGGUGUGAACCAAUCGCUCCCUUAAUUUCUCACCUGAAAAAACAAAGGCUUGUCCUUAUCAUCUUUUCAUCGUCUCCAUCGAAUCCGGCGAGGAAGCAUGUUAGGAAUAAGCCACGCAUGAGUAUGUGCUCGUGUGUGUGAUCUAUGUGCAUGGGUGUGACCGUGUACAUGCAAGAUUCUGUUAGUGCAUGCCCUGAUUAGUUAGCUAGUUUGUUGGCUUGGCCAGGUCGCCGGACGAGCGUGUAUGUGAGCGUACGUUUCGGUGAAAGAGUUAGCUAGCUAGGUAGGCGAUCCGUUGGGUUCGGCCGUGGCGUGCGUGUCGUGGGAGCGCACGGCCGGGCAUGCAGAUCCUGCGGGCGAGGUGGGCUGUGCGUCGUGCGCCAGCCCGGGUAUAAAUUCUAUAGACGCGGGAUAGUUGUAAUGAACUGAGUUGAGCACCAUGUAGACAUUGCAAAAGGAAGAAAGAUUCGCGCGUUCGUGCACCGGUCCGAGAAACUUGUGUCCACUGCGUUCAUCUCCUUCCUUCUUUCUUGUUCAAGCGAGUGAGUUGAGAGGGAGAGGUAGUUCGGGGUUUGUCCCAACAUUUGGUAUCAUGAGCUGGUUCAUCUUGGGCGUCGUUCUUCUUGCCAGAGGUGUGCCGGCGGUGGCGGAGUUCGCCGCGGUUGCGUGAUGCUCCAGGCCGUGGGUCGGCCUAUGGAGGAGUGCGGCGCGGCGAGGAGGCCACGGUGACUGCGGCGGCAUGGUGAGGAGGCCGACGAGGACCUGCGUGGUGGCGGCUUCAACGAGGACGACGGCGCGGCGAGUGCGUUGCGGCGGCUCGGCGCGACAACGAUGGAGGCGCGUGGCACGGAGCCGCAGCGCUCGUGUCGGAUGCGUCAGGCGCGUGUAUGGGCGCGCGCCGGGCGUGUCAGGCGCGGCGGGACCGUGGUGUAGGGUGGCCGUUGGCGAGCGGGGGUGUGCGCAUCGCGGGCUCGCCGCGCCUAGAUGUGUGCGUGCAUGUCGGAGGGGGCGCGGGCAGAGCGGACGGGACGGGCGCUCGACGUAGGCUGGGACGUGGGUGCGUGCCCGGCGCGUCCCUGCAUAUAAAACCCCACCCGUGUACAUUGUAAUGGCAGUGCCCGGAGUCGAGUUCGAGCUCGAGGGAAUCAAGGUCGUUGGUGUACCAGGAAGAGAAGCUGCGGCGUGUGUCGCCGGAGAUGAAGAAAGCGUUCUCCAUGGCAGUCGACAAGAGGCCGGAGUCCUGUCAGGAUGGGCGGCGAGGUCGUGGCUUAGAUGGGAGAAUGUUAGGAAUAAGUCAGGCAUGAGUAUGUGCUCGUGUGUGUGAUCUAUGUGCAUGGGUGUGACCGUGUGCAUGCAAGAUUCUGUUAGCGCAUGCCCUGAUUAGUUAGCUAGUUUGUUGUCUUGGACGGGUCGCCGGAGGAGCGUGUAUGGGAGCGUACGUUUCGGUGAAAGAGUUAGCUAGCUAGGUAGGCGAUCCGUUGGGAUCGGCCGUGGCGUGCGUGUCGUGGGAGCGCACGGCCGGGCAUGCGGAUCCUGCGGGCGAGGUGGGCUGUGCGUGGUGCACCAGCCCGGGUAUAAAUUAUGUAAAUGCGGGAUAGUUGUAAUGCACUGAGUUAUGCACCAUGUAGACAUUGCAAAGAGAAGAAAGAUUCGGGCGUUCGUGCGCCGGUCUGAGAAACUUGUGUCCACUGUGUUCAUCCCCUUCCUUCUUUUUUGUUCGAGCGAGUGAGUUGAGAGGGAGAGGUAGUUCAGGGUUUGUCCCAACAAAGCAGUGUGCCCCGGCCGGAGGCCAAGCCGAGGCGGCCAACCGGAGAAACCUGGAGAGCGGGUCAGCCAAGCAGCCGGACCAGCAAUGCCGCCACCUCCUCCGCCCUCUUUCUAUGAGCUGGAGCCGGAGCCGUCUGAGGGCCACCCUACGCCCCGCUACUCCUCCCGGCGAGGCAUGAAGCCAGAAAAAAUUCUCCCAAACCGGUCGGACCGUAGCGGCGCGGUCGUGUUUGCCUUGGACGCACCCCCAUGGUGUUGCUGCCGCUGCUGGUGGAGCUGUGCAAGUCCAUUGAUGUGCACACGCUACUGCUCAUGGAGUGCUGGUGCCCGGCAUCUUUGGCAUUCAGCUCUUGUACCUACUGCCCGCCGAAUCGCCAGGCAACAUCAUCCUGUUCAGAAAAAAAUUUAGUUCCUGCACGGCUGCAUAACCUCCUGUUGGGUUGAUUAUCACAAGUGCGUUUUUGCCUGAGUAGAUUAUUCAAUGGUUGUAGUUGCACAUAUUAUAGUCUGUAGUUGUAUAUAUAUGAUCUAGAAAGUUGCACAACACGAUGAUAUUAAGUUGGCUAGAUGAUGUUUUUGCUUAAAUUGAUCUAUUUUUGUUAGUCAUAUUUUUAUUUGGCAUCCAUGACACUAUAAUAUAAUAUAGCAAUGUGUUUAACGUUCCAUUCAUGGAUUCGAAUUGAAUUGACCGACCGUACAUGUGUUCCAUUCGUGGAUUCACAUUGAAUUGAUAAAAGACCGAGUUUAACGUUUUCACGUACGCUACGCUACGCCGUCCUUGAUCGGAAGGAAAGGAAAGGUCUUCCUUCCUUUCACGUUGCUCCACGUGAACGUUCUCCGCGUCACGUUUUUCAUCAUCAAACAAACCAACCAAAACGUGUUUUAACGUUUUCCUUGGUUUCGUCAUCAAACAAUGAAAUCGGUGCACGCCAGCCCCUCACCAGCGGGAGGGCCUCGAGUCCCCGCGGCCGCUGGUGACGGCAAGGCUUCUCCCUGCCACACCCUCAGACAGCAGCAAGGAAGGAGGAAGAGGAGAAGGGGAGGCUAGGCGACGGGAUCUGGGAGCCUCCCGGCUGCCACACGAGGGCGACUCGGGAGGGCGCUGUGGCUAGGCGACGGGAUCUCCUUUCUUCUGGAUAGUUUUGAAGAUGAUAUAGAAGAUUAUGUGUGUCGGGAGUGUCGUGUCAUGUCAUGCCAAACAUUCAGAGCUGCAUGGCGCUCCAACGUCGUCGACGAGGCUCUGUAUGCCUGCCAUCCACGGACGAGCUCCUCACGGCUCUCGCCUCAUCUUCGUCUUCGUCUUCAUCUGAUCGACAAAACCUUUGAAAGGCCACACCUUUCGUAUUUUCUCCAAGUCGUUCCCAGAUCUUCUCUUCCCGACGACCGGGCCCAGGCAUGAACGACAAGCUUGCCGUACGGCCGGGCCAGUGUGCUCUCUCGUCUCUAGUCUGUUGUUCUGUGCCGGGACACCAGCGCUGAGGAAGCAUGCAACUAAUCAAGGCGAUCUCUUUGGACCACACCCGCAACUGAUCACGAGGUCCAAGAGUGGCCAUCGUCCCUGCCGACCAGGGCCGGUCCUAAGAUUUUGGGGGCCUUGGGCGAAACUAUAACCAAGGGCCUCUUAAUAUAAAUAUCAAAAUAAUAAUUAAUAUAUGUCUAUAUCAAAUGUUGGGCGCCUUCUCCACUAUUAUUUCCCUUUCUUUGUUAAUUAUUAAGAUAUCCCCAUUUUUGGAUCAUAGAUAUCCAUAAAAAAUUCUUUUGUGUCUAAACUAGCAUAUUCUAUACAAGAUGAAUUAAAUAUGUGCUCAUAAUCACUUACAUUGUUUUCAUCUGUUGGCUGCCGUUCUGCCCUUGUCUUCUGGAUUAAGGCUAGUAGCCCGGUCAAAACAAAUGUCAUGGCUGGAUUUCUUCAACUCCUCAUAUUACUCUUAGAAAAAACAAAUAAUAAGUGUCACGUGUGUGGCACUUAUAAGGGUCCACAAAAAAUUAUCAGUGUAUCCUCGCUGUAACUAUAUUAGUUCAUUGUCUCAUUCUUUUUUUUUCUUUCCUCACCAGAUGCAUAUGCUUUAGACGGCAUGCCGUGCUAAAAUUUACAGAAUCAGAAAAAAAAUAUAGAAACUAACUCAUAGUUACAAAGGUGUUAAAUCAAUUCAAUCAAAUCUUACCUAACAUCAGUUUAUCAAAGCGAACUCACAAGUUCCAAAUCCCAAUACCAUCUCUUUCUGAAGUGAGUAUGUUGGGGUUGGGUUGUAGUCUAGAUCCUUCACGUACGUGUAUCACAUGAUCUUUAGAUUGGUGAUUUGUUAGAGCUGCAGGAGAAGUCGGAGUCCAUGAGGAGUUCCGGGAGGGGAGGAGAGGGGAGGAGGGAGAGNNNNNNNNNNNNNNNNNNNNNNNNNNNNNNNNNNNNNNNNNNNNNNNNNNNNNNNNNNNNNNNNNNNNNNNNNNNNNNNNNNNNNNNNNNNNNNNNNNNNNNNNNNNNNNNNNNNNNNNNNNNNNNNNNNNNNNNNNNNNNNNNNNNNNNNNNNNNNNNNNNNNNNNNNNNNNNNNNNNNNNNNNNNNNNNNNNNNNNNNNNNNNNNNNNNNNNNNNNNNNNNNNNNNNNNNNNNNNNNNNNNNNNNNNNNNNNNNNNNNNNNNNNNNNNNNNNNNNNNNNNNNNNNNNNNNNNNNNNNNNNNNNNNNNNNNNNNNNNNNNNACCAUAUGCCAUGCCGUGCCGCGGUCCAACGCUUACUCGCCGUGUCACACCUAAGCAAAGCGCCCAAGCAAGAGCUAUACUGGAUUCAUCCUCCAUCGGGAUGGGCUAAGCUCAACAUAGAUGGUAUUCAUGCCCCUUCGACCGGAGAGGCUGGAGGGGCAUGGUUCUACACGAUGAGAGAGGCGACAUCAUCUAUAUUGGUUGUAGAAAAAUUCUUACAUGCGAUAAUGACCUUGGGGCAGAGCUAGCUGCAUGCAGAGAGGGCUUGAAGCUAGCUCUACACCGGUCGAACCUGCCCAUUAUGAUCGAGCUUGACUAUGCCGAAGGAGUGUCUAUGUUGCUAGCACAAACUGAAGCUAGAACACAUCACCGGUUACUCGUAUGGACCCUGCACUGCAGUGUGGGUGUGCUCGGGGCAAGACUUUGUUGUAAACCUUUCUAAGGCUGACAAGCCUCCUUGAGUAAUGAAAUCUCUCUUUACACCGCAAAAACAAAAACAAAAACUUCAAGAAAGGAAAAGGUGUGUCCGUGCAUGUUUUGAUGUGUAGGCAUAUUAAACUAUGUACUAGUCCUCAUCAGCGCAAGAUUGAUGGAUCCGGUCGUCAGAUCUGUGGGAACGAGUGGGAUCAACCACUUCGCUGCAACCAAGACGAGUCCUAUUAACUUACCCUAAAUUGCAAGAUAAUAAGUGAUUGAACCACUCAUUAAUGCCCCGGUCUUUGGUCUCCUGCAUGCAGUACCAUAUCCAGCCAAUCCCUGGCCUUUUGGAGUAAAGGGGUGUUUGUUUACAUGGACUUAUUAGUGUAGGGACUUAAAAAAAUCCCUUUUAGUCCCAUCUGAAACAAACAAGAGGGACUUAUAGAGACUUAAAGUGGACAUUUGGGACUUAUGAAACAAGAUCAUGAGGGAGAGUCUUUUUGGGACUUUUAGUUGUAAUAUGGUCUUUUAGUCAAUGUUUAGUCCCAGAAACCAAAUAUGUAAGGACUUUUUAGGGACUAACGACUUUUUAAUUGGGACUAAAACAAGUUCUAUUACUUAUGAACCAAACAGGGCCUAAAGUCUGUUGAUCCAUGCAGCAUGCAGUAUUGCCUGAGUAAAAUGCUCUGGUAAUCUGCCUAAUUUAAUGCAUGCCGAUUAAUUUUACGGGAAUAUCUGAGAUUCAUGACCCACUCGGAGGGAGUGGUAUAGUCCAGUCAUUAAGGCUAAAACAAUACAUCUUGACCAGCCGUCGGAUCGGCGCAGACGGCUGGGAUCAGUCGGAGAUGGGGAUCAAUCCCUGGUAGGCGGUGACGGGCCAAUCGCAAGCAAGCAGCAAAAUUUCUUUUCUAUUCCUUAGAUUUAGACUAGUAAGUGUGCACGUGUAAAUGCACGUCUCGACUAAUAUGACAAACAUAUGUAUGAAUUAACAUACACAUAAAGAUAUUUUGAUUGCACUCAAAAGACUACUACAAAUCAAGAAACACUUUAGGUCAAGUUUGGCAACAUAGUUUUCUCAAAACAAUAGUAAUCGAAAACCUCAGUAUUCAAUUGCCUAGGCAAUGAAUUCUUCAGUUUUUAAAAAUCACAGUUUUUUCAGUUUAUAAAAAAUUGGUCAAGACCUCUUUCUUAAAUACUACCAAAAAAACCAUGGUACUGGAGAUACUACGGUUUAUAAAGCUAUGAUAUUUGUUGAAGCCAAAAACCUCAACGUUUUGAAAACUUUGGUUUAUGAGAAAGCGGUGGUAUUCUCCAAAUACUUCAAAAAAACUGAGCAGCCAAAUGCAGCCUUAAUGUAUGACCAACUGGUCAUAUGCAUUGAGCCAAAAAAUUAUCCCAGUAUUUCCUAGUAAGGCUAGUGAAUUCUCGUAAACAUGCGGAAUGUUGUUUGCGGCUUCAUUGUUGAUGUAGUUGAGUAGCUGCACCAAAAAUUGCUUCCUUAUCUGGUCACCAUCCUGAAUGAAAAUAGUAAGUCAAUACUGAUCCUGCAAAUUGGUUGAUUUAGUUCUUUCGCAUCCCAUGAGUGCAAUAAAUUAAAAGCAAAAUAACCAGACAAGUUCCUGUAGAUAAAUGCAUUACCAUUAUCUUGAGUGUUAGAAAAACUAAAUAAGAUGCUUUAGUGGGUUUCAUAGGUAGUCACCUGUCUGUGCUUUCUGGAACACAAGCUAGUAAUCGACCAUGGAAAAAUAAACAUCAUUCCAUUUGGGAUUUUCUACUUGGAGUGCUUGGUUUAGGUAAAAUGAGAUGCACAUCCUUCAAAGAUGGAACUCGGCGGGCAUCAACUCUCUUGCGCAUCAUAGUAAACAAAAGCAAGAAACUUAAGGACGAGAGAAGAAAAGAAAGUAAAAUUCAGACAAGUUGAAUUAAUUUGGAAAGGCUAAUGCAUUAGAUUAAUACUAUAAAUACCAUAUACCAAGCAUCAUGCUGAAACCAUAGUGAGUACUUACAACAGUUCUUGUAAUAAUUGAGUACUUACAACAUCUUAACAUUAGAACAUUGUACGCAAUAUCUCAUUAAUGUUCGAAUCAGUAUAAGGGAAUAGAAAUCACAUCCAAUCCCAUAAAAUAUUACAUUUGCUAAGUGCAAUGUCUAAACUGACCGCAACAUAUGAUUAUUCAAGAGGGACAUCACUUUACUAAAUGAAAAUUGUAAAUGAUACAAAAAAAUAAGUAUCACAAAUAUGAAUGGAACUCAACAACAAAACCAAUGAAGCAAAAGCAAAGACUGCUUAUGAGCUAGUUCAUUUAGAUUGAAACUGAUGAGCUAGUUCAUUUAUUAGCUAGUUCCUUGCAUGAGAUGUAUUCUCUUGAGAAACAUGACACCUUAAAAAAACACAGGGCACCUUAUAUUGAACUCAACAACAAAAGCUUGUGUUCUACUAAGUGCCUGUAGAGUUGUCCAUUAACCUGAACAUCAUCAACCUAACUUGGAAAAAUAAAAAUGUUAAUGUCAGAGUUCAUACUUCCAUUUCAUCUUGUGCCUCCUUUCUAUUUCUCUACCAUUGGGUACUCGAGCUUGAAGCUGAUUCUACCUCCAACCUUUACUAGGACAAAACAUAAGACCAUCUCAUUGUCGGAAUUACAACAGUGCUCAAUUCAACAACUAAUUUCUCAGAUUCAUUACUCUAGUAAUUGUUUGUUUGCUCCUAAACUGAUAGUACUCCCAGUUUACAUGUUUUGUCUGUAUGUGUUUUGGCUUUUUCAAACUUGAUUGGUGCUCAUGGUGUUACCAAAUUACCAAUAAGCACCAGCUGCAAUCAAGAAUAGUACACCACCUCUCCACUUAAUCCACAACACAGUCCUACAGAAUGAAGUUAAUUUUUUUCCUCUACUAAUGUAUACAGGAAGCAAAAAAUUCAGUUUCAGUCAUGAAUGUAGUACAAGCUUUUUUCAGGUUCAAACAACAUUGUAGUGGAAGCUUUUUUCAGGUUCAGACAAAUUCGUAAAAUAAUAAUAGGGAAGAAGAAAGUACAACAACUGGUUGUAAUCAUUUGUAACACCGCUUCCAAUGGAGGUUUAACACGUGGUUCACCGACCUUUGGACCGCACAAAAUGAACAAUGUGCUUACAACACUACAGAGCUAGUAACGACUAAAAGAUUUCCUGCAUUGAACAAAGCAAAGUAUCCUCUACAAAAAGGGAUUUGUAAACCAUUGCUACAACAUAUGAUAUUCUUUCCUUUGAAAAUUGUUGUUCGUCGUAAUAUCAAAUUACCAAAAAGAUUAUAGGUGCAACCAAUAGUGCGUACAUUACAAUUCCACAAUCUCCAUUUCACCUACUCGAGCAGACAAUAUUUUCACAAUGACCAGUGUAAACUUUUAGCUCUGUCACAAUAACCAUAAAUGUUUACUAUCCCUGAAGGAAUUUUCGCACAAGAUCGACCCAUUAAAUUUUUGGAGGGUGUGUGUGUGUGUGUGUGUGUGUGUGUGUGUGUGUGUGUGUGAGGGGAGGAUGGGGGCAGGGGGAGUUUGUAGUAAUGCAACCUGUAGCAUUCUGAACAGGAGUCGACACGACAUGCGAAUCCUGGAUGUCCAGGCUGCCUAGCCCAGCCGCUUCCGCCUUGUUGCGAGGCAGGUAAGCCAGUAACCUGCCGGCUGCUCUACUUCCACUGCUGCUGCCGGCGCCAGUUUUAGGUGGUGAGGUGGAAGACCGAAUGAGGAGGGCAGUGAAGGAACUACAGUGAGAUUUUAACAUCAUAAAAUUCUUUAGGAGAUUUAUGUACUCCAAAUAUUCUGAAAUUUGUACACCAGCCAGUAUGCACUCGCUAGCUAGCAACUGAAUUGAUAUAGCAGAUAAUAUUCCCCAUAGUGCACAAAACAAUUGAAGCAGAUGAACAAGCAGAAAUGAAUAUUCAGAUAGGACCAUGCUUACAUAAUGGCUACCUUCCAGAUGGAGAAGUUGAGGAGGAGGAUAGGCACCAUCAUAUCGGCCGCUGCCACCGCCGAAUGUCCCCAUAUCCUCCUCUUCCUACUGUCACUGUUCAUUUGCUCGUCCAGCGCUUGCGUGCAGCUUCUGGCAGCAAGAAGCACCAAAGAACUUUAAAUACCUUACCAUAUUUUUAUAAAUGGCAUCCCUAAAAUCAAAAGGUUGGAACUUCAAAGGAAAAGAUCACAGCAACAAACUAUGGAUUAUGUUGUUGCAAACUUGCAACUGCAGGAAAAUUUACCUUUUUCUGUACAUAAAUACCUUAUAACCUUUUCUAUUAACAGAUGCUGUAGAGAUGCUGUUACUUAAACAAAAAUGCAGGAAAAUAUCAUAUGAAAUCAUCGAUCUGGAUCCUUUUUUAAAUACAACAACGGAUCCAUGUAAGAAGAAUUAAACCUAAAAACCAGAGUACUGCAUACAAACUAUGAGCUAGCUUACUUUUUGCAUGGCUAACAACUUGAAAAUCUUGCAACAGAUGUAACAAUAAAAAAAUCUAUUAGACAUGAUUUUGAAAAAUCUUGUAACUGGCAUGUCAAACGUAUAGGGUAAUAUCAGAAGUCCAGGUGCUAGUCACAUGAACCUGCACCAUGUAGGUAAUUAUCCAGAACAAAAAUAACCUAUUGUUGAACUUGUCACAAACCAUGGAAGAAAUCACAUCAAGUCAGUAUAACGAUUAUCCCUCGUCAGAUAAAAAGUUGCUGGAAUAUUUUUUUAUCGACAAUAAUAGUACAGUUCAUAACAAAUAAAUCAAGAUCGAGCUCGAGCCUAUAUUCAGAAUCAGACCAAAAAACUUAGAUAAUUUAAUUUAGGAUCUGAAAGAGGGGGGAGAGCUUAAUGGGUGGUUGUGCUCCCGAUCUAGCGGAAGAGUAUGAAGUAGGCGCUACAGACCACUAGCAUACGGGAGCCAUCAAUCAACUGUCUCGAGGUCGAGCAGUGGCAGGGAGCAGACGUCCAUGUAGUGAAGCCUGCGGAUGGUAUACCGCAUCAGCGCGUGCUUGAGCAAAGGGAAGAAGGGGCGGAUGGUAGAGUGUACCAACGGGGAGGAGGCCCUAUGGAAGGAGACAGAGACAGGAAGACCCGCUUCACGCCGCCACCUCCUUCGAUCCGUGUUGGUCGUCGAAGCUUGGUUGGUUGUUGCCCGGGGGCCGUGGGCUAUGGCGGCUCGAUGAAGAUGAAAGAACGGUGUACGACGGUGCAAGUGGGAGGGAAGAGGAUGGGCGCGAGGUGGUAAAUGACUGGCGGUCGGAAGGGGAAGAGGGGGCAGCGAGAUCUCCGUCAUGGUCGUGGGCGACGGGCGUUGGCUUGGUUUCUUCCAAGGGAGGCGCCGGAGAGGGAGGCCGCGGGGCAUGCUCCGGCAGUUGGGCGGUGGAGGCAAUUGGGUGGGCUCAGAGAAAAUAGUGGGGGAUGGGCGCGGGGGCGGUGGAGGCACGGGCGGGGUUAGUGUGAUUUCUUUUUUCUUUUCUUUGAAGUGUUUGUGCGGGUUAGUGCGGUUGCUAAAACAUGUGUUUGAUCUAAAACGCAUUUGAUGAGCGAUCUGGAACCUACAAAAAUCAAUAGACGGAUGAGAUGUUGUUUUGUUCGGUGAAGGAGAGGAACGAUUCAUUCCUUCCCUCGCCGCCCCGUCUCCCUCGCACGCCGCCGGCCAUGGCCUCCGCCCUCUCCCUCUCACCCUCACUCGCCGCCGGCCACCGCCCUCUCCUACUCUCAUCCCCUCCCCUCUUCACAAGAUAAGAUAAGAGAAGAGAAGAGGGAGAUAGAGAGAGCGGGCAGUUCAGGCGGCGGCCCAGAUACGCCGCGGCCGCCCAGGGCCUCGACGGAAGUAGGCUCAAUCGCUCGCUCGUGCGCCAGGACAGGACCUCGGACGGCUCGGCCCUGCGCGAGGAUGGCUAAUUUUUUUAACAUAAUACAUUUUUCUAACUAAUUUGCAUAAAUAUUACGCCGAUAUUUUUAUUUUUAAAAAUGAUACACCAUCGGCCCGCUGCAGGCCGACUGAGCCUAGUCGGCGCACCGCAGACCGAUUGUCUUCCAGUCGACCCGCAGCAAGCCGACUGGGACUAAUUGGCUUGCUGCGAACCAAUUAGUCCAGUCGGCUUGCUGCCGGCCGACUGGAAGCCAAUCGGCCUGUGGUGGGCUGAUUAGGUGCAUGUGGCCAUUUUUUUUUUCUGUUUUUGGUUUUAGUUGUUGUUUUCUAUUUAUUCUAGCUAUCAAAUGAAUCUAGUUUGUGUUGAAACUUUUUGCAUAAAUUACUAGCAAUAUUAACAAGCCACAUAUAAAUUUUCAUAUUUUUUGGAAAACCAAAUUUUUACAAUUGUAUUUAGCUCCUGGUGAAUAUAGAUCGGGUUUAAAUUUAUCUAUCCAAAUUGAUUUUUUUUUAUUUUUAUAGAAGUUAAAAUAUCAAGGAGAAUAAUUUAAUUUUUUUGUGAAACAAUUUGAGAAUACAUUUUUAGCUUAUGAAACAAUUUGAAACAAUAUGAAACAUUUUUUGUGAAAUAAUUUGAGGAAAAUUCUUUUUUGGCUUAUGAAACAAUUUGAGAAUACUUUUUUGGCUUAUGAAACAAUUUGUGAAUUUUCCUCAAAUUGUUUCAGAAAAAUUGUUUCAAAUUGUUUCAUAAGCCAAAAAAAAUUCCUCAAAUUGUUUCACAAAAAUGUUUAAACCAUUCUCCUCAAUAUUUUAACAUUUAUAAAAAUCAAAAAAAUUAAUUUGGAUAAAUUAAUUUAAAUCCUAUCUGUUUCACCAGGAGCUAUCAAAUGUAAAUAUGUGGUUUUCCAAAAAUUAUGAAAAUUUGUAUGUGGCUUGUUAAUAUUGCUAGUAAUUUAUGCAAAAAGUUUCAACACAAACCAGAUUCAUUUGAUUGCUAGAAUAAAUAGAAAACGACAACUAAAACCAAAAACAGAAAAAGAAAAAUGGUCAUAUGCACCUAGUCGGCCCACAGCAUGCCGAUUGGCCUCUAGUCGGCCCGCAGCAAGCCGACUGGGACUAAUUGGCUUGCUGCGAACCAAUUAAUCCCAGUUGGCUUGCUGCGGGCCGACUGGAGGCCAAUCGGCCAACGGUGGGCCGACUAGGCUCAGUCGGCCUGCAGCGGGCCGAUGGUGUAUUAUUUUUGAAAAUAAAAAUAUCAGCGUAAUAUUUAUACUAAUUAAAUAAGUAAAUGUAUUAUAUUAUUUUAAAAAAACUAGCGCGAGGAUGCGGCCGUCUGCUCGUCCGUGCGGUUCCGCUUUUGCCUGCUCUGUGCCCACGCCAUGGAGAUGGAGCUUCCUCUGUUUGCUCCCCUCUCUCGCCCACCUUGGAUCUGCUCUUAUCCCCUCCCGUUCCAUCAUUUGGUUCCCUGCUCACGCAGGCACGCGUCCGACACCACCAGCAUUGAACCCUAGCCGGCAUUGUUUGGCUGGGAGAAGCAGCUCCCCUCCUCGUCGGCUACCCCUGCCUGCCCCUCCGCUCUGCUCUCUCGUGUGCCCACGAUGGCCUUCUUGUUCCUAAUUUUGAUUUGGACACCGUAUACACAUGAUGAGGAUUAGGCAUGUGUAAUGGGGAUUGGGAUGCAGAUUCCAUAUCUGCAAGUGUAAUGACUAGAAACUGAUCAAGUUCCUCCUGAGUUCAGAUCCCAAUUUGCUUGCUGCAUUACACUAAAUGGCUGUGUGAAAACUGAAACUUUGAUCACAUAUAUAAUUUUGUCUGGUCAAUGGUUAGUGCACCCCCUCCUCCAAUUUGUCUAGAUCAGGCUUAUGUGUUAUCUUCAUUACAUCCUCUACUAGCAAAACGAUCCAAGUGAAAAAUUAACAAUUUCCUGCGAGAUUGUCAAGCGUGGGCAUCCUUUUGUAUUUAUAGUCUCCAAAAGUUAUAGAUAGGAGGCACAUGGUGUUUCGAAAUAUUACAUGCAUUGCCUACUGCUUGGUGCCUAUAUUUACAGCUUCUUCCUGCGUCUGCUGACUCUAUUUCUUUCAUGCCCUGUUGUUGUUCUUCCAGGGAGACCGUUACUGUGAUUUCCCUGUGCUCGUUUGGAGGAGGCGUUCAUUCCUUUUAAGCCCCCACUACUAGGAAAAACAUUAUACACAGAAACUUACUAGUAGCGCGGGCUAAAAAAAAGCGCUACUAUAAUUUACCACUACCGCGUGUGAAAUAAUCGUGCUGCAGCUAAGUUUGUAGCAGUAGCGUGUCUUGCUAAAGAAGCGCUAUUACUACAAUUCCCCUACUGUUCUCGACAGGCUACCAUUAGUAGUAGCAUGCUUAGAAAAAGUGCGCUGCUGCUAAGACUAUUGUAGCAGCGUGUUUUACGCAGAAAACGCUACUGCUAAGGAAAGAAAAAUAAAAUGAAAAACAUAUAGAAAAGUAAAUGAAAAUGAAAGAAAUAGAAAAAUGGGAAGGAAAAAAAGAAAAUGUGAAUGAAAAUAAAUGAAAAAUAAAAAUAAGGGAGAAAGACGUAGCAGCAGCGGGCUUUUUGGACACGCGCUAUAGCUAUCUUAGCAGCAGCGCUUGUUGCCAUCCAGCCCUAUAGCUAACGUAGCAAUAGCGCUUUUUCUGUAACGCGCUACUGCUACUUUUGAAUUAACCACGCGUGGUUCUUCUUCCCCACGGCCAUUUCACCCAAAUCGAACUCGCGCGUCUGCUGUCGCAGCUGUCGUCGCCGGGCCGCCGCGCGCGGUCUCCCUUCGCCCUCCGCAUGCCGUCGACGCCGCCUCCGACCCCGACCUCGACACCCCCCUACAUCGCUGCCCUCCGGCGUGCGCCCGCCGCCCCGACCCCGACCGUCCCCGACCUCGACGCCGCGUGCCCCUCUCCCUAACUCCGCCGGCGCCCGAGGUGAGCACGCCCUCUUUUGGUGUCAAAACCGGCGGAUCUCGGGUAGGGUGUCCCGAACUGUGCGUCUAAGGUCGAUGGUAACAGGAGACAGGGGACACGAUGUUUACCCAAGUGAUACGUCUCCAACGUAUCUAUAAUUUUUUAUUGUUCCUACUAUUAUAUUACUUGUUUUGGAUGUUUAUGGGCUUUACUCUACACUUUUAUAUCAUUUUUAGGACUAACCUAUUAAUCGGAGGCCCAGCCCAAAUUGCUGUUUUUUUGCCUAUUUUAGUGUUUCGAAGGAAAGGAAUAUCAAACAGAGUCCAAACGGAAUGAAACCUUCGGGAGCGAUCGUUUUGGAACAAACGCAAUCCAUGAGACUCGGAGUGGACAUCAAGAAGCGAACGAGGCGGCCACGAGGGUGCCCGGCGCGCCCCCACCCUCGUGGGCCCCUUGAGCGUCCACCGACCUACUUCUUCCUCCUAUAUAUGUCCACGGACCCCGAAAACAUCCAGGAGCACCACGAAAAACUAUUUCCACCGCCACAACCUUCUGUAUCCGCGAGAUCCCAUCUUGGAGCCUUCGUCGGCGCUCCGCCAGAGGGGGAAUCGACCAUGGAGGGCCUCUCCAUCAUCACCAAGGUCUCUCCGAUGAGUUGUGAGUAGUUUACCACAGACCUUCGGGUCCAUAGUUAUUAGCUAGAUGGAAUUCUUCUUUCUUUUUGAUUCUCAAUACAAAGUUCUCCUUCCUCUUCUUGUAGAUCUAUUCGAUGUAACUCUUUUUGCGGUGUGUUUAUCGAGAUCUGAUGAAUUGUGGGUUUUUGAUCAAGUUUAUCUAUGAGAAAUAUUUGAAUCUCCUCUGAAUUUUUUUAUGUAUGAUUGGUUAUCUUUGCAAGUCUCUUCGAAUUAUCAGUUUGGUUUGGCCUACUAGAUUGAUCUUUCUUGCCAUGAGAGAAGUGCUUAGCUUUGGGUUCAAUCUUGCAGUGUCCUUUCCCAGUGACAGUAGGGGCAGCAAGGCACGUAUUGUAUUGUUGCCAUCGAGGAUAAAAAGAUGGGGUUUAUAUCAUAUUGCAUGAGUUUAUCCCUCUACAUCAUGUCAUCUUGCUUAAUACGUUACUUUGUUCUUAUGAACUUAAUACUCUAGAUGCAGGCAGGAGUCGGUUGAUGUGUGGAGUAAUAGUAGUAGAUGCAGAAUCGUUCGAUCUACUUGUUGCGCAUGUCAUGCCUAUAUACAUGAUCAUGCCUAGAUAAUCUCAUAACUAUGCACUUUUCUAUCAAUUGCUCGACAAUAAUUUGUUCACCCGCAGUAAUAAUUAUACUAUCUUGAGAGAAGCCCCUAGUGAAAUCUUUGGCCCCCGGGUCUAUCUUUUAUCAUAUAAGUUUUCCAUCUAAUUUUAUUUGCAUCUUUUAUUUUCCAAUCUAUAUCAUAAAAAUACCAAAAAUAUUUAUCUUAUCAUAUUAUCUCAAUCAGAUCUCACUUUCGCAAGUUACUGUGAAGGGAUUGACAACCCCUUUAUCGCGUUGGUUGCGAGGUUCUUGUUUGUUUGUGUAGGCGCGUGGGACUUGGAAAGGGUCUCCUACUGGAUUGAUACCUUGGUUCUAAAAAACUGAGGGAAAUACUUACACUACUUUGCUGCAUCACACUUUCCUCUUCAAGGGAAAAACCAACGCAUGCUCAAGAGGUAGCAAGAAGGAUUUCUGGCGCCGUUGCCGGGGAGGUAUUCGCUCAAGUCAAGACAUACCAAGUGUCCAUCACAAACUCAUCUCCCUCGCAUUACAUUAUUGACCAUUUGCCUCUUGCUUUCCUCUCCCCCACUUCACCCUUGCCAUUUUAUUCGCCCUCUCUUUUCCGUUCGCCUUCCAUUUGCCAUGGCCGAGUCAAAAAGAACUAAGGGUUCUCUCCCGAGUUAUAGUACUUUGGAUAGUCCCUCUGUCCUCUCUAAGCUCCUAAAUAAUGAUGCUAUGGAAAGGCCUACUGGGUUUACCAAUGAGAAUUUAAAUAAUUUUGAUGAAGAGGACUCCGGAAUUUUUUGUUAUUUACUUGAUGAGUCUUUAAGAGAUUCUUGGGAAAGGCUAUUAAGGAUUAGAGCUAGCUAUGUGCCACAAUAUCUAAUUGAGAUUUAUCUAAGAAGCUUUUAUGUUGGGUUACCACCUUCGUUUAAAUAGGUUUUAGAUUCUAUUUUUGAAGAAGGUUUUCUUGAAGGGGACGCUAUAGACACUUAUGAAAAAAUGAAAACUAUAUUUGGGCACCCCAUGAAUGAUAAGGUUGAAUCCACCACUCUCUUAUGCUUUUAUCAAAACGAAAUUAUUAGAGAUGAAAGCUAGCCUAGAUGCAAAUUUCCGUAACGUGCUUAAUCUUUCUUCCUCCAUUAAUGGCCAUGUGAUUCCUAAAAUAGAAGGAAAAUGCUAUAGAUAAGAAAUUUUCUCUUUUCUUUCCGAAUACCAAAGAUGCAAUACUUAGAUCUAUUCUCUCUUUUAAUGCCUAGCUAGGGGCGUUAAACGAUAGCGCUUGUUGGGAGGCAACCCAAUUUUAUUUUUGUUCCAUGCUUUUUUCCUGUUUAGUAAUAAAAAAUUAACCUAGCCUCUGGUUAGAUGUGGUUUUAUGUUUUAAUUAGUGUUUGUGCCAAGUAGAACCUAUAGGAUAACUUACGGUGAUAGUUAAUUUGAUUCUGCUGAAAAACAGAAAGUUUGCGCUCAUGAGAAAAAAUUCAAUAAAUCACAGAAACAUGCUUUUGCAUUGAAUCUUUUUGCUGUAGAUCAAUAGACAAAUUUCCUAGGACGUCCUAUUUUGGUAGGAUUUUUGGAGUUCUAGAAGUAUUCGAAAGUUACAGAUUGCUACAGACUGUUCUCUUUUUGAUAGAUUCUGUUUUUCGUGUGUUCUUUGCUUAUUUUGAUGAAUCUAUGGCUGGUAUCGGGGGUAUGACCGUAGAGAAGUUGUAAUACAGUAGGUUUAACACCAAUAUAAAUAAAGAAUGAGUUCAUUACAGUACCUUAUGCGGUGGUUUUUCUUUCUUGCACUAACGGAGCUUAUGAUAUUUCCUAUUGAGUUUUGUGUUGUGAAGUUUUCAAGUUUUGGGUAAAGAUUUUGAUGGACUAUGGAAUAUGGAGUGGAAAAAGCCUAAGCUUGGGGAUGCCCAUGGAACCCCAAGAUAUUCAAGGACAACCAAAAGCCAAAGCUUGGGGAUGCCCCGGAAGGCAUCCUCUCUUUCGUCUUCGUCUAUCGGUAACUUUACUUGGAGCUAUAUUUUUAUUUACCACAUGAUAUGUGUUUUGCUUGGAGCGCCUUGUAUGAUAUGAGUCUUUUCUUUUUAGUUUACCACAAUCAUCCUUGUUGUACACACCUUUUGGGAGAGACCCACAUGAUUUAGAAUUUAUUAGAAUACUCUAUGUGCUUCACUUAUAUCUUUUGAGCUAGAUAGUUUUGCUCUAUGUGCUUCACUUAUAUUUUCUAGAGCACGGCGGUGGCUUUAUUUUGAAGAAAUUGUUGAUUAAUACGUCCAUUUUGCAUCAUGCUUUUAUAUCAAUAUUUAUUGUAUUAUGGGCUGUUAUUACACAUUAUAUAUCAAUACUUAUGGCUAUUCUCUCUUAUUUUAUAAGGUUUACCAUGAAGAGGGGGAAUGCCGGCAGCUGGAAUUCUGGCUGGAAAAGGAGCAAACAUUGGAAACCUAUUCUGCACUGCUCGAAAAGACCUGAAACUCCACAAAACUUAUUUUUCGAAUUAAUAAGAAUUAUUGAGCGGAAGAAACACCUCAGGGGGCCCACACCCUGGCCAGGAGGGUGGGGGGCGCGCCCACCCGUACUGGGCGCGCCCCCUAUCUCCUAAGCCUCCUGGUGGCCCUCCUGUGUCCAUCUUCUGCUAUAUGAAGGCUUUUACCCUGAAAAAAAAAUCAUGGGCAAGCUUAUGGGACGAAACUCUGCCGCCACGAGGCGGAACCUUGGCGGAACCAAUCUAGAGCUCCGGCAGAGCUAUUCUGCCGGAGACACUUCCCUCCGGGAGGGGGAAAUCAUCACCAUCGUCAUCACCAACGAUCCUCCCAUCGGGAGAGGGUCAAUCUCCAUCAACAUCUUCACCAGCACCAUCUCCUCUCAAAUGCUAGUUCAUCUCUUGUAUCCAAUCUCAUAUCCAAAACCACAAAUUGCUACCUGUGGGUUGCUAGUAGUGUUGAUUACUCCUUGUAGUUGAUGCUUAUUGGUUUACUUGGUGGAAGAUCAUAUGUUCAGAUCCUUAAUGCAUAUUAUUACUCCUCUGAUUAUGAACACGAAUAUGCUUUGUGAGUAGUUACGUUUGUUCCUGAGGACAUGGGUGAAGUCUUGCUAUUAGUAGUCAUGUGAAUUUGGUAUUCGUUCGAUAUUUUGAUGAGAUGUAUGUUGUCUUUCCUCUAGUGGUGUUAUGUGAACGUCGACUAGAUGACACUUCACCAUUAUUUGGGCCUAGAGGAAGGCAUUUGGAAGUAAUAAGUAGAUGAUGGGUUGCUAGAGUGACAGAAGCUUAAACCCUAGUUUAUGCAUUGCUUCGUAAGGGGCUGAUUUGGAUCCAUAUGUUUAAUGCUGUGGUUAGGUUUACCUUAAUACUUCUUUUGUAGUUGCGGAUGCUUGCAAUAGGGGUUAAUCAUAAGUGGGAUGCUUGUCCAAGUAAGGGCAGUACCCAAGCACCGGUCCACCCACAUAUCAAAUUAUCAAAGUACCGAACGUGAAUCAAAUGAGCGUGAUGAAACUAGCUUGACGAUAAUUCCCAUGUGUCCUCGGGAGCGCUUUUCUCAUUAUAAUAAAUUAUCCAGGCUUGUCCUUUGCUACAAAAAGGAUUGGGCCACCUUGCUUCACUUUAUUUACUUUCAUUGCUUGUUACUCAUUACAAUUUAUCUUAUCACAAAACUAUCUAUCACCUACAAUUUCAGUGUUUGCAGAGAAAACCUUACUGAAAACUGCUUAUCAUUUCCUUCUGCUCCUCGUUGGGUUCGACACUCUUACUUAUCGAAAGGACUAUGAUAGAUCCCCUACACUUGUGGGUCAUCAAGACUCUUUUGUGGCACCGUUGCCGGGGAGUGUAGCGCUUUUGGUGAGUGGAACUUGGUAAGGAAACAUUGUUAUAGUGUGAUGACAUUUUCUAUUACUUGUCACUAUGGAAACUAAUCCUUUGAGGGGCUUGUUUGGGGCAUCUUCGCCCCGACCAGUAGAGCAAUGAGUUGCUCCUCAACCUACUGAACCUACUGAAAAUGUUUACUUUGAAAUUCCUUCGGGUAUGAUAGAGAAACUACUAGCUAAUCCUUUUGCAGGAGAUGGAACAUUGCAUCCCGAUUUACACCUUAUCUUUGUGGAUGAAGUUUGUGGAUUAUUUAAGCUUGCAGGUAUUCCCGAUGAUGUUGUCAAAAGGAAGGUCUUCCCUUUAUCUUUGAAGAGAGAUGCAUUGACAUGGUAUACGCUAUGUGAUGAUACGGGGUCUUGGAAUUAUACAUGAUUGAUGUUGGAAUUUCACCACAAGUUCUAUCCUAUGCAUCUUGUUCAUCGUGAUCGUAAUUACAUAUAUAAUUUCUGGCCUCGUGAAGGAGAAAGCAUCGCUCAAGCUUGGGGGAGGCUUAAGUCAAUGUUAUAUUCAUGCCCCAAUCAUGAGCUCUCUAGAGAAAUGAUUAUUCAAAAAAUUUAUGCUCGGCUUUCUCUCAAUGAUCGCACCAUGCUCGAUACUUCCUAUGCUGGUUCUUAUAUCAUGAAGACUAUUGAAUUCAAAUGGGACUUAUUGGAAAGAAUUAAACGCAACUCUGAAGAUUGGGGUUCCGACGAUGGUAAGGAGUCAGGUAUGACACCUAAGUUUGAUUGUGUUAAAUCUUUUAUGGAUACCGAUGCUUUUCGUGGAUUUAGCGCUAAAUAUGGACUUGACUCUGAGAUAGUAGCUUCUUUCUGUGAAUCUUUUGCUACUCACGUUGAUCUCCCUAAGGAGAAGUGGUUCAAAUAUAAUCCUCCCAUUGAAGUAAAAUUAGUUGCACCUGUUACAGUUGAAGAAAAGGCUAUUACUUAUAAUGAUCCUAUGGUUCCUACUACUUAUGUUGAGAAACCACCUUUUCCUGUUAGAAUGAAGGAUCAUGCUAAAGCUUCAACUGUUGUUCGUAAGAGUAAUACUAGGACUUAUACACCUCCUGAGCAAAUCAAAGUUGAACCUAGUAUUGCUAUGGUUAAAGAUCUCUUGGAUGAUAAUUUAGAUGGGCAUGUUAUUUACUUCUGUGGUGAAACUGCUAAUAUUGUUAAAUCAGAUACUAAGAUACAUAGACCUGUGGUAGGCAUGCCUGUUAUUUCUGUUAAAAUAGGAGAUCAUUGUUAUCAUGGCCUAUGUGAUAUGGGUGCUAGUGCUAGUGCAAUACCUAUUUCCUUAUACCAAGAGAUUAUGCAUGAUAUUGCACCUGUUGAGUUAGAAGAUAUUGAUGUUACAAUUAAGCUUGCCAAUAGAGAUACUAUUAGGCCUUUUGGGAUUGUUAGAGAUGUUGAAGUCUUGUGUGGGAAGGUCAAAUACCCUGCUGAUUUUCUUGUUCUCAGUUCCCCCAAGAUGACUUUUGUCGCAUUAUAUUUGGUAGACCAUUCUUGAACACUGUUAAUGCUAAGAUUGAUUGCGAAAAGGAUGUUGUUACGAUUGGCUUGGAGGAUAUGACUCAUGAAUUUAAUUUUGCUAAAUUUCGUAGACAACCCCGUGAUAAAGAGUUACCUAGUAAAUAUGAAAUAAUUGGUCUUGCUUCUAUUGCCGUGCCUCCUACUGAUCCGUUAGAACAAUAUUUGCUUGACCAUGAAAAUGAUAUGUUUACGAAAGAAAGAAGGAAAAUAGAUGAAGUGUUCCUUAAACAGGAACCUAUUCUGAAACAUAACCUUCCCAUUGAAAUUCUAGGGGAUCCUCCUCCACCCAAGGAUGAUCCCGUGUUUGAGCUUAAACCAUUACCUAAUAAUCUUAAAUAUGCUUAUCUUGAUAAAAAGAAGAUAUAUCCUGUUAUUAUUAGUGGUAACCUUUCAGAGCAGGAAGAGGAAAGAUUAUUGAAAACUCUGAAGAAGCACCGUGCGGCUAUUAGAUAUACUCUGGAUGAUCUCAAGGGCAUUAGCCCCAUGUUAUGUCAACACAAAAUUAGUUUGGAGGACGAUGCCAAACCAGUUAGAGAUCCUCAACAACGAUUGUAUCCCAAGAUGAAAGAAGUGGUUAGAAAGGAGAUACUAAAGCUCCUUGAGGCAGGUAUAAUUUAUCCCAUUGCUGAUAGUGAUUGGGUAAGUCCUGUCCAUUGUGUUCCUAAAAUGGGAGGUAUUACUGUUGUUCCUAAUGAUAAAGAUGAAUUGAUCCUGCAAAGAAUUAUUACAGGUUAUAGGAUAGUAAUUGAUUUUCGUAAAUUAAAUAAAGCUACUAAGAAAGAUCAUUACCCUUUACAUUUUAUUGAUCAAAUGCUAGAAAGACUAUCCAAACACACACAUUUCUGCUUUCUAGAUGGUUAUUCUAGUUUCUCUCAAAUACCUGUGUCAGCGAAGGAUCAAUCAAAAACUACUUUUACUUGCCCUUUCAGUACUUUUGCAUAUAGACGUAUGCCUUUUGGUUUAUUAAUGCACCUGCUAACUUUCAAAUAUGUAUGAUGGCUAUAUUCUCUGACUUUUGUGAAAAGAUUUGUGAGGUAUUCAUGGAUGAUUUCUCCGUUUAUGGAUCCUCCUUUGAUGAUUGCUUGAGCAACCUUGAUCGAGUUUUGCAGAGAUGUGAAGACACUAGUCUCGUCUUGAAUUGGGAAAAGUGCCACUUUAUGGUUAAUGAAGGCAUUGUCUUAGGGCACAAGAUCUCCGAGAGAGGUAUUGAAGUUGAUAAAGCUAAAGUUGAUGCUAUUGAAAAGAUGCCAUGUCCCAAGGACAUAAAAGGUAUAAGAAGUUUCCUUGGUCAUGCCGGUUUUUAUAGGAGGUUCAUUAAGGACUUCUCUAAAAUCUCUAGGCCUCUGACUAAUUUAUUGCAAAAAGAUAUUCCUUUUGUCUUUGAUGAUGAUUGUGUAGAAGCAUUUGAAAUACUUAAGAAAGCUUUGAUCACUGCACCUAUCAUUCAGCCACCUGAUUGGAAUUUACCUUUUGAAAUUAUGUGUGAUGCUAGUGAUUAUGCUGUAGGUGUUGUUCUAGGGCAAAGAGUUGAUAAGAAAUUGAAUGUUAUCCAGCAUGCCAGUAAGACUCUUGAUACUACCCAGAGAAAUUAUGCUACUAUUAAAAAAAAUUCUUAGCAGUUGUGUUUGCAUGUGAUAAGUUUAGACCUUAUAUUGUUGAUUCCAAAGUUACUAUUCACACUGAUCAUGCUGCUAUUAAAUAUCUUAUGGAAAAGAAAGAUGCUAAGCCUAGACUCUUUAGAUGGGUUCUCUUGCUCCAAGAAUUUGAUUUGCAUAUUAUUGAUAGAAAGGGAGUUGAGAACCCGUUGCAGACAACUUGUCUAGGUUAGAGAAUGUUCUUGAUGACCCACUGCCUAUUAAUGAUAGCUUUCCUGAUGAACAAUUAGUGGUCAUUAAUGCUUCUCGUACUACUCCUUGGUAUGCUGAUUAUGCUAAUUACAUUGUUGCUAAAUUUAUACCACCUAGUUUCACAUACCAACAAAAGAAAAAGUUCUUUUAUGAUUUAAGACAUUACUUCUGGGAUGACCCACACCUUUAUAAAGAAGGAGUAGACGGUGUUAUUAGACGUUGUGUACCUGAGCAUGAACAGGAACAGAUCCUACGCAAGUGUCACUCCGAAUCAUAUGGAGGACACUGUUGGAAAUAUGCCCUAGAGGCAAUAAUAAAAGGAUUAUUAUUGUAUUUCCUUGUUCAUGAUAAUUGUCUUUUAUUCAUGCUAUAAUUGUAUUAUCCGGAAAUCGUAAUACACGUGUGAAUACAUAGACCACAACAUGUCCCUAGUAAGCCUCUAGUUGACUAGCUCGUUGAUCAAUAGAUAGUCAUGGUUUCCUGACUAUGGACAUUGGAUGUCAUUGAUAACGAGAUCACAUCAUUAGGAGAAUGAUGUGAUGGACACGACCCAAUCCUAAGCAUAGCACAAGAUAGUGUAGUUCGGUUGCUAGAGCUUUUCCAAUGUCAAGUAUCUUUUCCUUAGACCAUGAGAUCGUGUAACUCCCGGAUACCGUAGGAGUGCUUUAGGUGUACCAAACAUCGCAACGUAACUGCGUGACUAUAAAGGUAUAUACGGGUAUCUCCGAAAGUGUCUGUUGGGUUGACACGGAUCGAGACUGGGAUUUGUCAAUCCGUAUGACGGAGAGGUAUCUCUGGGCCCACUCGGUAAUGCAUCAACAUAAUGAGCUCAAAGUGACCAAGUGUUUGGUCACGGGAUCAUGCAUUACGGUACGAGUAAAGUCACUUGCUGGUAACGAGAUUGAACGAGGUAUUGGGAUACCGACGAUCGAAUCUCGGGCAAGUAACGUACCGAGUGACAAAGGGAAUUGUAUACGGGGUUGCUUGAAUCCUCGACAUCGUGGUUCGUCCGAUGAGAUCAUCGAGGAGCAUGUGGGAGCCAACAUGGGUAUCCAGAUCCCACUGUUGGUUAUUGACGGGAGAGUCGUCUCGGUCAUGUCUACGUGUCUCCCGAACCCGUAGGGUCUACACACUUAAGGUUCGGUGACGCUAGGGUUGUAGAGAUAUGAGUAUGCAGCAAAACGAAAGUUGUUCGGAGUCCCGGAUGAGAUCCUGGACGUCAUGAGGAGUUCCAGAAUGGUCCGGAGGCAAAGAAUUAUAUAAGGGAAGUCGAGUUUUGGCCAUCGGGAAAGUUUCGGGGGUCACCGGUAUUGUACCGGGACCACCGGAAGGGUCCCGGGGGUCCAUCGGGUGGGGCCACCUAUCCCGGAGGGCCCCAUGGGCUGAAGUGGGAGGGGAACCAGCCCCUGGUGGGCUGGUGCGCCCCCCUUGGCCCCCCUGCGCCUAGGGAUGGGAACCGUAGGGGAGGGGGUGCCUCCACUUGCCUUGGGGGGCAAGGCACCCCCCUUGGCCGCCGCCCCCCUACGAGAUCCCAUCUCCUAGGGCCGGCGCCCCCCUGGGGACCCUAUAUAUAGAGGGGGGAGGGAGGGCAGCCGCACCCUUGCACUUGGCCCCUCCCUUCCCCCUUGCUACACCUGUCCUCCUCCGUAGAGCUCGGCGAAGCCCUGCUGAGAUUCCUGCUGCAUCCACCACCACGCCGUCGUGCUGCUGGAUCUCCAUCAACCUCUCCUUCCCCCUUGCUGGAUCAAGAAGGAGGAGAUGUCUUCCUCAACCGUACGUGUGUUGUACGCGGAGGUGUCGUCCGUUCAGCUCUCGGUCAUCGGUGAUUUGGAUCACGACGAGCACGACUCCCUCAACCCCGUUCUCUUGAACGCUUCCGCUCGCGAUCUACAAAGGUAUGUAGAUGCACUCCUAUCACUCGUUGCUAGAUGAACUCAUAGAUAGAUUUUGGUGAAACCGUAGGAAAUUUUUUAUUUUCUGCAACGUUCUCCAACAGUGGUAUCAUGAGCUAGGUCUAUGCGUAGUUCUCUAUGCACGAGUAGAACACAAUUUGUUGUGGGCGUAGAUGUUGUCAACUUUCUUGCCGCUACUAGUCUUAUUUUGCUUCAGCGGUAUUGUGGGAUGAAGCGGCCCGGACCGACCUUACACGUACACUUAAGUGAGACAGGUUCCACCGACUGACAUGCACUACUUGCAUAAGGUGGCUAGCGGGUGUCUGUCUCUCCCACUUUAGUUGGAGCAGAUUCGAUGAAAAGGGUCCUCAUGAAGGGUAAAUAGAAGUUGACAAAUCACGUUGUGGCUUUUUCAUAGGUAAGAAAACGUUCUUGCUAGAACCCUAUUGCAGCCACGUAAAAGAUGCAACAACAAUUAGAGGACGUCUAACUUGUUUUUGCAGCAAUUGCCUUGUGAUGUGAUAUGGCCAAAAGUUGUGAUGAAUGAUGAAUGAUAUAUUGUGAUGUAUGAGAUCAUGUUCUUGUAAUAGGAAUCACGACUUGCAUGUCGAUGAGUAUGACAACCGGCAGGAGCCAUAGGAGUUGUCUUAAUUAUUGUAUGACCUGCGUGUCAAUGAUUUAACGCCAUGUAAUUACUUUACUUUAUUGCUAAACCGUUAGCUAUAGUAGUAGAAGUAAUAGUUGGCGAGCAACUUCAUGGAGACACGAUGAUGGAGAUCAUGGUGUCAUGCCGGUGACAAGAUGAUCAUGGAGCCCCAAGAUGGAGAUCAAAGGAGCUAUAUGAUAUUGGCCAUAUCAUGUCACUAUUAUUUGAUUGCAUGUGAUGUUUAUCAUGUUUUUGCAUCUUGUUUACUUAGAACGACGGUAGUAAAUAAGAUGAUCCCUCAUAAUAAUUUCAAGAAAGUGUUCCCCCUAACUGUGCGCCGUUGCGACAGUUCGUUAUUUCGAAGCACCACGUGAUGACCGGGUGUGAUAGAUUCUAACGAUCACAUACAACGGGUGUAAGACAGAUUUACACAUGCAAAACACUUAGGUUAACUUGACGAGCCUAGCAUGUACAUACAUGGCCUCGGAACACAAGAGAUCGAAAGGUCGAACAUGAGUCGUAUGAAAGAUACGAUCAACAUGGAGAUGUUCACCGAUGAUGACUAGUACGUCUCACGUGAUGAUCGGACACGACCUAGUCGACUCGGAUCAUGUAACACUUAGAUGACUAGAGGGAUGUCUAAUCUGAGUGGGAGUUCAUUAAUUAAUUUGACUAGAUGAACUUAAUUAUCAUGAACUUAGUCUAAAGUCUUUGCAAAAUGUCUUGUAGAUCAAAUGGCCAACGCUCAUGUCAACAUGAACUUCAACGCGUUCCUAGAGAAAACCAAGCUGAAAGAUGAUGGCAGCAACUAUACGGACUGGGUCCGGAACCUUAGGAUCAUCCUCAUAGCUGCCAAGAAAGUAUAUGUCCUAGAAGGACCGCUAGGUGAAGCACCCACCCCAGAGAACCAAGACAUUAUGAAUGCUUGGCAGUCACGUGCUGAUGAUUACUCCCUCGUUCAGUGUGGCAUGCUUUACAGCUUAGAACCAGGGCUCCAAAAGCGUUUUGAGCGACACGGAGCAUAUGAGAUGUUCGAGGAGCUGAAAAUGGUUUUCCAAGCUCACGCCCGGGUCGAGAGAAAUGAAGUCUCUGACAAGUUCUAUAGUUGUAAGAUGGAGGAAAAUAGUUCUGUCAGUGAGCACAUACUCAAAAUGUCUGGGUUGCACAACCGCCUGUCCCAGCUGGACAUUAACCUCCCGGACGAGGCGGUCAUUGACAGAAUCCUUCAGUCGUUCCCACCGAGCUACAAGAGCUUUGUGAUGAACUACAAUAUGCAGGGGAUGGUGAAAACUAUUCCUGAAGUAUUUUCAAUGCUGAAAUUUGCAGAGGUAGAAAUCAAGAAGGAACAUCAAGUGUUGACGGUCAAUAAAACCACUAAGUUCAAGAAGGGCAAGGGUAAGAAAAACAUCAAGAAGGACGACAAGGAUGUUUCCGCGCCCGGUAAGCCUAUUGCCAGGAAGAGUCAAAGAAUGGACCCAAGCCUGAGACUGAGUGCUUUUAUUGCAAAGGGAAGGGUCACUGGAAGCGGAACUGCCCCAAUUACUUAGCGGACAAGAAGGCCGGCAACACUAAAGGUAUAUGUGGUAUACAUGUAAUUGAUGUGUACCUUACCAGUGCUCGUAGUAGCUCCCGGGUAUUUGAUACUGGUGCCAUUGCUCAUAUUUGUAAAUCAAAGCAGGAGCUGCGGAAUAAGCGGAGACUGGCGAAGGACGAGGUGACGAUGCGCGUCGGGAAUGGUUCCAAGGUCGAUGUGAUCACCGUCGGCACGCUACCUCUACAUUUACCUACGGGAUUAGUUUUAAACCUCAAUAAUUGUUAUUUAGUGCCAAGUUUGAGCAUGAACAUUGUAUCAGGAUCUCGUUUAAUACGAGAUGGCUACUCAUUUAAAUCCGAGAAUAAUGGUUGUUCUAUUUAUACGAGAGAUAUGUUUUAUGGUCAUGCUCCGAUGGUCAAUGGUUUAUUCUUAAUGAAUCUCGAACGUGAUGUUACACAUAUUCAUAGUGUGAAUACCAAAAGAUGUAAAGUUGAUAACGAUAGUCCCACAUACUUGUGGCACUGCCGCCUUGGUCACAUUGGUGUCAAGCGCAUGAAGAAGCUCCAUGCUGAUGGACUUUUAGAGUCUCUCGAUUAUGAAUCAUUUGACACAUGCGAACCAUACCUUAUGGGCAAAAUGGCCAAGACUCCGUCCUCCGGAACAAUGGAGCGAGCAACCAACUUAUUGGAAAUCAUACAUACUGAUGUGUGCGGUCCAAUGAGCGUUGAGGCUCGCGGAGGAUAUCGUUAUGUUCUCACUCUCACUGAUGACUUAAGUAGAUAUGGGUAUGUCUACUUGAUGAAACAAAAGUCUGAGACCUUUGAAUUCAAGGAGUUUCAGAAUGAGGUAGAGAAUCAACGUGACCGAAAAAUAAAGUUCUUAUGAUCAGAUCGUGGAGGAGAAUAUUUAAGUCACAAAUUUGGCACACACAUAAGGAAAUGUGGAAUCGUUUCACAACUCACGCCGCCUGGAACACCUUAGCGUAAUGGUGUGUUCGAACGUCGUAAUCGCACUCUAUUGGAUAUGGUGCGAUCUAUGAUGUAUCUUACUGAUUUACCGCUAUCAUUUUGGGGAUACGCUCUAGAGACAGCUAUAUUCACUUUAAAUAGGGCACCGUCUAAAUCCGUUGAGACGGCACCGUAUGAAUUAUGGUCUGGGAAGAAACCUAAGCUGUCGUUUCUAAAAGUUUGGGGAUGCGAUGCUUAUGUCAAGAAACUUCAACCUGAAAAGCUCGAACCCAAGUCAGAAAAAUGCGUCUUCAUAGGAUACCCUAAGGAAACCAUUGGGUAUACCUUCUACCUUAGAUCCGAAGGAAAGAUCUUUGUUGCCAAGAACGGAUGCUUUCUGGAAAAAGAGUUUCUCUCGAAAGGAUUAAGUGGGAGGAAAGUAGAACUCGAUCAAGUACUACCUCUUGAACCGGAAAGUAGUGCAGCUCAGGAAAAUGUUCCUGUGGUGCCUACACCGACUGGAGAGGAAAUUAAUGAUGAUGAUCAAGGUACUUCGAAUCAAGUUGCUACUGAACUUCGUAGGUCCACAAGGACACGUUCCACACCAGAGUGGUAUGGCAACCCUGUCCUGGAAAUCAUGUUGUUAGACAACGGUGAACCUUCGAACUAUGAAGAAGCGAUGGCGGUCCCAGAUUCCAACAAAUGGCUUGAAGCCAUGCAAUCCGAGAUAGGAUCCAUGUAUGAAAACAAAGUAUGGACUUUGACAGACUUGCCCGAUGAUCGGCGAGCGAUAGAAAACAAAUGGAUCUUUAAGAAGAGGACGGACGCGGAUGGUAAUGUUACCAUCUAUAAAGCUCUACUUUUCGCUAAGGGUUAUCGACAAGUUCAAGGGGUUGACUACGAUGAGACUUUCUCUCCCGUAGAGAAGCUGAAGUCUGUCCGAAUCAUGUUAGCAAUUGCCGCAUACUAUGAUUAUGAGAUAUGGCAAAUGGACGUCAAAACGGCAUUCCUUAACGGCUAUCUUAAGGAAGAACUGUAUAUGAUGCAGCCGGAAGGUUUUGUCGACCCUAAGAAUGCUAACAAGGUAUGCAAGCUCCAGCGAUCCAUUUAUGGGCUGGUGCAAGCAUCUCGGAGUUGGAACAUUCGCUUUGAUGAGAUGAUCAAAGCGUUUGGGUUUAUGGAGACUUAUGGAGAAGCCUGCGUUUACAAGAAAGUGAGUGGGAGCUCUGUAGCAUUUCUCAUAUUAUAUGUAGAUGACAUACUUUUGAUGGGAAAUGAUAUAGAACUUUUGGACAGCAUUAAGGCCUACUUGAAUAAGAGUUUUUCAAUGAAGGACCUUGGAGAAGCUGCUUAUAUAUUAGGCAUCAAGAUCUAUAGAGAUAGAUCGGGACGCCUCAUAGGUCUUUCACAAAGCACAUACCUUGAUAAGAUAUUAAAGAAGUUCAAUAUGGAUCAGUCUAAGAAGGGGUUCUUGCCUGUGUUGCAAGGUGUGAAAUUGAGCUCGGCUCAAUGUCCGACCACGGCAGAAGAUAUAGAAGAGAUGAGUGUCAUCCCCUAUGCUUCAGCCAUAGGGUCUAUUAUGUAUGCCAUGCUGUGUACCAGACCUGAUGUAAACCUUGCCGUAAGUUUGGUAGGAGGGUACCAAAGUAAUCCCGGCAAGGAACACUGGACAGAGGUCAAGAAUAUCCUGAAGUACCUGAAAAGGACUAAGGACAUGUUUCUCAUUUAUAGAGGUGACGAAGAGCUCGUCGUAAAGGGUUACGUCGAUGCUAGCUUCGACACAGAUCUGGAUGACUCUAAGUCACAAACCGGAUACGUGUAUAUGUUGAAUGGUGGAGUAGUAAGCUGGUGCAGCUGCAAGCAGAGCGUCGUGGCGGGAUCUACAUGUGAAGCGGAGUACAUGGCAGCCUCGGAGGCAGAGCAUGAAGCAAUUUGGGUGAAGGAGUUCAUCACCGACCUAGGAGUCAUACCCAAUGCGUUGGGCCGAUCAAACUCUUUUGUGACAACACUGGAGCUAUUGUACUUGCCAAGGAGCCCAGGUUUCACAAGAAGACCAGGCACAUCAAGCGUCGCUUCAACUCCAUUCGUGAAAAUGCUCAAGAUGGAGACAUAGAAAUUUGCAAAGUGCAUACGGAUCUGAAUGUCAUAGAUCCGUUGACUAAACCUCUUCCGCGAGCAAAACAUGAUCAACACCACAACUCUAUGGGUGUUCGAUUCAUCACAAUGUAACUAGAUUAUUGACUCUAGUGCAAGUGGGUGACCAUUGGACAUAUGCCCUAGAGGCAAUAAUAAAAGGAUUAUUAUUAUAUUUCCUUGUUCAUGAUAAUUGUCUUUUAUUCAUGCUAUAAUUGUAUUAUCCAGAAAUUGUAAUACACGUGUGAAUACAUAGACCACAACAUGUCCCUAGUAAGCCUCUAGUUGACUAGCUCGUUGAUCAACAGAUAGUCAUAGUUUCCUGAGUAUGGACAUUGGAUGUCAUUGAUAACGAGAUCACAUCAUUAGGAGAAUGAUGUGAUGGACAAGACCUAAUCCUAAGCAUAGCACAAGAUCGUGUAGUUCGUUUGCUAGAGCUUUUCCAAUGUCAAGUAUCUUUUCCUUAGACCAUGAGAUCGUGUAACUCCCGGAUACCGUAGGAGUGCUUUGGGUGUACCAAACGUCGCAACGUAACUGGGUUACUAUAAAGGUAUACUACGGGUAUCUCCGAAAGUGUCUGUUGGGUUGACACGGAUCGAGACUGGGAUUUGUCACUCCGUAUAACGGAGAGGUAUCUCUGGGCCCACUCGGUAAUGCAUCAUCAUAACAAGCUCAAAGUGACCAAGUGUUUGGUCACGGGAUCAUGCAUUACGGUACGAGUAAAGUCACUUGCCGGUAACGAGAUUGAACGAGGUAUUGGGAUACCGACGAUCGAAUCUCGGGCAAGUAACGUACCGAUUGACAAAGGGAAUUGUAUACGGGGUUGCUUGAAUCCUCGACAUCUGGUUCAUCCGAUGAGAUCAUCGAGGAGCAUGUGGGAGCCAACAUGGGUAUCCAGAUCCCGCUGUUGGUUAUUGACCAGAGAGUCCUCUCGGUCAUAUCUACGUGUCUCCCGAACCCGUAGGGUCUACACACUUAAGGUUCCGUGACGCUAGGGUUGUAGAGAUAUGAGUAUGCAGCAAACCGAAAGUUGUUCGGAGUCCCGGAUGAGAUCCCGGACGUCACGAGGAGUUCCGGAAUGGUCCGGAGGUAAAGAAUUAUAUAUGGGAAGUCGAGUUUCGGCCAUCGGGAAAGUUUCGGGGGUCACCGGUAUUGUACCGGGACCACCGGAAGGGUCUCGUGGGUCCACCGGGUGGGGCCACCUAUCCCGGAGGGCCCCAUGGGCUGAAGUGGGAGGGGAACCAGCCCCUGGUGGGAUGGUUCGCCCCCCUUGGGCCCCUCCCGUGCCUAGGGAUGGGAACCCUAGGGGAGGGGGCGCCUCCACUUGCCUUGGGGGGCAAGGCACCCCCCUUGGCCGCUGCCCCCCUGGGGACCCUAUAUAUAGAGGGGGGGAGGGAGGGCAGCCGCACCCUUGCACUUGGCGCCUCCCUUCCCCCUUGCUACACCUCUCCUCCUCCGUAGAGCUCGGCGAAGCCCUGCUGAGAUUCCUGCUGCAUCCACCACCACGCCGUCGUGUUGCUGGAUCUCCAUCAACCUCUCCUUCCCCCUUGCUGGAUCAAGAAGGAGGAGACGUCUUCACCAACCGUACGUGUGUUGAACGCGGAGGUGCCGUCCGUUCGGCACUCGGUCAUCGGUGGUUUGGAUCACGACGAGUACGACUCCCUCAACAGUAGGGAAUUUUUUAGAUGCACUCCUAUCACUCGUUGCUAGAUGAAGUCAUAGAUAGAUCUUGGUGAAACCGUAGGGAAUUUUUUAUUUUCUGCAACGUUCUGCAACAGACACCACACUGGAGAUAGAACUGCACACAAGGUAUUGCAGUCCGGUUUUUAUUGGCCUACUCUCUUCAAAGAUGCUCGUAAGUUUUUCUUGUCUUGUGAUGAAUGUCAAAGAAUUGGUAAUAUUAGUAGACGUCAAGAAAUGACUAUGAACUAUUCUCUUGUUAUUGAACAAUUUGAUGUUUGGGGCUUUGAUUAUAUGGGACCUUUUCCUGCCUCUAAUGGUUACACACAUAUUUUAGUUGCUGUUGAUUACGUUACUAAGUGGGUAGAAGGUAUUCCAACUAGUAGUGUUGAUCAUAACACUUCUAUUAAAAUGCUUAAAGAAGUUAUUUUUCUGAGGUUUGGAGUCCCUAGAUAUCUUAUGACUGAUGGUGGUUCACAUUUUAUUCAUGGUGCUUUCCGUAAGAUGCUUGCUAAGUAUGAUGUUAAUCAUAGAAUCGCAUCUCCUUAUCACCCACACAGUUUAGUGGUCAAGUAGAGUUGAGCAAUAGAGAGCUCAAAUUAAUUUUGCAAAAGACUGUUAAUAGAUCUAGAAAGAAUUGGUCCAAGAAGCUUGAUGAUGCAUUAUGGGCCUAUAGAACUGCAUAUAAAAAUCCUAUGGGUAUGUCUCCAUAUAAGAUGGUUUAUGGAAAAGCUUGUCAUUUACCUCUAGAACUUGAACAUAAAGCAUAUUGGGCUAUCACAGAGCUCAACUAUGACUUCAAACUUGCUGGUGAGAAGAGGUUGUUGAUAUUAGCUCACUUGAUGAAUGGAGAACACAAGCCUAUGAGAAUGCCAAGCUAUUUAAAGAAAAAGUCAAACGCUGGCAUGACAAAAGGAUACAAAAGCGUGAGUAAUUAACGUAGGUGAUUAUGUGUUAUUAUUCAACUCUCGUUUAAUAUUUUUUGCAGGAAAACUUCUCUCUAAAUGGAAAGGCCCUUACGUUAUCGAGGAGGUCUAUCGUUCGGGUGCCAUAAAAAUCAACAACUUCGAAGGCACAAGUCCAAGGGUGGUGAACGGUCAAAGAAUCAAACAUUAUAUCUCACGUAAUCCUAUCAAUGUUGAAACUAAUAUCAUUGAAACCGUAACCCCAGAGGAAUACAUAAGGGACACUUUCUAGAACAUUCCAGACUCCAAAAAGGAUUAGGUAUGUGGUACGGUAAGUAAACCGACUCCAAAACAAUUCUAUUGGCAAUUUUUAUCAGUUUUGGAAUAUUUAAGAAUUUUAGGAAGAAAGAAGUAGUCCGGGAAGGACACGAGGCCUCCACGAGGGUGGAGGGCGCGCCCACCCUUACUGGGUGUGCCCCCCUGUCUCGUGGCCGCCUCGUGUGCCUCCUGGACUCCAUUUUCUUGCACGUUACAUAUUUGGGUUGGUAAAAAUUCAUUAUAUAAACUCCCAAAGGUUUUGACCACCGUAUCACGCAAAAAUACUCUAUUUUCGUUUCGAGCUGUUUCUGUUAUAGAUUUAGAGCAAGAUGUCUUCUCAAGAGUCAGUCGGGGAGAGUCGGGUGUCUCACCUGACACUAGGUCCAGGAGCAAAAAGCGAUGCUUAUCACUUUGGACCAUCAACGAAGGAUGAGAUGGAGGCCGACUUGAAAAGGAUAGAUGCCAUGGAGGAAGAUCAAGAAGUCACCUCCUGCUUUCAAGCAGGAUUCAUAAUGGGGGAACUACAUAGCUCGGUUGUUCCAAAUUUGGUCACCCUUCCAAUGCUAAAUUUCUUUCUUAUGAAAAUAUGAAAAAGAGUGUUACUUGUUCUCCACAAGCUAUGCAGCACCCUUGUGUAAAAGGAGCUUUAGCAAUAGCAGGCAAGCUCCACAAAGAAAAUAUGAACCUCAAGCAACAAGUCAAUAAGCUCGAGGACGAGAAUCGUAUCCUGAGGGGAAUUAUCGCCAAAAAGAUAACAACACCAACUUUGAAGAAGGAGACAUAAUCACAUGGGUAUGGGCACUCCCCUUGGCAACUGCCAAGCUUGGGGGAGGUGUCGCGGUAUCGUAUCACCAUCACACUCCUAUCUUUACCGUUUUAUUUAGUUCGAUCCUUUUUAGUAGUAUCUUGAUCUAGUAGAUUGAAGUUUUGAUAUCAAGUAGUUUUGAGUUUUGCUUUGUGAUCUCUUUAUGUAAUCGAGUCCAUGAGCUAUCUAUAAUAAAGAUUAGUGUUGAGUCAAGGGCUUUGCUAUAUUGCUAUGAUCUUAAGAAAAAUAGAAAGAAUAAAAAGAAUAAAGAGUUCAUAUUGAUCUUAUGGAUAGUAAUGACUUCACACAUAGAAAGUAUGAGGCAUAAAAGUUGUUGAGAGUUGAUAAACGUAGUUUUGGUCAUCGUUACAAUUAAUAGGAAGUAAUAAGGAAAGAGAGGUUUCACAUAUAAAUAUACUAUCUUGGACAUAUUUUAUGAUUGUGAGCACUCAUUAAGUAUGACAUGCUCAAAGAGUCUACGUUGGACAAGGAAGACAAUGUAAUGGUUUAUGUUUUCUCACAUCUCAGUUAAAGUAUAUUUUCAUUGACCUUCCGAACAUGUUGAGCUUGCCUUUCCCCCUCAUGCUAGCCAAAUCCUAGCACCAAGUAGAGAUACUGCUUGUGCUUCCAAAUAUCCUUAAACCCAGUCUUGCCAUGAGAGUCCAUCAUAUCUAGCUAUGGAUUGAGUAAGAUCCUUCAAGUAAGUUGUCAUCGGUGCAAGCAAUCAAAAUUGCUCUCUAAAUAUGCAUGACUUAUUAGUGCGGAGAAAAUAAGCUUUAUACGAUCUUGUUAUGGAAGCAAUAAAAGCGACGGACUGCAUAAUAAAGGUCCAUACACAAGUGGCAAUAUAAAGUGACGUUCUUUCGCAUUAAGAUUUUGUGUAUCGAACCCUAAAAGCGCAUGACAACCUCUGCUUCCCUCUACGAAGGGCCUAUCUUUUACUUUAUGCUUGAGUCAAGGUGAUCUUCACCUUUCCCUUUUUCAUUUUAUCCUUUGGCAAGCUCCUCGUGUUUGAAAGAUCAUGAUAUAUAUAUCCAAUUGGAAGUUCGUUAGCAUGGACUAUUAUUGUUGACAUCACCUAAAGGUGAAUACGUUGGGAGGCAACACAAUAAGCCCCUAUCUUUCUCAGUGUCCGGCUGAAACUCCAUAACCACAAGUAUUGCAUGAGUGUUAGCAAUUGUAGAAGACUAUAUGAUAGUUGAGUAUGUGGACAUGCUGAAAAGCUCUAUUCUUGACUCUUUUUGAUGUUACGAUAAAUUGCAAUUGCUUCAAUGACUAAGAUUAUAGUUUGUUACCUUUCAAUGAAGUUUCUGAACCAUACUUGACAUUGUGAAUUGAUUGUUACUUGAGCAUAAGAAGUCAUAUGACAAAAUCUAUUUAUGUUGCUAUUAUAAGAAUAAUCAUGAUGCCCUCAUGUCCGUAUUUUAUUUUUAUUAACACCUCUAUCUCUAAACAUGUGGACAUAUUUUUCAAUUUCGGCUUCCGCUUGAGGACAAGCGAGGUCUAAGCUCGGGGGAGUUGAUACGUCCAUUUUGCAUCAUGCUUUUAUAUCAAUGUUUAUUGCAUUAUGUGCUAUUAUUACACAUUAUAAAUAAAUACUUAUGGCUAUUCUCUCUUAUUUGAUAAGGUUUACCAUGAAGAGGGGGAAUGCCGGCAGCUGGAAUUCUGGCUGGAAAAGGAGCAAACAUUGGAAACCUAUUCUGCACUGCUCCAAAAGACCUGAAACUCCACGGAACUUAAUUUUCGAAUUAAUAAGAAUUAUUGAGCGGAAGAAACACCUCAGGGGGCCCACACCCUGGCCAGGAGGGUGCGGGGCGCGCCCAGUGGGCGCGCCCCCUGGUGGCCCUCCGGUAUCCAUCUUCUGCUAUAUGAAGGAUUUUACCCUGGAAAAAAUCAUGGGCAAGCUUACGGGACGAAACUCCGCCGCCACGAGGCGGAACCUUGGCGGAACCAAUCUAGAGCUCCGGCAGAGCUGUUCUGGCGUGGACACUUCCCUCCGGGAGGGGGAAACCAUCACCAUCAUCAUCACCAACGAUCCUCCCAUCGGGAGAGGGUCAAUCUCCAUCAACAUCUUCACCAGCAACAUCUCCUCUCAAACCCUAGUUCAUCUCUUGUAUCCAAUCUUGUAUCCAAAACCACAAAUUGGUACCUGUGGGUUGCUAGUAGUGUUGAUUAUUCCUUGUAGUUGAUGCUUAUUGGUUUACUUGGUGGAAGAUCAUAUGUUCAGAUCCUUAAUGCAUAUUAUUACUUGUCUGGAAUUGUUGUCUACCUAGUGAACCUCGUCAUCUGCUCCACUCCAUCCCUCUAGAGGUGUGCUUCGUCUCUCAGCUCAAGAGAUGUUGCUAUGCCUCAUUCCGAGAGUUAAUCCUGAGUUGUUCGACCUUCGAGAAGACCGAUCCUUCCAGAGUUUUCCUUUCCUCUUCUUGUCAUGAUUAGUUGGAAUUCUCAGAGCAAGACGACAUGACAAAGAUGGUGUUCGAAUCAACGUUCCUAUGAAGUGCAACCUGGAUCGUGAAGAUUGUACUAGUUUGCGUUCCCCCUUCACCUUACCCUACGCUUGAAUCUCGGGACGAGAUUUUUGUUUAGUGGGGGUGAGUUGUCACAGCCCUAGAAUAUUGUUUGUAAAUAGUUGCAUCUUCAUCCAGGCAUCAUAUUUAAAUUUCUGAAACAUGAGUUGAGGAUUGUUGGAAGCCUCAAAAACUUAAAUAAAAGAGGGGCAAAAACCCUAGAAAUCUCAUUCAUUGCUCCAAAAUGCUCUUCUUAAAUGUUUGAUAAUUUUUGGUAAGGGUUCUGGUCCCAACCAAAAUAUUGAACAUUUUUAAGGAAUUAUUUUUGGGACUUUGGAUUUAAUUCAUUAGCUAUUUGAAUUUGAAUUAUAUUCAUAUAAUUAGAAUAUAAUUUAAAUACCCCUGAAAUAUUUUAUAAGCUUUUGGAAAAGUCCAUCCAGCAUUAUAAAAUAUUCAGAGGAGUUUUUGGCAUUGUUUGAAUUAUUUUUAAAAUUCAAAACAGUGGCAAAAUAAAUUAAUAAAAAUAAAUCAGAACAGAAAUAUAAAACAAAGCAUCUUACCUGGCGCUUACCUGGUGGCCCAACAGGACCGGCCCAGCUAGGCCCAGCCCACCUCCUCCUCACUCCUACUGUUUUCAACCUCCUGCCAGUGGGCAGGAGGGCGUGUGCCCACGGCGCGCCAGCACGCGCACGGCCACCGACGGCCACCUCCUGCUUGCCGCUUCGCCCUGGACUCUCCUGGCAUCGCCACGCACCCCCCCGGGCCCCUCUCGCUCUCCCUCCCCCUCAUCCUCUCCCCUGGACCCCUCUCUCUCGCCACCGAACACGCCCAUCGCCGCCGUUCGCCGUUGCCGCGACCACCGCCACCCCCUCUCCUCUUCGACGCGCUCCCGAGCUCCGCCACGAUGUCGUCGUCCUCUCCAUCGAGUCACGCGGCGCCAGAAGCUCUGCUGCAUCUCCAACGCCGCCGUUUCCGACCUCGGGUGCCGGUGAUCCCCGCCGUCGAUUCGCCGGACCCGUGCCUCCCCUGCCUCGCCAGCAGCACCAGAAGAACCGCGGUGAGCCGCUGCAUCGUUUCCCCCAUGCCUCGUUGCCUAAUUCGCCCCCUAGCCGCUCCCUCCACCGGAGCUGAGAUGCCCCGCCGCACGGGCUCGUCGCCGGUGAAGCUCCGGUGACCUUUUGGUCCCACGCAUGCGUCCGUUGCACUCGUUGCGUCCCGUAGAGUAAAACUAGCGCGACAACCGUCUUGUUUGCACACCGCAGCGCCGGUCCCGCGAACCCCCGAGCUCCGGCCACCGCCGGGGUCGAUGCCGCGCUCAACUCCGGCUACCCCACGCCCUCUCGUGGGUCCCCCUAGAUGCGCGGGAGCACGGGCUUCCUCCUGGUGCCCUCAGGGUGCCCAACCGCAGCCUAUAGUGCCAUCCCGAGCUACUCCGGCGAGGUUCCGCCGUCGCCAUGGUCGCCGGCGUCACUAGCCGACGUGGCCGCGUGAUUAGCACUAAUCACGGCCAGCUAACCUCCCCAGAGCCGCUGACGUAUGGGCCCCACGCCCUUAUUUAAUCCUUAUCAUUUUCUGUUAAGUUUAACCUAACCACCAUGGGCCCACACGUCAGUUUUGACUAAGCUGACGUGGCUGUUGACUUGGUCCCACCUAUCAGAGUCACUAACCAGCACUAGUCACUGACCAGUGGACCCCACUGGUCAGGUUUGACCCGGACCAGCCCCUGUUGACCCGCUGACGUCAUGAUGAUGUCAGGCUGACGCAAUAAUGAAUUACUGGAAUUAUUUUAAUUCUAAAUAUUCAGGAAAUUCCAGAAAAUGCCUAAAACUUCUAAAAAUCAUAGAAAUUCAACCGUAACUCCAAAUUAAAUAAUUUAUAUAUGAAAAAUUAUCAGAAAAAUUCAAGGAAUCCAUCUGUACCAUUUUCAUGCAUGUUAGAACAACUUAUAGGUGCUGUUUAGCACAAAUCAAUUAAAUGGCAUUUGAAUAAUCACAUAUGGAGUUUGAAUUUGAAUCUUGUAUUCAAACCAACUUCAUUUAAUCUGUUGCUAGUUGCAUUAGCCGAAAACACAUUCAUUUUGCCAUGUCAUGAUCAUGCAUCAUAUUGUGCAUUGCAUUGAUUGUGUUCCCUUCUGUGUUGCCGGUAUUUGUCCCCUCUCGAUAGACGUGAUACCGAUGAUGCGAUCGUUGACACUGAUGAAGACUCAAUGCUAUCUUCAGAAGUGCCAGGCAAGCAAAACCCCCUUGUUCAUUCCGAUAAAAUCCCACUCUCUCGCUCCUGCUCUCUUUUACUGCAUUAGGACAACAUCGAUUCAUCUGUUACUUGCUGCGGUAGCUGAACCCCUUUAUCCUCUGCAUGACCUGUCAUUUCAUAGUAAAUAGAUGAAACCCACUAGCAUGAGUAGGAGUUGUUUGAGCCCUGAUGUGCCUACUCAUUCAUGCUUGUUUGUCAUGCCUGCUACUGCUUAGAGUUGAGUCAGGUCUAAUUCAUCGGGGAUGAAUCAGAGGCGUGUGAACAUGUCCUACUGUGUGUGAGCUAAGUGUGUGAACACGAUUUGGUAAAGGUAGCGGUGAGAGGCCAUGUAGGAGUACAUGGUGGGUUGUCUCAUUGCAGCCGUCCUCAGGAACUGAGUUCUGUGUUUGUGAUCCAUGAUUCAGCUACUACCACACAUUGGGCCCGAAACCAAUGGACCCUCUCGGCUUCUUGAUCACCCUUGUCCUCUGUCCAGGAGUUGCAAGUAGUUUCUGGUGUUUGUAGUAUGCUGGAGGCCGUGCGCAGCGCUGACCGUAGGGGUGGGCUGUGAUGCGGUAGGCACGUGGCCGGGUAAACCGAGCGCCCGUUUGGUGUCACGGAACCCUGUUCACAUCGUUUGGGGCUGUGAGCGAAACUCCGGCCGGAUCUCCUCAUGGAUGGAACCCGAAUAGGCGAUAAACCUGGACUAGAGACUUGAGUGUUUAGGCAGGCCGUGGCCGACACCCACGUUGGGCUUCCGCUUGAAGGUUGCCGAGUACAUGUCGUGUAAACGGCGGUAAGUGGUGAGAGCGUGUGUGAAGAAGUACACCCCUGCAGGGUUAACAUCAUCUAUUCGAAUAGCCGUGUCCGCGGAAAAGGACUUCUGGGUUGCUUAUAUCAGUUCAUAGACAAGUGAAAGUGGAUACUCUAAAAUAUGCAAGAUAAGCAUGAGUGCUAUGGAUGGCGUUCUCGUAGGGAGACGGGAGCGGAUCCAUAGUGGUGUAUUGAUAUGGUGAAUAAGUGGACUCGUGUGCGCCACCUCAAAAGAGUCACUUGCAGUCGCAGUUUAGGAUAGCCACCUAGUCAAAGCUGGCUUGCUGCAGUUAAACCCCACCAUCCCCUUGUUGAAAAUGAUGCAUAUGUAGUUAGUUCUGAUGUAAGUCUUGCUGGGUACAUUUGUACUCACGUUUGCCUAUUUUAUGUUUCUGCAGAGAGACUUCAGUCUCACUAGUAGUUUCGCGUGGACUUCGACGUUUAGCUUGUUACCUCAACUACGAUCUUGUGCCUCGGCAGGAUUGGUAGAUAGUCAGGCUUCUCAGCCUUUUUCAUUUAUAGAUGUCUGUACUCAGACAUGUUAAGCUUCCGCUUGUGCUUUGACUUGUAUGCUCUGAGUCUUGGGUCAUGAGACCCAUGUUUGUAAUAUCUCGCUCCUCGGAGCCUAUUGAUUAAAUACUUGAGUCGUAGAGUCAUGUUGUGAUGCCAUGUUGUAUUUGCACAUAUCGAGCAUAUUGUGUGUAUGUUAUUGAAAUGCUUGGUAUGUGUGGGAUCUGACCAUCUAGUUGUUUAUCUUUAGUAGCCUCUCUUACCGGGAAAUGUCUCCUAGUGUUUCCAUUGAGCCUUGGUAGCUUGCUACUGCUCCGGAACACUUAGGCUGGCCGGCAUGUGUCCUUCUUCGUUCCUGUGUCUGUCCCUUCGGGGAAAUGUCACGCAAUUAAUACCGGAGUCCUGUUAGCCCGCUACAGCCCGGUUCACCGGAGUCCUGCUAGCCCAGUGCUACAGCCUGGAUUCACUCGCUGAUGACCGACACGUUCGAUGCUGGGUCAUGGAUGCCUGUCCCUGUAAGUCUGUGCCACUUUAGGUUUACGACUAGUCAUGUCAGCCCAGACUCUUUAUCAUAUGGAUGCUAGCGACAUCAUCAUAUACGUGAGCCAAAAGGCGCAAACGGUCCCGGGCAAAGGUAAGGCGACACCCGUGGGAAUACCGUGCGUGAGGCCGCAAAGUGAUAUGAGGUAUUACAUGCUAGAUCGAUGUGGCAUUGAGUCGGGGUCCUGACAGCGUUGGUAUCAGAGCUUGACUGCCUGUAGGAUUACCAAGCCAAACUGGUUGAAGUUGAGUCUAGAAAUUCUUAGUUAUAUAAGGGAAUUGAUUGUGGGAUGGAACGUAAGGCUCUUUUUACUCCUUAUACCUCAUGGCCUUCUGAUCUGAGUCAUCAUCUUCUCUUCUACGGGGAUUAAGAACUAGGCUAUCUCUUCUUUCUAUUAGGAUCACGUGUUGCUAAUCUGUAGACUUAUAAGAUUGUUGGACUUAAGCCUCGUUUCAGUUCCUACUACUUCUGUAUGAUUACUGUUGAUCUCGGGACCUUGAUACUGUGAUGUUGAGUGGUUAUGCCACCAUUUUGUGAUUGUCUCAAAUCUUUUUGAGCAUUUACAGGCGUUAUGCUGUCCGAGUCAUCCCAGGUCUCUAAACAGUCUGAUGCAUUUGCAAAUCCUUUCCUUCCGUCUCCGAUGUCCCUUUUGGUCGGAAUAAGCACACUAAUCGGUAGGUUGAGGUACUUUGUUACCUCGGCGUAGAUGUUGGAGCUAUUAUUAUGACCUUAGGUGUUUAGGAAGUCACCUAGCAAUUUAGCAAUGCUUUUGUAUCCCCAGUGUGAUAAUUCUGGCCAUUAUUUUUGAAAGCAUCCCGUGAUGUUAUUAGUUAGUAGGCAUUCUAUUUCUGGGUUUUGAACCCGAGAUUCACUCUACUUACUUCAUGUUGAUAGUGUUUGCUAGUUCCUUCAGGAUAUUAGUAACUUUGCGAUAGUCCUCGAGGUCCGUGGUAUUUCCUUCUUCCAAAUACUAUGAACCGCUUAUGGCAGAUGUUUAUUGGAUCAAAAGAUCACAAUUAGAGUACUCUUGAGGAGAUCUCCAUUCAUAAAUCGUGACUCUGCCAGUCCUACCUCUCUGCAUGGGUUAUCUGGAAGAAAUGUUGAUCUCGCUCGACAUACUAAUCUAUGCAUCCACAACUCAGAAAAUUAUAUGUUCCUUUGAGUUGUCCCUCUUUAGUUGUCUACUGACCUUCGUCUAUCAAUUGAUAGUCAAGGGUAUGCAUGCAUUCGUUUAUCGAUGCCUAUUACCCUUGUGGUCCGUCAAGCCAUUCUGUCCUGAAUGACUUGGAGAAACAAACUCCAGUACCUCAUCCAUACCUAGGAUUGGGUCAAAGUAGUUGUAUUCCGCAGAUCAAUUGCCAAUCCAGCUUUUGGUUCUGUUCUACCUUGGAGUAUUACCCCCUUUAUGUCAGAAUUGUCAUGAGAACUGCACCAACUCUCAUGAAUUUUGACGUAGUGAUACUUCUCACCAUCAUUAGUCAUUCCUCGGCCCUCGUGUUGAUGCAACCGAAAUACCGACAACUGAAUUGUGAUGUGUGAAAUCAAUACUCCCAGCAACCUCGUUGCUUGGUAGUUAAAGGAUAAUAAUUUCAUUCUUAGCAUGUUGGUUUUUGAAUCAUCCUUCUAAGACUGAUCGUGCUACCUAGUCCUUAUUUCGGUGCACCCUUCGAUUGAUGAGUUAGGAUCUUGUCAAGUCCUCACUCAUUUGAUCAUAUCGUCUUGCCCUCAAAAGCGAGAUUGUUCUCGAGCUUAGUAACAUACCGGUGGUUCGUGAUUUUUUGAAUGUCUUCUCGGAAGUAUCACCAGGUCGUCACCUGACCGUUAUGUUGAGCUCGUGAUCAAGUUGGUUUCUUGUGAACCACCUUCUCUCCAAGAAUCGGUGUUAGAUAUCCCUGAGCUAGUUGGUUAAGCUAGACAACAACUUGGAGAGUUGGAAGAUAAAAGCUUGCCUGACUUAGUUCAUUCCAAAAGGAUAUCCUUGUGUAGUGUGUGUUGGAGAAAGAUGAUGUCUUCAUCGAUUGGUCCCUGUGAUCAGUUGUUGGACCUAUUGUCUUAUCAAAACUUUGAUUUGGGUAUGGGCUAUCCUCAAAUCAAGUCAGAACCAACGAUGUUCGUAAUGUUGUCUUACUCGUGGAUUUUCCUCGAGCAUACACCAUUACAUCUUUUGGUCUGAUCAAUGCUAUCACUGUGUUCACUUAACUAUGGAAUUCCUUUUAUAUGGAAACCUGGAUGAAUUGUUGUUGAGCCCAUCGACAACAUCCUUGUCUUCUCCAUAAUUUUGCUGAACAUUAAGUUAGUGUUGGAAACUUUUGAAAGCAUUUUCUUCAUGCUAGCUCAUGAAGUAUUUGUUUGAUGAAAGGAGUGACUUCCUCUUAUACACGUGCAUUUGGUGAAAGUUGCCGCCGUGGAUUUGAGAAAGUUAGUUUUGCUUCCUCUGGAAUCAUCCCAAGUCAGUCAUGCAUACGUGCGAAGUAUUCUGUGGUCUAGAGACUUGCAACCUUCAUUCCAUAUGUGUUCCGAGCACACCAAGCCACUGAUUGAGUUGUUCAAAGAUAAAGGAGUCUGUUCAAGGUGAACUCUUUGGACUUCCACGCGUGGAGACUUCGAUGUCAUUAAUGAUGGUUCCCCACCUGAACUCGGUAGUGUUUUGUUGUAAGACUACCAUGUGAUAAUGUUUGUCUGGGACAACGUGUUCACAUGUGUGUAGCAGAACCAGCUCAUGUUUUGGAGCUUGCUAUCGUAGUUCGCUCCCCGAGAAUCUCGCAACGUCAUCUCGUCGAUUUGUGUUGCAAACUUUCAUUUUUCUUCCUAGACUCGAUGGGUCUGGAAUAUUCUGACACCAACCAGAUCUGAAUCUCAGACAGAUAUGAUGGUUGGAACAUUUCCCCAAGAACUAUAAUAUUGGUUCCUCGAUAACUGGUAAAGUGGAUGUCGUGGCCAGCCCCACCCAGCCGAAAGACCUAUUAUUAUAAUAUCAUGAUUGAGGAAGUUGGCCACCUCCCCAUAAGGAUUUCGUAGGAUUUACCUCCGUAACUGUUCCUUAUGGAUUCUAGUGCUCCCGAAGUCCGACCUUUUUACGUAAUGUUCUAGAUAUCAAACCAUAUCUAUGAAUGGGUUACACUAGCACAUCAAGGACAACAUUAAAAGCGGAGUGCUAAAUGUCUCUCGGUCGAUCAUCCAGAUUUUAUUUCCUUGGCCCUGCCAAGGGUGAAAUCUGAGAAGGUGUUAUCUUCCUUUGCAUCUGCAUCAUUCAUCAUGGUAGCAAGUUGUGUUGCCAGGAUCCUUGACACGGAUAUUGGUAGAAUCUUGAUGAUUGUGGAAAUGCUCAAGUUCUUGAGAGCACGCACAAGCGCUAGGUGUUAUCAUCGGCACUAACUGGGUUUGCUCUCAGUUUCCUCGGCAAUGCUAUGAUCUUCUCAAACAGUGAAUUCACUCCCUAUUGUUGGGUUCUUCCCCAGUUACCAGAAUCAUUCCCAGCAUUUGCAUUUUUUUCCUAGCUUGCAUCGCCAAUGUGCCAUUCUACCAUGGGUCUCUUCCAUUUCCGGUGAUAAGCAAAAUCAUCCAUUGCGUUGUCUUCAACAAGGUAAUCCACAUCAUCCAAGUCCGAGUAUGCCGUUCUACCGACCCCGCCAAUCGAUUGCCUGUGAUUGCCUUAGGCUGGUAUAAAGAGUUUCAAUGAUCUUUGAAUCAAAGGUAAUUCUUUUUGCCACUUAAGGGGAUAUAUCUACGAGUCACCAUCCCUAAGAUGCCUCGUUGUGGUAUCAUGGGAAUCCAACUCCUCGCUACCUUGACAACCGACCACCACAUUCUUAAGUCUGGAAUUGUUGUCUACCUAGUGAACCUCGUCAUCUGCUCCACUCCAUCCCUCUAGAGGUGUGCUUCGUCUCUCAGCUCAAGAGAUGUUGCUAUGCCUCAUUCCGAGAGUUAAUCCUGAGUUGUUCGACCUUCGAGAAGACCGAUCCUUCCAGAGUUUUCCUUUCCUCUUCUUGUCAUGAUUAGUUGGAAUUCUCAGAGCAAGACGACAUGACAAAGAUGGUGUUCGAAUCAACGUUCCUAUGAAGUGCAACCUGGAUCGUGAAGAUUGUACUAGUUUGCGUUCCCCCUUCACCUUACCCUACGCUUGAAUCUCGGGACGAGAUUUUUGUUUAGUGGGGGUGAGUUGUCACAGCCCUAGAAUAUUGUUUGUAAAUAGUUGCAUCUUCAUCCAGGCAUCAUAUUUAAAUUUCUGAAACAUGAGUUGAGGAUUGUUGGAAGCCUCAAAAACUUAAAUAAAAGAGGGGCAAAAACCCUAGAAAUCUCAUUCAUUGCUCCAAAAUGCUCUUCUUAAAUGUUUGAUAAUUUUUGGUAAGGGUUCUGGUCCCAACCAAAAUAUUGAACAUUUUUAAGGAAUUAUUUUUGGGACUUUGGAUUUAAUUCAUUAGCUAUUUGAAUUUGAAUUAUAUUCAUAUAAUUAGAAUAUAAUUUAAAUACCCCUGAAAUAUUUUAUAAGCUUUUGGAAAAGUCCAUCCAGCAUUAUAAAAUAUUCAGAGGAGUUUUUGGCAUUGUUUGAAUUAUUUUUAAAAUUCAAAACAGUGGCAAAAUAAAUUAAUAAAAAUAAANNNNNNNNNNNNNNNNNNNNNNNNNNNNNNNNNNNNNNNNNNNNNNNNNNNNNNNNNNNNNNNNNNNNNNNNNNNNNNNNNNNNNNNNNNNNNNNNNNNNNNNNNNNNNNNNNNNNNNNNNNNNNNNNNNNNNNNNNNNNNNNNNNNNNNNNNNNNNNNNNNNNNNNNNNNNNNNNNNNNNNNNNNNNNNNNNNNNNNNNNNNNNNNNNNNNNNNNNNNNNNNNNNNNNNNNNNNNNNNNNNNNNNNNNNNNNNNNNNNNNNNNNNNNNNNNNNNNNNNNNNNNNNNNNNNNNNCGAACACGCCCAUCGCCGCCGUUCGCCGUUGCCGCGACCACCGCCACCCCCUCUCCUCUCCGACGCGCUCCCGAGCUCCGCCACGACGUCGUCGUCCUCUCCAUCGAGUCACACGGCGCCAGAAGCUCUGCUGCAUCUCCAACGCCGCCGUUUCUGACCUCGGGUGCCGGUGAUCCCCGCCGUCGAUUCGCCGGACCCCGUGCCUCCCCUGCCUCGCCAGCAGCACCAGAAGAACUGCGGUGAGCCGCUGCAUCGUUUCCCCCAUGCCUCGUUGCCUAAUUUGCCCCCUAGCCGCUCCCUCCACCAGAGCCGAGACGCUCCGCCGCACGGGCUCGUCGCCGGUGAAGCUCCGGUGACCUUUUGGUCCCACGCAUGCGUCCGUUGCACUCGUUGCGUCUCGUAGAGUAAAACUAGCGCGACAACCGUCUUGUUUGCACACCGCAGUUCCGGUCCCGCGAACCCCCGAGCUCCGGCCGCCGCCGGGGUCGAUGCCGCGCUCAACUCCGGCCACCCCACGCCCUCUCGUGGGUCCCCCUAGAUGCGCGGGAGCACGGGCUUCCUCCUGGUGCCCUCAGGGUGCCCAACCGCAGCCUGUAGUGCCAUCCCGAGCUACUCCGGCGAGGUUCCGCUGUCGCCAUGGUCGCCGGCGUCACUAGCCGACGUGGUCGCGUGAUUAGCACUAAUCACGGCCAGCUAACCUCCCCAGAGCCGCUGACGUAUGGGCCCCACGCCCUUAUUUAAUCCUUAUCAUUUUCUGUUAAGUUUAACCUAACCACCAUGGGCCCACACGUCAGUUUUGACUAAGCUGACGUGGCUGUUGACUUGGUCCCACCUGUCAGAGUCACUAACCAGCACUAGUCACUGACUAGUGGACCCCACUGGUCAGGUUUGACCCGGACCAGCCCCUGUUGACCCGCUGACGUCAUGAUGAUGUCAGGCUGACGCAAUAAUGAAUUACUGGAAUUAUUUUAAUUCUAAAUAUUCAGGAAAUUCCAGAAAAUGCCUAAAACUUCUAAAAAUCAUAGAAAUUCAACCGUAACUCCAAAUUAAAUAAUUUAUAUAUGAAAAAUUAUCAGAAAAAUUCAAGGAAUCCAUCUGUACCAUUUUCAUGCAUGUUAGAACAACUUAUAGGUGCUGUUUAGCACAAAUCAAUUAAAUGGCAUUUGAAUAAUCACAUAUGGAGUUUGAAUUUGAAUCUUGUAUUCAAACCAACUUCAUUUAAUCUGUUGCUAGUUGCAUUAGCCCAAAACACAUUCAUUUUGCCAUGUCAUGAUCAUGCAUCAUAUUGUGCAUUGCAUUGAUUGUGUUCCCUUCUGUGUUGCCGGUAUUUGUCCCCUCUCGAUAGACGUGAUACCGAUGAUGCGAUCGUUGACACUGAUGAAGACUCAAUGCUAUCUUCAGAAGUGCCAGGCAAGCAAAACCCCCUUGUUCAUUCCGAUAAAAUCCCACUCUCUCGCUCCUGCUCUCUUUUACUACAUUAGGACAACAUCGAUUCAUCUGUUACUUGCUGCGGUAGCUGAACCCCUUUAUCCUCUGCAUGACCUGUCAUUUCACAGUAAAUAGAUGAAACCCACUAGCAUGAGUAGGAGUUGUUUGAGCCCUGAUGUGCCUACUCAUUCAUGCUUGUUUGUCAUGCCUGCUACUGCUUAGAGUUGAGUCAGGUCUGAUUCAUCGGGGAUGAAUCAGAGGCGUGUGAACAUGUCCUACUGUGUGUGAGCUAAGUGUGUGAACACGAUUUGGUAAAGGUAGUGGUGAGAGGCCAUGUAGGAGUACAUGGUGGGUUGUCUCAUUGCAGCCGUCCUCAGGAACUGAGUUCUGUGUUUGUGAUCCAUGAUUCAGCUACUACCACACAUUGGGCCCGAAACCAAUGGACCCUCUCGGCUUCUUGAUCACCCUUGUCCUCUGUCCAGGAGUUGCAAGUAGUUUCUGGUGUUUGUAGUAUGCUGGAGGCCGUGCGCAGCGCUGACCGUAGGGGUGGGCUGUGAUGCGGUAGGCACGUGGCCGGGUAAACCGAGCGCCCGUUUGGUGUCACGGAACCCUGUUCACAUCGUUUGGGGCUGUGAGCGAAACUCCGUCCGGAUCUCCUCAUGGAUGGAACCCGAAUAGGCGAUAAACCUGGACUAGAGACUUGAGUGUUUAGGCAGGCCGUGGCCGACACCCACGUUGGGCUUCCGCUUGAAGGUUGCCGAGUACAUGUCGUGUAAACGGCGGUAAGUGGUGAGAGCGUGUGUGAAGAAGUACACCCCUGCAGGGUUAACAUCAUCUAUUCGAAUAGCCGUGUCCGCGGAAAAGGACUUCUGGGUUGCUUAUAUCAGUUCAUAGACAAGUGAAAGUGGAUGCUCUAAAAUACGCAAGAUAAGCGUGAAUGCUAUGGAUGGCGUUCUCGUAGGGAGACGGGAGCGGAUCCAUAGUGGUGUAUUGAUAUGGUGAAUAAGUGGACUCGUGUGCGCCACCUCAAAAGAGUCGCUUGCAGUCGCAGUUUAGGAUAGCCACCUAGUCAAAGCUGGCUUGCUGCAGUUAAACCCCACCAUCCCCUUGUUGAAAAUGAUGCAUAUGUAGUUAGUUCUGAUGUAAGUCUUGCUGGGUACAUUUGUACUCACGUUUGCCUAUUUUAUGUUUUUGCAGAGAGACUUCAGUCUCACUAGUAGUUUCGCGUGGACUUUGACGUUUAGCUUGUUACCUUAGCUACGAUCUUGUGCCUCGGCAGGAUUGGUAGAUAGUCAGGCUUCUCAGCCUUUUUCAUUUAUAGAUGUCUGUACUCAGACAUGUUAAGCUUCCGCUUGUGCUUUGACUUGUAUGCUCUGAGUGUUGGGUCAUGAGACCCAUGUUUGUAAUAUCUCGCUCCUCGGAGCCUAUUGAUUAAAUACUUGAGUCGUAGAGUCAUGUUGUGAUGCCAUGUUGUAUUUGCACAUAUCGAGCAUAUUGUGUGUAUGUUAUUGAAAUGCUUGGUAUGUGUGGGAUCUGACCAUCUAGUUGUUUAUCUUUAGUAGCCUCUCUUACCGGGAAAUGUCUCCUAGUGUUUCCAUUGAGCCUUGGUAGCUUGCUACUGCUCCGGAACACUUAGGCUGGCCAGCAUGUGUCCUUCUUCGUUCCUGUGUCUGUCCCUUCGGGGAAAUGUCACGCGAUGAAUACCUGAGUCCUGUUAGCCCGCUACAUCCCGGUUCACCGGAGUCCUGCUAGCCCAGUGCUACAGCCUGGAUUCACUCACUGAUGACCGACACGUUCGAUGCUGGGUCAUGGAUGCCUGUCCCUGUAAGUCUGUGCCACUUUGGGUUUACGACUAGUCAUGUCAGCCAGACUAUUUAUCAUAUGGAUGCUAGCGACAUCAUCAUAUACGUGAGCCAAAAGGCGCAAACGGUCCCGGGCAAAGGUAAGGCGACUCCCGUGGGAAUACCGUGCGUGAGGCCGCAAAGUGAUAUGAGGUAUUACAUGCUAGAUGGAUGUGGCAUUGAGUCGGGGUCCUGACAGCGUUUGUAUCAGAGCUUGACUGCCUGUAGGAUUACCAAGCCAAACUGGUCGAAGUUGAGUCUAGAAAUUCUUAGUUAUAUAAGGGAAUUGAUUGUGGGAUGGAACGUAAGGCUCUUUUUACUCCUUAUACCUCAUGGCCUUCUGAUCUGAGUCAUCAUCUUCUCUUCUACGGGGAUUAAGAACUAGGCUAUCUCUUCUUUCUAUUAGGAUCACGUGUUGCUAAUCUGUAGACUUAUAAAAUUGUUGGACUUAAGCCUCGUUUCAGUUCCUACUACUUCUGUAUGAUUACUGUUGAUCUCGGAACCUUGAUACUGUGAUGUUGAGUGGUUAUGCCACCAUUUUGUGAUUGUCUCAAAUCUUUUUGAGCAUUUACAGUCGUUAUGCUGUCCGAGUCAUCCCAGGUCUCUAAACAGUCUGAUGCACUUGCAAAUCCUUUCCUUCCGUCUCCGUCCUGACAUUACUCCUCUGAUUAUGAACAUGAAUAUGCUUUGUGAGUAGUUACGUUUGUUCCUGAGGACAUGGGUGAAGUCUUGCUAUUAGUAGUCAUGUGAAUUUGGUAUUCGUUCGAUAUUUUGAUGAGAUGUAUGUUGUCUUUGCUCUAGUGGUGUUAUGUGAACGUCGACUACAUGACACUUCACCAUUAUUUGGGCCUAGAGGAAGGCAUUGGGAAGUAGUAAGUAGAUGAUGGGUUGCUAGAGUGAUGGAAGCUUAAACCCUAGUUUAUGCGUUGCUUCAUAAGGGGCCGAUUUGGAUCCAUAUGUUUAAUGCUGUGGUUAGGUUUACCUUAAUACUUCUUUUGUAGUUGCGGAUGCUUGCAAUAGGGGUUAAUCAUAAGUGGGAUGCUUGUCCAAGUAAGGGCAGUACCCAAGCACCGGUCCACCCACAUAUCAAAUUAUCAAAGUACCGAACGCGAAUCAUAUGAGCGUGAUGAAACUAGCUUGACGAUAAUUCCCAUGUGUCCUCGGGAGCGCUUUUCUCAUUAUAAGAAAUUGUCCAGGCUUGUCCUUUGCUACAAAAAGGAUUGGUCCACCUUGCUGCACUUUAUUUACUUUCGUUGCUUGUUACUCUUUACAAUUUAUCUUAUCACAAAACUAUCUAUCACCUACAAUUUCAGAGCUUGAAGAGAAAACCUUACUAAAAACCGCUUAUUAUUUCCUUCUGCUCCUCGUUGGGUUCGGCACUCUUACUUAUCGAAAGGACUACGAUAGAUCCCCUACACUUGUGGGUCAUCAUUGAUCAUUCAUGCUUCACUUAUAUUUUUUUUUUGUGAGUCUUUUAGAACAGCAUGGUAUUUGCUAUGGUUAUAAAUUUGGUCCUAGAAUGAUGAGCAUCCAACUUGGGUAUAAUAAAAACUAUCAUAGAAAGUGCAUUAAAAACUAUGAUCAAUUUGAUGGUUGAUAAUUGUUUUGAGAUAUAAAGGUGGUAAUGUUAGAGUCAUGCUAGUUGGGUAAUUAUGAAAUUGAGAAAUACUUGUGUUGAAGUUGGCAAGUCCCGUAGCAUGCACGUAUGGUAAAAGUUAUGUAACAAAUUUGUAGCAUGGGGUGCUCUUUGAGUGCUUUCCUUAUGAGUGGCAGUCGGGGACGAGCGAUGGUCUUUUCCUACCAAUCUAUCCCUCUAGGUGCAUGUGUAGUAGUACUUUACUUCGAGGGCUAAUAAAUUUUUGCAAUAAGUAUAUGAGUUCUUUAUGACUAAUGUGAGUGCAUGGAUAUAUGCACACUUACCCUUCCACUUUGCUAGCCUCUAUUAUACCGCGCAACCUUCGCCGGUAUCAUGAACCCAUUAUUUACCUUCCUCAAAACAGCCACCAUACCUACGUAUUAUGGCAUUUCCAUAGCCAUUCCGAGAUAUAUUGCCAUGCAACUUUCCACUGUUUUGUUUAUUAUGACAAGCUCCAUCAUUGUCUUGCUCUUUGCAUGAUCAUGUAGUUGACAUCGUAUUUGUGGCAAGGCCACCUUCAUAAUUUUUCAUACAUGUCACUCUUGAUUCAUUGCAUAUCCCGGUACACCGCCGGAGGCAUUCACAUAGAGCCAUAUCUUGUUCUAAGUAUCGAGUUGUAAUUCUUGAGUUGUAAAUCAAUAAAAGUGUGAUGAUCUUCAUUAUUAGAGCAUUGUCCCAAGUGAGGAAAGGAUGAUGAAGACUAUGAUUCCCCCACAAGUCGGGAUGAGACUUCGGACUUUAUAAAAAUAGAAGAGGCCAAAGAAGCCCACCAAAAUAAAAAAAAAUGGGAGAAAAAGAGAGAAGGGACAAUGUUACUAUCCUUUUACCACACUUGUGCACCAUGAUCUUCAUGAUAGAGAGUCUCCUAUGUUGUCACUUCCAUAUACUAGUGGGAAUUUUUCAUUAUAAAACUUGGCUUGUAUAUUCCAAUGAUGGGCUUCCUACAAACGCCCCAGGUCUUCGUGAGGAAGCAAGUUGGAUGCACACCCACUUAGUUUCUUUUGUUGAGAUUUCAUAUAUUUAUAGCUCUAGUGCAUCCUUUGCAUGGCAAUCCCUACUCACUCACAUUGAUAUCUUUUAAUGGGUGAUGUCUACUACACGACCUUCUUCUUGUAGACGUUGUUGGGCCUGCACGUGCACAGGUUUGUAGGACAGUAGCAAAUUUCCCUCAAGUGGAUGACCUAAGGUUUAUCAAUCCGUAGGAGGCGUAGGAUGAAGAUGGUCUCUCUCAAACAACCCUGCAACUAAAUAACAAAGAGUCUCUUGUGUCCCCAACACACCCAAUACAAUGGUAGAUUGUAUAGGUGCACUAGUUCGGCGAAGAGAUGGUGAUACAAAUGCAAUAUGGAUAGUAGAUAAAGGUAUUUGUGAUCUGAAAUUAUAAAAACAGCAAGGUAGCAAGUAACAAAAGUGAGCGUAAACGGUAUUGCAAUGAUAGGAAACAAGGCCUAGGGUUCAUACUUUCACUAGUGCAAGUUCUCUCAACAAUAAUAACAUAGAUAGAUCAUAUAAAAAUCCCUCAAUAUGCAACAAAGAGUCACUCCAAAGACACUAAUAGCGGAGAACAAAUGAGGAGAUUAUGGUAGGGCACGAAACCACCUCAAAGUUAUUCUUUCGGAUCAAUCUAUUCAAGAGUUCGUACUAGAAUAACACCUUAAGACACAAAUCAACAAAAACCCUAAUGUCACCUAGAUACUCCAUUGUCACCUCAAGUAUCCGUGGGCAUGAUUAUACGAUAAGCAUCACACAAUCUCAGAUUCAUCUAUUCAACCAACACAAAGUACUUCAAGGAGUGCCCCAAAGUUUCUACCGGAGAGUCAAGAACGUGCGCCAACCCCUAUGCAUAGGUUCAUGGGCGGAACCCGGAAGUUGGUCACCAAAACAUACAUCAAGUGGCACAUGAUAUCCCAUUGUCACCACAGAUAAUCACGGCAAGACAUACAUCAAGUGUUCUCAAAUAAAGACUCAUUCCGAUAAGAUAACUUCAAAGGGGAAAACUCAAUCCAUUACAAGAGAGUAGAGGGGGAGAAACAUCAUAAGAUCCAACUAUAAUAGCAAAGCUCGGGAUACAUCAAGAUCAUGCCAUAGAGGGAACACGAGAGAGAACACGAGAGAGAGAGAGAGAUCAAACACAUAGCUACUGGUACAUACCCUCAGCCUCGAGGGUGAACUACUCCCUCCCGUCAUGGAGAGUGCCGGGAUGAUGAAGAUGGCCACCAGUGAAGGAUCUCCCCUCUGGCAGGGUGCCGGGAAGGGCUCCCGAGAGGUUUUUGGUGGCUACAGCGGCUUGGGGCGGCGGAACUCCCGAUCUCUCUUGAUAUUCGAUGUUUUUAGGGUACAAGGGAAUAUAUAGGCGAAAGAAGUCAGUCGGGAGGUGCUCGAGGGCCCCACGAGACAGGGGGCGCGCCCAGUAGGGGGGGCGCGCCCUCCUAUCUCGUGGCCUCCUCAAGGGUCUUCUAACGUGAACUCCAAGUCUCCUGGGUGUUAUUCUUCCAAAAAAUCACGUUGCCGAAGGUUUCAUUCCGUUUGGACUCCGUUUGAUAUUCCUUUUCUUCGAAAUACUGAAACAGGCAAUAAAACAACAAUAUGGGUUGGGCCUCCGGUUAAUAGGUUAGUCCCAAAAGUAAUAUAAAAGUGUAUAAUAAAGCCCAUAAUCAUUCAAAACAGAUAAUAAAAUAGCAUGAAUGCUUCAUAAAUUAUAGAUACGUUGGAGACGUAUCAGCAUCCCCAAGCUUAAUUCCUACUCAUCCUCGAGUAGGUAAAUGAUAAAGAAAGAAUUUAUGAAGUGUGAAUGCUAGAAGGUGCACAAGUUUGAUCAAUGAUAAUUUCAAUCACCUUUUCCAGCAUGAUUAUAUGUCAUAACAAUAGUUCAUCUCAUAAAACUUUUCAUAAUCAAGUAACAAGCUAUUCACAUGUAUAAGCAUAGACCAUAAACUUUCUUGAAAACUAGCAAACUUCAUUCUUAGUCAUCAAACAAUUGCAAUUCAUCUUAUUUUCAGGAAGGGUCUAUGUUAGAGCUUUGAUUUAAUUAGCAAACUUCACAUACUCAACUAUCAUAUAGUCUUCUACAAUUGCUAACACUCACGCAGUCCUUGUGGUUAUGAAGUUUUAAUCAGACACAGAGAAAGAUUGGGGCUUAUAAUGUUGCCUCCAAUCGUAUUCACCUUUGGGUGAUGUCAACGAUAAUAGUUCAUGCUAACAUACAUCCAAUUUGAUAUAUAUAUCAGGAUCACCCCAACACAAAGUGCUUGCCAAAGGAUAAAAUGAAAAAGGGAAAGGUGAAGAUCACCUUAACUCUUGUAUAAAAGUAAAAGAUAGGCCCUUCGCAGAGGGAAGCAGGGAUUUGCAGAGGUGCCAGAGCUCGAUUUUUAAAAUAGAGAUUAAUAAUUUCGAGAGGUAUGAUCUCAUUGUCAACAUAACAACCAAGAGUUCCCAAUAUCUUCCAUAAUAAUUGCUUAUAGGUAGUUCCCACGCAGAAUGGUAAAAGUUUAUACUCCCCCAACCACCAACAAGCAUCAAUCCAUGGCUUGCUCGAAACAACGAGUGCCUCCAACCAACAACAAUCCUGGGGGAGUUUUGUUUAAUUAUUUUGAUUUGAUUUUGACCUUUUUGAUCAUGGGACUGGGCAUCCCGGUUACCGCCACUUUCUCGUGAAUGAGGAGCGGAGUCCACUCCUCUUGAGAAUAACCCACCUAGCAUGGAAGACACUGACAGCCCCUAGUUGCUACAUGAGCAAUUCGGGCAUACAAAACAGAUUAUAAUUUGAUGGUUUAGAGUUUGGCACAUGCAAAUUUACUUGGAACGGCAGGUAAAUACCGCAUAUAGGUAGGUAUGGUGGACACUCAUGGCAAAAACUGGGUUUAAGGAUAUUGGAUGCACAAGAAGUAUUCCCGCUUAGUACAGAUAUUUAGGCUAGCAAGGGGCGAAAGGCAAGCUCAACAUGUUUGAAUGAUCCAUGACAAUAUACUUUAACUAAGAUGCGAGAGAACAUAACCCAUUACAUUGUCUUCCUUGUCCAACAUCAACUCUUUAGCAUGUCAUACUUAAUGAGUGCUCACAAUUAUAAAAGAUGUCUAUGAUAAUAUAUUUAUAUGUGAAAUUUCUCUUCCUUAAAUAUUCUUUCAUGAAUUGUUCAAAUGACCAAUACAAUGCUUGCUAACCUUCAAUAAAUUACUACCUCUACUUCUUAGAUAUGAAGUCAUUACUCCCCAUGGGAUAAGAAAAUGAAACAUAUAUAAUUUCAGAUUUAUGAAAUUCAACUCAACCAUUUACUCAUAGGAUAUAAGUGAAGCACACGAGUAAAUGACAAACUACUCCAACAAGAUAUAAGUGAAGAUCAAUGAGUAGCUAAAAAAUUAUGCAACUAUGUGAAGACUCUCUCUCAUUUAAUAACUUCAGAUCUUGGUAUGUUAUUCAAACAGCAAGCAAAGCAACAUAAAAUGACAUUGUAAGGAUAGCACAACUCAUGUGAAGAAGCAAAAACUUAGGUUCAACCGAUACUAACCGAUAGUUGUUGAAGAAAAAAGGUGGGAUGCCUACCGGGGCAUCCCCAAGCUUAGGUGCUUGAGACUUCUUGAAAUAUUAUCUUGGGGUGCCUUGGGAAUCCCCAAGCUUGAGCUUUUGUGUCUCCUUAAUUCCCUUUUAUAUCACGGUUUCUCUUCUUUUUAUCAAAAAGCUUCAUUCACAACAAACUCAACAAGAACUCGUGAGAUAGGUUAGUAUAAACCAAUGCAAAACCUUAUCAUUUUCUACUGUAAAGAAUCACUAAGAUUAUUAUUCAACAUUUAAUACUAAAUGUCUCUGCAUAUUUAAUACUCCUAUCCUCAAAUAGAAUCAUUAAACAAGCAAACAUAUGCACACAAUGCAAACAUAACAGCAAUCUGCCAAAACAGUACAGUCUGUAAAGAAUGCAAGAUUCAUCAUACAUCCCUAACUCCAAAAAUUAUAAGGAAAAUACUACGCUGUAAAAGAUUUAUCAGAGCUCAUUAUGCAAAAAGAUUCAACAUUAUAUCACUCUCUGACUUUUCUAGGGAACUUUUGCAACAGCGGUAAACUUUCUGUUUUCAAACAGCAACAUGUAUACUUGCAAAAUAAGCAUGGUAAAGGCUAUCCUUGACAUUUUUAUUGAAAAUAAAGAUGAAAAACAUUAAUAUAAAUAACAUCAAGAAAAUACUAACAAAAUAAAAUGACACUCCAAGCAAAACACAUAUCAUGUGGUGAAUAAAAAUAUAGCUCCAAGUAAAGUUACCGAUGAACAAAGACGAAAGAGGGGAUGCCAUCCGGGGCAUCCCCAAGCUUAGGCUCUUGGUUAUCCUUGAAUAUUACCUUGGGGUGCCUUGGGCAUCCCCAAGCUUAGGCUCCUUCCACUUAUUAUUCCAUAGUCCAUGGAAUCCUUACCCAAAACUUGAAAACUUCAGCCACACAAAACUCAAAACAAAACUCGUAACCUCCGUUGGUAUAAGAAAGAAAAACUACCACAUAAGGUACUGUAAUGAACUCAUUCUUUAUUUAUAUUGGUGUUAAACCUACUGUAUUCUAACUUCUCUAUGGUUCAUACCCUUACAUACUAGCCAUAGAUUCAUCAAAAUAAGCAAACAACACCAUGAAAGCAGAAUCUGUCAAAAACAGAACAGUCUGUAGUAAUCUGUAUCAAACGUAUACUUCUGGAACCCCAAAAAUUAUGAAAUAAAUUGAUGGACCUGAGUAAUUUGUCUAUUAAUCAUCUGCAAAAAUAAUCAACCUAAAAGCACUCUCCAGUAAAAAAAGUGGCAUCUAAUCUCGUGAGCGCUAAAGUUUCUGUUUUUCACAGCAAGAUCAUAAAGACUUCGCCCAAGUCUUCCCAAAGGCUCUACUUGGCACUUAAGUGAAACAAAAGCUAUAAAACAUGAUUACUACAGUAGCAUAAUCAUGUGGACACACAAAAACAGUAAGGGUUAAUAUUGGGAUGUCUCCCAACAAGAGCUUUUAUUUAAUGCCUUUCUAGCUAGGCAUGAUGAUGGCAAUGAUGCUCACAAAAAGGAUAAGAAUUGAAACAUAAAGGGAGCAUCAUGAAGAAUAUUACUAGCACAUUUAAGUCUAACCCACUUCCCAUGCAUAGGUAUUUUGUGAGCAAACAACUUACAGGAACAAUAAUUAACUAGCAUAGGAAGGCAAAACAAGCAUAACUUCAAGAUUUUAAGCACGUAGAGAGGAAACUUAAUAUUAUUGCAAUUCCUACAAGCAUAUGUUCCUCCCUCAUAAUAAUUUUCAGUGGCAUCAUGAAUGAAUUCAAGAAUAUAACCAGCACCUAAAGCAUUAUUUUCAUGAUUUACAAGCAUGGAAAAUUACUACUCUCCACAUAAGCAAAAUUCUUCUCAUAAAUAGUAGUGGGAGCAAACUCAACAAAAUAACUAUCAUGUGAGGCAUAAUCCAAUUGAAAACUAAAAUGAUGAUGACAAGUUUCAUGGUUAUCAUUAUUCUUAAUAGCAUACAAGUCAUCACAAUAAUCAUCAUAGAUAGCAAUUUUGUUCUCAUAAUCAAUUGGAACCUCUUCCGAAAUAGUGGAAUCAUCACUAAAUAAAGUUGACACUCUUCGAAAUCCACUUUCAUAUUCAUCACAAUAAGAUUCAACAUCCUCCAAAAUAGUGGGAUCAAUACUACCUAAAGUUGACACUCUUCCAAACCCACUUUCAUCAAUAUAACCAUCAUAAAUAGGAGGCAUGCUGUCAUCAUAAUAAAUAUUCUCAUCAAAACUUGGGGGACUAAACAUAUCAUAUUCAUCAAACAUAGCUUCCCCAAGCUUGUGGCUUUGCAUAUCAUUAGCAUCAUGGAUAUUCAAAGAGUUUAUACUAACAACAAUGCAAUCAUGCUCAUCAUUCAAAGAUUUAGUGACAAACAUUUUAUAGAUUUCUUCUUCUAGCACUUGAGCACAAUUUUCCUUACCAUCAUUCUCACGAAAGAUAUUAAAAAGAUGAAGCGUAUGAGACAAACUCAAUUCCAUUUUUUUGUAGUUUUCUUUUAUAGACUAAACUAGUGAUAAAACAAGAAACAAAAAGAUUCGAUUGCAAGAUCUAAAGAUAUACCUUCAAGCACUCACCUCCUAAAAGAGCUUAGUUGACGGGGUGUGAGUACCGUUUACCUAGCCUCCCCGGCAACGGCGCCAGAAAAGAUCUUGAUGUCUACUACACAACCUUCUUCUUAUAGACGUUGUUGGGCCUGCAAGUGCACAAGUUUGUAGGACAGUAGCAAAUUUCCCUCAAGUGCAUGACCUAAGGUUUAUCAAUCCGUAGGAGGCGUAGGAUGAAGAUGGUCUCUCUCAAACAACCCUGCAACAAAAUAACAAAGAGUCUCUUGUGUCCCCAUCACACCCAAUACAAUGGUUGAUUAUAUAGGUGCACUAGUUCGGCAAAGAGAUGGUGAUACAAGUGCAAUAUGGAUAGUAGAUAAAGGUAUUUGUGAUCUGAAAUUAUAAAAACAGCAAGGUAGCAAGUAACAAAAGUGAGCGUAAAUGGUAUUGCAAUGAUAGGAAACAAGGCCUAGGGUUCAUACUUUCACUAGUGCAAGUUCUCUCAACAAUAAUAACAUAGAUAGAUCAUAUAACAAUCCCUCAAUAUGCAACAAAGAGUCACUCCAAAGCCACUAAUAGCGGAGAACAAACGAGGAGAUUAUGGUAGGGUACGAAACCACCUCAAAGUUAUUCUUUCGGAUCAAUCUAUUCAAGAGUUCGUACUAGAAUAACACCUUAAGACACAAAUCAACCAAAACCCUAAUGUCACCUAGAUACUCCACUGUCACCUCAAGUAUCUGUGGGCAUGAUUAUAUGAUAAGCAUCACACAAUCUCAGAUUCAUCUAUUCAACCAACACAAAGUACUUCAAGGAGUGCCCCAAAGUUUCUACCGGAGAGUCAAGAACGUGUGCCAACCCCUAUGCAUAGGCUCAUGGGCGGAACCCGCAAGUUGGUCACCAAAACAUACAUCAAGUGACACAUGAUAUCCCAUUGUCACCACAGAUAAUCACGGCAAGACAUACAUCAAGUGUUCUCAAAUAAAGACUCAAUCCGAUAAGAUAACUUCAAAGGGGAAAACUAAAUCCAUUACAAGAGGGUAGAGGGGGAGAAACAUCAUAAGAUCCAACUAUAAUAGGAAAGCUCGAGAUACAUCUAGAUCUUGCCAUAGAGGGAACACGAGAGAGAACACGAGAGAGAGAGAGAGAGAGAGAGAGAGAGAGAUCAAACACAUAGCUACUGGUACAUACCCUCAGCCUCGAGGGUGAACUACUCCCUCCUCGUCAUGGAGAGCACCGGGAUGAUGAAGAUGGCCACCGGUGAAGGAUCCCCCCUCCGGCAGGGUGCCGGGAAGGGCUCCCGAGAGGUUUUGGUGGCUACAGAGGCUUGCGGCGGCGGAACUCCCGAUCUCUCUUGAUAUUCGAUGUUUUUAGGGUACGAGGAAAUAUAUAGGCAAAAGAAGUCGGUCGGGAGGUGCUCGAGGGGCCCACGGGAUAGGGGGGCGCGCCUAGUAGGGGGGGGCGCCCUCCUAUCUCGUGGCCUCCUCGAGGGUCUUCUGACGUGAACUCCAAGUCUCUUGGGUGUUAUUCUUCCAAAAAAAUCACGUUGCCGAAGGUUUCAUUCCAUUUGAACUCCAUUUGAUAUUCCUUUUCUUCGAAAUACAGAAACAGGCAAUAAAACAGCAAUAUGGGCUGGGCCUCCAGUUAAUAGGUUAGUCCCAAAAGUAAUAUAAAAGUGUACAAUAAAGCCCAUAAUCAUUCAAAACAGAUAACAAAAUAGCAUGAAUGCUUCAUAAAUUAUAGAUAUGUUGGAGACAUAUCAAGGGCAUCUCCAUAGCCCAUUGAUAUGCCUAGUUGAUGUGAGACUAUCUUCUCCCUCCUUGUCUUCAUAACCACCACCAUAUACCACACAUAGUGCUAUGUCCAUGGCUUGCGCUCAUGUAUUGGUAAGAGUUGAAAAGGCUGAAGCGCGUUAAAAAUUAUGAACCAAUUGCUCGGCUCGUCAUCGGGGUUAUGCAUAAGGGGAGUAUUUUGCGUUAUAAAAAUGAAGCAUGGCCUAACUAUAUGAUUUUGUAGGGAUAAGAUUUCUUUGGCUAUGCUGUUUUGAUAAGACAUGAUUAUUUGUUAGUAUGCUUCAAGUAUUACUAUUUUUAUGUUUUAUAAGCUUUUAUCUUGAAUCAUUUGGAUCUAAACAAUCAUGCCACAAUAAACAGAAUUACACUGAGAAUUAUGCUAGGUAGCAUUCCACAUCUAAAAUUCUGUUUUUAUCAUUUACCUACUCGAGGACGAGCAGGAAUUGAGCUUGGGGAUGCUUGAUACGUCUCCAACGUAUCUAUACUUUUUAUUGUUCCAUGCUAUUAUAUUACUUGUUUUGGAUGUUUAUGGGCAUUACUCUACACUUUUAUAUAAUUUUUGGGACUAACCUACUAAUCGGAGGCCCAGCUCGAAUUGCUGUUUCUUUUUGCCUAUUUCAGUGUUUUGAAGGAAAGGAAUAUCAAACGGAGUCCAAACGGAAUGAAACCUUCGGGAGCGAUCUUUGUGGAACAAACGCAAUCCAGGAGACUUGGAGUGGACGUCAAGAAGCAGACGAGGCGGCCACGAGGGUGCCCGGCGCGCCUUGUAAUGGUGGGCGAGCCCCCACCCUCGUGGGCCCCUCGAGCAUCCACCGACCUACUUCUUCCUCCUAUAUAUGUCCAUGGACCCCGAGAACAUCCAGGAGCACCACGAAAAACUAUUCCCACCGCCACAACCUUUUGUAUCCGUGAGAUCCCAUCUUGGAGCCUUCGCCAGCACUCCGUCGGAGGGGGAAUCGACCACGGAGGGCCUCACCAUCAUCACCAAGGCCUCUCUGAUGAGUUGUGUGUGUUUACCACAGACCUUCGGGUCCAUAGUUAUUAGCUAGAUGGCUUCUUCUCUCUCUUUGAUUCUCAAUACAAAGUUCUCCUUCCUCUUCUUGGAGAUCUAUUCGAUGUAACUCUUUUUGCGGUGUGUUUGUGGAGAUCCGAUGAAUUGUGGGUUUAUGAUCAAGUUUAUCUAUGAGAAAUAUUUGAAUCUCCUCUGAAUUCUUUUAUGUACGAUUGGUUAUCUUUGGAAGUCUCUUCGAAUUAUCAGUUUGGUUUGGCCUACUAGACUGAUCUUUCUUGCCAAGGGAGAAGUGCUUAGCUUUGGCAGUGACAGCAGGGGCAGCAAGGCACGUAUUGUAUUGUUGCCAUCAAGGAUAAAAAGAUGUGGUUUAUAUCAUAUUGCAUGAUUUUAUCCCUCUACAUCAUGUCAUCUUGCUUAAUGCAUUACUCUAUUCUUAUGAACUUAAUACUCUAGAUGCAGGAAGGAGUCGGUCGAUGUGUGGAGUAAUAGUAAUAGAUGCAGAAUUGUUUCGGUCUACUUGUUGCAGACGUGAUGCUAAUAUACAUGAUCAUGCCUAGAUAAUCUCAUAACUAUGCACUUUUCUAUCAAUUGCUCAACAGUAAUUUGUUCACCCACCGUAAUAAUUAUGCUAUCUUGUGAGAAGCCACUAGUGAAACCUACGGCCCCCGGGUCUAUCUUUUAUCAUAUAAGUUUUCCAUCUACUUUUAUUUGCAUCUCUUAUUUUCCAAUCCAUAUCAUAAAAAAUACCAAAAAUAUUUAUCUUAUCAUAUUAUCUCUAUCAGAUCUCACUUCCGCAAGUUACCGUGAAGGGAUUGACAACCCCUUUAUCGCGAAAAAGUUGGUUGCGAGGUUCUUGUUUGUUUGUGUAGGCGCAUGGGACUUGGGAGGAGCCUCCUACUUGAUUGGUACCUUGGUUCUCAAAAACUGAGGGAAAUACUUACACUACUUUGUUGUAUUACCGUUUCCUCUUCAAGGGAAAAACCAAUGCAUGCUCAGGUGGUAGCACUGUUGAGGAUCGUUGCAGAAAUAAAAAAAUUCUAUGCAUCACCAAGAUCAAUCUAUGGAGAAACUAGCAACAAGAGAGAGGGGAGUUCAUCUUCAUACCCUUGAAGAUCGUGAAACGGAAGCGUUGCAAGAACGUGGAUGAAGGAGUCGUACUCGUAGCGAUUCGGAUCGCGGUGGAUUCUGAUCUAAGCGCCAAACAACGACACCUCCGUGUUCAACACACGUGCAGCCCGGUGACGUCUCCCACGCCUUGAUCCAGCAAGGAGGAGGGAGAGGUUGAGGAAGGCAGCUCCAGCAGCAGCACGACGGCGUUGUGAUGGUGGAGCAGCAGUUCUCCAGCAGGGCUUCGACAAGCUCAAACGGAGGAGGAGAGGUGUUGGAGAGGGGGAGGGUUGCGCCUUGGAUGUGGUGCGGCUGCCCUCCCUCCUCCCCGCUAUCUAUAGGGUGAAGGGGGAAGGGGACCGGCCCCUGUAGAUGAGAUCUAGAGGGGGGUGGCGGCCAAGGGGAGGGGGCUUGCCCCCCAAGCCAAGGGGGGCGCCCCCUCUAGGGUCCCCCCCAACCCUAGGCGCAUGGGCCCAAGAGGGGUUGUUGUGGUGGGUGCACGACAGAUGCCAAGUGAUCGCUAAAGAGAGGAGGAGGCUCGAGGGCGCUGGUGGGCUCUAGAGGCGUGGUUGGCAUGCGCGGGCGCGGGACGCCGGACAUACCCAGGUUCGGGGCUCUACAAAGAGAUAACACCCUAGUCCUGCUGAGUUUAGUCGGAUGGUCGAUAGUACAAUGUUGCUCCUGGAGCUGUAUGGAGGAGGAAGGAAGCUGGCCAAGGCUUGGGCCGCUCCUUCUCUCUGGUGCUGCCGUUGGGUGGCUAGUCCUAUGCUUGCUUGUGUUUCUCUUGUGUCUCGUACAUAUGCCUCUCUCUGUAGGCGCGGGUUCCUGGGGGUUUUAUAGAUCAACCCACCUAGGGUUACAAUGGUAAUACAUCGAGUCGGCUGGGUCCCGCUUGAGGGCUUGUGGUCCGCCGGGUUCCCCUAGGUGCGGGCCCCGCAUGCCUAGGGGAACUGUUCGCCGUCUUGUUGAUCAUUAGGGCGUGGCCGAGUCGAGUCGUGUAUAGUGCUCUCCGUCAGGUUGCCGCUUGCUGCCGUCAGCGGUGAGGGCAGGAGCACUAUUGCCAUGCCAGCCUCGGUCUGCAAGUAGGAGAAGGGCAUUGUUGCCACGCUCCGGCUGACCAUAGGCAUGGGCGGAAGAACUGUAGUCUUGUUCAUCGGUGAUUAAAGUCUCGUCCCAUUGUACGACCUGGAUGGGACGGGAGUUGACCCGUGGCUGGGUUGUCGUGCACACCACGGGUGGGGUCAGCUUGUUGGGGAAGCCUUGGUGGCGCCGGGUUGGGUUGUCUUGCGCCAGUUGCUGUGGCCGGGUGGACGUACCUUGCCGAUUCGAAGAGCUUGGCCGGGUUGCGGGCCUUGCCGGGUCGAGCGACCCGGCCAAGCACGUGCCGGUUCGUGGGGCGAUACGGGCCCCGCCAUUUUUGAAAAGGAUCCGGUUUCCAUUGUCUGCCCGGGGUUCAUCCCCCCGACAAUAGUCCCCGAAGCUGUGAAGGUCCGCCGUCUUCGGAUGAGUGGGCCUUCGCAGUUUCCCCCUUGAGCAAGGCGGAUUCUGCGAGCGCCGGGUCCGGCAACUCCCAAUGUGUGCCGGUUUUCUCAGAAACCGGAUCACGGCAUCCCGGCUGUGGUGGGAACCGAGCAGUCCUCUGAAUAUUGAGGCAAUCCCUCGGGCUUCGUGCAGGCGCCAUGUGGUGCCCGGAAGCCGGAGGGGCCUGACAGGCCACGCGCGUGACGUGACCGGACGAUGGGCCGGGCCCGCCGCCGCGCGCCCUCGGCCCACGCGCGCGGAUUUAUUGCAGCGCCCAAGGGUCGGUUGCUCUUCCCUGAGCAGUUACUGUGCGUGUACGUGCGCACUUAUUGCGGGGUAGUGGAACGGGUGUGUGGAGACGAUCCCACUUCCCCAUGUUUGGACCAAGGGUUAUAAAUUGAGGGUGGCAAGGGGGCGGCGGACAUCAUUCUCGCUCGCGCCCCCUGUCCCCCUGCUCCUGCUCUGCUCUUCGCCACAGACGCACAGCUGCGCCUGCAGACCCAAGCAGAGCUUCCUUUGUCGUCCAUCCUCUCUCUUCUUCUUCUGUCCAUGGCACUGCCGUCGGGCUCCUGGAUGGGCUCGACUGUCACCACCGAUGACAUCACCCAUCUUCGAGCUUCCCGGCGCCUGCCGCGGGAGACGGACGUCGGCGUCCGCCUACUGCGCGGCGAGCAGAGGCCCCGACCCGAGGGGCAGGAGCGCGUCGUCUUCCUCACGCAUUUCGAGCGCGGUUUUGGGCUGCCGGCGAGCACCUUCUUCCGCGCGUUCUUGGAGUUCUUCGGGCUCCAACCGCAUCAUCUUGGCACCGGCGCCGCCGUCAUCUCGAAGCGGUCGGGGGCUGAUUUCCCCAAGAUUCAGCUGGAGGAUUCUGCCAAGAAGUGGCAGAACUCCUUCUUCUACGUCCGUAACCACGGUGCGGACCAUAUCAAUCUUCCUCCUUUCGCCGUUGCGCCUCCACGGGCGAAGACGAACUGGGGCUACUCGCUCCGGCGCCCGUGGCAGGAGAUCGUCAACCUCUGCGAGCGGGUGACGGUGAUGAGGACGCAGGAGGGGCUCACCGGCACCGACCUCCUUGCUGCGUUCAUCACUCGCUGGUUCCUUCCCGCUUCAGAGGCGCUCCUACCUCAUCGGCGAAAUGAUCGGCCUUCAGGACCCCAACCACAAGGGGGCGACGCGGCUGUCUGCGAAGCAGGUCGCGCGUGGCAUGAACGACAUCUCCAAGGCCAACCUUGGAGAGGACUGGCGAUUCGGCAAGGCGCCGUAUAGCCAGUCGAACCCGGCACCGCAGGUGAGUGUCUGGUCUUCUUACUUUGCUGCUGCCCAUCUUCUCAUUCGUCCCGACGUGACACGGGAGAUACUCUUGAACGCGAUUCGGCAUCCUUACACCCGGGCUCCGUCGCAGGUGGCGCCGGUCGCACCAGAGGAGCCCGCGGUCCAAGGCGGCGAGGAGGUGGCCGAGUCCAACGCCGGCGCUGGGCAUCACGCGGGUAAGUCAUGAAUUCUUCUUUCUUUAUUUGUCUUGAAUUGUUGAUCAUGUCGCGGUGCGGGCGACACUGACGCCGAUUGUUGGUGUAGUGGCGUUGGGCGGGGAAGGCGGCGACGCGGGCAGAGCCAGGUCAUCUCAUGGGGUAGCGCCGAGCCGCCCGCAUGGUAAAGACAGCGUCCAGCCGCGACCCCGGGCCCGGAAGCGCGCGACGGACCCGGCCGAGCCUGGGAGGGUGGCCAAGAGAAGGCGCGGCGGGAGGCCGACCCCGGUCCCGGUCUUGACGGGGUAAGCUUUAUCUUUUGUGUGCGUCCGGAUUGUUGAGCCGGAGUUGUCUUCUUUUUCUUUGGCUUAUUCUGCCUUCUUCUUCAGGUCGCCAAUCGCGCUGGCAAGGGCGGUGGCGGAAGCCGCGGCCGCCGAAGGGGCCGCGUUCCGCAAGAGCUGGUCCGACCUCACCGACCAAGCCGAGGCGGAGGGACGGACCGACUCGAACCUCUACCUGGACCAGAACGACGCCGAAGCCUUGGCUUGGCGGGACAGGAAUCGGGACGAGACGGAGCUGGAGGUGGCAUCGGUCUGGGCUUGGACCGACGCGGCGGCCGUGUGGGCGCGAGCCGGUGCGGAGCCGGCCUGGCGUGAGAUGCCGGAGGGCACGGUGGUGGCGGCGACGGUCUUUUAGCCGUCGUCGGUGAGGGAGCGCGGCUGGGGAGGCCGGGCUGAGGUGGUGAUCCUCGACCAGGAGGUCGUGGAGGUGGAGGGCGAUACCCCGCCGCGGGCCGACGUGGUUGUGUGCGCGGGGGCUGAUGGUGGUGUAGACGGUGUCGUCUUGGAAGAGGCACCGCGGGCGGCCGUGCCGGAGGUGCCGCUGGUGUUGGAGGCGACACCGCGGAUGGCGGUGCCGGAGGCCACCCCGACAGCUGGACCGGUGGUGGCGCAGCAGGACGUCCCAGCAUCCGGGAAGGCGGCGACGCAGGGCGUCCCGGCGUCUGGGUCCACGGAGGAGGUGCUGGCCGCGUCGCGAGCGGCCAGCGGGGAGCACGCCUUGGUGCUCCAGCAGGGUGGGCGCCAGGCUGCCGCGCCGCAGCCGGCGUGGAGCGGGGGCGCCACUGUCUUCGGCCCUCAGACCCAGGAGGAGGAGACGCUGGACGCCGUUAGCCGUCGUCUGCGCGGGCGGACGGAUCGGCUCGAGGCCUUUGCCGAGGCCGAGGUGGAGCGGACGCGCGACCUGGAGCGCCAUUCUGGUAAGCCUUCUUUUUUUUCCAGCAAUUUCUUCUUUGUGGGGGCGCGCCAGCGCACCCACUGGGUGUAGUCCCUGAGGUUCGGGCCAACUACGUUGCAGUGGGUCGAAUUUAAGAGCGUUGGCCUUGUUCUGACUUUUGUCUUUUUCAGCAUCUUGACGACUUCCGGGUUGCCGCUUCUAACCGUCUCCUGGGCAAGCAUCGGGAGCUCAAGGAGCAACUUACUGCCAAGGAGGAGGAGCUUCGCGUCGCCGCAGGUACCCUUGUGCUCUUUUCUAGUGGGGGCGCGCUAGCGCACCCACUGGGUGCAGCCCCCGAGAUUCGGGCCAACUAUGUAAUAGUUGGGCCAAAUCUUAAGUCUUGUCUUUUUUCUUCUGCUGAAUCCUUCUUCUUUGCAGCCGAGGUGCUGUCCUGGCGGACUCGCCUGCUCUAGGCCGGCCAUCACUAUGACCGGCUCGUUGCCGACACUGGCCGUCUUGGCGUCGAGGCGGCGCAGGCGAGGGCGGAGGCGGCCGCGGCCCGACGGUCUCUUGAUGAGGCCAACCGGCUGCAUGAGCAGCUGGCAGGUCACAAGAGCCGCCUCGAGGUGGAGCUUCUUAAGGCGGAGGCCGCCAAGGUGGUGGAGACGCAGCAGGCCCUGGUCGAGGCGGACCAGCAGCGCGGCCAGCUGGUCGAUGACAAGGGCCGGCUCCAGGCCGAGGUGGAUCGCCUGCGAGAGCAGGCCACUGCGGCUGAGGGGGCCCAUCAGGACGAGCCCGCCACCGCGAGGCGGCCAAGAAGGCGGCCGCAGACAAGGACGCCGAGCUGAAUGCGGCCCUUGCUAAGGCGGCCAAUCUGGAGAAGGCGCUUGGGGAGCGCGACCGCGCCAUGGAGCGGGAGCGGCGUGGUACGUUGCUUGAGGCGCAGCACCUGGAAGAGUCCUUCUCCAGUAAGUGCCAUUUCUUGUAGUUUGCCGGGUCGGGACCCGGCCUUUCUUCCUUGUUGUUAUUCUUCUAACUUGCUUCUUCCUUUGCGACAGGGGACUUCCCGGAGACGCAACGGCUGGCAGAGGAAGCCGUCCGCUAUCAGCACAACCCGACCGGUGUUGCUGGGUCUGGGACGGAUCCGCGGACGGCCUGGACCUUCCCGGAGAUCAUCGCCGCUGCUGAGGCCCGCCUGCGGGUCUUGGGGACGCAGAUGGAGUGGCUGUCCCGGGCCGGCACCGCGAUGACAGAGGCCUUGUGGCCGGAUUCCGUCCAUCCACGCAGCUUCUCGUGCCUGGCGCGUUCGUUGGAGAUGGGUCCGGACUGGCUUGACGAGUGGCGCGUUUCCGCCGGUGCUGAGAUGGUGCUCCGGUUCGUGCUGUCUUGGCAUCCGGAUGUUCAACUGGACGCGUUGAUGGGCCAGCGCGCCGGCUCGGAGCAGUUUCUGUAGGAGCAAGCCGGCCGGAUCGCCUCUCGAGCCAGCUACAUCGCCGAGUUCGCCUUUCACGACGAGUUCCAUCUGGAGCGGACGGCAGGGCCGUGGAUGGCGAUGACUAUGGCUUGCUUCUUCAGGAUCUGGAGGGGAGCUCGAAGGAGACGGGCGUCUACGGCGACUCGGAUGCCGAAGAGGACACUGGUGCCUCGCCGGACCCGGAGGCCGUCAGGGGAGAGCCGUCAACGUCGCGACGCGGCGCUGGAGAUGCCUGAGACACUUCGUGUAAAAACUGUUAAGUAGCAGGUCCACCCACCCACUGGGGGUUUUAGGGUGUAAUGAACUCGGGCCGUGGGCCUUUGCUUAAAUAUUUGUGUGUAAAUGUCAUGAGUGCCUUUUUGCUCUUUGCCGUUCGCUUUUUUGAACCGAUUUCAUACGCUUUUCCUCUCUCAAACCUCCCCCGCACCCCCCCCCCCCGUGAGUCAGACGGCCGAGGCUCCGGUCUGUGACACGGGGUUCGAAUCUUCGAGAGGGGCGCGCAGGACUUGGGUCCUUAGAAGCGUUGAGCGCGAGCGAAACAGCCACCGGGCCGGCUGGCGGCAAUCCGGCUUAGCGGGUUGGUGAGCAGCCAGUCGUGCGGCUACUUGUUUGAUGAGUGACGGGCCGGGUUGAUCGACCCGGCGGCCUUUGACUUAGUGUAUGAAUCGUAGAGGAGCUUUGGCCCGUUAUGCUUGUCCGCCGAUAGCCAAAGUUGGAUCUGCGGUUUUAGGGCGAAGUGGGGGACCGCGGCGUCCCAACUUUAUCAGGAAUCACCAAGUAAGGUGGCGGGGUGGCGACCGAGCCGGCCUGCCCCCGAGCCCCCGGGUCGAGCGAGUCAAGCCGGUGGCCGGGUUCAGUGGUAAAGUGAUGCAGAAAAAUAGGGACGCAAAUAAAUUGGUCAACAAAAGGCAGCCCCCGAGUCUCGUUCGGGGACCCCAUAGUUUCAUGCGUUUACAAAAGGCGACGAUACAUACACUCGUGCGGCUAACUGUAAAAUGGGCGGAGGAGUUCCGCGUUCCACGGCCGGGUGUUUCUUCAUCGGCGGUGUCCUUGUUGCACUACUUUGACUUGCGUGUGUCGAUGUUGUAGUAGGCAUUGCGAUCGCGCAAGGCCCUGCUCACGAUGAACGGGCCCUCCCAUGGAGAGGACAGCUUGUGCUGGCCUGCCUGCUCUUGGACGAGUCGGAGGACGAGGUUGCCCUCGCGGAAUGCGAGGGGCUUGAUCUUCUUGCUGUGGUAGUGCCUCAGGCCUUGCUGGUAGAUGGCCGAAUGGCUGAGUGCCAGAAGGCGCGCUUCCUCGAGCAGGUCGACUCCGUCUUCACGUGCCUCCUUGGCUUCGGCUUCGGUGUACAUCAUGACGCGCGGCGACUCGAACUCGACAUCGGUCGGGAUGACGACUUCGGCUCCAUAGACGAGGAACAACGGGGUGAACCCGGUCGACUGGUUCGGCGUGAUGCAUAGACUCCAGAGAACUGCCGGCAACUCGUCAAGCCACCUGCCAGGUGAGCGGAUGAGUGGCUCGACGAGUCGCGGCUUGAUGCCCGAUAGGAUGAGUCCGUUCGCUCGCUCCACCUUCCUGUUGGACUACAGAUGUGCCAUGGAGGCCAGGUCGAGGCGGAUGCCGGAGACGAAGCAGUAUUGCUCGAGCGCGCCCUUGGCGAAGUUGGUGCCGUUGUCGGUGAUGAUGCCGUUCGGCAUGCCGUAGCACACCUCUAUGUCCUUAAUGAACAGGACGGCUGUUGGCCCGUCCAGUUUCUUGAUUGGUCUUGCCUCGAUCCACUUGGUGAAUUUGUCCACUGCCUCCAGCAGGUGCGUCAUGCCGCCUUGAGCGGUUUUGAAGGUUCCCACCAUGUCGAGUCCCCAGACCGCGAAGGGCCAGGCGAUCGGUAUGGUGUGGAGUGCUGACACCGGCGGUGACUGCAUUUGCUGAAGCGCCGACACCCCUCGCACUUGAGAACGAGUGACCCGGCGUCUUCGAGGGCCGUGGGCCAGUAGAAACCGUGGCGGAAUGCCUUGGCCACCAGGGAUCGCGAUGUGGCAUGGUGCCCGCACUCGCCCUAGUGAAUGCCGAGGAGGAUGUCGAUGCCCCGAUCCUGCUCGACGCAGUGCUGGAACACGCCGGUGGAGCUGCGCUUGACGAGCUCGUUGUUGAUGAUGCUGUAGGCGGACGCCCGACGCUGCACUUGCCGAGCCUCGGUUUCGUCCGUGGGGAGAACCCCGUUCUCCAGAAAUUCUGAUAUCGGCAGGGCCCAAGAUGGGGCCGCUACCACGAUCAAGACAGCCACCUGGGUGGGUUCCGAGUCGGCGGCCCCUGGGCCGGGUUGAGCAGCCCCCGGGUUGGGCACGGCGACGGCCGGGUCUGGGGUGAUGGUGGCCGGAUUGAGCUGAGCAGCCCCCGGGCCGGGUUCAGCGGUCCCCGGUCUGGGUUUAGCAGCCCCCGGGCCGGCUUGCGGUGCGGUCGGGUCCUCUGGGACGUGGAUGGACUCGGAGUCCGGCGAUGGCUUAACGGACAGCUUGCGCAGGUGAUCGAGGGAGACGCCGGAUGGGAUGGCUUGGUGUGACGAGGCGAUCUUGGCGAGCGUGUCGGCUGCUUCCUUCUCCGCGCGCGGGACAUGGAGGAACUCGCAGCCCUCGAAGGAUCUGCACAGCUUGUGGACGAGGAAGCGGUAGCUUGCCAUGUUGGAGUCGCGGGCGUCCCAUUUGCUGGAGCAUUGCUGCACCACCAGGUUCGAGUCGCCGUAGCACAGGAUGCGCCGGAUGCCGAGUUCCUUGGCAAGCCGGAGGCCGUGCACAAGGGCUUCAUAUUCGGCGACGUUGUUCGAGGCGGCGAAGUGGAUCUGGAGCGCGUAGCGGUGCCAGUCGCCCUUCCGAGAUGACAGUACAAUGCUGGCCCCCAAGCCGAGUCGCAUCUUGGGCCCGUCGAAGUGCAUGCGCCAAUGCGUCGAGUUGGGAGGCGGCGGUAAGUACUGGGUCUCGGUCCAGUCGACGAUGAAGUCGGCCAGGGCUUCAGACUUGAUCGUGGUGUGGGGCUCGUAGAGAAUGGUGUGGCCGGCUAGCUGGAUCGCCCACUUGGCGACCCGGCCAGAGGCAUCCCGGCACCCGAUGAUUUCUUCGAUAGGCUCCAUGCUGAUGACGGUGACGACGUGCUCUUGAAAGUACUGCUUCAGCUUCUUGGUGGUGAGGUACACGCGGUAGCACAUCUUCUGGUAGUGCGGGUAGUUCUGCUUGGAGGUGGAGAGCACCUCGCUCAGGUAGUAGACCGGAUGCUGGACGGCCUGGAUCUUGCCCUCAUCCGGUCGCUCGACCACCAGCACCGUGCUGACCGCCCGCGAGGUCGCGGCUAUGUUGAGCAACAGCGGCUCCUUGUCGGUCGGCGCAGCCAGGACUGGUGCGGUGGAGAGCAUUCUCUUGAGGUCUUGGAAGGCCUCGUCUGCCUUGCCGUUGCAUUCGAAUGGGCUUGUCUUCUUCAUUAGCAGUUAAAGGGGUAGCGCCCUCUCGCCCAGCCGGCUCAGGAACCGGCUGACCGAGGCCAAGCACCCGGUGAACUUCUGGACGUCGCGCAGUCGAGCCGGCUUGCACAUGCGCUCGAUGGCCUUGAUCGUUUCCGGGUUCGCCUCGAUGCCGCGUUCCGAGACGAGGAAGCCGAGUAGCUUUCCGGCCAGGACGCCGAAGAAGCAUUUAUCCGGGUUAAGCUUGACCUUGUAUUCGCGGAGGUUGGCGAAUGUUUCCUUCAAAUCGUCGAGGAGCGUGAGGUGCUGAUUGGUCUUCACCAUGAUAUCGUCCACGUACACGUGGAUAUUGCGGCCGAGUUGCGGCAGCAGGCAUUUCUACAUGCAGCAUUGGAAGGUGGCGCCGGCGUUCUUCAAGCCGAACGACAUGGUGAUGUAGCAAUAUGCCCCAAAGGGCGUGAUGAAGGACGUCUUCAGGGCAUCGGCCGGGUCCAGAUUGAUCUGGUGAUAGCCGGAGUAAGCAUCCAGGAAGGACAGGAGCUCGCACCCGGCGCUCGAGUCAAUGACUUGGUCGAUCCGCGGGAGGGCGAACGGGUCCUUGGGAUAGGCCUUGUUGAGGCUGGUGUAGUCGAUACACAUGCGCCAGGUCUUGUUCUUCUUCAGGAUGAGGACUGGAUUGGCCAGCCACUCGGGGUGAAACACUUCCAUUAUGAAGCCGUCCGCCAAAAGCUUGGCGACCUCCUCACCAAUGGUUCUUCUCUUCUCUUCGGAAAAUCGUCGGAGGGGUUGACGGACAGGCCUGGCAUCCUUGCGGGCGUGAAGUUUGUGCUCGGCAUACUUCCUCGGGAUACCCGGCAUGUCCUUGGGGGUCCGUGCGAAGAUAUCCCGAUUCUCACGGAGGAAGUCGACGAGCUCGCCUUCCUAUUUGCUGUCGAGGCGGGCGCCUACCAGUGGCGGUGCCAGGAUCGAAACCUUGUGUUGUCAAGCUUUAUACAAAUGAAACAUUUUGUAGGUAAAUUAAACAAGAACACAAAAAGACCAUACUUCAUUUGAUACAUAUUUGUUGUACUAGCUUUUUCUAUCAUAUAUAUUUCAUCUUAAACAUGUCUUUUGAUAUAAAGAUCUUAAACAUUUUUAUGGUAACAACGCUUUGACAAAUGUAUCCAUGUACCAUUGCCAAACUUAAGACCUAACAAAUGACAAAACAAGGUUUUGCUAAAAGAAACAAUAUCUGAAUUUCAUGUGAGAAUAUAAAAUUUCAAGAGAAAUAAGACAGAAACUUACAAACAGAAAAGGAAGGGCCUCGUCCUAUACACUCGCCGAGUCGCUGAAGGUGCAGUACUACGGAGAUCGGAGACUACUAGAGCAGCGGAGGAGGCCGUGCUCAUUGUGGUGAUUCCAGGCAACGGCGACCUCGGCGGUCGGUGAGCAGCAUGGGUAUCCAUGCAUGAUGUGCUUCACUGCUCCUCCCCACGGCGUAGUGCAUGAUUGGCCAUUAGAGAUUAUACACAGGAAGGUGAAAAAGGAGAGAGUUCGAAGGAAUAUCACAGGAUUUCAGGAGACGGUCACGAAGUUGUUUUGGAGGACGAUUAGGAAAGUUAAUAAUGACGUCGGGAGCUUCCUUUUUCUAUAUGGGCCAGCCAAAUCUCACGAAAAACUGAUACCAACUGGGCAUGUUUUAGUUAGAGGACCUCUUUUAGUUAAUUUCCAAAACCUGUUUAUUUGGAAGUGGGGUACGAUGUCACGGACUCACGGUAGUGUUUGAGUACCAAAUUCCUGUGUAGUCGCUUGACAACAUAGUCAUAGUGUGGCUUCGCCACUGGCGCCUACGACAACGUACUUGCUGCAGCUGGGGUCUUCCGGGUUGAGCUUCACUCUCUUGGUCUCCUUGGAGGGCUUGAAGGCUGCCUCGUCGACCGGGUCCAGGGUCGGGAUCGACGCAGCGGAGGCCUCACCGGCCAGGGCGACGAUACAGUCGAGUUGGCACCGCUCCUCGGCAAUGACCAGCGACUCAGCCAACUUGGCGCUGUCUCGGGCGCACUCCAAGGACUUGCGGUAAUCGCCGGUGAUGGUGAUGAGACCCUUGGGACCCGGCAUCUUCAUCUUCAGAUAUGCGUAGUGGGGAACCGCCAUGAACUUGGCGAGCGCGGGCCGGCCCAGCAACGCGUGAUACGCGCUGGACAGGUCCACCAACUCGAACCAGACCGGUUCGCGUCGGAAGUGGCUAUUGUCGCCGAACAGGACAUUGAGCCAGAACCGUCCAAUGGGCGAGUAGGAGAGGCCGUGCCGUGGAAGAUCGCCCGGGUCGGUUCCAGGUCCUCGGCCUUGAGGCAGAGCUUGGUCAUCGUGUCGCGGUAGAGGAUGUUGAUGCUGCUGCCGCCGUCGAUGAGGACUCGGGAGAACUUGCAUGUACGCCGUGCGACGAUGGUGGGGUUGAGGACGAGGGCGUAGCCACCCAGGCUUGGCAUGACUACCGGGUGAUCCUCCCGGGUCCAGGUGAUCGGGCGAUCCGACCAAUGCAUAAACUCCAGCUUGGCUGGGACGACGGUGUUCACCUCCUGCCGAAGGAGGCGCUCGCUGCGCUUGUCAUUGCCGAGGCUGGUGAAGACGACAUAGGCCGCGUUCUGGUCCGGGUAGGCGUCUUCCGCAUCGCGCCGCCAGCGGGAGGCGGUGGUGGAGGCGGAGGCGGCUGUCCCGCGCCUGGAGCCGCAAGAGGAGGAGGCGGGACGUCGCCCCUCAUGAUGCGCUUGGUGAUGGCGCACUGUCGAAGCGUGUGCGUGGAGGGUCUUGCGCCGCUGUGGUGCUUGCAGGGGGCGUCGAGCAUCUCUUCGAAACUCAUGGCGGGUUGCCAUGCCAUCUUGCCGCUUUGCCGGCGCUUCACCACCGGGUCCGCCGCGGGCUCGGCCGCCGCGACGAGCAGGUUAUCGUGACGCUGCGCCGGCUGGUCAGCCAUGCGCUUGUUGUUCUGGUGAUGCUGUUGCCGGCUGCUUUCACCGGCCGGCUUCAGAGGGAGAACCGGCUUCGCCUUGCCGGCUUCAUCUAGCGCCACCUGGAUCUUCAUGGCGGAGUCUGAUGACCCACAAGUGUAGGGGAUCUAUCGUAGUCCUUUCGAUAAGUAAGAGCGUCGAGCCCAACGAGGAGCAGAAGGAAAUGAUAAGCGGUUUUUAGUAAGGUUUUCUGCAAGCACUGAAAUUGUAGGUGAUAGAUAGUUUUGUGAUAAGAUAAAUAGUAACGAGUAAGAAGUAAACAAAGUAAAUAAAGUGUAGCAAGGUGGCCCAAUCCUUUAUGUGGCAAAGGAUAAGCCUGGACAAUUUCUAAUAAUGAGAAAGGAGCUCCCGAGGACACAUGGGAAUUAUCGUCAAGCUAGUUUUCAUCAAGCUCAUAUGAUUCGUGUUCGGUACUUUGAUAAUUUGAUAUGUGGGUGGACCGGUGCUUGGGUACUGCCCUUACUUGGACAAGCAUCCCACUUAUGAUUAACCCCUAUUGCAAGCAUCCGCAAGUACAACAAAAGUAUUAAGGUAAACCUAACCAUAGCAUGAAACAUAUGGAUCCAAAUCAGCCCCUAACAAAGCAACGCAUAAACUAGGGUUUAAGCUUCUGUCACUCUAGCAACCCAUCAUCUACUUAUUACUUCCCUAUGCCCUCCUCUAGGCCCAAUAAUGGUGAAGUGUCAUGUAGUCGACGUUCACAUGACACCACUAGAGGAGAAGAGAACAUACAUCUCAUCAAAAUAUCGAUCGAAUACCAAAUUCACAUGACUACUAAUAGCAAGACUUCACCCAUGUCCUCAAGAACAAACGUAGCUACUCACAAAGCAUAUUCAUGUUCAUGAUCAGAGGUGUAGUAAUAUGCAUUAAGGAUAUGAACAUAUGAUCUUUCACCAAGUAAACCAAUAAGUAUCAACUACAAGGAGUAAUCAACACUGCUAGCAACCCACAGGUACCAAUUUGUGGUUUUGGAUACAAGAUUGGAUACAAGAGAUGAACUAGGGUUUGAGAGGAGAUGGUGCUGGUGAAGAUGUUGAUGGAGAUUGACCCCCUCCCGAUGAGAGGAUCGUUGGUGAUGACGUUGGUGAUGAUUUCCCCCUCCCAGAGGGAAGUGUCCCCGGCAAAACAGCUCUGCCAGAGCCCUAGAUUGGUUCCGCCAAGGUUCCGCCUCGUGGCGGCGGAGUUUCGUCCCGUAAGCUUGCCCAUGAUUUUUUCCAGGGUAAAAGCGAUGAUAUAGCAGAAGAUGGACACCAGAGGUCCACCAGGGGGCCCAGGAGAUAGGGGGCGCACCCUAUAGGGGGGGCGCCCUAUAGGGGGGCGCCCCCUGUCUCCUGGACAGGGUGUGGGCCCCCUGGUUUAUUUGUUUCGCUCAGAAAUUCUUAUUAAUUCCGAAAGUUAUUUCGUGCAGUUUCAGGACUCUUGGAGUUGUGCAGAAUAGGUUUCCAACGUUUGCUCCUUUUUCCAGCCAGAAUUCCAGCUGCCGGCAUUCCCCCUCUUCAUGGUAAACCUUGUAAAAUAAGAGAGAAUAGCCAUAAGUACUGAGAUAUAUUGUGUAAUAACAGCCCAUAAUGCAAUAAAUAUUGAUAUAAAAGCAUGAUGCAAAAUGGACGUAUCGGAGUCGGCGUUGGCGUACUUGUCCGCCGUCACCAUGAGCGCGGCCAUGGUGGCCGGCUCGGAGCGUAGGAGCUUGUGUUUGAGGAGGGUUCCGUCUCGGCACCCGCUGACGAAGUACUGUAUCGCCUGGACUUCAUGGACGCCCUCGCAGCUGUUCCGGAGCUCGGUCCAGCGUGCGAGGUACUCACGGCCGGUCUCCUCGGCCCCUCCACGCACAUGGCGAGCUGGCUGGGGCGAACGGGUCGCUUGUAGGUCCCCGUAAAGUUGUGGACAAAGGCUUCCACGAAGUCGACCCACGCGUUGAUGCUGCCCAUCGGCAGGCUGUUCAACCAUGUGCGGGCCGACCCCUGGACCAUGAGCGGUGCGUAGCGCACGGCGAGAUGAUGAUUGGCACCGGUGAUGACAAAGGCCGUGGUGUAGUCGGUGAGCCAGUCUUCCGGCUUCACCGUCCCGUUGUACUUGGGGGUGUCGCGGGGGAGCACGAACCCUUUGGGAAUGGGCUCCUCCCGGAUGCGUGGUCCGAAGCACGCCGGCCCGAUAGCGCCGCUCUCCCCCAAAUCCAGGGAGCGAGCGAGCUGAUCGAGGCGGUGGCACGCGUCGGCGUCGUUGAUGGCGCGCGGGCCGAGUCGACUGGCGGCCAGGCCCCGAGGGGCCGGGUUGGUUGGAGCCGGACGUCGGCCAUGCUGGCCGGGUCCGCGCUGGGUCUCCCAGGAGGGCUCAUUGCCCGGGACGUCGGCGGCCAUGGUGGCCGGGUUGCGCCAAGUCCGGGUUCGGCCGGAGUGCACUUCGCCGGGUGGCGAGGAAGCCGUGUGCAGGAGUUCACCGGGUCCGCCAAGGCGGGCGGAGCCGGACCCCGCCGGCUUAGCAAGCUGGUUGAGGCGAUCCUGCGGGGUGUUGGCGGCGUGGAGGAGCUCGCGCAUCCGCCCGAUGCGCUCUUUGAGCUCCUCAUCCACGAGUUGGUCGAGGCCGACCGCGGCUGCCUCCGCAGUACGCAUGUUCUUCACUGGGGUCUCAUAGACGGCCUGGACGGCGCCGAAGGCCCGGCCGAUCGCUCCUCCCCAGGUGCGAGCAUCGGCGACCCGGCUUCGCUCAGCCGCGGCGGGUGUGAAUCCGUGGGCGGCGUCAUGCUCCAACUGAGCGGCCUCCAGGCGACGCGUGGUGGUGGUUCUCGGACAGGUCCAGCAUCUGAUUGCGUCUAUCCUCGAGCUGGGUUCGGGCUUCGACGACGUUGGUGGCGUCGACGUUGGUGCCGAUGGGGAUGCGGAGGCUUUGCAUCGCGGCGCGCAGCGGGUCGGACGGCACGGUCCGUGCCGCAGCGGCCCCGGCUUCUGCGACCCUCCUCGCCUUGCUCGACGAGGAAGAGGCGCGAUCGCCGGUGAUGAAAACCUCCACAUGGACGUCCAUCGCCCCGACGGCGAUACCGCCGCCAAGGGAGAGUGGUGAGUCAGAGUGCUGAGCACCUCGCUGGGGUACUCGUCGACCGCGAACACAUCGGAGAUGCACAGCGCGGUGAACGAUGCGGCGAGCGCACCGAUGACGUCGUCUGCCAGAGCGACGGACUCGUCGGAGUAGGAGAAGGGCCCCGUCUGAAGCAUGCUCGCGGCCAGCUCCUCGAGCUACCCCAUGGUGAGCGCCAACUGUCGUGGUGGGCGCACGGCAGAUGCCAAGGGAUGGCUAAAGAGAGGAGGGGGCUCGAGGGCGCUGGUGGGCUCCAGAGGCGAGGUUGGCAUGCGCGGGCGCGGGACGCUGGACAUACCCAGGUUCGGGGCUCUCCGGAGAGAUAACACCCCUAGUCCUACCGAGUUUAGUUGGAUGGUCGAUUGCAACAAUGUUGCUCCUGGAGCUGUAUGGAGGAGGAAGGAAGCUGGCCAAGGCUUGGGCCGCUCCUUCUCUCCGGCGCUGCCGUUGGGUGGCUAGUCCUAUGGCUGCUUGUGUUUCUCUUGUGUCUCGUACAUAUGACUCUCUCUGUAGGCGCGGGUUCCUGGGGGAUUUUAUAGAUCAACCCACCUAGGGUUACAAUGGUAGUACGCCGAGUCGGUGGGUCCGUAUUGUCGGUGUCUGGGAUACCGGGCUGGGUCCCCGCUUGAGGGCUUGUGGUUCGCCGGGUUACCCUAGGUGCGGGCCCCGCGUUCCUAAUGGAACUGUUUGCCGUCUUGUCAAUCGUCAGGGCGUGGCCGAGUCGAGUCGUGUACAGUGCUCUCCAUCAGGUUGCUGCUUGUUGCCGUCAUCGGUGAGGGCAGGAGCACUGUUCCCACGCCAGCCUCGGUUAGCGGGUAGGUCAAGGGCAUUGUUGCCACGCUCCGGCUGACCAUAGGCAUGGGCGGAAGCACUGUAGUCUUGGUCAUCGGUGAUUAAAGUCUCAUCCCAUCGUACGGCCUGGAUGGGACGGGAGCUACGUGGCUGGGUCGCCGUGCACGCCACGGGUGGGGUCGGCUUGUUGGGGAAGCCUUGGUGGCGCCGGGUUGGGUUGUCUUGCGCCAGUUGUUGUGGCCGGGUUGACGUACCUUGCCGAGUCGAAGAGCUUGGCCGGGUUGUGGGCCUUGCCGGGUCGAGCGACCCGGCCAGGCGCGUGCCGGUUCGCGGGACGAUGCGGGCCCUGCCACUCUUGAAAAGGAUCCGGGUUCCGUUGCCUGCCCGGGGUUCAUCCCCCCGACAGGGGUGGCGCCCAGGCCACUUAGGGGCUGGUUCCCUUCGACAUACAUCCCAUAGGGCCCUCCUGGGCAGGUGGACCCUCCCUGUGGACCCCCGGAACCCCUUCGAUGGUCCCGGUACAAUACCGGUAAACCCCCGAAUACUUCCGGUGACCGUAUGAUGACUUCCCAUAUAUAAAUCUUCACCUCUGGACCAUUCCGGAACUCCUCGUGGUGACCGGGAUCUCAUUCGGGACUCCGAACAACAUUCGGUAAUCACGUACAAAUCUUCCCUUUAACCCUAGCGUCAUCGAACCUUAAGUGUGUAGACCCUACGGGUUCGGGAAUCAUGCAGACAUGACCGAGACAGCUCUCCGGCCAAUAACCAACAGUGGGAUAUGGACACCCAUGUUGGCUCCCAUAUGUUCCACGAUGAUCUCAUCAGAUGAACCACGAUGUCGAGGAUUCAAGCAAUCCCGUAUGCAAUUCCCUUUGUCAAUCGGUACGUUACUUGCCCGAGAUUCAAUCAUCGGUAUCCCAAUACCUCGUUCAAUCUCAUUACCGGCAUUUCACUUUACUCGUUGCGUAAUGCAUGAUACCGUGACUAACUACUUAGUCACAUUGAGCUAAUUAUGAUGAUGCAUUACCAAGUGGGCCCAGAAAUACCUCUCCGUCAUACGGAGUGACAAAUCCCAUUCUCCAUUAGUGCCAACCCAACAAACACUUUCGGAGAUACCUAUAGUGCACCUUUAUAGUCACCUAGUUACGUUGUGACGUUUGGUACACCCAAAGCACUCCUACGGUAUCCGGGAGUUACACAAUCUCAUGGUCUAAGGAAAUGACACUUGACAUUAGAAAAGCUUUAGCAAACGAACUACACGAUCUUGUGCUAUGCUUAGGAUUGGGUCUUGUCCAUCACAUCAUUCUCCUAAUGAUGUGAUCCCGUUAUCAAUGACAUCCAAUGUCCAUAGUCAGGAAACCAUGACCAUCUGUUGAUCAACGAGCUAGUCAACUAGAGGCUCAUUAGGGACAUGUUGUGGUCUAUGUAUUCACACAUGUAUUACGGUUUCCAGUUAAUACAAUUAUAGCAUGAACAAUAGACAAUUAUCAUGAACAAGGAAAUAUAAUAAUAACCAUUUUAUUAUUGCCUCUAGGGCAUAUUUCCAAUAGUCUCCCACUUGCACUAGAGUCAAUAAUCUAGUUCCAUUGUGAUGAAUCGAACACCCAUAGAGUUCUGGUAUUGAUCAUGUUUUGCUCGUGGAAGAGGUUUAGUCAACGGAUCUGCGACAUUCAGAUCCGUAUGUACUUUACAAAUCUCUAUGUCUCCAUCUUGAACAUUUUCACGAAUGGAGUUGAAGCGACGCUUGAUAUGCCUAGUCUUCUUGUGAAACCUCGGCUCCUUGCUAAGGGCAAUAGCUCUAGUGUUGUUACAGAAGAGAGUCAUCGGGCCCGACUUAUUGGGAAUAACUCCUAGGUCGGUAAUGAACUCCUUCAUUCAGAUUGCUUCAUGCGCUGCCUCUGAGGCUGCCAUGUACUCCGGUUCACAUGUAGAACCCUCCACGACGCUUUGCUUGCAACUGCACCAGCUUACUGCCCCACCAUUCAAAAUAUACACGUAUCCGGUUUGUGACUUGGAGUCAUCCACAUCUGUGUCGAAGCUAGCAUCGACGUAACCCUUUACGACGAGCUCUUCGUCACCUCCAUAAAUGAGAAACAUAUCCUUAGUCCUUUUCAGGUACUUCAGGAUAUUCUUGACCGUUGUCCAGUGUUCCAUGCCGGGAUUACUUUGGUACCUCCCUACCAAACUUACGGCAAGGUUUACCUCAGGUCUGGUACACAACAUGGCAUACAUAAUAGACCCUAUGGACGAGGCAUAGGGGAUGACACUCAUCUUUUCUCUAUCUUCUGCCGAGGUCGGGCAUUGAGCUGUGCUCAAUUUCUCACCUUGCAAAACAGGCAAGAACCCUUUCUUGCACUGAUCCAUAUUGUACUUCUUCAAUAUCUUAUCAAGGUAUGUGCUUUGUGAAAGACCGAUGAGGCGUCUCGAUCUAUCUCUAUAGAUCUUGGUAUGUGCCUUUAUGCUAUCCAAAAGGUCUACAUCAUUUCCCAUCAAUAGUAUGCCAUCCACAUAUAAUAUGAGAAAUGCUACAGAGCUCCCACUCACAAUCUUGUAAAUGCAGGCUUCUCCAUAAGUCUGCACAAACCCAAACGCUUUGAUUAUUUCAUGAAAGCGAAUGUUCCAACUCCGAGAUGUUGCACCAGCCCAUAGACGGAGCGCUGGAGCUUGCACACCUUGUUAGCAUUUUUAGGAUCGACAAAACCUUCCGGCUGCAUCAUAUACAAUUCUUCCUUGAGGAAACCGUUAAGGAAUGCCGUUUUGACGUCCAUUUGCCAUAUCUCAUAAUCAUAGAAUGCGGCAAUUGCUAACAAGAUUCGGACGGACUUCAGCUUCGCUAAGGGUGAGAAGGUCUCAUCGUAGUCCACCCCUUGAACUUUUCAGUAACCCUUAGCGACAAGUCGAGCUUUAUAGAUGGUAACAUUACCAUCCGCGUCGGUCUUCUUCUUAAAGAUCCAUUUAUUUUCUAUCGCUCGCCGAUCAUCGGGCAAGUCUAUCAAAGUCCAUACUUUGUUUUCAUACAUGGAUCCUAUCUCGGAUUGCAUGGCUUCAAGCGAUUUGUUGGAACCUGGGCCCGCCAUCGCUUCUUCAUAGUUCGAAGGUUCACCAUUGUCUAACAACAUGAUUUCCAGGACAGGGUUGCCAUACCAUUCUGGUGUGGAACGUGUCCUUGUGGACCUACGAAGUUCAGUAGCAACUUGAUCCGAAGUACCUUGAUCAUCAUCAUUAACUUCCUCUCUAGUCGGUGCAGCCACCACAGAAACAUCUUCCUGAGCUGCGCUACUUUCCGGUUCAAGAGGCAGUACUUCAUCAAGUUCUACUUUCCUCCCACUUACUUCUUUCGAGAGAAACUCUUUCUCCAGAAAGGACCCGUUCUUCGCAACAAAGAUCUUGCCUUCGGAUCUGGGGUAUAAGGUACACCCAAUGGUUUCCUUAGGGUAUCCUAUGAAGACGCAUUUUUUCUGACUUGGGUUCGAUCUUUUCAGGUUGAAGUUUCUUGACAUAAGCAUCGCAUCCCCAAACCAUUAGAAACGAUAGCUUAGGUUUCUUCCCAAACCAUAAUUCAUACGGUGUCGUCUCAAAGGAUUUAGACGGUGCCCUAUUUAAAGUGAAUGUAGCUGUCUCUAAAGCGUAUCCCCAAAAUGAUUGCGGUAAAUCGGUAAGAGACAUCAUAGAUCACACCAUAUCCAAUAGAGUGCGAUUAUGAUGUUCGGACACACUGUUACGCUGAGGUGUUCCAGGCGGCGUGAGUUGUGAAACAAUUCCACAUUUCCUUAAGUGCGUACCAAACUCGUGACUCAAAUAUUCUCCCCUACGAUCUGAUUGUAAGAACUUUAUUUUUCUGUCACGUUGAGUCUCUACCUCACUCUGAAAUUCCUUGAUCUUUUCAAAGGUCAGACUUGUGUUUCAUUAAUUAGACAUCCCCAUACCUACUUAAGUCAUCAGUGAGGGUGAGAACAUAGCAUAGCCACCGCGAGCCUCAACGCUCAUUGAACCGCACACAUCAGUAUGUAUGGUUUCCAAUAAGUUGGUUGCUCGCUCCAUUGUUGCAGAGAAUGGAAUCUUGGUCAUUUUGCCCAUGAGGCAUGGUUCGCACGUGUCAAAUGAUUCGUAAUCAAGAGACUCCAAAAGUCUAUCUGCAUGGAGCUUCUUCAUGCGUUUGACACCAAUGUGACCAAGGCGGCAGUGCCACAAGUAUGUGGGACUAUCAUUAUCAACCUUACAUCUUUUGGUAUUCACACUAUGAAUAUGUGUAACAUCACGUUCGAGAUUAAUUAAGAAUAAACCAUUGACCAGCGGGGCAUGACCAUAAAACAUAUCUCUCAUAUAAAUAGAACAACCAUUAUUCUCGGAUUUAAAUGAGUAGCCAUCUCGCAUUAAACAAGAUCCAGAUACAAUGUUCAUGCUCAAAGCUGGCACUAAAUAACAAUUAUUGAGGUUUAAAACUAAUCCCGUAGGUAAAUGUAGAGGUAGUGUGCCAACGACGAUCACAUCGACCUUGGAACCAUUCCCGACGCGCAUCAUCACCUCGUCCUUCGCCAGUCUCCACUUAUUCCGCAGCUCCUGUUUUUAGUUACAAAUACGAGCAACCACACCGGUAUCAAAUACCCAGGAGCUACUACGAGUACUGGUAAGGUACACAUCAAUAACAUGUAUAUCACAUAUACCUUUGGUGUUGCCGGCCUUCUUGUCCGCUAAGUACUUGGGGCAGUUCCGCUUCCAGUGACUGUUUCCCUUGCACUAAAAGCACUCAGUCUUAGGUUUGGGUCCAUGCUUUGGCUUCUUCCGGGCAAUUGGCUUACCGGGCACGGAAACUCCCUUGCCGUCCUUCUUGAAGUUCUUAUUUCCCUUGCCUUUCUUGAAACUUGUGGUUUUAGUGACCAUCAACACUUGAUGUUCCUUUUUGAUCUCCACCUCCACUGGUUUCAGAAUUGAAAAAACCCCAGGAAUGGUUUUCACCAUCCCCUGCAUAUUGUAAUUCAUCACAAAGCUCUUAUAGCUAGGUGGGAGCGACUGAAGGAUUCUGUCAAUGACCGCGUCAUCCGGGAGAUUAACUCCCAGCUGAGACAAACGGUUAUGCAACCCAGACAUUUUGAGUAUGUGCUCGCUAACAGAACCAUUCUCCUCCAUUUUACAACUGUAGAACUUGUCGAAGACUUCAUAUGUCUCGACCCGGGCAUGAGCUUGGAAAACCAUUUUCAGCUCUUGGAACAUCUCAUAAGCUCCGUGCUGCUCAAAACGCUUUUGGAGCCCCGGUUCUAAGCUGUAAAGCAUGCCGCACUGAACCAGGGAGUAAUCAUCACUACACGACUGCCAGGCGUUCAUAACGUCUUGAGUGGCUGGGAAAACGGGUGCUUCACCUAGCGGCGCAUCUAGGACAUAUGCUUUCUUGCCAGCUAUGAGGAUGAUCCUCAAGUUCCAGACCCAGUCCGUGUAGUCGCUACCAUUGUCUUUCAGCUUGGUUUUCUCUAGGAAUGUGUUGAAGUUGAGGGCAACAUUAGUGUGGGCCAUUUGAUCUACAAGACAUAUUGCAUAGAUUUUUAGACUAAGUUCAUGAUAAUUAAGUUCAUCUAAUCAAAUUAUUUAAUGAACUCCCACUCAGAUAGAAAUCCCUCUAGUCAUCUAAGUGAUACAUGAUCCGAGUCAACUAGGCCGUGUCCGACCAUCACGUGAUACGGACUAGUCAUCAUCGGUGAACAUUUUCAUGUUGAUCGUAUCUACUAUACGACUCAUGUUCGACCUUUCGGUCUCUUGUGUUCCGAGGCCAUGUCUGUACAUGCUAGGCUCGUCAAGUCAACCUAAGUGUUUUUGCAUGUGUAAAUCUGGCUUACACCCGUUGUAUGCGAAUGUUAGAAUCUAUCACACCCGAUCAUCACGUGGUGCUUCGAAACAACGAACUUUCACAACGGUGCACAGUUAGGGGGGACACUUUCUUGAAAUUUUAUGAGGGAUCAUCUUAUUUAUGCUACCGUCGUUCUAAGCAAAUAAGAUGCAAAAACAUGAUAAACAUCAAAUGCAAUCAAAUAGUGACAUGAUAUGGCCAAUAUCAUUUUGCUCCUUUUGAUCUCCAUCUUCGGGGCGCCACGAUCAUCAUCGUCACCUGCAUGACACCAUGAUCUCCAUCAUCGUGUCUUCAUGAAGAUGUAUCGCCAACUAUUACUUCUACUAUUAUGGCUAAUGGCUUAGCAAUAAAGUAAAGUAAUUACAUGGCGUUAUUCAAUGACACGCGGGUCAUACAAUAAAUUAAGACAACUCCUAUGGCUCCUGCCGGUUGUCAUACUCAUCGACAUGCAAGUCGUGAUUUCUAUUACAAGAACAUGAUCAAUCUCAUACAUCACAUAUAUUUCAUUCAUCACAUCCUUUUGGCCAUAUCACAUCACACGGCAUAUGCUGCAAGAACAAGUUAGACGUCUUCUAAUUGUUGUUGCAAGUUUUUACAUGGCUGCUAUAGGUUUCUAACAAGAACAUUUCUUACCUAUGCCAAAACCACAACGUGAUAUGCCAAUUGCUAUUUACCCUUCAUAAGGACCCUUUUCAUCAAAUCCGAUCCGACUAAAGUGGGAGAGACAGACACCCGCUAGCCACCUUAUGCAACUAGUGCAUGUCAGUCGGUGGAACCUAUCUCACGUAAGUGUACGUGUAAGGUCGGUCCGGGCCGCUUCAUCCCACGAUGCCGCCGAAUCAAGAUAAGACUAGUAGUGGCAAGUAAAUUGACAAAAUCGACGCCCACAACAACUUGUGUUCUACUCGUGCAUAGAAACUACGCAUAGACCUAGCUCAUGAUGCCACUAUUGGGGAUCGUUGCAGAAAUAAAAAAAUUCUACGCAUCACCAAGAUCAAUCUAUGGAGAAACUAGCAACGAGAGAGAGUGGAGUUCAUCUUCAUACCCUUGAAGAUCAUGAAAUGGAAGCGUUGCAAGAACGCGGAUGAAGGAAUCAUACUCGUAGCAAUUCAGAUCGCGGUGGAUUCUGAUCUAAGCGCCGAACAACGGCACCUCCGCGUUCAACACACGUGCAGCCCGGUGACGUCUCCCAUGCCUUGAUCCAGCAAGGAGGAGGGAGAGGUUGAGGAAGACAGCUCCAGCAGCAGCACGACGGCGUGGUGGUGGUGGAGCAACAGGUCUCCGGCAGGGCUUCGCCAAGCUCAAACGGAGGAGGACAGGUGUUGGAGAGGUGGAGUGCUGCGCCUUGGAUGUGGUGCGGCUGCCCUCCCUCCUCCCCUCUAUUUAUAGGGUGAAGGGGGAAGGGGGCCGGCCCCUCUAGAUGAGAUCUAGAGGGCGGGCAGCGGCCAAGGGGAGGGGGCUUGCCCCCCAAGCCAAGGGGGCGCCCCCUUUAGGGUUCCCCCCCCCAAACCCUAUGCUCAUGGGUCCUUGGGGGUGGCGCUCAGCCCACUUAGGGUCUGUGUCAGGACCCCGACUCAAUGCCACAUUGAUCUAGCAUGUAACACCUCAUAUCACUUUGCGGCCUCACGUACGGUAUUCCCACGGGUGUCGCCUUACCUUUGCCCAGGACCGUUUGCGCCUUUUGGCACACGUAUAUGACAGUGUCGCUAGCAUCCAUAUGAUAAGGAGCCCGGGCUGACAUGGCUAGUCAUAAACCCAAAGUGGCACAGACUUACAGGAACAUGCAUCCAUGACCCAGCAUCGAACGUGUCGGUCAUCAGCGAGCGAAUCCAGGCUGUAGCACUGGGCUAGCAGGACUCCGGUGAACCGGGCUGUAGUGGGCUAACAGGACUCCGGUAUUCAUCGCGUGACAUUUCCCCGAAGGGACAGACACAGGAACGAAGAAGGACACAUGCCGGCCGGCCUAAGUGUUCCGGAGCAGUAGCAAGCUACCAUGGCUCAGUGAAACACUAGGAGACAUUUCCCGGUAAGAGAGGCUACUAAAGAUAAACAACUAGAUGGUCAGAUCCCACACAUACCAAGCAUUUCAAUAACAUACACACAAUAUGCUCGAUAUGUGCAAAUACAGCAUAGCAUCACAACAUGACUCUAUGACUCAAGUAAUUUAUUCAUUAGGCUCCGAGGAGCGAGAUAUUACAAACAUGGGUCUCAUGACCCAACACUCAGAGCAUACAAUCAAAGCACAAGCGGAAGCUAUCAUGUCUGAGUACAGACAUCUAUAAAUGAAAAAGGCUGAAAAGCCUGACUAUCUACCAGAUCCUGCCGAGGGCACAAGAUCGUAGCUGAGGUAACAAGCUAAACGUCGAAGUCCACGCGGAACUACUAACGAGACCGAAGUCUCUCUGCAAAAAACAUAAAUAGGCAAACGUGAGUACAAAUGUACCCAGCAAGACUUACAUCAGAACUAUCUACAUAUGCAUCAUUAUCAACAAAGGGAUGGUGGGGUUUAACUGCAGCAAGCCAGCUUUGACUCGGUGGCUAACCUGAACUACGACUGCAAUGUAACUCUUUUGUGGUGGCGCACACGAGUCCACAUAUUCACCAUAUCAAUACACCACUAUGGAUCCGCUCCCGUCUCCCUACGAGAACGCCAUCCAUAGCACUCACGCUUAUCUUGCGUAUUUUACAGUAUCCACUUUCACUUGUCUAUGAACUAUGCAAGGGGUCCAAGUUUCCAUAUCCGAGGAAUCCGGCUAUUCGAAUAGAUGAUGUUAACCCUGCAGGGGUGUACUUCUUCACACACGCUUUCGCCACUUACCGCCCUGUACACGUCUUGUACCUCGGCAACCUUCAAGCGGAAGCCGGGCGAGGGAGUCGGCCACGACCUGACUAACCGAACAAGUCUCUGGUCCAGGUUUAUCGCCUAUUCGGGUUCCAUCUGCAAGGAGAUCCGGCCGGGGUGUCGCUUACGGCCCCAAACGAUGUGUGCAGGGUUCCCAAGCCCACCAACCAGGUGCCACUUGGUACACCGGGCCACUGUGCGUAGUCUGUCCCAAGCCCACCUGUACCGGGUGCCACUUGGUAGACUACUAACACUACCUACAAACACCAGAAACUAGUUGCAACUCCUGGACAGAGAUCAUGUUGAUUAAUAAGUCGGGAGAGCUUGGAGCGCCCGGAGCCCAAUGUGUGGUAGUAACUGAUCAAGGAUCACAAACACAGAACUCAGUUCCUGAGGACGGCCGCAAUGAGACAACCCACCAUGUACUCCUACAUGGCCUCUCACCGCUUCCUUUACCAAAUCGUGUUCACACACUUAGCUCACACACAGUAGGACAUGUUCACACGCCUCUGAUUCAUCCCCGAUGAAUCAGACCUGACUCAACUCUAAGCAGUAGCAGGCAUGACAAACAAGCAUGAAUGAGUAGGCACAUCAGGGCUCAAACAACUCCUACUCAUGCUAGUGGGUUUCAUCUAUUUACUGUGGCAAUGACAGGUCAUGCAAAGGAUAAAGGGUUCAGCUACCGCAGCAAGUAUCAAAUAAGUCGUUGUUGUUCUAAUGCAGUAAAAGAGAGCAGGAGCGAGAGAGUAGGAUUGUAUCGGAAUGAACAAGGGGGUUUUGCUUGCCUGGCACUUCUGAAGAUAACAUUGAGUCUUCAUCAGUGUCAACGAUCACAACGUCGGAACAUCGUCUACCGGGAGGGAACAGAUACCGGCAACAAAGAAGAACACAAUCAAUGCAAUGCACAAAAUGAUGCAUGCUAUGACAUGGCAAUAUGAAUGUGUUUUGAGCUAAUGCAACUAGCAACAGAUUAAAUGAAGUUGGUUUGAAUACAAGAUUCAAAUUCAAACUCCAUAUGUGAUUAUUCAAAUGCCAUUUAAUUGAUUUGUGCUAAACAGCAGCUAUAAGUUGUUCUAACAUGCAUGAAAAUGGUACAGAUGGAUUCCUUGAAUUUUUCUGAUAAUUUUUCAUAUAUAAAUUAUAUAAUUUGGAGUUACCGUUGAAUUUCUAUGAUUUUUAGAAGUUUUUACAAUUUUCUGGAAUUUUCUGAUUAUUUUUAAAUCCAGAAAAUACUUAUUGCGUCAGCCCCACGUCACAGUGACGUCAGCAGGGUCAACUGGGCGCCCAGGUCAAACCUGACGUGUGGGGGCCACACGUCAGUGACACAGGAGCUAAUCCCGGUCAAACCCAGCGCUGACUGGGGUUUGACCAGGGGUGGGGCCCACUGUCAGUGGCUGUGGGGGGUGUUUAGCGUGGUCAUUUGUGCUAACUAAAUCAGCGCCACGUCACCCUCGCCGGAGUUACGCCGGCGGCAACCAAAACGACGGCCGAGCGUUUCGGAAAAACGCUACGGGGCUCCAUUUUGAGCGCGGUUUGUUGCUACGGCUUGCUGGCGUUCUUGCGCAUCUAGUGGUAGCAGCGACAGCAGCUGGGAUGGCCUGAGUCAACGGAGACGAGCACUUCCGUGGUGGCCGGAGUUCGGGCACCUGCGGGUUUGGCGUUGUGGUGCUCGGGAGGGGAAGCUGGUGGGUUCUACGUGCUCCUGGUGAGGUUUGGAGCACGGUGGUGUGCCCGGCUUUGAGCCACGGUGGCUCUGACCACGACGGUGACGAGGCACGGCGGCGACGAGCUUUGGAUCCGGCGAAAGCAAUGGCUAGAGCGGCCAAACGGCAUGGGAAGAAGAGGGGAACGGGUCAGCGGCUCACCGCGAAGCUGCAGGGAGGGUUAGUGGGCUCGGGGGCGCGCCGGAGUGGCUGAAUCGACGGAGAAGGGCGCCGGGGCCGAAGCUUGAAGACGAUGGCGAUGGCGGCUGCUCGGGGCCCUUCUGGUCGCGUGAGACGACGAGGAGGACGGGGGCGGAACAGCGGAGCUUUGGGAGGCAUCGGGGAGGCGAGACGGUGGUUGUGGCCGCGCGAGCGCUGGUCGGCGGUGACGGGCUCCAUUCGGUCGCGGGAGGGGGAGCAGAGGAGCGAGGGGGAGGGAGGUCCAGAGAGCGAGGGAGAAGUGAGAGGGGGUCGGGGAGGCGCGUGGCGUCUCCGAGCGUCAAGGAGGGAGGCAACCAGGCAGGAGGUGGCCAGGGGGGAAGCAGGAGGUGGCCGAGGCCUCUCGGGCGUGCGCCAUGCCUCGCCUCUGUUCGUCCUCCUGGCAGAGGAGGAAGAGGACAAGGGGGAGGAGGUGGGCUGGGCCGGCCAGAUGGAGCUGGGCCAGGUAAGUGGCGCCAGGUAAGUGGCCCAGGUGGCCUUCUCUCCCUCUCUCUGUUUUUCCUAUUUCUGUUCUGUUUUAUUUAAUUGGCACUGAAUUUUAAUUCAAACAGAAUUUGAAAACAGUGCCAAAACUCCCCUGGAUAUUUUUAAGUCACUUAAUGGACUUCUCCACACAUAACAAGAAUAUCUCAGGUCAUUUGAAAAUAUAUUCAUUAUAUAUUAUGAAUAUAACUCCAAAUUCAAAUAAAUUAUUGAUUUAAAAUCAGAGCCCAAUAAUUCCUUAGAAAUGUCCCAAAAUUUUGGUUUGAUUUAUAACUCUUGCCAAAAUUGUCAGAGCUAUUUCUAGGGCAUUUUGGAUUUACUGAUUGCAAUUUUAGGGUUUCUUGCCCCUCUUUAUUUAGGGUUUUGAGGCUUCCAAUUUCCCUCAGUUCAAAUUUCAGAAUUUAAACAUGAUGCACACACCAGGCAGCACCAGAAGCUAGGGAUGUGACAACUCACCCCCACUAAACAAGAAUCUCGUCUCGAGAUUCAAGUGUAGGGUAGGAUGAAAGGGAAACGCAAACUAGUACAAUCUUCAUGAUCCAGGUUGCACUUCAAAUGAACGUUGAUUUGAACACCAUCUUUGUCUUGUCGUCUUGCUCUGAGAACUCCAGCUAAUCAUGACAAUUAGAGGUAACGAAAACUCUGGAAGGAUCGGUCUUCUCGAAGGUCGAACAACUCAGGAUUAACUCCCGGAAUGUGACAUAGCAACAUCUCUCGAGCUGAGAGACGAAGCAUACCUCUAGAGGGAUGGAGUGGAGCAGGUGACGAGGUUCACUAGGUAGACAACAAUUCCAGGCUUAAGAAUGUGGCGAUCGGUUGUCAACGUAGCGAGGAGUUGAAUUGCCAUGAUACCACGACGAAACAACCUGGAGAAGGGUGAUUCGUAGAUUAUUAUCUUAAGUGGCAAAAAGAAUUACCUUUGAUAUAGAGAUCAUUGAGACUCUCUAUAUCAGCCUAAGGCAAAUCACAGCAAUCGAUUGGCGGGGUCGGUAGAAUGGCAUACUUGGACAUGGAUGAUGUGGAUUACCUUGUUGAAGACAACAUAAUGGAUGAAUUUGCUUAUCACCGGAGAUGGAAGAGACCCAUGGUAGAAUGGCACAUUGGUGGUGCAAGCUAGGAACAAAAUGCAAAUGCUGGGAAUGAUUCUGGUAACUGGGGAACAACCCAACAACAGAGAGUGAAUUCACUGUUUGAAAAGAUCAUAGCAUUGCCGAGGAAACUGAGAGCAAACCCAGUUAGUGCCGAUGAUAACACCUAGCGCUUGUGCGUGCUCUCAAGAACUUGAGCAUUUCCAUAUUCAUCAAGGUUUUACCAACAUCUGUGUCAAGGAUCCUAGCAACACAACAUACCACCAUGAUGAACAACGAUGGACGAUACAGAUGCAUAGGAAGAUAACAUCAACUCAGAUUUCACCCUAGCAAGGCCAAGGAAACAAAAUCUGGAUGAUCGACCGAGAGACAUUUAGCACUCCGCUUCUAAUGUUCUCCUUGAUGUGCUAGCGUAAUCCACCCAUAGAUAUGGUUUGAUAACUAGAAUAUCAAGUAAUGGUCGGACUUUGGGAGCAAUAGAAUCCAUAAGGAACAGUUACGGAGGUAAAUCCUACGAAAUCCUUAUGGGGGGGUGGCCAACUUCCUCAAACAAGAUACUACAAUAAUAGGUCUUCCGGCUGGGUGUGUUGGCCACGACAUCCACUUUACCGGUUAUCGAAGGAACAAUAUUAUAGUUCUUGGGAAAUAUUCCAACCAUCAUAUCUGCCUGAGACUCAGAUCUGGUUGGUGUCAGGAUAUUCCAGACUCAUCGAGUCUAGGAAGAAAAAUGAAAGUUUGCAACACAAAUCGACGAGAUGACGUUGCGAGAUUCUCAGGAAAUGAACUACGAUAGCAAGCUCCAAAACAUGAGCUGGUUCUGCUACAAACAUGUGAACACGUUGUUCCAGACAAGCAUGCCCACAUGGUAGUCUUACAAUAAAACACUACCGAGUUCUGGUUGGGAGCCAUCAUCGAGGAUAUCGAAGUCUUUACGCAAGUCCAUGGAUUAGAUCCCAAGCAUAGACUUCUUUUCCUUGAACGAGUCAAUCAGUGGCUUGGUGUGCUAGGAUAUACAUAUGGAAUGAAGAUGAUCAGUCUAACAGACCACAGAAUUCUUCGCACGUGCAUGACCGACUUGGGAUGAUUCCAAAGGAGCAAAAACAAACUUUCUCGAAUUCACGAUGGCAACUUACAUCAAAGUGCACGUGAAUCAAAGGAAGUCACUCCUUUCAUCAAACAAGUACUUCAUGAGCUAGCAUGAAGAAAAUGCUUUCAAAAGUUUCCAACACUAACUUAAUGUUCAACAACAUCAUGGAGAAGAUAAGAAUGUUGUCAAUGGGCUCAACAACAAUUCAUCUGGGUUCCCUUUUAGAAGGAAUUCCAUAGUUAAGUGAACACGGUGAUAGCAUUGGUCAGACCCAUAAGAUAUAAUGGCGUAUGCUCGAGGAGUCAACCACGAGUAAGACAACAUUACAAACAUCGUUGGUUCUGAUUUGAUUUGACGAUAGCCCACACUCAAAUCAAAGGAUUGAUAAGACAAUAGGUCCAGCAACUGAUCACAGGGACCAAUCGAUGAAGAUAUCAUCUUCCUUCAACACACACUACACAAGAAUAUCCCUUUGGAACGAACUAAGUCAGGCAAGCUUUUAUCUCCCAACUCUCCAAGUUGUUGUUUAGCUUGACCAACUAGCUCAGGGGUAUCCCACACAGAUCCUUGGAGAAGGGGUGGUUUACAGGAAUAAACCAACUUGAUCACGAACUCAACAUAGCGGUCAGGUGACAACCUGGUAAUAUUUCCGAGAAGACAUACGGAAAAUCACGAACCACCGAUAUGUUACUAAGCUCGAGAACAAUCUUGCUUUUCAGGGCAAGAUGAUAUGAUCAAAUGAGCGAGGACUUGACAAAAUCCUAACUCAUUAAUCAAAGAGUGCAUCAGGAAAUAAGGACUAGGUAGCACGAUCAGUCUUAGAAGGAUGAUUCAAAAACCAACACGCUAAGAAUGAAAUUAUUAUCCUUUAGCUACCAAGCAACGAGGUUCCUGGGAGUAUUGAUUUCACACACCAUGAUUCACUUGUCGGCACUCCGGCCGCAACAACACGGAACCGAGGAAUGGAAAAGGAUGGCGAGAAGUAUCACUAUGUCAAGAAUUCACAAAAGGUGGUGCAAUUCUCAUGAAAUUCCUGUCAUAAAGAAGGUAAUACUUCAGGGUAGAGCAGACCAGAAGCUGGAUUGUAACUUGAUCUGCGGAACACAACUACUUUGACCCAAUCCUAAAUAUGGAUGAGGUACUGGAGUUUGUUUCUCCAAGUCAUUCAGGACAGAAUGGCUUGACGGACCACAAGAGUAAUAAGCAUUGAUAACACGAAUGCACAAUUACUCCUGACUAUCAAUUGAUAGACGAGAGCCAGAAAACAACUAAAGAGGGACAACUCAAAGGAACAUAUGAUUUUCUGAGUUGUGAAUGCAUAGAUUAGCAUGUCGAACGAGUUCAACAUAUUUCUUCCGGACAAUCCAUGCGGAAAGGUAGAACUGGCAGAGUCACAAUUAUGAAUGGAGAACCCAUCGAGAGCACUCCUGUUGUGAUCUUUUGAUCCAACAAACUUUUGCCGUAAGUGGUUCAUGGUAUUUGGAAGAAGGAUAUACCACGGACCUCGAGAACUACUGCAAAGGUUACUAAUAUCCUAAAGGCGCUAGCAAUUACUAUCAACAUGAAGUAAGUAGAGUGAAUCUCGGGUUCAAGAACCCAUGAAUAGAAUACCUACUACUAAGUAGCAUCACGGGAUGCUUUCGAGAAUGAUGGCCAGAAUCAUCACACUGGGAACACAAAUCAUGUCUAAAUUACUAGAUGAUCCCCUAAGACACCUAGGGUCAUAAUACUAGCUCCAACAUAUAUGUCAAGGCAAUAAAGUACCUCAACUCACUGAUUUAUGUGAUUAAUCUGACCAAAGGCACAUCGGAAACAGGAGGAAGGGAUUUGCAAAUGCAACCGACUAUUUAGAAACCUGGGAUGACUCGGACAUCAUAACAGCUGUAAAUGCUCAGAAAAGAUUUGAGACAUUCACAAAAAUGGUGGCAUAACCACUCAGAAGCACAAUAUCAAGGUUUCGGGAUCAACAGUUAACGUACGGAAGUAGUAGAAACUGAACUCAAGCUUAAAUCCAACAAUCUAUAAGUCUACGGAUUAGUAACACGUGAUCCUGAUAGAAAGAAGAGAUAGCCUAGUUCUUAAUCCCCGUAGGAAAGAUAAGAUGACUCAGAUCGGAAGGGCAUAAGGUAUAAGGAGUAAAAAGAGCCUUACGUUCCAUCCCACAAUCAAUUCCCUUAUAUAACUAAAGAAUUUGUAGACUCAACUUCGACUAGUUUGGCUUGGUAAUCCUACACCCAGUCAAGCUCUGAUACCAACGCUGUCAGGACCCCGACUCAAUGCCACAUCGAUCUAGCAUGUAACACCUCAUAUCACUUUGCGGCCUCACGUACGGUAUUCCCACGGGUGUCGCCUUACCUUUGCCCGGGACCGUUUGCGCCUUUUGGCACACGUAUAUGACAGUGUCGCUAGCAUCCAUAUGAUAAGGAGCCCGGGCUGACAUGGCUAGUCAUAAACCCAAAGUGGCACAGACUUACAGGGACAGGCAUCCAUGACCCAGCAUCGAACGUGUCGGUCAUCAGCGAGCGAAUCCAGGCUGUAGCACUGGGCUAGCAGGACUACGGUGAACCGGGCUGUAGCGGGCUAACAGGACUCCGGUAUUCAUCGCGUGACAUUUCCCCGAAGGGACAGACACAGGAACGAAGAAGGACACAUGCCGGCCGGCCUAAGUGUUCCGGAGCAGUAGCAAGCUACCAUGGCUCAGUGAAACACUAGGAGACAUUUCCCGGUAAGAGAGGCUACUAAAGAUAAACAACUAGAUGGUCAGAUCCCACACAUACCAAGCAUUUCAAUAACAUACACACAAUAUGCUCGAUAUGUGCAAAUACAGCAUAGCAUCACAACAUGACUCUAUGACUCAAGUAAUUUAUUCUUUAGGCUCCGAGGAGCGAGAUAUUACAAACAUGGGUCUCAUGACCCAACACUCAGAGCAUACAAUCAAAGCACAAGCGGAAGCUAUCAUGUCUGAGUACAGACAUCUAUAAAUGAAAAAGGCUGAAAAGCCUGACUAUCUACCAGAUCCUGCCGAGGGCACAAGAUCGUAGCUGAGGUAACAAGCUAAACGUUGAAGUCCACGCGGAACUACUAACGAGACCGAAGUCUCUCUGCAAAAAACAUAAAUAGGCAAACGUGAGUACAAAUGUACCCAGCAAGACUUACAUCAGAACUAUCUACAUAUGCAUCAUUAUCAACAAAGGGAUGGUGGGGUUUAACUGCAGCAAGCCAGCUUUGACUCGGUGGCUAACCUGAACUACGACUGCAAUGUAACUCUUUUGUGGUGGCGCACACGAGUCCACAUAUUCACCAUAUCAAUACACCACUAUGGAUCCGCUCCCGUCUCCCUACGAGAACGCCAUCCAUAGCACUCACGCUUAUCUUGCGUAUUUUAGAGUAUCCACUUUCACUUGUCUAUGAACUAUGCAAGGGGUCCAAGUUUCCAUAUCCGAGGAAUCCGGCUAUUCGAAUAGAUGAUGUUAACCCUGCAGGGGUGUACUUCUUCACACACGCUUUCGCCACUUACCGCCCUGUACACGUCUUGUACCUCGGCAACCUUCAAGCGGAAGCCGGGCGAGGGAGUCGGCCACGACCUGACUAACCGAACAAGUCUCUAGUCCAGGUUUAUCGCCUAUUCGGGUUCCAUCUGGAAGGAGAUCCGGCCGGGGUGUCGCUUACGGCCCCAAACGAUGUGUGCAGGGUUCCCAAGCCCACCAACCGGGUGCCACUUGGUACACCGGGCCACUGUGCCUAGUCUGUCCCAAGCCCACCUGUACCGGGUGCCACUUGGUAGACUACUAACACUACCUACAAACACCAGAAACUAGUUGCAACUCCUGGACAGAGAUCAUGUUGAUUAAUCAGUCGGGAGAGCUUGGAGCGCCCGGAGCCCAAUGUGUGGUAGUAACUGAUCAUGGAUCACAAACACAGAACUCAGUUCCUGAGGACGGCUGCAAUGAGACAACCCACCAUGUACUCCUACAUGGCCUCUCACCUCUACCUUUACCAAAUCGUGUUCACACACUUAGCUCACACACAGUAGGACAUGUUCACACGCCUCUGAUUCAUCCCCGAUGAAUCAGACCUGACUCAACUCUAAGCAGUAGCAGGCAUGACAAACAAGCAUGAAUGAGUAGGCACAUCAGGGCUCAAACAACUCCUACUCAUGCUAGUGGGUUUCAUCUAUUUACUAUGGCAAUGACAGGUCAUGCAAAGGAUAAAGGGUUCAGCUACCGCAGCAAGUAUCAAAUAAGUCGUUGUUGUUCUAAUGCAGUAAAAGAGAGCAGGAGCGAGAGAGUAGGAUUGUAUCGGAAUGAACAAGGGGGUUUUGCUUGCCUGGCACUUCUGAAGAUAACAUUGAGUCUUCAUCAGUGUCAACGAUCACAACGUCGGAACAUCGUCUACCGGGAGGGAACAGAUACCGGCAACAAAGAAGAACACAAUCAAUGCAAUGCACAAAAUGAUGCAUGCUAUGACAUGGCAAUAUGAAUGUGUUUUGAGCUAAUGCAACUAGCAACAGAUUAAAUGAAGUUGGUUUGAAUACAAGAUUCAAAUUCAAACUCCAUAUGUGAUUAUUCAAAUGCCAUUUUAAUUGAUUUGUGCUAAACAGCAGCUAUAAGUUGUUCUAACAUGCAUGAAAAUGGUACAGAUGGAUUCCUUGAAUUUUUCUGAUAAUUUUUCAUAUAUAAAUUAUUUAAUUUGGAGUUACCGUUGAAUUUCUAUGAUUUUUAGAAGUUUUUACAAUUUUCUGGAAUUUUCUGAUUAUUUUUAAAUCCAGAAAAUACUUAUUGCGUCAGCCCCACGUCACAGUGAUGUCAGCAGGGUCAACGGGGCGCCCCAGGUCAAACCUGACGUGUGGGGGCCACACGUCAGUGACACAGGAGCUAAUCCCGGUCAAACCCAGCGCUGACUGGGGUUUGACCAGGGGUGGGGCCCACUGUCAGUGGCUGUGGGGGGUGUUUAGCGUGGUCAUUUGUGCUAACUAAAUCAGCGCCACGUCACCCUCGCCGGAGUUACGCCGGCGGCAACCAAAACGACGGCGGAGCGUUUCGGAAAAACGCUACGGGGCUCCAUUUUGAGCGCGGUUUGUUGCUACGGCUUGCUGGCGUUCUUGCGCAUCUAGUGGUAGCAGCGACAGCAGCUGGGAUGGCCUGAGUCGACGGCGACAAGCACUUCCGCGGCGGCCGGAGUUCGGGUACCUGCGGGUUUGGCGUUGUGGUGCUCGGGAGGGGAAGCUGGUGGGUUCUACGUGCUCCUGGUGAGGUUUGGAGCACGGUGGUGUGCCCGGCUUUGAGCCACGGUGGCUCUGACCACGACGGUGACGAGGCACGGCGGCGACGAGCUUCGGAUCCGGCGGAAGCAAUGGCUAGAGCGGCCAAACGGCAUGGGAAGAAGAGGGGAACGGGUCAGCUGCUCACCGCAAAGCUGCAGGGAGGGUUAGUGGGCUCGGGGGCGCGCCGGAGUGGCCGAAUCGACGGAGAAGGGCGCCGGGGCCGAAGCUUGAAGACGAUGGCGAUGGCGGCUGCUCGGGGCCCUUCUGGUCGCGUGAGACGACGAGGAGGACGGGGGCGGAACAGCGGAGCUUUGGGAGGCAUCGGGGAGGCGAGACGGUGGCUGUGGCCGCGCGAGCGCUGGUCGGCGGCGACGGGCUCCAUUCGGUUGCGGGAGGGGGAGCAGAGGAGCGAGGGGGAGGGAGGUCCAGAGAGCGAGGGAGAAGUGAGAGGGGGUCGGGGAGGCGCGUGGCGUCUCCGGGCGUCGAGGAGGGAGGCAACCAGGCAGGAGGUGGCCAGGGGGGAAGCAGGAGGUGGCCGAGGCCUCUCGGGCGCGCGCCAUGCCUCGCCUCUGUUCGUCCUCCUGGCAGAGGAGGAAGAGGACAAGGGGGAGGAGGUGGGCUGGGCCGGCCAGAUGGAGCUGGGCCAGGUAAGUGGCGCCAGGUAAGUGGCCCAGGUGGCCUUCUCUCCCUCUCUCUGUUUUUCCUAUUUCUGUUCUGUUUUAUUUAAUUGGCACUGAAUUUUAAUUCAAACAGAAUUUGAAAACAGUGCCAAAACUCCCCUGGAUAUUUUUAAGUCACUUAAUGGACUUCUCCACACAUAACAAGAAUAUCUCAGGUCAUUUGAAAAUAUAUUCAUUAUAUAUUAUGAAUAUAACUCCAAAUUCAAAUAAAUUAUUGAUUUAAAAUCAGAGCCCAAUAAUUCCUUAGAAAUGUCCCAAAAUUUUGGUUUGAUUUAUAACUCUUGCCAAAAUUGUCAGAGCUAUUUCUAGGGCAUUUUGGAUUUACUGAUUGCAAUUUUAGGGUUUCUUGCCCCUCUUUAUUUAGGGUUUUGAGGCUUCCAAUUUCCCUCAGUUCAAAUUUCAGAAUUUAAACAUGAUGCACACACCAGGCAGCACCAGAAGCUAGGGAUGUGACAGUCUGGUUCCCUUCUACAUACAGCCCAUAGGGCCCUCCGGGGCAGGUGGACCCUCCCGUUGGACUCCCGGAACCCCUCCGGUGGUCCCGGUACAAUAUGGGUAAACCUCCGAAUACUCCGGUGACCGUAUGAUGACUUCCCAUAUAUAAAUCUUCACCUUUGAACCAUUCCGGAACUCCUCAUGACGUCCUGGAUCUCAUCCGGGACUUCGAACAACAUUCGGUAAUCACGUACAAAUCUUCCCUAUAAACCUAGCAUCAUCGAACCUUAAGUGUGUAGACCAUACGGGUUCGGGAAUCAUGCAGACAUGACAGAGACAGCUCUCCGGCCAAUAAACAAUAGCGGGAUCUGGAUACCCAUGUUGGCCCCCACAUGUUCCAUGAUGAUCUCAUCGAAUGAGCCACGAUGUCGAGGAUUUAAGCAAUCCCGUAUGCAAUUCCCUUUGUCAAUCGGUACGUUACUUACCCGAGAUUCGAUCGUCGGUAUCCCAAUACCUCGUUCAAUCUUCUUACCGGCAAGUCACUUUACUCGUUGCGUAAUGCAUGAUCCCGUGACUAACUACUUAGUAACAUUGAGCUCAUUAUGAUGAUGCAUUACCGAGUGGGCCCAAAGAUACCUCUCCGUCAUACGGAGUGACAAAUCCCAGUCUCGAUUCGUGCCAACCCAAGAAACACUUUCGGAGAUACCUGUAGUGCACCUUUAUAGUCCCAGUUACGUUGCGACGUUUGGUACACCCAAAGCACUCCUACGGUAUCCGGGAGUUACACAAUCUCAUGGUCUAAGGAAAUGAUACUUGACAUUAGAAAAGCUUUAGCAAACGAACUACACGAUCUUGUGCUAUGCUUAGGACUCGGUCUUGUCCAUCACUUCAUUCUCCUAAUGAUGUGAUCCCGUUAUCAAUGACAUCCAAUGUCCAUAGUCAGGAAACCAUGACCAUCUGUUGAUCAACGAGCUAGUCAACUAGAGGCUCACUAGGGACAUGUUGUGGUCUAUGUAUUCACACAUGUAUUACGGUUUCCGGUUAAUACAAUUAUUGCAUGAACAGCAGACAAUUAUCAUGAACAAGGAAAUAUAAUAAUAACCAUUUUAUUAUUGCCUCUAGGGCAUAUUUCCAACAAGCACCAGGUUCGGGCCUCUAUAUGGAGGUAAUGCCCUACUUCCUGCUUGAUUGAUCUUGAUGAAUAUGAGUAUUACAAGAGUUGAUCUACCACAAGAUCGUAAUGGCUAAACCCUAGAAGUCUAGCUUGUAUGAUUGUCAUGAUCCUUUAUCGACUAGCCUGGCCUUGGCCUAUAUAAUACACCAGAGGCCUAGGGUAACAAGAGUCCUAGCCGAAUAAGUUGAUCGAGAGGAGUCCUUGUCUUGAUCACCAAGUCUUGUGGAAUACUCCUUGUAUGCGGCAUGGGCUGCCCAAAGUGGCCCAUGUGUGAACUGCCAUGGGGGUCCUCGGCCCGAUCCACCUUUUCGGGAGAUGAUGUGGUGAGUACCCCCUAGUCCAGGACACCAUCAGUAGCCCCCUAAACCGGUCUUCAAGUUGGGGAUGCUCCUUGAUCCUUCCGAACUGUUCUUCAUCUUCGGUCGUCGGUCUUGAAAACUGGUUCAACAAAUCUUCUCGUCUUCGAUCUUGAGGAUCGCUGAAAUGAAUCCGAAGGGUUUACACAUCGGGUAUCCAAGGAGCCCCUUUAAGUUCUCGACCUUUAUCAAUGCCUUAGGAUUAUUUUUUACGCCACACCUCGGGUUUGAAGUUGUUCCUGUGCGGCGGUGUCCUCUUGCAUCCGAGCUCCAACGCCGGACUGCAUUCGAGAUAUCUUUUGCAGCCGAGCACCAACACCGGACUAUAUCCGAGCUCCAACGCCGGACUAUAUCCGAGGUGUCAUAGAUCACAUUGGCUUGACAAGUUUGAAGGAGGUUAUCCGAGUUUAACGCUGAAAAAUUCUCUAUGGAACGAGCCAUUUGAAUCCGGGCUAUAUACCGGACCACUUCCGAGCUCCAACGAUGGUCAGCGCCCGAGGUGUCGUAAACUACCUCGGUCUUUUAAAAGAUGCCGAGCUAAAUGUCAGAAAUGCCCUCUAUGGAGCCAGCGUUGACAAUAGGAAGUUACCCGAGGUGCACCUGAAGGAAAACAUAAAACUGCUGAUCCUGGUAUGCCCUGACACUCAGGUCGAUUUGCAAAAUCGGCCUGAGGAUCAACUCCUAGCUCGGCAGGAUACGUAGAAAUAGAAACACAGUGUAAUAUAUUAGAGAUAAUAGUGAUCGGCGAACGGGCCCUUGACAGAGGGUCUUGAGAAGUUGCCGCAAUAUAUUAGCUUGACGCCAUAUAGGUCCAGAUGGUACCUAUUGUUGUCUGAAGACGCGUUUGCCCAUAGUUCGGUCAAGCCGAACACUAAGCACUUUGAAGUUUCUGCAUUGAAUAGGCAACGAAGUAACCCCCGAGACACUGGUCAGGUGGCAACACCAAAUCAGGGAAACGAUGUGCCCCUUUAACAUUUAUAAAUAAUGAGCGUGAAGCCCAGUAGCCCCAGAGCCUUAAUGUGGGCACGGGAGGCCGAAUUAAGGAUCGAUAUCCGUGUGACAGAAAAUUUUGUUCUGUUUAACACAAACUUCUCGAAAAGUGAAUAAAGAUCUCUUAAAGGAGCUAGAGCCAGGGUGCUCGCCAAGGUUGGUCCCAAGGUCCUUUGCAUUGAACACAUAAACAUUGUUAAGAUCUUUGGGUUUUAUACUUCUGUUGUGAUCGAACAAAGAUUAAACUUUUCCAGGAGAAUCAUGGGAGCCUUCCGCAAAUGAAACUGUUGAGUUGGUCACGUGGAAUAUCAUAUUGACAUUUAAUAAUCAAACACCAGCAUGUUUAUAUUUUUGGUUUGGCCUAUCGAUCCAAACCCGUGAUACAUAUGUACGAGCAAUCAAAAUGAUCAAAAUUAAGCUAGCAUAUUGAGAGUAUAUAGAAAUGUCCACAGGCAGUUUUGUACCCUACUGUGACAUGUGAAGAUUACACGAGGCAUCAAGAUCCAAAUACACCAUAAUAGUAUAUGUUAUUUCUUCAACUACUACUUUGCUAUAAUUGUAUUUUUCAAAUUAGUGUAAAAAGGGACACGACAUGUCACAAUGUGACAUGCUGAUUGCCAUAAAUAGUUAGAUCAUUAUUUUGCGUGAUACAAAGCUAUGGUUGUAUGCACGAAAUGACAUUAUUUGUUUCGGCCGACACAAUGAACAUAAACGAGGAUUAUAUAUUUGCGCCAAUAAUAAUUGUGUUUUCGCAUAAUUUGGUGACAAAAAUAUUAGUAGUGAAUCAGAACUCCCUGUGAAUGCCUUUAGCCCUCCUGUAGUUUCCAUCAUUUCAUUACUCUCCUGUUCUUGUUACUAUUAUUUUAGCACACCUUAAUUCUUGUUCACAAACUCUUGCAAUAUUUUCACUUUCACACCUCUUUGAUCAGGAGUUAAAAUAUUUGCAUGCACUUUCUGAUAAACCUCUAGUAGAGGCAAAAGACUAUUUCUUAAUUUUUCUUUCGGGUCAAGACUAUUACUUCAAAAUGGCUACAACUAUAUUGUGUGCACUUGCAUGAGAUCAGAAAAAACAUAUUGAUUGGAAUGCACUAAUUUAAGAAUAAAUUUUUGGAGCAUGUUUACCAAAAGCUUGGUUAUCAUCUUGAUGGAGCAAUUCAGAAAGGAAAUAGGUCUGAAAUCAUUAUCCUAAAUUGCGGAGCCAUUUUUGGAAUUAGAGUAAUUAAAGAAGAGUCAAUGCUCUAAAUAUUGAUUGAACCAUGGUAAAACUCCUUAAACAAUGCACAGAAAUCAGGGGCAAUGGUCUCCCAACAAACUUUAACAAAAUCUGAAUUAAGACCAUCUAGGCCUGGGGAUUCGUGAGAGGGCAAAUUCCUGACUGCUUUAACAAUUUCCUCUUUAGUGAAAGAUUUCUCUGAAAAAAGUAGACCAUCAUUUCUCGUAAGCAAAGAAUCCAAAUUCAUAAGGUUGAAAGUUGGGACAGUAUAGCCAAGUCUUUGCUUGAAAGAUCUACCAAAGAAAGCAGCCUUGGCAUGAUGUUCGGAGUGCCCAUGCCUCUGCUUAUCUCUUAAUAUAGCAAUCUGAUUAUUUCUGAAUAAUUGAUGCCUUUGCAUGAUUUUGUUUUACUUUGCUUCCCCCAAAGGUACCCAUAUAAUAGUGUCUCUUUGUUUCGAGUAGAUUUGCUGGUGUGGGAGAAGCUGAAGGAGAUGAUUUUCGAGGAUUUGUCUGAUUGUUCCACUUAUGAAUUGCAAGAUUUCAAAAUUCUUCAAUAGUGUCAUAGAAUUAAUCACUGAGUUUGGUAGCUUUGAUAGUGGUAGAGAGAUUAGAAAUUAUUUUGGAACACAGUUUUAAACCUUUUCUUGGUCUUUUGAAAUUUGCAUUUACUCUUUUGGAACUAUCAUGUUUGUGAAUUUGUUGGUCCCAAAUUGUAUUAAAAGUAUCUUUAAAGUCUGGGUGUUGCAACCAGUAAAUUUCAAACCUGAAAAUAGAGGACUCCAGAAUAGAUGUACCAAUCCAAAUGAAACAAGGGAUGUGGUAAAAAAAAUAGGUCUGCCCUGAGGAAUAGCCAUAGUGUUUGGAUAAUUAAUAGUCUAGGAUUUAGAGGAGAAUACCCAAUCAAGCUUUUCCAAGAGAGGAGCACUCUGCAUAUUGCUCAAAGUAAACAUUCUGCCUCCAAGGGGAAUUUCAAUAAGAGCAAGGGAAUUGAUGGCUUCAUUUAAAGAAAACAUGGCAUGUGCACUACCGUCUUCUCUAUUUUUUGUUCUUAGGGCAGAUGACAUAAUUGAAAUCUCCAACCACCAACUAAGCCUGAUAAACUGGCAUGCACAUUUUGGAAUCAGUCAAUGAAAGUAGUUAAGUUUUUGACUUGAUAGGGUCCAUAUGUAUUGGUUAGAAUCCAAGACUCACCUAAGUGUAUUGAGGUGAACCUGUUGGAUAUAGGAAAUUCAUUAUGAACGCAACUUCAUUCUGAGCUACAAAGAAACCACUAGAGGCCCUAGAGAGGGCAUAAUUGAAAUUUGCUAAAUAUUUUUGGACCAUAUAGAAGACAAGGUUUCGAUAACAAAUACACGACUUGAUCUUAUGGUAUAUGAUAUUGUACACAAAGCAUAUAUGAUAAGCACUCUGUCUGCAUACUAUUUCUUCCAAAAGAAAGUUCCACAGGUAUCAUAAGGUAACAAGACAUAACCGCCUUGCUAUUCUAUGAUCUACCUAGGACUUCUCUUUGGAAAAUGACAAGGCGCUCCUUUAUUUUUGCAUCCUUAGAGCGAGCACACAACAAUCCAUAACAUAUGUAAACAUCUUACUUUGGGAGCACAACCUUAUGGAUAGACCUCAAUGACAGCUCGAGCUCCCAGCUUCUUCACAAUCUUAUAGCCACUGAACCCCGCCUUGACGAAGAUCUCACUCCAGUCCUUCUCAUCGCGCUGUCGGCCUCUUGUCACCACUAGCAUGACCAUAUCCAUGAGGUGUUGGGUUUCCAGCAUUGGCCCUGAAACAGAUCCAAGCACAAUGUCUAUGACGAUGACUUUUCCUCCUGCAUCCCGGGGAGGAACAGCCUUCUUGCAUUGUGCCAGGAUCUUGACGCAUUCCUCGUCGCUCCAGAAGUGCAGUACAAGCUACAUUACCAUGCAUGGAUAAACUUGUAGUUUAAGGUUAAUCAAGCCUGACUAGGAUGAAAUAUGAAGGGAUUUUAUUAUUUUAAGCUGUUAUUAUUUCAGAAAUGAAAACUAAUUAAACAUUGCUUGAAUAUUUCAAUUUUGCUAAGUCUUAGUGGACUAAGACUUUGUUAUGUAUCGAUCGAUGUUAUAUUCAUUUGAUCUUGCAUGGAGAUUCAUAUAAAAAAAUUAUUUUCAGUUUUUUUUACUUUUAUAUACUCCAUCCGUCCGGAAAUACUUGUCAUCGAAAUGAAUAAAAGGGGAUGUAUCUAGACGUAUGUCUAGAUACAUUCCUUUUAUGUAUUUCCGGACGGAGGGAGUACUAUAUUACUUGACUGAGACUUUAAGUCUCAAUCGACUAAGACCUAACCACCCCCUUAAUAUUUCACUUGGAAUAAAAAUUAUGAAAUGUGCAACAUUUAUAUCAUAUAUACCUUGAGCAAGACGGCUUGAGCAGGUGGGACAACGUGGAACAGGUCACCGGAAACAUACUUAACUGCUCCUUCUUCAGCGGGAAGAACUUUGUCCAUGACCUUUGGAAGGUCCAACACAGUGCACGUGAUGUGAGGGUAGGCCUCGACGAUGGACCUCGCGGUAGUCCCAUCGCCACCGCCGCAGUCAGUGAGAGACUCAAGCCCAUCGAACAGCUCACGGCACUGCCGGAGCACGGGGCCGAUCCCCAUGUGGUCGUGGGCAGCGAGGGCGUCGUGGAGCAGCUGAUCCAUCUCCGGGUCCAGGAGCACCAUGCUCUCCUCGAAGAUGGCCGCGCCAUGCACGUCCUCGAACGGCGAGGGAACGGCUCCAUCGAAGUCCUUCCUGAACCAGUCCGCCAGCCCCAUGGCCGCCUCCACGUAGUAGCGCGAGGCCGCGGCGCGCACGAGGGCCGUCUGGCUAGCGUCGCCGUCGAUGCGGACGCCGUCUACCAGGAGGUACGAGAGCGGGUUGAGGCGGUACGUUCCGGCGUCGGUUGCACUGAAGACGCCCGCCGUGGCGAGUUGGCGCAGCAGGCGGGCGAGGAAGGGCAGCUUGGACGUGGGGAGGGAUAGGGCGGCGACGAGUUCGGAUGGGGACGCGGCGCCGCCGAGGCGGUGAAUGGCAGUGGGGACGCCAAGGUCGACGGCGCACCGGAGCGCCAUAGGCGUGAGGUAGCAGAGGGUGUGGCGCCACAGGUCCGACUGCGCCUGGAGCAGCUCCGUGUCGGUGGGGACAAACACCUUCUCUGCCUGGCCUGCCAUUGCCGUUGAUCUCUAUCUCUCAGUGCUGUACGUGUUGUGCACUUCGAUCUGGUAGAUAUAUAGGGGACGGAGGACACUCUCAUAUAAUAUAGCAAUGUUUGCUGUCAUUUCUCGUGGAACACGAGGGUGAUGACCACGACACUAUAUCGCUAUCGACGGGCCAGGGUAGCGUAUCGAUACAGCGCAGAAAGAAGACUCAAGACUGCUCGCUGUGGCUGGAAAUGGAAAGGAGGCACGUGCGGCUUUGAGAUAGACAGACCGACUGUACACACAUUACUUUCGUGGAUUCGAAUCGAAUCGAUAAACCUAAAUACUUCAUGGUGCACGCACACGAUUUUGCUGAACCGAGCGGCCGUGCUUGGACCGCUCAUUGCGAACGCAUCGUUUGGCCCACGACCGGUUAGCUUAUGCGCUAUCCGGCCGUGUUUCCUGGUCGGGGCGAGACGUGGUUAGCUUAUGCGCUAUCCGACAAAGCCGGUGUGACACCCUUACUUUCUCUCCUGAAAAAACAAAAGCUUAUCCUUAUCAUCUUUUCAUCGUCUUUAACGUAUCCGGCCAAUAAGCAGUGUGCCCCGGCUGGAGGCCAAGCCAAGGCGGCCAACCGGAGAAACCUGGAGAGCAGGUCAGCCAAGGAGCCGGAAAAGCAGUGCCGCAACCUCCUCCCGGCGAGGCAUGAAACCAGACAAAAUUCUCCCAAACGGGUCGGACCGCAGCGGCGCGGUCGUGUUUGCCUUGGACGCCCCCCCAUGGUGUUGCUGCCGCUGCUGGUGGAGCUGUGCAAGUCCAUUGGUGUGCACACGCUGCUGCUCAUGGAGUCAUGGUGCCCGGCAUCAUUGGAGCUCAGCUCUUGUACCUACUGCCCGCCGAAUCGCCAGGCAACGUCGUCCUAUUCAGAGCUUACCGACAUGGUGCUCACCUAAGUGCUAAUAAAAAAUUCUAGUUCCUGCAUGGCUGCACAACCUUUAGUCUUGGUUGAUUAUCACGAGUGCUUUUUUGCAUGAGUAGAUUAUUCGAUAGUUAUAGUUGCACAUAUAAUAGUCUGUAGUAGUAUAUAUAAUUUAGAAAGUUGCACAACACGAUGAUACUAAGUUGGCUAGAUGAUGUUUUUGCUUAAAUUGAUCUAUUCUUGUCCGUCGUAUUUUUAGUUGGCAUCCAUGACACGAUAAUAUAAUAUAGCAAUGUGUUUGCUGUCAUUUCUCGUGGAACGCGAGGGUGACGACCUUGACACUAUAUCGCUAUCGACGGGCCGGGGUAGCGUAUCGAUAGAGCGCAUAAAGAAGACUCAAGACUGCUCGCUGUGGCUGCAAACGGAAAGGAGGCACGCGCGUCUUCGAGACAGACUGACCGACUGUACACACGUUCCAUUCGUGGAUCCGAAUCAAAUCGAUAAACCUAAAUACUUUAUGGUGCACGCGCACGAUUUUGCUUAACCGAGCGGCCGCGCUUGGACCGCUCAUUGCGAGCGCAUCGUGGGGCCCACGACGGCCAGGUGUUUCCUGGUCGGGGCGAGACGUGGUUGGCUCGAGCGCUAUCCGACAAACCCGGUAUGACACCCUUACUUUCUCUCCUGAAAAAACAAAGGCUUAUCCGUAUCAUCUUUUCAUCGUCUCCCUCGAAUCUGGCGAGGAAGCAGUGUGCCCCAGUCGAAGGCCAUGCCGAGGCGGCCAACCAGAGAAACCUGGAGAGCAGGUUAGCCAAGGAGCCAGACCAGCAGUGCUGCCACCUCCUCCGCCCUCUUUUUAUGAGUUGGAGCCGGAGCCGCCAUGGAACUCACGCGAGAGGGCCACCCUACGCCCCGCUACUCCUUCCUCCCAUGGUGUUGCUGCCGCUGCUGGUGGAGCUGUGCAAGUCCAUUGGUGUGCACGCGCUGCUGCUCAUGGUGUCAUGGUGCCCGGCAUCAUUGGCGCUCAGCUCUUGUACCUACUGCCCGCCGAAUUGCCAUGCAAUGUCGUCCUGUUCAGAGCUUACGGACAUGGUGCUCACCUGAAUACUAAUAAAAAAAUUUAGUUCCUGCACGGCUGCACAACCUUCAGUCUUGCUUGAUUAUCACGAGUGCUUUUUUGCCUGAGUAGAUUAUCCAAUAGUUGUAGUUGCACAUAUAAUAGUUUGUAGUUGUAUAUAUGAUUUAGAAAGUUGCACAACAUGAUGAUACUAAGUUGGCUAGAUGAUGUUUUUGCAUAAAUUGAUCUAUUUUUGUCGGUCAUAUUUUUAGUUGGCAUCCAUGACAUUACAAUAUAAUAUAGCAACGUGUUUGCUGUCAUUUCUCGUGGAACGCGAGGGUAACGACCAUUACACUAUAUCGCUAUCGACGGGCCGGGGUAGCUUAUCGAUAGAGCGCAUAAAGAAGACUCAAGACUGCUCGAUGUUGCUGGAAACAGAAAGGAGGCACGUGCGGCUUCAAGAUAGACCGACCGACUGUACACGGAUUCCAUUCGUGGAUCCGAAUCGAAUCGAUAAACAUAAAUACUUCUUGAUGCACGCGCAUGAUUUUGCUGAACCGAUCGGCCACGCUUGGACCACUCAUUUCGAGCGCAUCGUGCGGCCCACGGCCACCAUGUGUUUCCUGGUCGGGGCGAGACGUGGUUGGCUCAUGCGCUAUCCGACAAAGCCGAUGUGAACCAAUCGCUCCCUUACUUCCUCUCCUAAAAAACAAAGGCUUAUCCUUAUCAUCUUUUCAUCGCCUCCAUCGAAUCCGUGCGAGGAAGCAGUGUGUCUCUGCCGGAGGCCAAGCCGAGGCGGCCAACCGGAGAAACCUGGAGAACAGGUCAGGCAAGGAGCCGGACCAGCAGUGCCGCCACCUCCUCCGCCCUCCUUCUAUGAGCUGGAGCCGGAGCCGCCAUGGAACUCACGCCUGAGGGCCACCCUACGCCCCGCUACUCGUCCCGGCGAGGCAUGAAGCCAGACAAAAUUCUCGUAAACCGGUCGGACCGCUGCGGCGCGGUCGUGUUUGCCUUGGAUGCACCCCAUGGUGUUCCUGCCGCUGCUGGUGGAGUUGUGCAAGUUCAUUGGUGUGCACACGCUGCUGCUCAUGGAAUCAUGGUACCCGGCAACAUUGGUGCUCAACUCUUGUACCUACUGCACGUCAAAUCGCCAGGCAACAUCGUCUUGUUCAGAGCUGACGGACAAGGUGCUCACCUGAAUGCUAAUAAAUUUUUUAGUUCCUGCACAGCUGCAAAACCUUCAAUCUUGGUUGAUUAUCACGAGUGCUUAUUUGCCUGAGUAGAUUAUCCAAUAGUUGUAGUUGCACAUAUAAUAGUCUGUUGUUGUAUAUAUGAUUUAGAAAGUUGCACAACACGAUGAUACUAAGUUGGCUAGAUGAUGUUUUUGCUUAAAUUGAUCUAUUCUUGUUAGUCGUAUUUUCAGUUGGCAUCCAUGACACGAUAAUAUAAUAUAGCAAUGUGUUUGCUGUCAUUUCUCGUGGAACGCGAGGGUGACGACCUUGACACUAUAUCGCUAUCGACGGGCCGGGGUAGCGUAUCGAUAGAGCGCAUAAAGAAGACUCAAGACUGCUCGCUGUGGCUGCAAACGGAAAGGAGGCACGCGCGUCUUCGAGACAGACUGACCGACUGUACACACGUUCCAUUCGUGGAUCCGAAUCAAAUCGAUAAACCUAAAUACUUCAUGGUGCACGCGNNNNNNNNNNNNNNNNNNNNNNNNNNNNNNNNNNNNNNNNNNNNNNNNNNNNNNNNNNNNNNNNNNNNNNNNNNNNNNNNNNNNNNNNNNNNNNNNNNNNNNNNNNNNNNNNNNNNNNNNNNNNNNNNNNNNNNNNNNNNNNNNNNNNNNNNNNNNNNNNNNNNNNNNNNNNNNNNNNNNNNNNNNNNNNNNNNNNNNNNNNNNNNNNNNNNNNNNNNNNNNNNNNNNNNNNNNNNNNNNNNNNNNNNNNNNNNNNNNNNNNNNNNNNNNNNNNNNNNNNNNNNNNNNNNNNNNNNNNNNNNNNNNNNNNNNNNNNNNNNNNNNNNNNNNNNNNNNNNNNNNNNNNNNNNNNNNNNNNNNNNNNNNNNNNNNNNNNNNNNNNNNNNNNNNNNNNNNNNNNNNNNNNNNNNNNNNNNNNNNNNNNNNNNNNNNNNNNNNNNNNNNNNNNNNNNNNNNNNNNNNNNNNNNNNNNNNNNNNNNNNNNNNNNNNNNNNNNNNNNNNNNNNNNNNNNNNNNNNNNNNNNNNNNNNNNNNNNNNNNNNNNNNNNNNNNNNNNNNNNNNNNNNNNNNNNNNNNNNNNNNNNNNNNNNNNNNNNNNNNNNNNNNNNNNNNNNNNNNNNNNNNNNNNNNNNNNNNNNNNNNNNNNNNNNNNNNNNNNNNNNNNNNNNNNNNNNNNNNNNNNNNNNNNNNNNNNNNNNNNNNNNNNNNNNNNNNNNNNNNNNNNNNNNNNNNNNNNNNNNNNNNNNNNNNNNNNNNNNNNNNNNNNNNNNNNNNNNNNNNNNNNNNNNNNNNNNNNNNNNNNNNNNNNNNNNNNNNNNNNUGGAGCCGGAGCCGCCAUGGAACUCACGCGAGAGGGCCACCCUACGCCCCGCUACUCCUUCCUCCCAUGGUGUUGCUGCCGCUGCUGGUGGAGCUGUGCAAGUCCAUUGGUGUGCACGCGCUGCUGCUCAUGGUGUCAUGGUGCCCGGCAUCAUUGGCGCUCAGCUCUUGUACCUACUGCCCGCCGAAUCGCCAUGCAAUGUCGUCCUGUUCAGAGCUUACGGACAUGGUGCUCACCUGAAUACUAAUAAAAAAAUUUAGUUCCUGCACGGCUGCACAACCUUCAGUCUUGGUUGAUUAUCACGAGUGCUUUUUUGCCUGAGUAGAUUAUCCAAUAGUUGUAGUUGCACAUAUAAUAGUUUGUAGUUGUAUAUAUGAUUUAGAAAGUUGCACAACAUGAUGAUACUAAGUUGGCUAGAUGAUGUUUUUGCAUAAAUUGAUCUAUUUUUGUCGGUCAUAUUUUUAGUUGGCAUCCAUGACAUUACAAUAUAAUAUAGCAAUGUGUUUGCUGUCAUUUCUCGUGGAACGCGAGGGUAACGACCAUUACACUAUAUCGCUAUCGACGGGCCGGGGUAGCUUAUCGAUAGAGCGCAUAAAGAAGACUCAAGACUGCUCGAUGUUGCUGGAAACAGAAAGGAGGCACGUGCGGCUUCAAGAUAGACCGACCGACUGUACACGGAUUCCAUUCGUGGAUCCGAAUCGAAUCGAUAAACAUAAAUACUUCUUGAUGCACGCGCAUGAUUUUGCUGAACCGAUCGGCCACGCUUGGACCACUCAUUUCGAGCGCAUCGUGCGGCCCACGGCCACCAUGUGUUUCCUGGUCGGGGCGAGACGUGGUUGGCUCAUGCGCUAUCCGACAAAGCCGAUGUGAACCAAUCGCUCCCUUACUUCCUCUCCUAAAAAACAAAGGCUUAUCCUUAUCAUCUUUUCAUCGCCUCCAUCGAAUCCGUGCGAGGAAGCAGUGUGUCUCUGCCGGAGGCCAAGCCGAGGCGGCCAACCGGAGAAACCUGGAGAACAGGUCAGGCAAGGAGCCGGACCAGCAGUGCCGCCACCUCCUCCGCCCUCCUUCUAUGAGCUGGAGCCGGAGCCGCCAUGGAACUCACGCCUGAGGGCCACCCUACGCCCCGCUACUCGUCCCGGCGAGGCAUGAAGCCAGACAAAAUUCUCGUAAACCGGUCGGACCGCUGCGGCGCGGUCGUGUUUGCCUUGGAUGCACCCCAUGGUGUUCCUGCCGCUGCUGGUGGAGUUGUGCAAGUUCAUUGGUGUGCACACGCUGCUGCUCAUGGAAUCAUGGUACCCGGCAACAUUGGUGCUCAACUCUUGUACCUACUGCACGUCAAAUCGCCAGGCAACAUCGUCUUGUUCAGAGCUGACGGACAAGGUGCUCACCUGAAUGCUAAUAAAUUUUUUAGUUCCUGCACAGCUGCAAAACCUUCAAUCUUGGUUGAUUAUCACGAGUGCUUAUUUGCCUGAGUAGAUUAUCCAAUAGUUGUAGUUGCACAUAUAAUAGUCUGUUGUUGUAUAUAUGAUUUAGAAAGUUGCACAACACGAUGAUACUAAGUUGGCUAGAUGAUGUUUUUGCUUAAAUUGAUCUAUUCUUGUUAGUCGUAUUUUCAGUUGGCAUCCAUGACACGAUAAUAUAAUAUAGCAAUGUGUUUGCUGUCAUUUCUCGUGGAACGCGAGGGUGACGACCUUGACACUAUAUCGCUAUCGACGGGCCGGGGUAGCGUAUCGAUAGAGCGCAUAAAGAAGACUCAAGACUGCUCGCUGUGGCUGCAAACGGAAAGGAGGCACGCGCGUCUUCGAGACAGACUGACCGACUGUACACACGUUCCAUUCGUGGAUCCGAAUCAAAUCGAUAAACCUAAAUACUUCAUGGUGCACGCGAACGAUUUUGCUUAACCGAGCGGCCGCGCUUGGACCGCUCAUUGCGAGCGCAUCGUGGGGCCCACGACGGCCAGGUGUUUCCUGGUCGGGGCGAGACGUGGUUGGCUCGAGCGCUAUCCGACAAACCCGGUAUGACACCCUUACUUUCUCUCCUGAAAAAAACAAAGGCUUAUCUGUAUCAUCUUUUCAUCGUCUCCCUCGAAUCUGGCGAGGAAGCAGUGUGCCCCAGUCGAAGGCCAUGCCGAGGCGGCUAACCAGAGAAACCUGGAGAGCAGGUUAGCCAAGGAGCCAGACCAGCAGUGCUGCCACCUCCUCCGCCCUCUUUUUAUGAGCUGGAGCCGGAGCCACCAUGGAACUCACGCGAGAGGGCCACCCUACGCCCCGCUACUCCUUCCUCCCAUGGUGUUGCUGCCGCUGCUGGUGGAGCUGUGCAAGUCCAUUGGUGUGCACGCACUGCUGCUCAUGGUGUCAUGGUGCCCGGCAUCAUUGGCGCUCAGCUAUUGUACCUACUGCCCGCCGAAUCGCCAUGCAAUGUCGUCCUGUUCAGAGCUUACGGACAUGGUGCUCACCUGAAUACUAAUAAAAAAAUUUAGUUCCUGCACGGCUGCACAACCUUCAGACUUGGUUGAUUAUCACGAGUGCUUUUUUGCCUGAGUAGAUUAUCCAAUAGUUGUAGUUGCACAUAUAAUAGUCUGUAGUUGUAUAUAUGAUUUAGAAAGUUGCACAACAUGAUGAUACUAAGUUGGCUAGAUGAUGUUUUUGCAUAAAUUGAUCUAUUUUUGUCGGUCAUAUUUUUAGUUGGCAUCCAUGACAUUAUAAUAUAAUAUAACAUUGUGUUUGCUUUCAUUUCUCGUGGAACGCGAGGGUAACGACCAUUACACUAUAUCGCUAUCGACGGGCCGGGGUAGCUUAUCGAUAGAGCGCAUAAAGAAGACUCAAGACUGCUCGAUGUUGCUGGAAACAGAAAGGAGGCACGUGCAGCUUCAAGAUAGACCGACCGACUGUACACGGAUUCCAUUCGUGGAUCCGAAUCGAAUCGAUAAACCUAAAUACUUCUUGAUGCACGCGCAUGAUUUUGCUGAACCAAUCGGCCACGCUUGGACCACUCAUUUCGAGCGCAUCGUGCGGCCCACGGCCACCAGGUGUUUCCUGGUCGGGGCGAGACAUGGUUGGCUCAUGCGCUAUCCGACAAAGCCGAUGUGAACCAAUCGCUCCCUUACUUCCUCUCCUAAAAAACAAAGGCUUAUCCUUAUCAUCUUUUCAUCGCCUCCAUCGAAUCCGUGCGAGGAAGCAGUGUGUCUCUGCCGGAGGCCAAGCCGAGGCGGCCAACCGGAGAAACCUGGAGAACAGGUCAGGCAAGGAGCCGGACCAGCAGUGCCGCCACCUCCUCCGCCGUCCUUCUAUGAGCUUGAGCCGGAGCCGCCAUGGAACUCACGCCUGAGGGCCACCCUACGCCCCGCUACUCGUCCCGGCGAGGCAUGAAGCCAGACAAAAUUCUCGUAAACCAGUCGGACCGCAGCGGCGCGGUCGUGUUUGCCUUGGAUGCACCCCAUGGUGUUCCUGCCGUUGCUGGUGGAGUUGUGCAAGGUCAUUGGUGUGCACACGCUGCUGCUCAUGGAAUCAUGGUACCCGGCAACAUUGGUGCUCAACUCUUGUACCUACUGCACGUCGAAUCGCCAGGCAACAUCGUCUUGUUCAGAGCUGACGGACAAGGUGCUCACCUGAAUGCUAAUAAAUUUUUUAGUUCCUGCACAGCUGCAAAACCUUCAAUCUUGGUUGAUUAUCACGAGUGCUUAUUUGCCUGAGUAGAUUAUCCAAUAGUUGUAGUUGCACAUAUAAUAGUCUGUUGUUGUAUAUAUGAUUUAGAAAGUUGCACAACACGAUGAUACUAAGUUGGCUAGAUGAUGUUUUUGCUUAAAUUGAUCUAUUCUUGUUAGUCGUAUUUUCAGUUGGCAUCCAUGACACGAUAAUAUAAUAUAGCAAUGUGUUUGCUGUCAUUUCUCGUGGAACGCGAGGGUGACGACCUUGACACUAUAUCGCUAUCGACGGGCCGGGGUAGCGUAUCGAUAGAGCGCAUAAAGAAGACUCAAGACUGCUCGCUGUGGCUGCAAACGGAAAGGAGGCACGCGCGUCUUCGAGACAGACUGACCGACUGUACACACGUUCCAUUCGUGGAUCCGAAUCAAAUCGAUAAACCUAAAUACUUCAUGGUGCACGCGCACGAUUUUGCUUAACCGAGCGGCCGCGCUUGGACCGCUCAUUGCGAGCGCAUCGUGGGGCCCACGACGGCCAGGUGUUUCCUGGUCGGGGUGAGACGUGGUUGGCUCGAGCGCUAUCCGACAAACCCGGUAUGACACCCUUACUUUCUCUCCUGAAAAAACAAAGGCUUAUCCGUAUCAUCUUUUCAUCGUCUCCCUCGAAUUUGGCGAGGAAGCAGUGUGCCCCAGGCGAAGUCCAUGCCGAGGCGGCCAACCAGAGAAACCUGGAGAGCAGGUUAGCCAAUGAGCCAGACCAGCAGUGCUGCCACCUCCUCCGCCCUCUUUUUAUGAGCUGGAGCCGGAGCCGCCAUGGAACUCACGCGAGAGGGCCACCCUACGCCCCGCUACUCCUUCCUCCCAUGGUGUUGCUGCCGCUGCUGGUGGAGCUGUGCAAGUCCAUUGGUGUGCACGCGCUGCUGCUCAUGGUGUCAUGGUGCCCGGCAUCAUUGGCGCUCAGCUCUUGUACCUACUGCCCGCCGAAUCGCCAUGCAAUGUCGUCCUGUUCAGAGCUUACGGACAUGGUGCUCACCUGAAUACUAAUAAAAAAAUUUAGUUCCUGCACGGCUGCACAACCUUCAGUCUUGGUUGAUUAUCACGAGUGCUUUUUUGCCUGAGUAGAUUAUCCGAUAGUUGUAGUUGCACAUAUAAUAGUCUGUAGUUGUAUAUAUGAUUUAGAAAGUUGCACAACAUGAUGAUACUAAGUUGGCUAGAUGAUGUUUUUGCAUAAAUUGAUCUAUUUUUGUCGGUCAUAUUUUUAGUUGGCAUCCAUGACAUUGUAAUAUAAUAUAGCAAUGUGUUUGCUGUCAUUUCUCGUGGAACGCGAGGGUAACGACCAUUACACUAUAUUGCUAUCGACGGACCGGGGUAGCUUAUCGAUUGAGCGCAUAAAGAAGACUCAAGACUGCUCGAUGUUGCUGGAAACAGAAAGGAGGCAUGUGCGGCUUCAAGAUAGACCGACCGACUGUACACGGAUUCCAUUCGUGGAUCCGAAUCGAAUCGAUAAACCUAAAUACUUCUUGAUGCACGCGCAUGAUUUUGCUGAACCGAUCGGCCACGCUUGGACCACUCAUUUCGAGCGCAUCGUGCGGCCCACGGUCACCAGGUGUUUCCUGGUCGGGGCGAGACAUGGUUGGCUCAUGCGCUAUCCGACAAAGCCGAUGUGAACCAAUCGCUCCCUUACUUCCUCUCCUAAAAAACAAAGGCUUAUACAUAUCAUCUUUUCAUCGCCUCCAUCGAAUCCGUGCGAGGAAGCAGUGUGUCUCUGCCGGAGGCCAAGCCGAGGCGGCCAACGGGAGAAACCUGGAGAACAGGUCAGGCAAGGAGCCGGACCAGCAGUGCCGCCACCUCCUCCGCCCUCCUUCUAUGAGCUGGAGCCGGAGCCGCCAUGGAACUCACGCCUGAGGUCCACCCUACGCCCCGCUACUCGUCCCGGCGAGGCAUGAAGCCAGACAAAAUUCUCGUAAACCGGUCGGACCGCAGCGGCGCGGUCGUGUUUGCCUUGGAUGCACCCCAUGGUGUUCCUGCCGUUGCUGGUGGAGUUGUGCAAGGUCAUUGGUGUGCACACGCUGCUGCUCAUGGAAUCAUGGUACCCGGCAACAUUGGUGCUCAACUCUUGUACCUACUGCACGUCGAAUCGCCAGGCAACAUCGUCUUGUUCAGAGCUGACGGACAAGGUGCUCACCUGAAUGCUAAUAAGUUUUUUAGUUCCUGCACAGCUGCAAAACCUUCAAUCUUGGUUGAUUAUCACGAGUGCUUAUUUGCCUGAGUAGAUUAUCCAAUAGUUGUAGUUGCACAUAUAAUAGUCUGUUGUUGUAUAUAUGAUUUAGAAAGUUGCACAACACGAUGAUACUAAGUUGGCUAGAUGAUGUUUUUGCUUAAAUUGAUCUAUUCUUGUCAGUCGUAUUUUUAGUUGGCAUCCAUGACACGAUAAUAUAAUAUAGCAAUCUGUUUGCUGUCAUUUCUCGUGGAACGCGAGGGUGACGACCUUGACACUAUAUCGCUAUCGACGGGCCGGGGUAGCGUAUCGAUAGAGCGCAUAAAGAAGACUCAAGACUGCUCGCUGUGGCUGCAAACGGAAAGGAGGCACGCGCGUCUUCGAGACAGACUGACCGACUGUACACACGUUCCAUUGUGGAUCCGAAUCAAAUCGAUAAACCUAAAUACUUCAUGGUGCACGCGCACGAUUUUGCUUAACCGAGCGGCCGCGCUUGGACCGCUCAUUGCGAGCGCAUCGUGGGGCCCACGACGGCCAGGUGUUUCCUGGUCGGGGCGAGACGUGGUUGGCUCGAGCGCUAUCCGACAAACCCGGUAUGACACCCUUACUUUCUCUCCUGAAAAAACAAAGGCUUAUCCGUAUCAUCUUUUCAUCGUCUCCCUCGAAUCUGGCGAGGAAGCAGUGUGCCCCAGUCGAAGUCCAUGCCGAGGCGGCCAACCAGAGAAACCUGGAGAGCAGGUUAGCCAAGGAGCCAGACCAGCAAUGCUGCCACCUCCUCCGCCCUCUUUUUAUGAGCUGGAGCCGGAGCCGCCAUGGAACUCACGCGAGAGGGCCACCCUACGCCCCGCUACUCCUUCCUCCCAUGGUGUUGCUGCCGCUGCUGGUGGAGCUGUGCAAGUCCAUUGGUGUGCACGCGCUGCUGCUCAUGGUGUCAUGGUGCCCGGCAUCAUUGGCGCUCAGCUAUUGUACCUACUGCCCGCCGAAUCGCCAUGCAAUGUCGUCCUGUUCAGAGCUUACGGACAUGGUGCUCACCUGAAUACUAAUAAAAAAAUUUAGUUCCUGCACGGCUGCACAACCUUCAGUCUUGGUUGAUUAUCACGAGUGCUUUUUUGCCUGAGUAGAUUAUCCAAUAGUUGUAGUUGCACAUAUAAUAGUCUGUAGUUGUAUAUAUGAUUUAGAAAGUUGCGUAACACGAUGAUACUAAGUUGGCUAGAUGAUGUUUUUGCAUAAAUUGAUCUAUUUUUGUCGGUCAUAUUUUUAGUUGGCAUCCAUGACAUUAUAAUAUAAUAUUGCAAUGUGUUUGCUGUCAUUUCUCGUGGAACGCGAGGGUAACGACCAUUACACUAUAUCGCUAUCGACGGGCCGGGGUAGCUUAUCGAUAGAGCGCAUAAAGAAGACUCAAGACUGCUCGAUGUUGCUGGAAACAGAAAGGAGGCAUGUGCGGCUUCAAGAUAGACCGACCGACUGACUGUACACGGAUUCCAUUCGUGGAUCCGAAUCGAAUCGAUAAACCUAAAUACUUCUUGAUGCACGCGCAUGAUUUUGCUGAACCGAUCGGCCACGUUUGGACCACUCAUUUCGAGCGCAUCGUGCGGCCCACGGCCACCAGGUGUUUCCUGGUCGGGGCGAGACGUGGUUGGCUCAUGCGCUAUCCGAACGGUGUGAACCAAUCGCUCCCUUAAUUUCUGACCUGAAAAAACAAAGGCUUGUCCUUAUCAUCUUUUCAUCGUCUCCAUCGAAUCCGGCGAGGAAGCAUGUUAGGAAUAAGCCACGCAUGAGUAUGUGCUCGUGUGUGUGAUCUAUGUGCAUGGGUGUGACCGUGUACAUGCAAGAUUCUGUUAGUGCAUGCCCUGAUUAGUUAGCUUGUUUGUUGGCUUGGCCAGGUCGCCGGACGAGCGUGUAUGUGAGCGUACGUUUCGGUGAAAGAGUUACCUAGCUAGGUAGGCGAUCCGUUGGGUUCGGCCGUGGCGUGCGUGUCGUGGGAGCGCACGGCCGGGCAUGCACAUCCUGCGGGCGAGGUGGGCUGUGCGUCGUGCGCCAGCCCGGGUAUAAAUUCUAUAGACGCGGGAUAGUUGUAAUGCACUGAGUUGAGCACCAUGUAGACAUUGCAAAAGGAAGAAAGAUUCGCGCGUUCGUGCACCGGUCCGAGAAACUUGUGUCCACUGCGUUCAUCUCCUUCCUUCUUUCUUGUUCAAGCGAGUGAGUUGAGAGGGAGAGGUAGUUCGGGGUUUGUCCCAACAUUUGAUAUCAUGAGCUGGUUCAUCUUGGGCGUCGUUCUUCUUGCCAGAGGUGUGCCGGCGGUGGCGGAGUUCGCCGCGGUUGCGUGAUGCUCCAGGCCGUGGGUCGGCCUAUGGAGGAGUGCGGCGCGGCGAGGAGGCCACGGUGACUGCGGCGGCAUGGUGAGGAGGCCGCGGAGGACCUGCGUGGUGGCGGCUUCAACGACAACGACGGCGCGGCGAGUGCGUUGCGGCGGCUCGGCGCGACAACGGUGGAGGCGCGUGGCACGGAGCCGCAGCGCUCGUGUCGGAGGCGUCAGGCGCGUGUAUGGGCGCGCGCCGGGCGUGUCAGGCGCGGCGGGACCGUGGUGUAGGGUGGCCGUUGGCGAGCGGGGGUGUGCGCAUCACGGGCUCGCCGCGACUAGAUGUGUGCGUGCAUGUCGGAGGGGGCGCGGGCAGAGCGGACGGAACGGGCGCUCGACGUAGGCUGGGACGUGGGUGCGUGCCCGGCGCGUCCCUGCAUAUAAAACCCCACCCGUGUACAUUGUAAUAGCAGCGCCCGGAGUCGAGUUCGAGCUCGAGGGAAUCAAGGUCGUUGGUGUACCAGGAAGAGAAGCUGUGGCGUGUGUCACCGGAGAUGAAGAAGGCGUUCUCUAUGGCAGUCGACGAGAGGCCGGAGUCCUGUCAGGAUGGGCGGCGAGGUCGUGGCUUAGAUGGGAGAAUGUUAGGAAUAAGUCAGGCAUGAGUAUGUGCUCGCGUGUGUGAUCUAUGUGCAUGGGUGUGACCGUGUGCAUGCAAGAUUCUGUUAGCGCAUGCUCUGAUUAGUUAGCUAGUUUGUUGGCUUGGACGGGUCGCCGGAGGAGCGUGUAUGGGAGCGUACGUUUCGGUGAAAGAGUUAGCUAGCUAGGUAGGCGAUCCGUUGGGAUCGGCCGGGGCGUGCGGGUCGUGGGAGCGCACGGCCGGGCAUGCGGAUCCUGCGGGCGUGACGUGAAGUUUGUGCUCGGCAUAUUUCCUCGGAAUACCCGGCAUGUUUUUGGGGGUCCGUGCGAAGAUAUCCCGAUUCUGACGGAGGAAGUCGACGAGCUCGCCUUCCUAUUUGCUGUCGAGGCGGGCGCCUACCAGUGGCGGUGCCAGGAUCGAAACCUUGUGUUGUCAAGCUUUAUACAAAUGAAACAUUUUGUAGGUAAAUUAAACAAGAACACAAGAAGACCAUACUUCAUUUGAUACAUAUUUGUUGUACAAGCUUUUUCUAUUAUAUAUAUUUCAUCUUAAACAUGUCUUUUGAUAUAAAGAUCUUAAACAUUUUUAUGGUAACAACGCUUUGACAAAUGUAUCCAUGUACCAUUGCCAAACUUAAGACCUAACAAAUGACAAAACAAGGUUUUGCUAAAAGAAACAAUAUCUGAAUUUCAUGUGAGAAUAUAAAAUUUCAAGAGAAAGAAGACAGAAACUUAAAAACAGAAAAGGAAGGGCCUCGUCCUAUACACUCGCCGAGUCGCUGAAGGUGCAGUACUACGGAGAUCGGAGAUCUACUAGAGCAGCGGAGGAGGCCGUGCUCAUUGUGGUGAUUCCAGGCAACGGCGACCUCGGCGGUCGGUGAGCAGCAUGGGUAUCCAUGCAUGAUGUGCUUCACUGCUCCUCCCCACGGCGUAGUGCAUGAUUGGCCAUUAGAGAUUAUACACAGGAAGGUGAAAAAGGAGAGAGUUCGAAGGAAUAUCACGGGAUUUCAGGAGACGGUCACGAAGUUGUUUUGGAGGACGAUUAGGGAAGUUAAUAAUGACGUCGGGAGCUUCCUUUUUCUAUAUGGGCCAGCCAAAUCUCACGAAAAACUGAUACCAACUGGGCAUGUUUUAGUUAGAGGACCUCUUUUAGUUAAUUUCCAGAACCUGUUUAUUUGGAAGUGGGGUACGAUGUCACGGACUCACGGUAGUGUUUGAGUACCAAAUUCCUGUGUAGUCGCUUGACAACAUAGUCAUAGUGUGGCUUCGCCACUGGCGCCUACGACAACGUACUUGCUGCAGCUGGGGUCUUCCGGGUUGAGCUUCACUCUCUUGGUCUCCUUGGAGGGCUUGAAGGCUGCCUCGUCGACCGGGUCCAGGGUCGGGAUCGACGCAGCGGAGGCCUCACCGGCCAGGGCGACGAUCCAGUCGAGUUGGCGCCGCUCCUCGGCAAUGACCAGCGACUCAGCCAACUUGGCGCUGUCUCGGGCGCACUCCAAGGACUUGCGGUAAUCGCCGGUGAUGGUGAUGAGACCCUUGGGACCCGGCAUUCUUCAUCUUCAGAUAUGCGUAGUGGGUAACCGCCAUGAACUUGGCGAGCGCGGGCCGGCCCAGCAACGCGUGAUACGCGCUGGACAGGUCCACCAACUCGAACCAGACCGGUUCGCGUCGGAAGUGGCUAUUGUCGCCGAACAGGACAUUGAGCCAGAACCGGCCAAUGGGCGAGCAGGAGAGGCCGGGUACGAUGCCGUGGAAGAUCGCCCGGCUCGGUUCCAGGUCCUCGGCCUUGAGGCAGAGCUUGGUCAUCGUGUCGCGGUAGAGGAUGUUGAUGCUGCUGCCGCCGUCGAUGAGGACUCGGGAGAACUUGCAUGUACGCCGUGCGACGAUGGUGGGGUUGAGGACGAGGGCGUAGCCACACAGGCUUGGCAUGACUACCGGGUGAUCCUCCCGGGUCCAGGUGAUCGGGCGAUCCGACCAAUGCAUAAACUCCAGCUUGGCUGGGACGACGGUGUUCACCUCCUGCCGAAGGAGGCGCUCGCUGCGCUUGUCAUUGCCGAGGCUGGUGAAGACGACAUAGGCCGCGUUCUGGUCCGGGUAGGCGUCUUCCGCAUCGCGCGGCCAGCGGGAGGCGGUGGUGGAGGCGGAGGCGGCUGUCCCGCGCCUGGAGCCGCAAGCGGAGGAGGCGGGACGUCGCCCCUCAUGAUGCGCUUGGUGAUGGUGCACUGUCGAAGCGUGUGCGUGGAAGGUCUUGCGCCGCUGUGGUGCUUGCAGGGGGCGUCGAGCAUCUCUUCGAAACUCAUGGCGGGUUGCCAUGCCAUCUUGCCGCUUUGCCGGCGCUUCGCCGCCGGGUCCGCCGCGGGCUCGGCCGCCGCGACGAGCAGGUUAUCGUGACGCUGCGCCGGCUGGUCGGCCAUGCGCUUGUUGUUCUGGUGAUGCUGCUGCCGGCUGCUUUCACCGGCCGGCUUCGGAGGGAGAACCGGCUUCGCCUUGCCGGCCUCAUCUAGCGCCACCUGGAUCUUCAUGGCGGAGUCUGAUGACCCACAAGUGUACGGGAUCUAUCGUAGUCCUUUCGAUAAGUAAGAGCGUCGAGCCCAACGAGGAGCAGAAGGAAAUGAUAAGCGGUUUUUAGUAAGGUUUUCUGCAAGCACUGAAAUUGUAGGUGAUAAAUAGUUUUGUGAUAAGAUAAAUAGUAACGAGUAAGAAGUAAACAAAGUAAAUAAAGUGUAGCAAGGUGGCCCAAUCCUUUGGCAAAGGAUAAGCCUGGACAAUUUCUAAUAAUGAGAAAGGAGCUCCCGAGGGCACAUGGGAAUUAUCGUCAAGCUAGUUUUCAUCAAGCUCAUAUGAUUCGCGUUCGGUACUUUGAUAAUUUGAUAUGUGGGUGGACCGGUGCUUGGGUACUGCCCUUACUUGGACAAGCAUCGCACUUAUGAUUAACCCCUAUUGCAAGCAUCCGCAAGUACAACAAAAGUAUUAAGGUAAACCUAACCAUAGCAUGAAACAUAUGGAUCCAAAUCAGCCCCUAACAAAGCAACGCAUAAACUAGGGUUUAAGCUUCUGUCACUCUAGCAACCCAUCAUCUACUUAUUACUUCCCUAUGCCCUCCUCUAGGCGCAAUAAUGGUGAAGUGUCAUGUAGUCGACGUUCACAUGACACCACUAGAGGAGAAGAGAACAUACAUCUCAUCAAAAUAUCGAUCGAAUACCAAAUUCACAUGACUACUAAUAGCAAGACUUCACCCAUGUCCUCAGGAACAAACGUAACUACUCACAAAGCAUAUUCAUGUUCAUGAUCAGAGAUGUAGUAAUAUGCAUUAAGGAUAUGAACAUAUGAUCUUUCACCAAGUAAACCAAUAAGUAUCAACUAGAAGGAGUAAUCAACACUGCUAGCAACCCACAGGUACCAAUUUGUGGUUUUGGAUACAAGAUUGGAUACAAGAGAUGAACUAGGGUUUGAGAGGAGAUGGUGCUGGUGAAGAUGUUGAUGGAGAUUGACCCCCUCCCGAUGAGAGCAUCGUUGGUGAUGACGUUGGUGAUGAUUUCCCCCUCCCAGAGGGAAGUGUCCCCGGAAAAACAGCUCUGCCAGAGCCCUAGAUUGGUUCCGCCAAGGUUCCGCCUCGUGGCGGCGGAGUUUCGUCCCGUAAGCUUGCCCACGAUUUUUUCCAGGGUAAAAGCGAUGAUAUAGCAGAAGAUGGACACCGGAGGUCCACCAGGGGGCCCAGGAAAUAGGGGGCGCACCCUAUAGGGGGGGCGCCCUAUAGGGGGGUGCCCCCUGUCUCCUGGACAGGGUGUGGGCCCCCUGGUUUAUUUCUUUCGCUCAAAAAUUCUUAUUAAUUCCGAAAGUUGUUUCGUGGAGUUUCAGGACUCUUGGAGUUGUGCAGAAUAGGUUUCCAACGUUUGUUCCUUUUUCUAGCCAGAAUUCCAGUUGCCGGCAUUCCCCCUCUUCAUGGUAAACCUUGUAAAAUAAGAGAGAAUAGCCAUAAGUACUGAGAUAUAUUGUGUAAUAACAGCCCAUAAUGCAAUAAAUAUUGAUAUAAAAGCAUGAUGCAAAAUGGACGUAUCGGAGUCGGCGUUGGCGUACUUGUCCGCCGUCACCAUGAGCGCGGCCAUGGUGGCCGGCUCGGAGCGUAGGAGCUUGUGUUUGAGGAGGGUUCCAUCUCGGCACCCGCUGACGAAGUACUGUAUCGCCUGGACUUCAAGGACGCCUCGCAGCUAUUCCGGAGCUCGGUCCAGCGUGCGAGGUACUCACGGCCGGUCUCCUCGGCCCCUCCACGCACAUGGCGAGCUGGCUGGGGCGAACGGGUCGCUUGUAGGUCCCCGUAAAGUUGUGGACAAAGGCUUCCACGAAGUCGACCCACGCGUUGAUGCUUCCCAUCGGCAGGCUGUUCAACCAUGUGCGGGCCGACCCCUGGACCAUGAGCGGUGCGUAGCACACGGCGAGACAAUGAUUGGCACCGGUGAUGCCAAUGGCCGUGGUGUAGUCGGUGAGCCAGUCUUCUGGCUUCACCGUCCCGUUGUACUUGGGGGUGUCGCGGGGGAGCAUGAACCAUUUGGGAAUGGGCUCCUCCCGGAUGGGUGGUCCGAAGCACGCCGGCCCGAUAGCGCCGCUCUCCCCCAAAUCCAGGGAGCGAGCGAGCUGAUCGAGGCGGUGGCACGCGUCGGCGUCGUUGAUGGCGCGCGGGCCGAGUCGACUGGUGGUCAGGCCCCGAGGGGCCGGGUCGGUUGGAGCCGGACGUCGGCCAUGCUGGCCGGGUCCGUGCUGGGUCUCCCAGGCGGGCUCAUUGCCCGGGACGUCGGCGGCCAUGGUGGCCGGGUUGCGCCAAGUCCGGGUUCGGUCGGAGUGCACUUCGCCGGGUGGCGAGGAAGUCGUGUGCAGGAGUUCGCCGGGUCCGCCAAGGCGGGCGGAGCCGGACCCCGCCGGCUUGGCAAGCUGGUUGAGGCGAUCCUGCUAGGUGUUGGCGGCGUGGAGGAGCUCGCGCAUCCGCCCGAUGCGCUCUUUGAGCUCCUCGCCCGCGAGUUGGUCGAGGCCGACCGCGGCAGCCUCCGCAGCGUGCAUGUUCUUCACUGGGGUCUCGUAGAAGGCCUGGACGGCGCCGAAGGCCCGGCCGAUCGCUCCUCCCCAGGUGCGAGCAUCGGCGACCCGGCUUGGCUCGGCCGCGGCGGGUGUGAAUCCGUGGGCGGCGUCAGGCUCCAACUGAGCGGCCUCCAGGCGACGCCUGGUGGCGGUUCUCGGACAGGUCCAGCAUCUGAUUGCGUCUAUCCUCGAGCUGGGUUCGGGCUUUGACAACGUUGGUGGCGUCGACGUUGGUGCCGAUGGGGAUGCGGAGGCUUUGCAUCGCGGCGCGCAGCGGGUCGGACGGCACGGUCCGUGCCGCAGCGGCCCCGGCUUCUGCGACCCUCCUCGCCUUGCUCGACGAGGAAGAGGCGCGAUCGCCGGUGACGAAAACCUCCACAUGGACGUCCAUCGCCCCGGCGGCGAUACCGCUGCCAAGGGAGAGUGGAGAGUCGGAGUGCUGAGCACCUCGCUGGGGUACUCGUCGACCGCGAACACAUCGGAGAUGCACAGCGCGGUGAACGAUGCGGCGAGCGCACCGGUGACGUCGUCUGCCAGAGCGACGGACUCGUCGGAGUAGGAGAAGGGCCCCGUCUGAAGCAUGCUCGCGGCUAGCUCCUCGAGCUACCCCAUGGUGAGCGCCAACUGUCGUGGUGGGCGCACGGCAGAUGCCAAGGGAUGGCUAAAGAGAGGAGGAGGCUCGAGGGCGCUGGUGGGCUCCAGAGGCGAGGUUGGCAUGCGCGAGCGCGGGACGCUGGACAUACCCAGGUUCGGGGCUCUCCGGAGAGAUAACACCCCUAGUCCUGCCGAGUUUAGUUGGAUGGUCGAUUGCAACAAUGUUGCUCCUGGAACUGUAUGGAGGAGGAAGGAAGCUGGCCAAGGCUUGGGCCGCUCCUUCUCUACGGCGCUGCCGUUGGGUGGCUAGUCCUAUGGCUACUUGUGUUUCUCUUGUGUCUCGUACAUAUGACUCUCUCUAUAGGCGCGGGUUCCUGGGGGAUUUUAUAGAUCAACCCACCUAGGGUUACAAUGGUAAUACGCCGAGUCGGUGGGUCCGUAUUGUCGGUGUCUGGGAUACCGGGCUGGGUCCCCGCUUGAGGGCUUGUGGUUCGCCGGGUUACCCUAGGUGCGGGCCCCGCGUGCCUAGGGGAACUGUUUGUCGUCUUGUCAAUCGUCAGGGCGUGGCCGAGUCGAGUCGUGUACAGUGCUCUACAUUAGGUUGCAGCUUGUUGCCGUCAUCGGUGAGGGCAAGAGCACUGUUCCCACGCCAGCCUCGGUUAGCGGGUAGGUCAAGGGCAUUGUUGCCACGCUCCGGCUGACCAUAGGCAUGGGCGGAAGCAUUGUAGUCUUGGUCAUCGGUGAUUAAAGUCUCGUCCCAUCGUACGGCCUGGAUGGGACGGGAGCUACGUGGCUGGGUUGCCGUGCACGCCACGGGUGGGGUCGGCUUGUUGGGGAAGCCUUGGUGGCGCCGGGUUGGGUUGUCUUGCGCCAGUUGCUGUGGCCGGGUCGACGUACCUUGCCGAGUCGAAGAGCUUGGCCGGGUUGCGGGCCUUGCCGGGUCGAGCGACCUGGCCAGGCGCGUGCCCGUUCGUGGGACGAUGCGGGCCCUGCCAUUCUUGAAAAGGAUCCGGGUUCCGUUGCCUGCCCGGGGUUCAUCCCCCCGAUAGGGGUGGCGCCCAGGCCACUUAGGGGCUGGUUCCCUUCGACAUACAUCCCAUAGGGCCCUCCUGGGCAGGUGGACCCUCCCGGUGGACCCCCGGAACCCCUCCGGUGGUCCCGGUACAAUACCGGUAAACCCUCGAAUACUUCCGGUGACCGUAUAAUGACUUCCCAUAUAUAAAUCUUCACCUCUGGACCAUUCCGAAACUCCUCGUGGUGACCGGGAUCUCAUUCGGGACUCCGAACAACAUUCGGUAAUCACGUACAAAUCUUCCCUUUAACCCUAGCAUCAUCGAACCUUAAGUGUGUAGACCCUACGGGUUCGGGAAUCAUGCAGACAUGACCGAGACAGCUCUCCGGCCAAUAACCAACAGUGGGAUCUGGACACCCAUGUUGGCUCCCACAUGUUCCACGAUGAUCUCAUCAGAUGAACCACAAUGUCGAGGAUUCAAGCAAUCUCGUAUGCAAUUCCCUUUGUCAAUCAGUACGUUACUUGCCCGAGAUUCUAUCAUCGGUAUCCCAAUACCUCGUUCAAUCUCGUUACUGGCAAGUCACUUUACUCGUUGCGUAAUGCAUGAUACUGUGACUAACUACUUAGUCACAUUGAGCUAAUUAUGAUGAUGCAUUACCAAGUGGGCCCAGAGAUACCUCUCCGUCAUACGGAGUGACAAAUCCCAUUCUCCAUUAGUGCCAACCCAACAAACACUUUCGGAGAUACCUAUAGUGCACCUUUAUAGUCACCUAGUUACGUUGUGACGUUUGGUACACCCAAAGCACUCCUACAGUAUCCGGGAGUUACACAAUCUCAUGGUCUAAGGAAAUGACACUUGACAUUAGAAAAGCUUUAGCAAACGAACUACACGAUCUUGUGCUAUGCUUAGGAUUGGGUCUUGUCCAUCACAUCAUUCUCCUAAUGAUGUGAUCCCGUUAUCAAUGACAUCCAAUGUCCAUAGUCAGGAAACCAUGACCAUCUGUUGAUCAACGAGCUAGUCAACUAGAGACUCACUAGGGACAUGUUGUGGUCUAUGUAUUCACACAUGUAUUACGGUUUCCAGUUAAAACAAUUAUAGCACGAACAAUAGACAAUUAUCAUGAACAAGGAAAUAUAAUAAUAACCAUUUUAUUAUUGCCUCUAGGGCAUAUUUCCAAUAGUCUCCCACUUGCACUAGAGUCAAUAAUCUAGUUCCAUUGUGAUGAAUCGAACACCCAUAGAGUUCUGGUAUUGAUCAUGUUUUGCUCGUGGAAGAGGUUUAGUCAACGGAUCUGCGACAUUCAGAUCCGUAUGUACUUUACAAAUCUCUAUGUCUCCAUCUUGAACAUUUUCACGAAUGGAGUUGAAGUGACGCUUGAUAUGCCUAGUCUUCUUGUGAAACCUAGGCUCCUUGCUAAGGGCAAUAGCUCCAGUGUUGUCACAGAAGAGAGUCAUCGGGCCCGACUUAUUGGGAAUAACUCCUAGGUCGGUAAUGAACUCAUUCAUUCAGAUUGCUUCAUGCGCUGCCUCCGAGGGUGCCAUGUACUCCGCUUCACAUGUAGAACCCUCCACGACGCUUUGCUUGCAACUGCACCAGCUUACUGCCCCACCAUUCAAAAUAUACACGUAUCCGGUUUGUGACUUGGAGUCAUCCACAUCUGUGUCGAAGCUAGCAUCGACGUAACCCUUUACGAUGAGCUCUUCGUCACCUCCAUAAAUGAGAAACAUAUCCUUAGUCCUUUUCAGGUACUUCAGGAUAUUCUUGACCGCUGUCCAGUGUUCCAUGCCGGGAUUACUUUGGUACCUCCCUACCAAACUUACGGCAAGGUUUACCUCAGGUCUGGUACACAACAUGGCAUACAUAAUAGACCCUAUGGACGAGGCAUAGGGGAUGACACUCAUCUUUUCUCUAUCUUCUGCCGAGGUCGGGCAUUGAGCUGUGCUCAAUUUCUCACCUUGCAAAACAGGCAAGAACCCUUUCUUGGACUGAUCCAUAUUGUACUUCUUCAAUAUCUUAUCAAGGUAUGUGCUUUGUGAAAGACCGAUGAGGCGUCUCGAUCUAUCUCUAUAGAUCUUGGUAUGUGCCUUUAUGCUAUCCAAAAGGUCUACAUCAUUUCCCAUCAAUAGUAUGCCAUCCACAUAUAAUACGAGAAAUGCUACAGAGCUCCCACUCACAAUCUUGUAAAUGCAGGCUUCUUCAUAAGUCUGCACAAACCCAAACGCUUUGAUUAUUUCAUGAAAGCGAAUGUUCCAACUCCGAGAUGUUGCACCAGCCCAUAGACGGAGCGCUGGAGCUUGCACACCUUGUUAGCAUUUUUAGGAUCGACAAAACCUUCCGGCUGCAUCAUAUACAAUUCUUCCUUGAGGAAACCGUUAAGGAAUGCCAUUUUGACGUCCAUUUGCCAUAUCUCAUAAUCAUAGAAUGCGGCAAUUGCUAACAAGAUUCGGACGGACUUCAGCUUCGCUAAGGGUGAGAAGGUCUCAUCGUAGUCAACCCCUUGAACUUGUCAGUAACCCUUAGCGACAAGUCGAGCUUUAUAGAUGGUAACAUUACCAUUCGCGUCGGUCUUCUUCUUAAAGAUCCAUUUAUUUUCUAUCGCUCGCCGAUCAUCGGGCAAGUCUAUCAAAGUCCAUACUUUGUUUUCAUACAUGGAUCCUAUCUUGGAUUGCAUGGCUUCAAGUGAUUUGUUGGAACCUGGGCCCGCCAUCGCUUCUUCAUAGUUCGAAGGUUCACCGUUGUCUAACAACAUGAUUUCCAGGACAGGGUUGCCAUACCAUUCUGGUGUGGAACGUGUCCUUGUGGACCUACGAAGUUCAGUAGCAACUUGAUCCGAAGUACCUUGAUCAUCAUCAUUAACUUCCUCUCUAGUCGGCGCAGCCACCACAGAAACAUCUUCCUGAGCUGCGCUACUUUCCGGUUCAAGAGGCAGUACUUCAUCAAGUUCUACUUUCCUCCCACUUACUUCUUUCGAGAGAAACUCUUUCUCCAGAAAGGACCCAUUCUUGGCAACAAAGAUCUUGCCUUUGGAUCUGGGGUAUAAGGUAUACCCAAUGGUUUCCUUAGGGUAUCCUAUGAAGACGCAUUUUUUCUGACUUGGGUUCGAUCUUUUCAGGUUGAAGUUUCUUGACAUAAGCAUCGCAUCCCCAAACCAUUAGAAACGAUAGCUUAGGUUUCUUCCCAAACCAUAAUUCAUACGGUGUCGUCUCAAAGGAUUUAGACGGUGCCCUAUUUAAAGUGAAUGUAGCUGUCUCUAAAGCGUAUCUCCAAAAUGAUUGCGGUAAAUCGGUAAGAGACAUCAUAGAUCACACCAUAUCCAAUAGAGUGCGAUUAUGAUGUUCGGACACACUGUUACGCUGAGGUGUUCCAGGCGGCGUGAGUUGUGAAACAAUUCCACAUUUCCUUAAUUGCGUACCAAACUCGUGACUCAAAUAUUCUCCCCUAUGAUCUGAUCGUAAGAACUUUAUUUUUCUGUCACGUUGAGUCUCUACCUCACUCUGAAAUUCCUUGAUCUUUUCAAAGGUCAGACUUGUGUUUCAUUAAUUAGACAUACCCAUACCUACUUAAGUCAUCAGUGAGGGUGAGAACAUAGCAUAGCCACCGCGAGCCUCAACGCUCAUUGAACCGCACACAUCAGUAUGUAUGGUUUCCAAUAAGUUGGUUCCUCGCUCCAUUGUUGCAGAGAAUGGAAUCUUGGUCAUUUUGCCCAUGAGGCAUGGUUCGCACGUGUCAAAUGAUUCGUAAUCAAGAGACUCCAAAAGUCUAUCUGCAUGGAGCUUCUUCAUGCGUUUGACACCAAUGUGACCAAGGCGGCAGUGCCACAAGUAUGUGGGACUAUCAUUAUCAACCUUACAUCUUUUGGUAUUCACACUAUGAAUAUGUGUAACAUCACGUUCGAGAUUAAUUAAGAAUAAACCAUUGACCAGCGGGGCAUGACCAUAAAACAUAUCUCUCAUAUAAAUAGAACAACCAUUAUUCUCGGAUUUAAAUGAGUAGCCAUCUCGCAUUAAACGAGAUCCAAAUACAAUGUUCAUACUCAAAGCUGGCACUAAAUAACAAUUAUUGAGGUUUAAAACUAAUCCCGUAGGUAAAUGUAGAGGUAGUGUGCCAACGGCGAUCACAUCGACCUUGGAACCAUUCCCGACGCGCAUCAUCACCUCGUCCUUCGCCAGUCUCCACUUAUUUCGCAGCUCCUGUUUUUAGUUACAAAUACGAGCAACCACACCGGUACCAAAAACCCAGGAGCUACUACGAGUACUGGUAAGGUACACAUCAAUAACAUGUAUAUCACAUAUACCUUUGGUGUUGCCGGCCUUCUUGUCCGCUAAGUACUUGGGGCAGUUCUGCUUCCAAUGACUGUUUCCCUUGCAAUAAAAGCACUCAGUCUUAGAUUUGGGUCCAUGCUUUGGCUUCUUCCGGGCAACUGGCUUACCGGGCACGGAAGCUCCCUUGCCGUCCUUCUUGAAGUUCUUAUUUCCCAUGCCUUUCUUGAAACUUGUGGUUUUAGUGACCAUCAACACUUGAUGUUCCUUUUUGAUCUCCACCUCCACUGGUUUCAGCAUUGAAAAAACCCCAGGAAUGGUUUUCACCAUCCCCUGCAUAUUGUAAUUCAUCACAAAGCUCUUGUAGCUAGGUGGGAGCGACUGAAGGAUUCUGUCAAUGACCAAGUCAUCCGGGAGAUUAACUCCCAGCUGAGACAAACGGUUAUGCAACCCAGACAUUUUGAGCAUGUGCUCGCUAACAGAACCAUUCUCCUCCAUUUUACAACUGUAGAACUUGUCGAAGACUUCAUAUGUCUCGACCCGGGCAUGAGCUUGGAAAACCAUUUUCAGCUCUUGAAACAUCUCAUAAGCUCCGUGCUGCUCAAAACGCUUUUGGAGCCCCGGUUCUAAGCUGUAAAGCAUGCCGCACUGAACCAGGGAGUAAUCAUCACUACGCGACUGUCAGUCAUUCAUAACGUCUUGAGUGGCUGGGAAAACGGGUGCUUCACCUAGCGGCGCAUCUAGGACAUAUGCUUUCUUGCCAGCUAUGAGGAUGAUCCUCAAGUUCCAGACCCAGUCCGUGUAGUCGCUACCAUCGUCUUUCAGCUUGGUUUUCUCUAGGAACGUGUUGAAGUUGAGGGUAACAUUAGCGUGGGCCAUUUGAUCUACAAGACAUAUUGCAUAGAUUUUUAGACUAAGUUCAUGAUAAUUAAGUUCAUCUAAUCAAAUUAUUUAAUGAACUCCCACUCACAUAGAAAUCCCUCUAGUCAUCUAAGUGAUACAUGAUCCGAGUCAACUAGGCCGUGUCCGAUCAUCACGUGAUACAGACUAGUCAUCAUCGGUGAACAUCUUCAUGUUGAUCGUAUCUACUAUACGACUCAUGUUCGACCUUUCGGUCUUUUGUGUUCCGAGGCCAUGUCUGUACAUGCUAGGCUCGUCAAGUCAACCUAAGUGUUUUUGCAUGUGUAAAUCUGGCUUACAUCCGUUGUAUGCGAAUGUUAGAAUCUAUCACACCCGAUCAUCACGUGGUGCUUCGAAACAACGAACUUUCACAACGGUGCACAGUUAGGGGGGACACUUUCUUGAAAUUUUAUGAGGGAUCAUCUUAUUUAUGCUACCGCCGUUCUAAGCAAAUAAGAUGCAAAAACAUGAUAAACAUCACAUGCAAUCAAAUAGUGACAUGAUAUGGCCAAUAUCAUUUUGCUCCUUUUGAUCUCCAUCUUCGGGGCGCCACGAUCAUCAUCGUCACCUGCAUGACACCAUGAUCUCCAUCAUCGUGUCUUCAUGAAGAUGUAUCGCCAACUAUUACUUCUACUAUUAUGGCUAAUGGCUUAGCAAUAAAGUAAAGUAAUUACAUGGCGUUAUUCAAUGACACGCGGGUCAUACAAUAAAUUAAGACAACUCCUAUGGCUCCUGCCGGUUGUCAUACUCAUCGACAUGCAAGUCGUGAUUCCUAUUACAAGAACAUGAUCAAUCUCAUACAUCACAUAUAUUUCAUUCAUCACAUCCUUUUGGCCAUAUCACAUCACACGGCAUAUGCUGCAAGAACAAGUUAGACGUCUUCUAAUUGUUGUUGCAAGUUUUUACAUGGCUGCUAUAGGUUUCUAACAAGAACAUUUCUUACCGAUGCCAAAACCACAACGUGAUAUGCCAAUUGCUAUUUACCCUUCAUGAGGACCCUUUUCAUCAAAUCCGAUCCGACUAAAGUGGGAGAGACAGACACCCGCUAGCCACCUUAUGCAACUAGUGCAUGUCAGUCGGUGGAACCUAUCUCACGUAAGUGUACGUGUAAGGUCGGUCCGGGCCGCUUCGUCCCACGAUGCCGCCGAAUCAAGAUAAGACUAGUAGUGGCAAGUAAAUUGACAAAAUCGACGCCCACAACAACUUGUGUUCUACUCGUGCAUAGAAACUACGCAUAGACCUAUCUCAUGAUGCCACUAUUGGGGAUCGUUGCAGAAAUAAAAAAAUUCUACGCAUCACCAAGAUCAAUCUAUGGAGAAACUAGCAACGAGAGAGAGUGGAGUUCAUCUUCAUACCCUUGAAGAUCAUGAAACGGAAGCAUUGCAAGAACGCGGAUGAAGGAGUCGUACUCGUAGCAAUUCAGAUCGCGGUGGAUUCUGAUCUAAGCGCCGAACAACGGCACCUCCGCGUUCAACACACGUGCAGCCCGGUGACGUCUCUCGCGCCUUGAUCCAGCAAGGAGGAGGGAGAGGUUGAGGAAGACAGCUCCAGCAGCAGCACGACGGCGUGGUGGUGGUGGAGCAACAGUUCUCCGGCAGGGCUUCGCCAAGCUCAAACGGAGGAGGAGAGGUGUUGGAGAGGUGGAGGGAUGCGCCUUGGAUGUCGUGCGGCUGCCCUCCCUCCUCCCCUCUAUUUAUAGGGUGAAGGGGGAAGGGGGCCGGCCCCUCUAGAUGAGAUCUAGAGGGCGGGCAGCGGCCAAGGGGAGGGGGCUUGCCCCCAAGCCAAGGGGGCGCCCCCUUUAGGGUCCCCCCCAACCCUAUGCUCAUGGGUCCUUGGGAGUGGCGCUCAGCCCACUUAGGGUCUGGUUCCCUUCUACAUACAUCCCAUAGGGCCCUCCGGGGCAGGUAGACCCUCCCGGUGGACUCCCGGAACCCCUCCGGUGGUCCCGGUACAAUAUGGGUAAACCUCCGAAUACUCCGGUGACCGUAUGAUGACUUCCCAUAUAUAAAUCUUCACCUCUGAACCAUUCCGGAACUCCUCAUGACGUCCUGGAUCUCAUCCGGGACUUCGAACAACAUUCGGUAAUCACGUACAAAUCUUCCCUAUAAACCUAGCAUCAUCGAACCUUAAGUGUGUAGACCAUACGGGUUCGGGAAUCAUGCAGACAUGACCGAGACAGCUCUCCGGCCAAUAACCAAGAGCGGGAGCUGGAUACCCAUCUUGGCCCCCACAUGUUCCAUGAUGAUCUCAUCGGAUGAGCCACGAUGUCGAGGAUUUAAGCAAUCCCAUAUGCAAUUCCCUUUGUCAAUCGGUACGUUACUUACCCGAGAUUCGAUCGUCGGUAUCCCAAUACCUCGUUCAAUCUUGUUACCGGCAAGUCACUUUACUCGUUGCGUAAUGCAUGAUCCCGUGACUAACUACUUAGUAACAUUGAGCUCAUUAUGAUGAUGCAUUACCGAGUGGGCCCAAAGAUACCUCUCCGUCAUACGGAGUGACAAAUCCCAGUCUCGAUUCGUGCCAACCCAAGAAACACUUUCGGAGAUACCUGUAGUGCACCUUUAUAGUCCCAGUUACGUUGCGACGUUUGGUACACCCAAAGCACUCCUACGGUAUCCGAGAGUUACACAAUCUCAUGGUCUAAGGAAAUGAUACUUGACAUUAGAAAUGAUACUUGUGCUAUGCUUAGGAUUCGGUCUUGUCCAUCACUUCAUUCUCCUAAUGAUGUGAUCCCGUUAUCAAUGACAUCCAAUGUCCAUAGUCAGGAAACCAUGACCAUAUGUUGAUCAACGAGCUAGUCAACUAGAGGCUCACUAGGGACAUGUUGUGGUCUAUGUAUUCACACAUGUAUUACGGUUUCCGGUUAAUACAAUUAUUGCACGAAUAGCAGACAAUUAUCAUGAACAAGGAAAUAUAAUAAUAACCAUUUUAUUAUUGCCUCUAGGGCAUAUUUCCAACAAGCACCAGGUUCGGGCCUCUAUAUGGAGGUAAUGCCCUACUUCCUGCUUGAUUGAUCUUGAUGAAUAUGAGUAUUACAAGAGUUGAUCUACCACAAGAUCGUAAUGGCUAAACCCUAGAAGUCUAGCUUGUAUGAUUGUCAUGAUCCUUUAUCGACUAGCCUGACCUUGGCCUAUAUAAUACACCAGAGGCCUAGGGUAACAAGAGUCCUAGCCGAAUAAGUUGGUCGAGAGGAGUCCUUGUCUUGAUCACCAAGUCUUGUGGAAUACUCCUUGUAUGCGGCAUGGGCUGCCCAAAGUGGCCCAUGUGUGAACUGCCAUGGGGGUCCUCGGCCCGAUCCACCUAGUCGGGAGAUGAUGUGGUGAGUACCCCCUAGUCCAGGACACCAUCAGUAGCCCCCUAAACCGGUCUUCAAGUUGGGGACGCUCCUUGAUCCUUCCGAACUGUUCUUCAUCUUCGGUCGUCGGUCUUGAAAACUGGUUCAACAAAUCUUCUCGUCUUCGAUCUUGAGGAUCGCCGAAAUGAAUCCGAAGGGUUUACACAUCGGGUAUCCAAGGAGCCCCUUUAAGUUCUCGACCUUUAUCAAUGCCUUAGAAUUAUUUUUUACGCCACACCUCGGGUUUGAAGUUGUUCCUGUGCGGCGGUGUCCUCUUGCAUCCGAGCUCCAACGCCGGACUGCAUUCGAGAUAUCUUUUGCAGCCGAGCACCAACACCGGACUAUAUCCGAGCUCCAACGCCGGACUAUAUCCGAGGUGUCAUAGAUCACAUUGGCUUGAAAAGUUUGAAGGAGGUUAUCCAAGUUUAACGCUGAAAAGUUCUCUAUGGAACGAGCCAUUUGAAUCCGGGCUUUAUGCCGGACCACUUCCGAGCUCCAACGAUGGUCAGCGCCCGAGGUGUCGUAAACUACCUCGGUCUUUUAAAAGAUGCCGAGCUAAAUGUCAGAAAUGCCCUCUAUGGAGCCAGCCCCUGGCGCCCAAACAUUAUGUCGGACUGCUUCCGAGGUGGUGCACCACCCCGACCGCGGGCUGAUUUUUGUGAAUAUUUUUUAUUGGUGCAAUUUACUCUCUGCCGAGAUAUAUAGCUAGUAUAUGUAUAUCCAGUAGCCCUCAAGGUGUGUGUCAGUCUAAACCCGAGGUGCGCCUGAAGGAAAACAUAAAACUGCUGAUCCUGGUAGGCCCUAACACUCAGGUCGAUUUGCAAAAUCGGCCUGAGGAUCAAAUCCUAGCUCGGCAGGAGACGUAGAAAUAGAAACACAGUGUAAUAUAUUAGAGAUAAUAGUGAUCAACGAACGGGCCCUUGACAGAGGGUCUUGAGAAGUUGCCGCAAUAUAUUAGCUUGACGCCAUAUAGGUCCAGAUGGUACCUAUUGUUGUCUGAAGACGCGUUUGCCCAUAGUUCGGUCAAGCCGAACACUAAGCACUUUGAAGUUUCUGCAUUGAAUAGGCAACGAAGUAACCCCCGAGACACUGGUCAGGUGGCAACACCAGAUCAGGAAAACGAUGUGCCCCUUUAAUAUUUAUAAAUAAUGAGCGUGAAGCCCAGUAGCCCCAGAGCCUUAAUGUGGGCACGGGAGGCCGAAUUAAGGAUCGAUAUCCGUGUGACAGAAAAUUUUGUUCUGUUUAACACAAACUUCUCGAAAAGUGAAUAAAGAUCUCUUAAAGGAGCUAAAGCCAGCAUGCUCGCCAAGGUUGGUCCCAAGGUCCUUUGCAUUGAACACAUAAACAUUGUUAAGAUCUUUGGGUUUUAUAUUUCUGUUGUGAUCGAACAAAGAUUAAACUUUUCCAGGAGAAUCAUGGGAGCCUUCCGCAAAUCAAACUGUUGAGUUGGUCACGUGGAAUAUCAUAUUGACAUUUAAUAAUCAAACACCAGGAUGUUUAUAUUUUUGGUUUGGCCUAUCGAUCCAAACCCGUGAUACAUAUGUACGAGCAAUCAAAAUGAUCAAAAUUAAGCUAGCAUAUUGAGAGUAUAUAGAAAUGUCCACAGGCAGUUUUGUACCCUACUGUGACAUGUGAAGAUUACACGAGGCAUCAAGAUCCAAAUACACCAUAAUAGUAUAUGUUAUUUCUUCAACUACUACUUUGCUAUAAUUGUAUUUUUCAAAUUAGUGUAAAAAGGGACAUGACAUGUCACAAUGUGACAUGCUGAUUGCCAUAAAUAGUUAGAUCACUAUUUUGCGUGAUACAAAGCUAUGGUUGUAUGCACGAAAUGACAUUAUUUGUUUCGGCCGACACAAUGAACAUAAACGAGGAUUAUAUAUUUGCGCCAAUAAUAAUUGUGUUUUCGCAUAAUUUGGUGACAAAAAUAUUAGUAGUGAAUCAGAACUCCCUGUGAAUGCCUUUAGCCCUCCUGUAGUUUCCAUCAAUUCAUUACUCUCCUGUUCUUGUUACUAUUAUUUUAGCACACCUUAAUUCUUGUUCACAAACUCUUGCAAUAUUUUCACUUUCACACCUCUUUGAUCAGGAGUUAAAAUAUUUGCAUGCACUUUCUGAUAAACCUCUAGUAGAGGCAAAAGACUAUUUCUUAAUUUUUCUUUCGGGUCAAGACUAUUACUUCAAAAUGGCUACAACUAUAUUGUGUGCACUUGCAUGAGAUCAGAAAAAACAUAUUGAUUGGAAUGCACUAAUUUAAGAAUAAAUUUUUGGAGCAUGUUUACCAAAAGCUUGGUUAUCAUCUUGAUGGAGCAAUUCAGAAAGGAAAUAGGUCUGAAAUCAUUAUCCUAAAUUGCGGAGCCAUUUUUGGAAUUAGAGUAAUUAAAGAAGAGUCAAUGCUCUAAAUAUUGAUUGAACCAUGGUAAAACUCCUUAAACAAUGCACAGAAAUCAGGGGCAAUAGUCUCCCAACAAACUUUAACAAAAUCUGAAUUAAGACCAUCUAGGCCUGCGGAUUCGUGAGAGGGCAAAUUCCUGACUGCUUUAACAAUUUCCUCUUUAGUGAAAGAUUUCUCUGAAAAAAGUAGACCAUCAUUUCUCGUAAGCAAAGAAUCCAAAUUCAUAAGGUUGAAAGUUGGGACAGUAUAGCCAUGUCUUUGCUUGAAAGAUCUACCAAAGAAAGCAGCCUUGGCAUGAUGUUCGGAGUGCCCAUGCCUCUGCUUAUCUCUUAAUAUAGCAAUGUGAUUAUUUCUCAAUAAUUGAUGCCUUUGCAUGAUUUUGUUUUACUUUGCUUCCCCCAAAGGUACCCAUAUAAUAGUGUCUCUUUGUUUCGAGUAGAUUUGCUGGUGUGGGAGAAGCUGAAGGAGAUGAUUUUCGAGGAUUUGUCUGAUUGUUCCACUUAUGAAUUGCAAGAUUUCUAAAUUCUUCAAUAGUGUCAUAGAAUUAAUCACUGAGUUUGGUAGCUUUGAUAGUGGUAGAGAGAUUAGAAAUUAUUUUGGAACACAGUUUUAAACCUUUUCUUGGUCUUUUGAAAUUUGCAUUUACUCUUUUGGAACUAUCAUGUUUGUGAAUUUGUUGGUCCCAAAUUGUAUUAAAAGUAUCUUUAAAGUCUGGGUGUUGCAACCAGUAAAUUUCAAACCUGAAAAUAGAGGACUCCAGAAUAGAUGUACCAAUCCAAAUGAAACAAGGGAUGUGGUAAAAAAAAAUAGGUCUGCCCUGAGGAAUAGCCAUAGUGUUUGGAUAAUUAAUAGUCUAGGAUUUAGAGGAGAAUACCCAAUCAAGCUUUUCCAAGAGAGGAGCACUCUGCAUAUUGCUCAAAGUAAACAUUCUGCCUCCAAGGGGAAUUUCAAUAAGAGCAAGGGAAUUGAUGGCUUCAUUUAAAGAAAACAUGGCAUGUGCACUACCGUCUUCUCUAUUUUUUGUUCUUAGGGCAGAUGACAUAAUUGAAAUCUCCAACCACCAACUAAGCCUGAUAAACUGGCAUGCACAUUUUGGAAUCAGUCAAUGAAAGUAGUUAAGUUUUUGACUUGAUAGGGUCCAUAUGUAUUGGUUAGAAUCCAAGACUCACCUAAGUGUAUUGAGGUGAACCUGUUGGAUAUAGGAAAUUCAUUAUGAACGCAACUUCAUUCUGACCUACAAAGAAACCACUAGAGGCCCUAGAGAGGGCAUAAUUAAAAUUUGCUAAAUAUUUUUGGACCAUAUAGAAGACAAGGUUUCGAUAACAAAUACACGACUUGAUCUUAUGGUAUAUGAUAUUGUACACAAAGCAUAUAUGAUAAGCACUCUGUCUGCAUACUAUUUCUUUCAAAAGAAAGUUCCACAGGUGUCAUAAGGUAACAAGACAUAACCGCCUUGCUAUUCUAUGAUCUACCUAGGACUUCUCUUUGGAAAAUGACAAGGCGCUCCUUUAUUUUUGCAUCCUUAGAGCGAGC
rnacentral:lncRNA from 1 species